rnacentral:lncRNA from 1 species
CCAGAUCCACUGCCUGGAACGCCUUGUUUCUCAAAAAACUGUUGUCUCUGGUUAUACCUGGAAGGCGGAGGUGGAAGGCUGACAGGAGAUUGACCAUUGCCAGGAGACUGAGGAUUCCCCAGAGACUGAGUAUCCCAAGGAGCAGGAGGUAGCCCAUCUAUAGAUUUGCUUCUAGGAGCCGGUUCAUCAUAUACAGGCUUUCCAGUGAAUAUAGGUGAUGGAGUUGUGUUUUGGGAAGAAGGGUGUGAAGGUGAUAGUGGAGUCAAUCGUGAGGUGGAGCUGGAAUGAACUGGAGCGGCAAAAGAUGUGGAUUCUGAUGUUGCAGAGGAUCCUUCAGAUUUGUAGGCUUCUCCACUGAGAUAAUCAAUCACACCAGGACCUAGAGUGAUUGGCCUUUGCGAAGACGGUGGAAGAGGAAGAAGUGGGCUGACUUGCACAGGUUCAGCCUUGGCAUUGGCUGAUCUCUGGCCCUGUCCUUGUGAAUUAUCUCUUGAUGACCUGCAAUGCAUCUUACCGAAUUUUACUAAGAGGAUAAGAAUAUUAAAAGUAAAAAACUAACAGAACUUGCAAUAUUCAUAUUCUGAAGCGCACACAUACAAGUAAAAUUGGUAGAAACAAAAACAAGUGAGAAUGAAAUGACAAUGCAAAUAAAACUUAGAAGUGUUCCUCUAACAAUCACCUGUGCGCUAGUUGGGAAAAUUCAUCCUCAGACACAUCAUCCUCAUGGUUCACAUUCACAAGUGGCACAACUGAAGAUUCUGCUCCUCUUACUGUAGUUGUAGUUCCUUUCACAAUAUCGUCAUGCCGAGAAAUUACACGCUGCAGAUCAUCGUUCAGUGCCAAUCCCUGACAUAGAAGCUCCUCAUCUCUGAGAGGAGAGCAACCACAACUGUCACUAUUGCAUCAAAUGUAUGAGUAAAACUCAAAUCCAUAUCAAAUCACUUACGCAGUCUCAUUCACAAGAAGCCUGACACGCUUUUGGUAUGAACGGCACUGAUCAACAAGGUCAACAAUCACUUCUUCCUUCAAACCCUGCCAUAGUAUUUCAUUUUGACCAUUUAUGACCAUUAAAUUUGCACACAUUAAAAGCCCGGAUGGUAAUAUUACGAUUUUGGUUCAUUUUUUAUUUUUAGUAAAAGCCGAAGAGGAAUUGUAUGGAGAAAAUAGGGAGAAAGAAAGGGCUCAGAUGGAUGAGCAUUAAAAUGAAUAUGGAACGGUAUUUAAACCACAAAUUAAAUCAAUCUCAACUAUUCUAUUUUCUCCUUCAAGUUUUUAUUUCACCCAUUCCCCUUCAAUCAUCCAUACCUCCUCCCUUCUACAAGCACAAGAAAAGUGCAGCCCUUAAAGGUACUAAUUUGCGAGUAAUUAACCACCUAAUUCCAACUCUGCUAAAAGUCCCAACUUCAAAAAAUUUUACAAUCACAGUAAUUGACACCUCUGGAUAGCUAGCCUUAUAAAUAAAGUUUUGUUAUCAAUAUAUCUCCUCAAAUAAUUUACAUACAGUGCAUAAGUAAGGAAAAGUAUGGACCAUAAAUAUUCUCCACAAUUGACCAUAUACAACUUUCAGAAUUUUCUACUGUGGGCACAUAUGAAACUUUCACCGCUAGAGAACUCCACACACAAAAACAAAAAAAUAGAAUCAUUGGCCUCUCAACAAAAAAAAAAUUCUAGAAAAACAUAAAUAAGAAAUUAUCCUUUAAUAAUACCUUUUUGGAAAGAAAUUAAUCAGAAGUAAAAAAAUAAGGUAGAAAAUAUAUUACCUCAGGAUUCUUAGCAUCCAAGGCAUUAAGCAUUUCCAUCAACACAUCUGCAAUUCCACGAGCAUACUGAAUCUCUGGCAAGCUGAUUAAAGACAGUUCCAAUCAGGAUGGAUCUAUCAUAGCUUCAAUAAUAAUUCAGACAAUUUUUACCAAAAAUAAAAAAGCAUCCCAAAGCAUAAAAAACAGAUAGCAUCUGUUACAAUAUCAUUAUGUUGGAAUUGUCUGUAUAGGUAAUUAUGGGGGAUUCGGGAAAGAUGGAAUAACUAUACAACAACAACAAAGCCUUUUCCCACUAAGUGGGGUCGGCUAUAUGAAUCCUAGAACGCCAUUGCGCUUGGUUUUGUGUCAUGUCCUCCGUUAGAUCCAAGUACUCUAAGUCUUUUCUUAGGGUCUCUUCCAAAGUUUUCUUAGGUCUUCCUCUACCCCUUCGGCCCUGAACCUCUGUCCCGUGGUCACAUCUUCGAACCGGAGCGUCAGUAGGCCUUCUUUGCACAUGUCCAAACCACCGUAACCGAUUUUCUCUCCUCUUUCCUUCAAUUUCGGCUACUCCUACUUUACCUCGGAUAUCCUCAUUCCUAAUCUUAUCCUUUCUCGUGUGCCCACACAUCCAACGAAGCAUCCUCAUCUCCACUACACCUACGUGUUGAUGCCUCACCGCCCAACAUUCUAUGCCAUACAGCAUUGCCGGCCUUAUUGCCGUCCUAUAAAAUUUUCCCUUGAGCUUCAGUGGCCUACGACGGUCACACAACACGCCGGAUGCACUCUUCCACUUCAUCCAUCCAGCUUGUAUUCUAUGGGUGAGAUCUCCAUCAAAUUCUCCAUCUUUUGCAAGAUAGAUCCUAGGUAGCGAAAACGGUCGCUCUUUGGUAUUUCCUGAUCUCCGAUCCUCACCCCUAACUCAUUUUGGCCUCCGUUUGCACUGAACUUGCACUCCAUAUAUUCUGUCUUUGAUCGGCUUAGGCAAGGACCUUUAGAUUCCAACACUUCUCUCCAAAGGUUAAGCUUCGCAUUUACCCCUUCCUACGUUUCAUCUAUCAACACUAUAUCGUUUGCGAAAAGCAUACACCAAAGAAUAUCAUCUUAAAUAUUAAGUUUGUGAUCUUCGCUAGAUUGCUCCGGUCAUUAGUGUGGAUAAGUAUGUAAAUGGAUAGAGACAGGAAGCAAACACAAGAUGUACGUGGUUCACCCAGAUUGGCUACGUCCACGGAGUAAAGGAGUUUUCAUUAAUUGUGAAGGGUUUACAUAGUAUAUAGGUUCAAGCUCUCCUUUAGUGAGUACAAGUGAAUGAUUUAGUACGGAUGACAUUAGGAAAUAUUGUGGAAGAAUGAUCUCGUAAUCACGAAACUUUUAAGUACCGAAGUGUGGUAUCGUCUUCACUUGCCUUAUCUGUGUCAUAGGUAGAUGUGGCAUCUUCUUUGGAAGUACUCUUCCUCCCUCCAGGGGUGGUAUCUUUAACUGGUGGAGAUGCACAAGGUAAUGUAUCAAUUUCACUUGACGCUUACUUGUAGUUUCAGGCUUGGUCAAGCGCGAUACAAACCAUGUAGUAGGAGUCCCCCAAGUCGCCGAGCUAGGGGAUCUGCUGAAAGAGGUGACAAACAAGGUAAGCAAUCAGAGAUCCAAGCAAUCAGUCCCAUAUCAGAAGUUUGAUUUCGAGUUCCGGCUGAUUGUUAUCAUUCUCCUUAUCUUGCAGGUAGCAUGAAGGAUAAAGAGAAGAAAAUGAGAAAAGGUGAUAUGAGAUAUUUUUGCUUUUGAAGAAGUAACUUUCCAUAGGCUUAUUCUUGAACUGAGCUGGAGGGUUUUCUUGUUUCCGCCAGAGUAUAAGGCCGACUGAAGAAUUUGAGGGUCAAAACAAGUCCAUCAAAUCUAGAGUACGUUCGACCCUGCUGAUAUGGGAUACUUUUGCCGUUGGCAAAGUAGUGGAUGUAUCGACACGUGUUCUGUUGCGCUUGUCUCCACAUGCUUCCUUGUAUCCUUCUCACUUGCCCUAUUUGUUCCUCAGGCAGAUGUGGUAUCUUCUCGGGAAGCAUAAGAUGUUGAAGAUGAGUACUCGAGAGCAAUGGGGUUCCAGGCAGUCAGUUCCGGACUAGAAGCUUGAUUCCAAGUGUUGACUGAUUGCUAUCUUUCUCCUUGUCUUGCAGGUAUAACAAGGCCAAAGGAAAAGACGGGGAAAAAGCAUGAUAUGGGAUACUCUUGCUUUUAACCCUGAUGAUAUGAGAUAUUCUUGCUCUAGUGUAGCUUGUUUGUAGAGGUAUUCUCGGGGGGAAAGAAAGCUGAGUAUUCCGAGAGGCUUCGUUGGGAGUGCCCUCUCAGAUAUGAGGAAGGGUUGAGCAUUUUUGCAGGUCUGCCUGUCCGUUGAGGAUGAAGGUCGACAUAUAUAGGAGUCUCCCUAACAAGGAGUAAUACUAUUCUUUUACCCUGCUUGGUCAUAGCACGGUAGUGGGAGCUGCCAACUUCACGUGUUUUAACUCUGUCAGAGCACUUUGAAAAAAUGGUCUGUGGUAUCUGGAAAGCUGAUGUUACGUGUGAAGAUUACAGACAAGCUUUAUCCAAGGAGAUCUAGCUCUCGAAGUUGAGAAAGCGAUGUGAGGAUUACAGACAAGCUUUAUCUAAGGGGCUCUCGAAGUUGAGAAAGCAGUGGCUCUUCGGUUUUCUAACAAGCAAUCCUGUCGGGGAUCUGUCUCUCGAGAUUCGGAGAACGGUGCCUCUUCGAUUUUUGAGAAAGCAAUCUUGCUAGGAGUCUGGCUCUCGAGAUUCAGAGAGCGGUGUCUCGUCGCUUUUUGAGAAAGUAAUCAUGUUGGGAGUCUGGCUCUCGAGAUUCGGAGGACGGUGUCUCUUCGAUCUUGAAGCAAGCAAUCUUGUUGGAGUGUUUUCUCGAAUGUGAGUAAAGGUUAGGCCUGUUUGCUAGUCUACCUUGCCACGGAGCACAGAGGUUGACCCACAAGGACUUUCCAAUUAUCCAGCAAUGGUCCUGUUCUUUUACCCUUGUGGGUAAUAAUAUGGUAGCUAGACCUUCAAAAUUUAUGUGUCUAAACUUUGUUAGUGCUGUUUCUUUGCUAUUCUUUUACCCUUCUUGGUCAUAGCGAUGUAAUGGGAGCUGCAAGCUUCACGUGUCUAAACUUUGUCAGAGAUUUUUGGCAAAGUUAUCUGUGGUACUCGUGAGCUGAUGUUGCGUGUGGAAAGUGAAUGAUUGAACAGUAACAUUCACGUGCUUUCUACUUCACUAGAAAUCUUUGACAGAAUGCCCGUAAUUUCUGCAAAGUUGAGUGUGCAUGUGACAGGUGCUGACAAGGCUGAAAAAGCAGGUGCCUCUUCGAUUUCUGAGAUCGACCCUCGUGGUCUCUGAGCAGCCCAGCUUUUGAGAAAGCAAGCGCAUCUUCGAUUUCUGCGAUCGACCUUCAUGGUCUUUGAGCAGCCCAGCUUUUGAGAAAGCAAACGCCUCUUCGAUUCCUGAGAUCGGCCCUCGUGGUCUCUGACCAGCCCAACUUUUGAGAAAGCAAACGCCUUUUCGAUUUCUGAGCAGACGCCUCUUCGAUUUCUGAAGCUCCAUCGAGUGCGGAUUUUUAUAAAGGCUGGUAUUAAGUUCCAAAGCACACUUGAAUCUUCACCAGUAGAAGCUCCCUUCUUGCAUUUCUAAGAUCUUGAUUUGUCCGACCUCUUUUCUCUUCAACACCUUUGAAAAUGUCUGGCCCCUCCAACCGUCGUUUUGACUUGAACCUUGUUGAAGAGGCAGCCAUGCCUUCUCUAGACAACAUAUGGCGCCCAUCCUUCUUAUCUCCUACUGGUCCUCUUACCAUUGGGGAUUCCGUGAUGAAGAAUGAUAUGACCGCUGCGGUGGUGGCCAGGAACCUUCUCACUCCCAAAGAUAACAGACUACUUUCUAAACGGUCUGAUGAGUUGGCUGUUAAGGAUUCUCUGGCUCUCAGUGUUCAGUGUGCAGGUUCUGUGUCUAAUAUGGCCCAACGCCUAUUUGCUCGAACCCGCCAAGUUGAAUCAUUGGCGGCUGAAGUGAUGAGUCUCAAACAGGAGAUUAGAGGGCUCAAGCAUGAGAAUAAACAGUUGCACCGACUCGCUCAUGACUAUGCUACAAACAUGAAGAAGAAGCUUGACCAGAUGAAGGAAUCUGAUGGUCAGAUUUUACAUGAUCAUCAGAGGUUUGUGGGUUUGUUCCAAAGGCAUUUAUUGCCUUUGUCUUCUGGGGCUGUACCGCGUAAUGAAGCUCCAAAUGAUCAACCUCCGAUGCCUCCUCCUUCUAGGGUGCUGUCCAGUACUGAGGCUUCGAAUGAUCCCCCUCCGGUGCCUUCUCUUUCUGGGGCUCUGCCGACUGCUUAGACUUCUCCUAAGCAACUUUUGUGAAGGCUCCCUCUUGUUUGUUUAUUUUGAUUCGUGUAUAUGUACAAAGAAGAUAAAUGAUUUGAAGUCUAUUGUUCAAUUUCUUAUUAGCACAAAAUUCAAUCAAGCAAGGAUGAAUUCUUUCAUAAAUUACAGUUACGGAUCAUGACAUUCAACAAGCAGUAGCUGAAAUAAUUGUACAAGCAUAAAAAAUAUAUGCCGAUUGACAUCUCUUACUAAAGAUUAAGACCCUAGGACUGACGGGACUUAUAAUAGUAAGGAUGUAAGAGACAUCCUCAUGUCAAGGGGAGAAUUGAUGAAUACUUGACAAGGUUAAGGCCUUUCAGAUAUAUAGUCAAAUUUUUCUGCAGUAUUAAAGCAUGCACAACACAUUCAAAUUUGAUAAUGAGAAAGGUAUAAAAUUUUUUUUUUUUUGAAGAAGUUGAAGAAAUAAAAAAUGAAAGAGAAACAAUCGAAUCGCCAAUUUAUGCAGUACAACAUAUGUAGAACAUGUCAUACUGAGGGUUUUAAUCCUGGGACAUUUUCCAAUUGCCUACAAAUAUUUUUAACCUCUCUCAUGCAAUCAACACGCAAGUUUAUAGUUGUGACAAACAUGCAUGUGAAGGAAACAAUAAUUGUUUGAACAGGGAAUAAAUACCAUACUCAAAAGGCCCAAAAAUGUAUGUUUCCAAGAAAACCAUAUUCUCAGCUAGUACCUAAGGCCCGAUGCAUCCGACUGGAGAGAAGCCUGAAUGGCAGCAUCAUCAUAUGAUGUAACAGGAGAAACUACUGGCUGGGUCUGGGGCGGAGUAAAUAUUGGUACACUGUUCUCUUCUCUUGGUGGAAAUUCAACUCCUGCAGACUGUCGGUUAUUCAUUAAGAGAGUUAGGGUGGAAGAAGAAACAGAAUAAAGAGAAAAUAAUUAAAAUCCACAGUUAUACUAAAUAUUGAAUAGCAAGCUUUCCCAUAACUGUAGGAUUACAUCAAGGCUCAUCCUUAAGUCCUUACCUUUUUGCGUUGGUAAUGGAUGAGUUAACAGGACAUAUUCAAGAUGAUAUUCCUUGGUGUAUGCUUUUCGCAGACGAUAUAGUGUUGAUAGACGAAACUCAGGAAGGGGUAAAUGCAAAGCUUAACCUUUGGAAAGAAGUGUUGGAAUAUAAAGGUCUUCGCCUAAGCCGAUCAAAGACAGAAUAUAUGGAGUGCAAGUUCAGUGCAAAUGGAGGCCAAAACGAGUUAGGGGUGAGGAUCGGAGAUCAAGAAAUACCAAAGAGCGACCGUUUUCGUUACCUAGGAUCUAUCUUGCAAAAGAACGGAGAUUAGAUGGAGAUCUCAACCAUAGAAUACAAGCUGGAUGGAUGAAGUGGAAGAGUGCAUCCGGCGUGUUGUGUGACCGCCGUAUGCCACUGAAGCUCAAGGGAAAAUUUUAUAGGACGGCAAUAAGGUCGGCGAUGCUGUAUGGCACAGAAUGUUGGGCGGUGAAACAUCAACACGUACACAAAAUGGGUGUAGCGGAGAUGAGGAUGCUUCGUUGGAUGUGUGGGCACACGAGAAAGGAUAAGAUUAGGAAUGAGGAUAUCCGGGGUAAAGUAGGAGUAGCCGAAAUUGAAGGAAAGAUGAGAGAAAAUCGGUUACGGUGGUUUGGACAUGUGCAAAGAAGGCCUACUGACGCUCCGAUUAGAAGAUGCGACUAUGGGACAGAGGUUCAGGGCCGAAGGGGUAGAGGAAGACCUAGGAAAACUUUGGAAGAGACUCUAAGAAAAGACUUAGAGUACUUGGAUCUAACGAAGGACAUGACACAGGAUCGAGCACAAUGGCGUUCUAAGAUUCAUAUAGCCGAUCCCACUCAGUGACUUGGAUUUUCCAAGUCUCCAACCGAGAAGUUUUCCUCACUCGGAAAAUUAAGGGAACACUACCCCAACCUACCUACAUGCUCCACUCAGAAAGCUUCAACAUACAAGCUUCAACAAAAGAAAAUUCAAAGAACUUAGCGAAGAAGGCUUUGGUGUAUUUAACACAAUACGUUGAAAUGAAGGAAAACUUAUUUAUUGAUAUCCCCGAUAAGCUACAAAUAUGUACAUAUACAUGAGUCAAAAUAAACACACAAGAGGGAGCCUUCACAAAGGUUGCUUAGGAGAAGUCUCAGCAGUCGGUAGAGCCCCAGAAAGAGAAGGCACCGGAGGGGGAUCAUUUGGAGCCUCAGUACUGGACAGAACCCUAGAAGGAGGAGGCAUCAGAGGUUGAUCAUUUGGAGCUUCAUUACGCGGUACAGCCCCAGAAGACGAAGGCAAUAAAUGCCUUUGGAACAAACCCACAAAUCUCUGAUGAUCAAGUAAAACCUGACCAUCAGUUUCCUUCAUCUGGUCAAGCUUCCUCUUCAUGUUUGUAGCAUAGUCAUGUGCGAGCCGGUGCAACUGUUUAUUCUCAUGCUUGAGCCCUCUAAUCUCCUGUUUGAGACUCAUCACUUCAGCCGCCAAUGAUUCAACUUGGCGGGUUCGAGCAAAUAGGCGUUGGGCCAUAUUAGACACAGAACCUGCACACUGAACACUGAGAGCCAGCGAAUCCUUAACAGCUAACUCAUCAGACCGUUUGGAAAGUAGUCUGUUAUCUUUGGGAGUGAGAAGGUUCCUGGCCACCACCGCAGCGGUCAUAUCAUUCUUCAUCACGGAAUCCCCAACGGUAAGAGGACCAGUAGGGGAGACGAAGGAUGGGCGCCAUAUGUUGUCUGGAGAAGGCGGGGCUGCCUCUUCAACAAGGUUCAAGUCAAAACGACGGUCGGAGGGGCCAGACAUUUUCAAAGGUGUUGAAGAGAGAAGAGGUCGGACAAAUCAAGAUCUUAGAAGUGCAAGAAUGAAGCUUCUACUGGUGGAGAUUCAAGUGUGCUUUGGAACUUAAUGCCAGCCCCUAUAAAAAUCUGCACUCGACGGAGCUUCAGAAAUCGAAGAGGCGCCUGCUCAGAAAUCGAAGAGGCGUUUGCUUUCUCAAAAGCUGGGCUGCUUAGAGAUCACGAGGGUUGAUCUCAGAAAUCGAAGAGGCGUUUGCUUUCUCAAAAGUUGGGCUGCUCAAAGACCACGAAGGCCGAUCUCAGAAAUCGAAGAGGCGCUCGCUUUCUCAAAAGCUGGGCUCCCCAGAGACCACGAGGGCCGAUCUCAGAAAUCGAAGAGGCACCUACUUUUCCAGCCUUGUCAGCACCUGUCACACGCACACUCAGCUUUGCGGAAAUUAUGGGCAUUCUGUCGAAGACUUCUGAGGGAAGUAGAAAACACACAUGAAUCUUACUGUUCAAUCAUCCCACUUCCCACACGCAACAAUAGCUCAUGGGUACCACAGAAAAACUUUGCCAAAGUUCUCUGCCAAAGUUGAGCACGUGAAGCUUGCAGCUCCCACUACAUCGCUCUGACCAAGAAAGGGUAAAAGAAUAGCAAAGAAACAGCACUAACAAAGUUUAGACCCAUAAAUUUUGAAGGUCUAGCUACCAUAUUAUUACCCACAAGGGUAAAGGAACAGUACCACUGCUGGAUAAUUGGAAAGUCCCUGUGUGUCAACCUCUGUGCUUCGUGGCAAGGUAGACUAGCAAACAUGCCCAACCUUUACUCACAUUCGAGAAAACACUCCCAAUAAGAUUGCUUGCUCCAAAAUCGAAGAGGCACCGUCCUCCGAAUCUCGAGAGCCAGACUCCCAACAUGAAUACUUUCAAAAAAAUCGAAGAGAGGGUAAAGGAACAGUACCAUUGCUGGAUAAUUGGAAAGUCCCUGUGUGUCAACCUCUGUGCUUCGUGGCAAGGUAGACUAGCAAACAUGCCCAACCUUUACUCACAUUCGAGAAAACACUCCCAACAAAGAUUGCUUGCUCCAAAAUCGAAGAGGCACCGCCCUCCGAAUCUCGAGAGCCAGACUCCCAACAUGAUUACUUUCUCAAAAAUCGAAGAGACACUGCUCCCCGAAUCUUCGAGAGCCAGACCCCCAGCAUGAUUGCUUUCUCAAAAAUCGAUGAGGCAUCGUUCUCCGAAUCAAUCGAAGAGGCGCUCGCUUUCUCAAAAGCUGGGCUGCUCAGAGACCACGAGGGCCGAUCUCAGAGAAAUCGAAGAGGCACCUACUUUUCUAGCCUUGUCAGCACCUGUCACACACGCACACUCAGCUUUGCAGAAAUUAUGGGCAUUCUGUCGAAGACUUCUGGUGAAGUAGAAAGCACAUGAAUCUUACUGUUCAAUCACCCACUUCCCACACGCAACAAUAGCUCAUGGGUACCACAGAUAACUUUGCCAAAGUUCUCUGCCAAAGUUGAGCACGUGAAGCUUGCAGCUCCCACUACAUCGCUCUGACCAAGAAAGGUAAAAGAAUAGCAAAGAAACAGCACUAACAAAGUUUAGACACAUAAAUUUUGAAGGUCUAGCUACCAUAUUAUUAUUACCCACAAGGGUAAAGGAACAGUACCACUGCUGGAUAAUUGGAAAGUCCCCUGUGUGUCAACCUCUGUGCUUCGUGGCAAGGUAGACUAGCAAACAUGCCCAACCUUUACUCACAUUCGAGAAAACACUCCCAACAAGAUUGCUUGCUCCAAAAUCGAAGAGGCACCGUCCUCCGAAUCUCGAGAGCCAGACUCCCAACAUGACUACUUUCUCAAAAUCGAAGAGAGGGUAAAGGAACAGUACCAUUGCUGGAUAAUUGGAAAGUCCCUGUGUGUCAACCUUUGUGCUUCGUGGCAAGGUAGACUAGCAAACAUGCCCAACCUUUACUCACAUUCGAGACAACACUCCCAACAAGAUUGCUUGCUCCAAAAUCGAAGAGGCACCGCCCUCCGAAUCUCGAGAGCCAGACUCCCAACAUGAUUACUUCCUCAAAAAUCGAAGAGACACUGCUCUCCGAAUCUCGAGAGCCAGACCCCCAGCAUGAUUGCUUUCUCAAAAAUCGAAGAGGCAUCGUUCUCCGAAUCUCGAGAGCCAGAUACCACAGACCACUUUUUCAAAGUGCUCUGACAGAGUUAAAACAUGUGAAACUGGCAGCUCCCACUACCGUGCUAUGACCAAGCAGGGUAAAGGAAUAGCAUUACUACUUGUUGUUAGGGAGACUCCUAUAUAUGUCGACCUCCAUCCCCAACGGACAGGCAGACCUGCAAAAAUGCUCAACCCUUCAUCAUAUCUGAGAGGGCACUCCCAACGAAGCCUUUCGAAAUAUUCAGCUUUCUUUCCCCCCGAUAAUACCUCUGCAAACAAGCUAUACUAGAGCAAGAAUAUCUCAUAUCAUCAGGGUUAAAAGCAAGAGUAUCCCAUAUCAUGCUUUUUCCCUGUCUUUUCCUUUUGGCCUUGUUUUUACCUGCAAGACAAGGAGAAAGAGAGCAAUCAGUCAGCACUUGGAAUCAAGCUUCCAGCCAGGAACUGACUGCCUGGAACCCCUUACCUGAUUACUUACCUGGCAUUGCUCUCGAGUACUCAUCUUCAACAUCUUAUGUUUCCAGGGAAGAUUCCGCAUCUGCUUGAGGAACAGAUAGGGCAAGUGCGAAGGAUACAAGGAAGCAUGUGGAGACAAGCGUAACAGCACACGUGCCGAUACAUCCAUUACUCUGUCAAAAGCAAAAGUAUCCCAUAUCAGCAGGGUGGAACGUACUCUAGAUUUGAUGGACUUGUUUUGACCCUCAAAUUCUUCAGUCGGCCUUAUACUCUGGAGGAAACCAGAAAACCCUCCAGCUCAGUUCAAGAAUAAGCCUGUGGAAAGUUACUUCUUCAAAAGCAAAAGUAUCUCAUAUCAUCUCUUCUCAUUUUUUCUUCUCUUUUAUCCUUCAUGCUGUUGCAAGAUGGGGAGAAGGUGAACAAUCAGUCGGAGCUCUGAUUGCUUACCUUGUCUGUCACCUCUUUCAGCAGACCCCCUAGCUCGGCGACUUGGGGGACUCCUACUACAUGGUUUGUAUCGCGCUUGACCAAGCCUGAAACUACAAGUAAGCUUCAAGUGAAAUUGAUACAUUACCUUGUGCAUCUCCACCAGUUAAAGAUACCACCCCUGGAUGGAGGAAGAGUACUUCCAGAGAAUAUGCCACAUCUACCUAUGAGACAGAUAAGGCAAGUCAAGACGACACCACACUCCGAUACUUAGAAGUUUCGUGAUUACGAGAUCAUUCUCCCACAAUAUUUCCUAAUGUCAUUUGUACUAAAUCAUUCACUUGUACUCACUAAAGGAGAGCUUAAACCUAUGUACUUGUGUAAACCCUUCACAAUUAAUGAGAACUCAUCUAUUCCGUGGACGUAGCCAAUCUGGGUGAACCAUGUACAUCUUGUGUUUGCUUUCCUAUCUCUAUCCAUUUAUAUACUUAUCCACACUAAUUACCGGAGCAAUCUAGCGAAGAUCACAAAAAGCGACCGUUUUCGCUACCUAGGAUCUAUCUUGCAAGAGAAUGGAGAAUUAGAUGGAGAUCUCAACCAUAGAAUACGAGCUGGAUGGAUGAAGUGUAAGAAUGCAUCCGGCGUGUUGUGUGACCGUCGUAGGCCACUGAAGCUCAAGGGAAAAUUUUAUAGGACGGCAAUAAGGCCAGCGAUGUUGUAUGACACAGAAUGUUGGGCGGUGAAGCAUCAACACGUACACAAAAUGGGUGUAGCGGAGAUGAGGAUGCUUCGUGGGAUGUGUGGGCACACGAGAAAUGAUAAGAUUGGGAAUGAGGAUAUCCGAGGUAAAGUAGGAGUAGCCGAAAUUGUAGGAAAGAUGAGAGAAAAUCGGCUCCGGUGAUUUGGACAUGUGCAAAGAAGGCCGAAUGACGCUCUGGUUCGAAGAUGUGACUACGGGACAGAGGUUCAGGGCCGAAGGGGUAGAGGAAGACCUAGGAAAACUUUGGAAGAGACUAUAAGAAAAGACUUAAGAGUACUUGGAUCUAACGGAGGACAUGACACAAAACCGAGCGCAAUGGCGUUCUAGGAUUCAUAUAGCCGACCCCACUUAGUGGGAAAAGGCUUUGUUGUUGUUGUUGUUGUAAGCUUAUAAGUAUUGCUGGCCAAAAUGAUGGAAAUGUUAUUUUGGACCUAUUAAACAUCAUCAAAAGGUAGAAAGGUAAAUGCGUUGAAAUCUAAUUGUGUGAAAGCUGAGGCGUAGUUGCCUCUUUUGUCAGACAAGGCAAGGCAUAAGCCUCUCGGACAUGAAAUCUUAUAGGAAGCAAAUAAAUAAUGCAAUACUAAUAAGUUGAAGUGCUAGUGAGUAACUGAAGUAUAAUAAGAAAUCCCAAUAUGACCACAUAUAAGUUAUAACAGUCAUUCAAGCAUAACAACCAAUCACAAAAAUAAAAUACUCAAUUGGUCAUACAAAUAUUCAAAACCCCAAAAGAUAAACUCAGUUCACCACAAUACUUGUGAUGAAUAGAAACUAACAUCACUAUCAUACUGGUCCAACAGACUGAUGUGAUAAGGGACGCAUAGCAGUGACUUGCACUAGAGGAGAGUUUGCAAGAUCACUAUUACUUCCAUUGUUCACAACAUUUACUAUCAUCUGUCAAAGCUGAAGGCACUUGGGCUGAACAUGUUUACCCAUUAAUCUUAACUUAACUAGGUCAUAUAAUUAAACAGAAAUGUUUAAAAACAUGGCCUAUUAAGCAACUCAAAAGAAAGAUGACAGCAAAGAAUGUCACUGAUUGGACCGGGUCAGACUGGUGAUAUCAUAAAUAUAUAACAACAUGAUUCUAUUCUCUAUAUACUAUAUCCAUUCUUCGACAAAUGAAAGAAAUAUCCUAUAAGGCAGUUUUAAAAGGAAAUACUUUUUAGAAGACGGUCUACUUUGAUUAGUAAAUUGAAAAUUAGUAAGAUAGUUCCAUGGGAACACAGCACAAGUACAAAUGCAGUGUACAUAGUACAGAUUACAAACAAAAGCUUAACAUGAGUAUAACAAAGAUGUGAUAAAACAAUUACCCUCAAUUCAUUAUAUGCUGCAUAAUACUGGGGAAAUCUUCCCCUUGGUCCCCCAAAAGCUUCUUGCCAUGUAUCUAUCAAAAUAGUAUCUUUUCCCUAACAUUCAAGUCUGGCUGCAUAAUGGAAUUAGAAUAACAAAGCAGAAAGAAAGUUAGUAUCCUAUUCAUGCACAAACUGGAAAGAAAAAAGGAAGCAACAAGUUAGUGAAAACAGAAAACAAAAGGUUGGGAGAGAAAUGCAGCACCUUCUUCUUUACUAUUUUGACCAUUUCAUGCAAGAUAUCACGCUCAACGAUCUGCUGAAAAACAUUCUCACCACAGUUCUUGCUCACAGUCUCCAAUGCCUGCAUCGAAUAAUAAAUUAGGAGAAGGAAAAAGACACCAUUGCUCAGAAAUGGCUUGUUUUGUGCUGAUGAUAGGCUAAUGCAAGGCAAUCAUUGAACCACAACAGGUCCAUCAUAAAUCACAAAUUUAUUGACAUUUUCACAUGUAUACAUAUUUUGGGAUGGGAAGGGUACCACAAGCUUUACAUCAUGAAUUUAAAAUUUUAAAAGAAAGAUGCAAAAACAUGACAAGAAAUAACACAAAAAAUACUGAAAGUCUCACAAAGAAAAGGAAUAGUACUAACAAAAAGAGCCAGGAGUUGUAUUUUUGGAUUUUUGCUGCCCAGGCGCUUCGUAUCUUCAAGGCCUCUUUUGCUUGCCUGAAAGUUCAAACCAGUUCAUUGGCAAAACAAAGCAUUCCGAAUAUUUAAAUUAGGAAAGAGAUUCUAUGGGAAAAAUAAUCCACAACAAUAGAAAAUAAAGAGGAUAGUCUUCUGCAGAGUUUAAGAGCUAAGAAAUGUCCAACAUAUAAAAGAAAGCCCGAUACACCAAGAUGCUCAUGGAAUCUAUUUGAAAAAUAAAUUACUCCUUCUACGAAGUUUCCAGUUCAUCCCAAAUCAAUGUAGCGAAAGCAUUCUACUACCCUGUCAAUUUUUUAAAGUGUUACUUUUCAGGAGGACAUGAUUUCCUUAUGAGAUGAGCCACAUCUCCCUUUCAGGAGGAGAUCUCCUCUUCUACCAGGAGCCAAGUAUUAAACUUCGUGUGUAUGUGCGUGCACAUGUAUAUAUGAAUACAUAAUAAGCUCUGAGCACUUUAAAGUUUCAACCAACGACUACGAUAUCAAUAUUUCAGAAAAGAUUCAACGUACUCAACAAUUUAAGAAAUGCGAACUCUAAACGGGUGGAUAUACCUAUAUAUAAUAUUCAAUCUAAAAAAUGAAAUUGAGGGAAAACAAAGUAAUCAUACCCAGGGUCAAUAUUGAUAAUAUCACAUAAUUUGCCCAGUCUGGGCCAAUCAACAUAUCACUUGUUGCCCUCUCUGCACAGGCCGCACCAUUACCAGCCAUGUCGUAAUCCCCUUCACGCAAGUCUUUUUCCUUAAAACUUCCUAAAUCAGAAGCCAAAAACAAGUUCAACUACGCGCAAUUCAACAUUUGUGAUGUAAAAGAACUUAAUAAAUGCUAGAAACGGAAGAUCAUAAGACACCUGUAUCACUAAUUAGCUCGAUGUCAGUAAUCUUGUUCAAUUCCAAAAGUUCCACAAAUUAUUUCUUACCCACCAAGACAAAACCUAUGAAAAUCCCAAUUUAAUUACGAUAAUUGAAAACAGCGGAACUAUACAAAAUUGAUCCAGAAAAUAUUAAAAACCCGAAAUCGCAAACAAAUAGGGUCUAUAAACAAAUUCAACUAUCUGCUCAUCCCCAUCACAAAUACGUAUCCCAAAUCAAAAUAACAAACAAUCAGAUCGUCAACAAUGUACGCUUAACACCAAUACAAGUCCCACAUCAAGAAACCCACAAAAAUUUGUGCCCAUAAAACACAGACAAGCAAACCCAAUUGGAUAUUAGUACUAAAAUUGAAAAUCAAAAUUCGAAUUAGCAAGAUAAUGGUCCUGUGCUUAAAGUUAAACCCAGUUGACAAAACGAUCAGAGAAUAAGGGAAAGGAAUGAGAGAUUUAUGCGACCAAACCAUUGCUGAAUGUUUACUUGCUUGAUGCUGCGUGGUUAGGCUUAGUCGACCUCACUCCAUCUUCAUUGCUUUGCUACUUGAAAUGAGGGAUUCCAAACAUAUUGGCGAAGCCGGCCAAUGUACCCUUCAAUCUGUUGGAAAUUCAAAUUAAAAGUCAUGUGAUGUCUAACUAUCUGUCCAUGUGAUGCUAGCUUUUCUUUCCAUGUUGUAUCCCGCAAAUAUAAACAUCAUUACUCCUCCAUCUGUUAACCGAAAGCUGAUUUAAAGACAGCAUAGAUGUGGGCUGCUGUGUGCUAGCCGAAAGGUUGUGUUUGCAAGCUGGAAGGAUGCAAUGCAUGUGUGUGCCAACUAUCCAAAGUUGCUGCAUGUGUUUGAAAGGGUGGAAGGAUGGUAAACACCAUCAUUCAUUACAUGUUGUUGUAUUGUUUAUCAAUUUCUGUUUUGUAUAAAUAGGCCUUCUUGCUAGGCUUUAGAACAUCAAUUCCAUUCCAAUUCCUUUCUCAUUUUCAGCUUGUAAGCUAUUGGUUUUGUAAACUCUCUUUUCAUAUAUCAAAGUCCAAGUGUUUUGCCGAAGCUUGUCCCUCCUUUCUCUAUUUCUUUGUCCAAUUUUAUUGAGAGUGCAAAGUGAGAGGUGUGAUAGAGUUUGUAAACUUAUCAUCCACAUAUUUUGGUAUUGAGUUAGUAAACUUUUCAAUACCAACAAUUGGUAUCAGAGCCAGAAUACCAUUCUGGCAAGUGCAGCAGUUAUGGCAUCCAACUUAGUGCAGCUCCAAGUUCCCACAUUGAAGAAAGAAAAUUAUGAAAGAUGGUGCAUCCAAUUCAAAGCAUUGUUUGGAUCACAAGAGCUAUGGGAAGUUGUCAGUAGUGGGUAUGUUGUACCCACUACCGAGCAAGAAGCCACAUAUACUGCAGAUCAAAGGAACACUCUCAAGGAUUUACGAAAGAAGGACCAGAAGGCGUUGUAUCUUCUCUAUCAAGGAUUAGAAGAUUCAACGUUCGAGAAGGUUGCAGAAGUAACAACGAGCAAGCAAGUAUGGGACACACUCAAUACAAUCUACAAAGGAGUAGAUCGAGUCAAGAAAGUGAGGUUACAGUCACUUCGAGUAGAUUUUGAAACUGCUCACACGAAUGAAGGGGAGAGCAUCUCCGACUAUCACUCAAGGCUCAUUGUGAUGGUAAAUCAGAUGAGGAGAAAUGGCGAGAGACUCGAUGAAGUACGAGUUGUGGAGAAGAUACUCCGGUCACUUACAUCUAAGUUUGAGCAAGUGGUGACUGCCAUUGAGGAAUCUAAGGAUUUGGAGGCGAUGAGCGCAGAUGAGCUACUAGGAUCCCUCCUAGUUCACGAGCAACGCAUUCAGAAGAAUGCAAGCCCCACAACACUAGAGCAAGCUUUGGAGUCAAAAUUGAAAAUUGACAAACCAAAUAAAGGUCGUGGGCAGUGGAACUCACGUCGUGGGAGUUCAUCCAACCGUAGCCGAGGACGAGCCCGAGGAAGAGGUCGAGGCUAUGAACAAAACCGAGGUCAAUCUCAAGAGUGGAGAUAUACCCAAGGAAAGGCGUAUAUCCAAUGUCACACUUGCAAGCAAUAUGGACAUUAUGCAAAUGAAUGUUCAUAUAAAAAUGGUGAGCAUGUCAACAUGGCAGAAUCAAAUGGAAAUGCUGGUGAGGAAUUUACAGUCUUACUAGCACACCAUGAUAUCAGUAGCCAACAAGAUGUUUGGUAUUUAGACUCUGGUGCAAGCAACCACAUGUGUGGAAAGAAAGAGUUUUUUGCAGAACUCAAAGAUGGGCCUUAUGGAUCUGUGAGUCUUGGUGACUCUUCAAGGUUACCAGUUGAAGGCAAAGGAAAGAUCAAAAUCAUCCAGAAGGAUGGUAAAGAAGAAUACAUCUUCGAUACCUACUACAUACCAGGUAUGAAGAGUAACAUUCUGAGCAUUGGUCAACUGCUCCAGAAAAGGGUAUGUUAUACAUAUGGAGGAUAUGUUUCUCACUCUCAGGAAUGCAAGGAGAAAGCUUAUUACAUGUGUUCAAAUGUAAAAAAACCGAAUGUUCCCGUUGAAGUUGAACACAAAGAUUGGGAGUUGCAACAUCGAUGUAAUGGAAGAUGAGUCAUGGAAAUGGCAUCUUCGAUUUGGCCAUCUUCAUUUCAAUGGCCUAAAGUUGUUGUCAAGUGGAGGAAUGGUUCGUGGUCUACCCCAGAUUGAAGCCACAUACAAAGUAUGUGAAGGUUGUGUGCUUGGCAAGCAAGCACGACUAUCAUUCCCUGUUGGUGAUACAUGGAGAGCAAAGGCACCACUGCAGAUGGUACACACGGAUAUAUGUGGUCCAUUGGAUCCUAUGUCUUAUGGAGGUAAUAGGUAUUUUAUUACUUUCAUUGAUGAUUUUAAUAGGAAGACUUGGGUUUAUUUUCUCAAGGAGAAAUCGGCUGCCCUAAGAAUCUUCAAGGAGUUCAAGGCACUCACAGAGGCUGAAAGCAACCACAAGCUUGUGGCUGUGAGAUCAGAUAGAGGUGGAGAGUACACCUCUAAUGCUUUCCAAGCAUACUGCAAGGAGCAAGGAAUUAGGCAUCAACUGACUGAUGCCUAUACCCCACAGCAAAAUGGGAUAGCCGAAAGAAAGAAUCGAACCAUCCUUGACAUGACAAGGUCCAUGCUUAAGGAGAAGAAUUUACCAAAAGAAUUGUGGGCAGAAGUUGUAGCUUGUUCGAUUUAUUUGUUGAAUCGAUGUCCAACAAAGAGUGUCAAAAGGAUGACACCACAAGAGGCUUGGAGUGGAUACAAGCCGAGUGUUGCACACCUAAGAGUUUUUGGUGUGUUGCAUAUGCUCAAGUUCCAGAAGCCAAGAGGAGAAAGCUCGAUGAUCGAGGUGAGAAGUGUGUGUUUGUGGGCUAUAGUGAAGAGUCCAAUGCAUACAAGCUCUACAAGCCACUAACUGGCAAACUAGUGGUUAGUAGAGAUGUCAUCUUCAGUGAGGAAGAGGCAUGGAAGUGGAACAACAAAGAAGUCAGUAAAGAGAAGAUCGUCUCCACUGAUUUUGAAGAACCAGAAGUUGUACCACCUGUUGAGCAAUAGCUUGCUUAAACAAUCACAACAACUCCAGUGCACAGAAUUGCAAGGAGUGGUCCUACAUCUAGUGAAGAAAGCAGCUCCUCAACUCCAGUGAGGCUAAGAAGUCUUACCGAGAUAUAUGGACAAGAAGAAGAAGAAGAAACCAACCUUUUCUGCUUGUAUGCAGACCACGAGCCUCUCUUAUUCAAUGAAGCUGUGGAAGAAGAUCGUUGGAGAAUAGCCAUGGAGGAAGAAAUCCAUGCCAUCGAGAAGAAUGACACUUGGGAGUUGACAAAGCUCCCACCAAAUCAGAAGGCUAUUGGUAUCAAGUGGGUGUACAAGAUCAAACGCACUGCAGAUGGGAGUGUGGAUCGAUACAAAUCAAGGCUUGUAGCAAAAGGCUACAAAAAAAAGUACGGAGUGGACUAUGAUGAAGUCUAUGCUCCAGUUGCAAGACUUGACAAGGUAAGAUUGCUAAUCUCUCUUGCCGCUCAUCAUAAAUGGAAAAUUUAUCAACUAGAUGUCAAGUCAGCCUUCCUUAAUAGAGUUCUUGAGGAAGAAGUGUACGUGGAACAACCAGAAGGCUUUCAAGUACAAGGAAAAGAAGAUAAGGUGUAUCGUUUGAAGAAGGCGUUGUAUGGCCUCAAGCAAGCACCACGAGCUUGGAACUCAAGGAUUGACAACUACCUUCACCAAAAUGGAUUUCAGAAAUGUCCAUACGAGCAUUCAGUUUACAUGAAGAAUGGUGCAAAAGGGGAGUUCUUAAUUAUUUGUCUCUAUGUAGAUGACUUGUUGUUUACAGGAAACAAUGAAGCAAUAUUUUGUGAGUUCAAGCAAUCCAUAUUCAGUGAAUUCGAGAUGACUGACAAUGGAUUAAUGUCAUACUUUCUUGGCAUAGAGGUGAAGCAAGAAAGUGACGGUAUCUACAUCUCUCAACAAAAGUACAUGAGAGAUAUAUUGGAGAAAUUCAAUAUGGAUAAGUGCAAUAUUGUCAACACUCCAGUUGCAACUGGAUUGAAGCUGUCUAAGGAAGGAGAAUGUGAGUUUGUAAACUCAACCGUGUACAAAAGCUUGGUUGGAAGCCUAAGGUACCUUACAAUCACAAGACCUGAUAUAGUUUAUGGUGUUGGACUCGUGAGUCGAUACAUGGAAACACCAAGGGAGUCUCAUUGGCUGGCUGCCAAGAGAAUUUUGAGGUACAUAAGAGGUACUCUAAACUAUGGUUUAUUUUAUAAUUUUGGUGAAGAUGCAAAAUUAUUUGGUUAUUCAGAUAGUGAUUGGGGAAGUGACAAAGAUGAAAGGAAAAGCACAACUGGCUAUGUGUUUUUUCUAGGAUCAACAACUUUCUCAUGGACUUCAAAGAAGCAAUCAAUUGUUGCUUUGUCAUCAUGUGAAGCUGAGUAUGUUGAUGUAGCCUCAACAGUGUGUGAGGCAAUUUGGUUAAGAAAUCUAUUGAAGUCAGUGUGUCAUCCACAAGUGGAAUCGACUGUGAUUCAUGUGGAUAACAUGUCUGCAAUCAAGCUUGCAAAGAAUCCUGUUCAACAUGGAAGGAGCAAACACAUUGAUACCAGGUUCCAUUUUCUAAGGGACCAUGUGAAGCAAAAGACAAUUGAGCUUGUCUAUUGUCACACGAAGGAACAAGUGGCAGACAUCUUCACUAAGCCACUACCAGUUGAAUCAUUCCGACUACUACGUGAAAUGCUAGGCAUGAAGGCGUUUUAAUUUGAGGGGGCAUGUUGGAAAUUCAAAUUAAAAGCCAUGUGAUGUCUAAUAACUGUCCAUGUGAUGCUAGCUUUUCUUUCCAUGUUGUAUCCAACAAAUAUAAACAUCAUUGCUCCUCCAUCUGUUAACCGAAAGCUGAUUUAAAGACACCAGAGAUGUGGGCUGCUGUGUGCUAGCCGAAAGGUUGUGUUUGCAAGCUAGAAGGAUGCAAUGCAUGUGUGUGCCAACUAUCCAAAGUUGCUGCAUGUGUUUGAAAGGGUGGAAAGAUGGUAAACACCAUCAUUCAUUACAUGUUGUUGUAUUGUUUAUCAAUUUCUGUUUUGUAUAAAUAGGCCUUCUUGCUAGGCUUUAGAACAUCAAUUCCAUUCCAAUUCCCUUCUCAUUUUCAGCUUGUAAGCUAUUGGUUUUGUAAACUCUCUUUUCAUAUAUCAAAGUCCAAGUGUUUUGCCGAAGCCUGUCCCUCCUUUCUCUAUUUCUUUGUCCAAUUUUAUUGAGAGUGCAAAGUGAGAGGUGUGAUAGAGUUUGUAAACUUAUCACCUACAUGUUUUGGUAUUGAGUUAGUAAACUUUUCAAUACCAACACAAUCUACCACAUCGCUAAUGGAUUGGGUCGCUAUUUUAUCCAACUCUUCCACAUCGCCCUCGUACACCAAACGAGUGCCGCAACUCUUCACCAAGCAGGGGCCUGAGCUUUUGAAAUGAAAAAUUAACUGACUGAAACUGUUUUGCCACUCUGUACCAAAGCUUAUACCACGAGACACAUAGAUCAGCCAAAUAUGAUCUGACACGGGCUGGACAUCCAAAGAUAGGAGAGGCGCAGGGUACUCUUCCUUUCCAUUGACUUCCAAAACACCAGAGAGCUCCCAUCCGCUCCCAUAAACUUCAAAUACAGCGCACAGAGCAUAUCCCAUCCACUUGUUAUCACGCCAUUGCCGAGUUAGGUCAACGCUUACUUCUGAUCCCAUACUUUGACGAGUGAACCACCUAGGAAUUUCCUUUCCAGGCAUGACAAUUUCACAUCUAUCUCCUGCAUAAGGGACUCCCUGUACAGGUGAAACAGUGAUGUUAAGCAAUGAGAGAGAGAGAGAGAGAGAGAGAGAGAGAGAGAGAGAGAGAGAGAGCGAGAGAGCACCUUAAGAUAUCUUUGGAGCAUAGUAAAUGUAAUAUGAUUGUAGCUUUCUUUCUCAAGCAUUCCAAAGCAAUUGAUGAGAUUGAAGCAUGACGAAUUCAAUCUGUCCAAAUUUGAGGGACAUUCCAGCAUUUCCAGUUUAGUACAAUCAUCUGCAGUUACUUGUAGUAAACCUACAUCUGAUGAAAGAACUGGAAGGUGUUGAAGCUUCCUGCAACGACUCAAGCAUAAAUUCUCAAGUUUAGAGAGUUGGCUAAUGCUUGUAGGAAGAUUAACAAAAUUGUUUCCACUUAAGUUCAAUGAUACCAAAGAUGAUAAGCAGCCAAUAUCAUUGGGGAUUGCUCCUUCACAAAGAUUGUGACCACUUAAGUCUAAUUCCAUUAAAGAACAAAGGCCUGAUAGAGGAGGCAAGAACAAACUGAUGGGAUGAUGACGGCUCCCUGGCAUUAAUCUUAAAAGGAGCGAGAUAAGCCAUGGUCGUUGUGAUGGCCCUUCCAUUCCAUGAAAAAUCAAUGCUUUAAGGUUUUUCAGAAGGGCAAUGGAAGAUGGACAUUCCUUUAUAGCAGUUCCACUUAAAUUAAUCUUCUCCACAAACUCUAAUUUCCCGAGGCUUUCUGGCAAUUUGGCAAGAUUUGAGCAUCCAGAAUCAUCAAGAAUUUUAAUAGCCCUCAAAUUUCCAAUGGCACUAGGAAGACAUUUCAGAUUUUUGCAAUCUCUCAAGUCCAACAAAGAAAGGCUGGUUAGAUGUUCAAGUGGUGAAGGUAUACAUUCAAUACCAGUCCCAUCUAAAGAAAGCUUCCGUAAAUGCUCCAUAGGUUCCACAAAAUUUGGAAUCUUUUUAACGCUUGAGCAGCCAGAAAGAACAAGAACUUCUAGGUGCUCCAUCUCAAUCUCAUCCGGAAGAAGCUUGAGACUUUUGCAAUAUUUAAGAGUCAAGAAAGUAAGCUUUUUGAGAGUUCCUAUGGAAGAGUGAAUCUCAUCUAAACUUUCGCAUCCUUCAAAGUCUAAUCUCUCAAGAUUCUGAAUCCCUUCAAAAUCAGGGGUUCUAGUCAAACUUUUGGAAUGACUAACUUUAAUGAUUUUCAACUUGUCAAAAUUCUGUAAUGUUUACAAGAAAUGUAGAAUAAUUAGAUCCAGAAAACUCAAAUAAGGUAAUGAAAUAUAUACUUUAACAAAUAAGGUAAAUAAUAUUGUAGAUGUAAGUGCUUACCUUUUUUCCGUUCCAGAGCUGUUCAAUUCUACUAUGACACAUGAUCAGUUCAACAAGCUCAUCCGGGUCGAAUCCUGAUGGGAGAUAUUGUAGAGGAUAACCUCUCCAUUCAAGAAAUCUCAAGGAAUUAGGGAGACGGUUGAGGCCUUCAGGAAGGCGCAUGUUGUGGACUUUGAGCAAUCUAAGAUUAACCAUCUGAGAAAAAGCUUCAGGAGGGCAUUCCACCUCUUUUGUUUCCAGCAAGUCUAGGACAAUGCCUUCAACUGUUGGUGUCCCCUGAUAACCAAGAAUAAAAAAACAAGUGAAUUGCAGUAUAAUAUGCACAUUAUAAAAGUAAAGGAAGAUGAGUAAAACAAACUGUUUUUUUUUUUUUUACGUGCCUCUUAAUCGUUAGAUUAAUUUACAUUUGACGUAUUAGGUAAGCUCUUACCGUUUUUUCCUUCAAAACAUGAAAGAUGUCCUUACAAUUGUUUGACCCUUUUUUUGUAACAAAUCAUGCAUCCGCACCCUGUUAUCUGAAAUUGUUGUCAGAGACUUCUCCAUAAGGACAUCUAUGUCAAUACCUGGAUUAAAACCACAACUAUCAAGUAUUUCAAAUACUCGAUCUUUGUCCUCCCCUUUAAAGAAACAUGCGAUGUCAAGGAAAAUCUCUCUCCCUUGCGGAUCUAAUCCCUCGUAACCUGUUAUAAGAAUCUUCAUAAUUUUUUCAUCCAAUGUGAAAUCACCCUCUAGUUUACGCAAUUGACUGCUCCGUGCAUCUAGAUCUCUUCCAUACAAAAAAGACCCCAAGACUUCAAGAGCUAAUGGAAGGCCACUGGCAUAGUCCACAAAACUGUACGACAGAGCCUUAUAACUUUCAGGUGGAUUCUCUCUAGGGAAGGCUCUCAAGUUAAAAAGUUUAAGAGCAUCAACUUUACCCAGCUCCGGCACCUUAAAUUGUUUUUCUACACCAUGUGAAAUUAGCAAGCGUUCAUCUCUAGUCGUAAUAAUGAUUCUACUCCCCUGACCAAACCAAGCUGGUUUUUCACAUAGCUCUCUUAACUGGAUACUAUCGUCCACGUCAUCAAGAAUGAUGAGAACCUUUUCUGAAGUAAGAAACUUCUCCAUCUGGCAGCUUCACCGGCAGCCCAGUCUUGUAUAUUUCUUUUCAUAAGGCUAUUGGAAAGCUUCCUCUGUACACAGGCCAUACCGUGUGCCUUAGAAUCCUCUCUAACUCCGUCAUGAAAGCUUUCGGCUUGAAAUUUAUGACGAAUCCUCUCAUAACAUGCUUUGGCAAGGGUUGUCUUACCUAUCCCACCCAUCCCCCAUAUUCCUAUAAAGAGAACAUCAUUUGACUCUAGUUCUAAAAGCACAUCAAGUUCCUUCAGUUUCGAUUCAAUGUCAACUAGCUUUUCUGCAGGUUCCAAUGAUAAAGGUCCUACUUUAUUCCGUACAUUUUCAAUAAUUUGUUCGAUGACAUCUGGUUCUCUACAAGAAAAAUAGACAAUGUCAAGAUAUGACCUAAUACACAAGGAAAUAAAAGAGCCACAGACUAUUUUUGUUUUCGUCCACCUGAAGUCAUAGUACCAAGUGGUCUCUGCGUCCAUCUAUAAGAGGGUGGUUUGGUAUUGGACAAAAUUAGAGACGGUUUAGGAAAAGGGGAGGACAAAAAAGCGUAGCAGUAUUGGAUUUCAAACAUAUGACUUCUUAACUGGAUCAAUUUUUUCCCCUUAGACUCUCAAAUGGACCAAAUAAUGGUAAAAAGAAAGGCUCUCUAGGAUGGAACUGUAGGCAUAAACACAGUCUACAAAGCCUCAAUGUUUAGUCAUUAAGUUGUAUUGGGAUUAAGCGGUUAUGAAGCACCUUCAUUACUGUGCAAAAAGUAAAUGAUAUGAAUUCUUCGAUUUUCCUAUAAGUUAUUGUAUCAGGCUUUAGAAGAAUUGAAUUAUAAAAAAAAUAGCAAGAAUGAAGGGUCAAGUGCUGAUUGCUAAAGCUUUUGAAUUGAGUGAAAGAGAAAAACAAGUAAUGCCAACCUAUUCUUUGAAGUAGACCCUUUGAUUUUUGCCACUUUUUGUAAGGCAUCUUUCCAUUGUUCCAAAAUCACUUCGGCAUUCUCACUCUUUGUCAUUCUUACACUUUUGUUCGAGUUCAGUGAAGCCUUUCCCAAAACUCCCAGACCUAUCUCCAACAUCGCAGGGUUCCACCUGGUAGAAAACUGGUAUAAUUGCCCCUCUCUCUUCCAUGCAUUCAAGAAUCUUUACGAGUUCGUUCAGGCACCAUUUUGAAGAAGCGUAGUUUGGAGAGAUGACCAUGAUGGCAAGCCUCGACUUUUCAAUUGCCGGGAAGAUUUCAGAAACUUUUCUUCCUAUUUCAAGAUCAUUGUCAUCAAAGAAAGUUCUUGUAAUUCCUUGUUCUUCCAAUUCCUUAAGUAGAUGGGCGGUAAAACCUAAGCGCGUGUCGUCGCCCCUAAAACUCAAAAAGACAUCAUACUGCCAUUCAAGAGCUGAAGGAAGAGAUGAAGCGGCUCGUUGGGUGCUCGAUGCCAUUGAAUACAAGCUAACUGGAAUGGUGGUAUUAGUUUUCCAAGCAAAAACAUGACCAGAAAAAUAAUUCAGCAUUCAAAAUAUUGUAUUAGCCAAUAACAUGAACAGAAAUAACCAUGAAUCAGAAAGAUGAGCAAUAACCUGUGUGUAUGUAAGAAAAUGAAGUCACAGAUCAAGUCAGAUCAAGUCAGAGGGGGCAUGAGAGGGGCUACAAGUCUGUCUGUAUGUCGUCAAGUCCAAUCAAUGCUUAGGUACACCAAGUUGCCUAGUGGCCGUCGUCGUCUAACGAAACUUCACCGCGGAGGCUUGAUGGACGUGAUUCAACUGCUGCUUCUAUCCGACGGUCAAACCGCGUAAGCUCUAUUUUCCCACUUUUUAUUUUAUUCGUUUGGUGAUUCAACUGCUCCAUUAUUUUAUUUUUGUGUAGCUCCAUUAUUAUUUUUUAUACUAAUGCAGAGCACACCACAGUUGAAUGUUUCUAACAAACACAAAAUUUAAUUGCAUGCACUUCUUUUCUUCCAGAAACACAAAAUUUAAUUUUCUUUAAGUUGACCCAGUGCGUUUACUUAGACAAUCACCUGUGCACUAGUUGGGAAAAUUCAUCCUCGGACUCAUCGUCCUCAUGGUUCACAUUCACAAGUGGCACAUAAAAAUCAGGUGUUGAAAUUAGAGAUAAAAUGUAGAAGAUACUGUCGGCAAAAGCAAAUAAUUUUUGUUUUGUUUUUUUUUAUUUUUUUGUUUUUGUUUUGUUUUUAAUAUAACCUAAGAAAUAAACUGCAGCUAGAAAUUGAAAGUAAUGAAAUAAAAAUGAAAGAAAGUAAAGAAAAAGUUACUUUAAGUCUGUAGCUAGACGUCGCAGAAGCCCGGUGGCUAGAUCACUGGUUCCUUCAGAGUCAAAGACUCGCUUGUACCAAACUUCUUUGGGAAUGACUUUAGUAGAGACUUCUUGACCUUGAGCACACAACCCCUGCCCUCUAGUUCAAUGUCCACAUUACUGUUUUGAAAAACUUGCUUAACCAUAUAAGGUCCCUUCCACCGAGACUCUUGUCUCCCUGGAAUUAACUUGAAACUGGAAUUUAACAACCACAUCUUUCUACCAGGCUGUAUUUUUGCAACUUUUUAUUCUUUCCCUUGAUAUUUGGAUGUUUUUGGUCAAUCUGGUGGCCUAGAUAGUUGUCAAACAAAGUUGGUUCUGCUUUUGAUUUUUACACUUCAACCGCCCGAACUUUUUGCUGUUGCACUUUACUAUCACACUCACGAAUCACAUCUUGAGUCUUUAUGAGCAGAUGGUUAGUUAAUGAUCUGGUCAUAAAUUUGGCCUUAGGUAAACCAUCUAAUGCAUCAACACGCAUGCAUUCUUUCUUGUCACUUGGAUGUGUGAUGACUUCAAACAAAUUGAAAACAACUGUUUGAUCUUCAACCCGUAGUGUUAAUGUUCCUGCUUCAACAUCAAUAAGAGUUCGGGCUGUUGCCAUGAAGGGUCGUCUCAAAAUGAUGGGUGUUGUCAAAUCUUCAUCCAUGUCCAACACCAUAAAAUCAGCUGAUAAAUAUAAAUUGUCAACCUUAACAAUAACAUCUUCGAUGAUUCCUCUAGGAUAGGUAAUUGAACGGUCAGCCAAUUGAAUAAUGUUGGAGGUUGGCUUCAGCUUGCUUUCACCUAAACGUUUAAAAACAGAAUAAGGCAUUAAGUUUACACUAGCACCUAAAUCAAUUAACGCACUUUAAAAAUCAAAAUUGCCAAUAGUACAGGGAAUAGUAAAACUCCCUGGAUCUUUCUUCUUUGGAGGCAAUUUGUGUAGUAGAACUGCACUGCAUUGUUCUGUGAGCACAAUUUUCUCUGUUUCCACGAGCUUUUUCUUCUUAGUGCAAACAUCUUUCAAAUAUUUAGCAUAAGAAGGAAUCUUGUUAAUCGCUUCCCACAAUGGUAAAUUAUUUGAACUUUAGCCAAUGUCUGUAUGAAGUCUUUUAACUGCUGAUCCUUAGCCUUUGGUAUUAACCGUUCUGGAUAUGGUACUGGAGGAUUAUAAACACGCUCAGAAACCUGUUUUGGGACAGUUUCUGCACUGGUCAGAUUCUGUUUUGAUGCAGAAUUGGCAGGUUCUACCCUUGUUUUUGCAGAUUCUGUAGAAAUUUUCACUGCUGGCAGAUUCUGUUCAGUGCCAUUUUCACGGUUGUCAUAACUUUUACCACACCUUAAAGUCCGUAUUGCACAACAAUCCUCUGUACCUCUUGGAUUAUACAUCAUUUGACUAGGAAACCUUCCUUUUUCUCUGUCUGAAAUCUGUGCAGCUAGCUGCCCAAAUUGUAACUCUAAACUUUUAAUUGAUGCCUCAAUAUUCUGAAAUCUUUGAUUGCUGCCUUCCAUGAAUGUUUGUGUUGUUGCUGCCAGUUUAGUCAUUUGAUCCUCCAAUGAUGGUUUGGAUGGUACAAAAGGUUUUUGUGCUUGUUGGAAUGGUCUUGCAUUAUUUUGAUUGUCACCCCAUUUGAAAUUAUGAUGAUCAUUCCAUCCUGGAUUGUAAUGAGUUGCAUAUGCAUCAUUCCUAGGCCUUUGAUAACUGUUCAUCAUAUUAACAUGUUGCUCGACAAGCUCUGGGUAAGAUUCUUUAUGUGGACAGCCCAAUAUGUCGUGUGUAGCCAUGCUGCAGAUAGUGUAGAUUGUUGAUGUAGGUUGCUGCUGCUGUGUAGAAUUUGCUAUCUGUUGUAAAAUAAUGUCAAACUUUGCAUCAAUUUUUUUCUCCAUUUUUUCCAUUUGUGCAGACAUAUUAGAGGAACCUGCUGAUAACUCAAAAAUGCCCCUUUUUUGUGAAUGUUCUGCUGCCCACUCUUGAGAUUCUGUAGCCAUUGUAUCAAAUAAUUCAAAUGCUUCUCUUGCAGAUUUAUUUGACAAUGAACCCCCAUCUGAUGCAUUAACAUGACUUUUAGAUGUAGGAUUAAGCCCAUCAAAGAAAAUAUUCAUUUGUUUAUCUGAAUCAAUAUUAGCAUGUGGACACUUUAUAUACAUUUCUGUAUAUCUCUCCCACGCUUCAUGAAAUUCUUCGUUUGGCUUUUGAGUGAAUGUCAUAAUCUCCCGCUUGUAAUUUAAUGUCUUGGAUGCCGGAUAAUAUUUGUUCAGGAAUUUUGUAUGCAAUUGUUGCCAAGUAGUAAUGCUAUUAGCUGGUAAAGUGAACAACCAAGUUUCUGCCUUAUCCUUCAAAGUAAAAGGAAAAAGACGUAACUUAAUAGCCUCGACAGAAAAACCCCUGAUCAAAAUAUUUUUGCAACCCACGAUGAAUUUUGCAACAUGUAAAUUCGCAUACUCGUUAGGCAGCCCACAAAAAGUAGGUAAAAUUUCAAGCAUAUGGUGCUUGAUCUCAAAUGAAUCACCAUCUUCAUGGGCAGGAUACACAAUACAAUUAGGAACAUCAUUGACUCAGGCAGCCAAUGACUCUCUGAGUGGCCUGCCUGCAGCAGGCAAUUGCAACGCCAUUGUGAUUUUACUGCCUACAAAACCAGCAAACAAUUCCUGCAGGAAUGUGCCUUGCACUGCACAGUCCCAAACCAAAUUAUUUUCUCUCCCCUGUCUAUGCAGUGUGCGUUCGGGUUCUGGACCAAACUGUGCAAUCUGGGCAGUUCCUGAUCUAGUUUGGACCAUGCAAUUUACAGAAUCUACAAUCACACAAAAGCGUUAAAAUAAUUUGAAUUUUUUGUUGUCUUUUUUUGACGAAAAAUAAUAUAAAAAAAAAUAAUCAGAAAAAGUUUAAACAAAAAUUAUCUAAAAUAGUCCCCGGCAACGGCGCAAAUUUCUUGAUAGGAUUUUUAACGUCUAUGCAAAUAGGGUCAAAAUCACAUGAAAUACUUGCAAGAAUACAAGGAUGUUGUAGUAUAGAUGCUCAUGCACGGUCGUUUUCCUCAAUGAUUAUUUGGAUAAUUUAUGUAGAAACAAUUCCUAAUUAAAUAUUUAGAGUUAAAACUUGAGAAAAGAGAGUUUGAGAGUGGGUAAUAUUAAAAGCGAAUUUUAAGCAAAAACUAAUAUAAUCAAAGAAAAGAGUUUUAAAUACCAAUUUAUAAAGGCACCAGGGUUCCACCAUCACCUAGCAAUUUUAUGUAUUUUUACCAAUUACUUAUAAUUUAGACAUGCCACUUCGAAGGUUAGGUUUUCCUAAUACAUAUUCUCCUCGUGAUAGUCAAGCAAGAACAUAUAUCUAACAUGCAAUCCGUAUGUGAUAUUCAGAUCAAAUAUGAAUAUGCAAGACUCAUUAAGUUUUAUGAAAACCUUUUGAAGAACCAUGCAACCCCUAAGAACGUGAUAUUCGCCUUAGAUGAAAUUACAAUUAUCAAUCACAAGAAGCAAUACUCAAUCCUCCGGUGAUAUUCCGACCGAAUUGCAUCCAAUUACUUGUCUAAACAUCCUAAUAGUGGCCAGUCAUCAAGAUAAUUAGAUAGUUUAAAACAGUGAUCAAUAAUUCAAAGUGUGCAUGCAAUCAAUCAUAAGCAAUUAAAUAAAAAUUACAUAUUCAUGCUAAGGCUCAAGGUUUCGCCCUAGCAAAAGGAAUUAGUUAUGCAUAUUCAUAAUUGAAAUCAUAGAGCUUAUUAUUAAAAAUAAAAGGAAUGAAAGCACCUUAAAGUAGAAAAUCUCCAAGAACCCUAGCCAAGUUCUUUGUCUCUAAAGUUGAAUAAUAAUAAGCGUAGAAAAAAACUAUAGACGGCCAAAGCAAUAUAUUUGCUCAGCCCUUACAAACCCUAAGACAUAGGUUUCUUAUUCCAACUAGGAAACUAAAAAUAAAAUAAAAUAUCUUAGAAAAUAAAACCCUAAUUAAACUAGGAAUCUGCCAAGUACUUGUCCAGCCACGUUUUAGCCUCAGAUCUCCUCCAAAUCCAGCCCAAGAUAGCUUGUUUUAAAUAAGAACGUUCCGAACAGAUCUCCAGAAGGCCACGAAACCAUUCGAGGUCAUCUUGGGCUCCAAAAACGCAAUUUAAGCCCAGAAACGUCAUUUUUCAGCACCGCGCAUCGCUCCUUUAUUUUAUCGCCAAAAAAUAACCGCUUGAUGGAAAAAUCCCAAUUUUUGAUACGAUCAAGCUAAGUGACUCACGAACGUCUUCCAACUGGAAUUACUCCAAAAUUCGUCCAUUUGACCACGUUUUGCUUCAGAGGAAGUCGAAAGUCCUAUAUUGAAAAUACAAUUCAAAGUAUCAAAAUUCUUCUAAAAUAUGAACCAAAAUAUACCAAGAAUAGGGUUAAAUAUAUAAUAUAAAAUUCACUUAUCAAAGCUCCUCAUCUCUGAGAGGAGAGCAACCACAACUGUCACUAUUGCAUCAAAUCUAUGAGUAGAACUCAAAUCCAUAUCAAAUCACUUAUGCAGUCUCAUUCACAAGAAGCCUGACACGCUUUUGGUAUGAACGGCACUGAUCAACAAUCACUUCUUCCUUCAAACCCUGCCAUAGUAUUUCAUUUUGACCAUUUAUGACCGUUAAAUUUGCACAUAUUAAGAGCCCGGAUGGUAAUAUUAUGAUUUUGGUUCAUUUAUUAUAUUUUAGUAAAAGCCAAAGAGGAAUUGUAUGGGAGAAAAGAGGGAGAACAAAAGGGCUCAGAUGGGUGGGCAUGAAAAUGAAUAUGGAACGGUAUUUAAACCAAAAAGCAAAAUCAGUCUCAACUGUUCUAUAUUUCUCCUUAAAGUUUUUACUUCGCCCAUUUCCCUUCAAUCGUCCAUACCUCCUCCCUUCUACAAACACAAGAAAAGUGCAGCCCUUAAAGGUACUAAGUUUCGAGUAAUUAACCACCUAAUUCCGACCCUGCUAAAAGUCCCAACUUAAACUUUUUUUACAAUCACAGUAAUUGACACCCAAUUACUAGCCUCCUCCACCUCUGGAUAACUAGCCUUAUAAAUAAAGUUUUGUUAUCAAUAUUUCUCAUCAAAUAAUUUACAUACAGUGCAUAGUAAAGAAAAGUAUGGACCAUAAAUAUUCUCCACAAUUGACCAUAUACAAGUUUCAGAACUUUCAACUGUGGUAAGAGUCCCAUAUGAAACUUUCACCGCUAGAGAACUCCACACACACAAAAAAAAAACAUAGAAUCAUUGGCCUCUCAACAAAAAUAUUUCUAGAAAAACAUAAAUGAGAAAUUAUCCUUUAAUAAUACCUUUUCGGAAAGAAAUUAAUCAGAAAUCUAAAAUAAGGUAGAAAAUAAUAUUACCUCAGGAUUCUUAGGAUCCAAGGCAUUAAGCAUUUCCAUCAACACAUCUGCAAUUCCACGAGCAUUCUGAAUCUCUAGCAAGCUGAUUAAAGACAGUUCCAAUCAGGAUGGAUCUAUCAUAGUUUCAAUUAAAAGGAUGAUUUUUGCAGCAGAAGAACAACAUUGACACCAUUCAAAUACAAACAUAUAAGACAAUAACAUAUGUUUCAACUCUUCUUCCAGCCUUGAAAUAGAUUUGGAUGACUAAGAACUCCUACUCUCAAGCCUUUGGUGACACGCCCCGAUCCCGAUAUUCCCAAAAUACCAGGAUAAGCACAUGCUGGUUGACACCUGACGAAAGCCAUUUAUUGAAUGCAAAUGUUGAGAAUAAGGAAUAAAUAAGACUUAGAAAUAUAAAAGAAUAAUGAAUAUGCAUUUAAGGAACGCGUUCAGAGAAUACAACUAACUAGAACACUAAAAGAAAUAAUAUAAAAUUCAAAGAAUAAAAGAAUGGGUCCUACACCGAGAGGACUCGAAGAUGCCGAUGCGGAAGUGCCUUGACGUCAGGAUUGUAUGUCUCGAUUCUAAGUCCUGAAGGGGGCGCAAAACAAACAUGAGUGGACCAAGUUGCUAUAUAUAUAUAUAUAAUAAAACAGUUAUCAACAUACUAACCCCCAGGUUUUAUGAAAACACAUAUAUAUCAUGAUAAACAUAUGUUUUCCGAAACCUAGCAUGUCGUGCAAUGUCUCAAAUCAUAACUUGUAUAUAUAAUAAUCACUAGUGAAUUGUCCGAUAACCCCCAGGCCCCAUGCCGACUCCCCGUCUCUGAGCAGACAGUCAAAGGAAAAUACACUUCAAGUCCCAUGCUGGCUCCCCGUCCCUGUGCUAAAUAGGCAGAGGAAACACACUCCAGGCCCUAUGCCAACACCAAACCGUCACCAGGGACGGACCAGAAUCUAUCCCUACGUCCCGUAGCGGAAAUGACCACUAGGUAAGUACAAAAUCAUUGAACAUAUAUAUAUUGAAAAACAACUUCAUAGUAUAAAGUCAUCCAUCAUCUAUACUAUAAAGAGGUGUUCGAAACAUGUUCUAAAUAUUAUAUCGUCAUCCAUCGGAUAUUUAUAAGAACACGGGUUAUAGGAAAAAUAGGAAUAAUUCAACUAGCCUCAAUAAGCAUAUUAUCUCAUAAAACGUUUCAUAAAACGUAGUCAUCAAAUCAUGUUUUUCAUGUAUGCAUUUCUACUAUCAAAACAUGCAUUUUUAGAAGGGGUCCACUCACAGAUACUUAGCCGCCAAAGAGCCACGCAAACUAGCAAACACGGAAACGCCACAAUAAUUGCUCCUAAGCACGUAAAUGGUCCAAUUAAUAAAACUAUACUCAAACGAUUUAAUUUGGGAAAACAGACGUCGAAAACGGAUUCAGAACAUCAAAUUAUCUUAAGAAGGGUCCCGGAUAAAUUUCGUAAACGUCAAUAGAAUAUUCCAAAGAAUAUUCCUUGACGGAAUAUUUUCUGAUGGAAUAUUCCACAAAAAGGUUUGAGCCGGUUAGGGUUUAGGGUUGGAAGGGUUAAAGGGUUUAGGCUUAGACUUUUAGGUGGGUUGGGUUUAGGUUUUUAAACUGAAAGGGUUGCUUUAACAUAUAAGGGCCAAUGGCCUUUAAAACCAAAACAAAUAAAAUAGAAAAUAAAAAGGGCUGGAGGGUUCUAGGCCCAAAGGCCUAAACUAAAAAAGGGUUUGGGGUUUAAAGUGUAUGGGCCCUAAGCCCUCACAGCAAUGGCCCAAAGGCCUUUAAUUAAACAAAAUAAAAUUAAAACAAAAUAAAAAGAGAAAUGGGUUUGGGUUGGGCUCGGCAGGAAAGGCCCGAAGGGCCUAUGUUUGAUGGGUCGCUAGACCCAAGGAAGAAGAAGGCUGGAAUUCGGCCGAAAGGUUCUCUAACUUUAAACGUUCAUAACUUUGUCAAUACUCAACGAAAUCAAGUGAUUCAAAAACAGAAAUCGUAGCCCUCGAAGAGACGAAGAGAAUGGUACCUUGCACGACGUCUAACUCAUCAUGGUUUGGCCGAAAAUUUCCUCGAAAGGGAUGAGUCCCUAGUCGGAAAAUCUAGGGAAAGCUCCCCAAGUUGUUUUCACGUCUAAACCUUCACCAAAUACCAUAUUUUAACAACCUCUAAGCCUUCUAGACUACUAUGAAGGAAGAUCGAAGGGUGUUUUUGACUUACCUUGUCAGAAAUCACGUGCACCGUGACUGUGCACAGUGCCUAGACGAGAGAGAGAUCGCAGGGUGGUGAGGAAGAGAACGAUGAAGGUCAGAUGAUGAAGAUGAUGGUGAAGUUCUCCUGUUGGCUGUGUGUAUGUAUGUAUGGGUGUGUGUGUGAUGAUACUCGGGGAAGGAAGGAGAGAGUGCAGAGAGAGUUGAGAGAAGAAAGAGGGAAAAAGAGAGAAAGAAGAGGAUCACGGGGAGGGAACACAAAUAAAGGGGUUGGGCUCACCAAUUAAGAACUAAAAUUCAUUUUUAAAUAAAAUGGGGGUGGGGUGUAACAUUUGGUACUACUAAAGAACCGUAUAUUUAUUCGUAGAUGAUCAAUUGAAACACCCCACGGAUCAAUUAAUUCAAAUCAUAAUUAAAUACUAAUAGUGGCUUUAAAGAAUGUGUUACAUAUACAGAUGAAAAAGAAGAUUCAACAUCGUUACCAUUCAAAUACAAACAUACAAGACAAUAACAUGUUUUAACUCUUUUUGCAGCCUUGUAAUAGAUUUGGAUGACUAAGAACUCCUACGCUCAAGCCUUUGGUACUACCAAAGAACUGUAGUUUUCUUCCUAGAUGAUCAAUUGAAACACCCCAGAGAUCAAUUAAUUCAAAUCGUAAUUAAAUUCUAAUAGUGGCUUUAAAGAGUAUAGGCGUGUUAUAUAUAUAGAUGAAAAAACAGAAUCAACCUAUCAUAUAUACAGGAUGGCAACUUGUUUGGUGAUAGAUUCAGAACAACAGAGAGAAUUUUUUUUUAAAGAUAAGAUACCUUAAUGGUGUUUGAGUAAUAACACAUACAGACAUUAAAGGUGAAACCUUUUCCAAGCAGAUGCAGACAUACAAAAAGAUAUUAAGCUUAAAGACCUUAAUAUCCAGCUUUGGGUAUUGGCAAGUAUCUGCUAACCUUCCCUUAUACGUAAAAAAUUCUGAUAACCACAAUCAAGGCAACAACAACAAAAACAAAAGCAAAAAUUCCAUGCCUUAAGUAGAAAAAGUUCACUUAUGUUGUAAAACCCAUUCAUAAAGAUUUAGUCAACCAUUAACAAUCAUUCACUGUUGUAUCAACAAAAAAAAAUAGAAGGAAACAAGUUCUUAUGAUUGAAAGAGAUGAUUGUGAAAGGGUUAGGAUAUACCUGCUGCUAUGAAUUAUAGAUUCCAGUGGAUGAGGCUCUCUGUUUUUGAAAAACGUGCGUAUGGUUGAACGGCAACGAUACAUGACAUAGCAAAAAAUUAGAGGGAAAAGGAGUUUGUAUUCAAACACAGUAAAGAGAUUUGUAUUAGAAAUUAGUUUGUAUAAAAGUUAACAAAACAUAACAAAAUUUAAAAAUGGAUAGACAAAUACCUCAGUGUUUGAAUGAAUGGUUGCUGUGUGAAUGAAUGGUUUGAUCUGUAUGCUUGUGUUGGAUCUACAUGCAUAUGAAAAAUUAAAUUAAAAAGUGCAUCACAGAGAAAUGGAAAAACAACCUAGCAACAUAGAGAUAUUCGAAUGAUGUGAAGUGGAAAAGGAACCUGAAGGUGAUUUGGUGAGAAGCAAAUAGUAGGAAAGCAUGAAGAAACACACAAAUGAGCACAGUGCAACCCCUUUAUUUAUAAAGACAGAAAUCUCACACUAACAAUGAACUAAACGGCCUAAACCCACUAAUUAAAAAAUAAUAAACUUAAAAAGGAGUCUAAAUUUUGUUUACUCAUAAACAAAGGAAAAAAAAUUCUGAAAAACACAAAUAUCAAGACAGUGUAGUCCCCUAAUUUACAAAGACUAAGAGCAAACUCUAAUAGUUAACUAAACAAUUUAAAAAUAUCUAUGACAACUUUAAUGAAGGGAAAAUUAGCCAUGACAAUUUAACAGUGUAGCCCCCUAAUUUACAAAGACUAAGAGCAAACUGUAAUACUUAACUAAACAAUUUUAAAAUAUGUAUAGCAGUUUUAAUGAAGGAAAAAUGAGCUAUGACAAUUUAAUGAAGGGAAUGGCAAAUCAAACAAUGAACAGCAAAUUGAAAACAAUAAAUUGUAUAAAUUUACAUAUGUUUUACUCAAUUUUUUUUUUCCAUUAAGCUUUCAUGUUGCUGUAAAUUUAGGCGUUUUCUCUCUGUGUUGGUGUAUCUGCCUAAACUUGUAAAAUGUUGGUUCAUCUUAUGCAAUUUUUGAUAUACUUAACAACCUACUGCCUAUGUGCAAUGGAGCACCACAAAUUUAUCUACAUUAUGGUUGUUAGGACAAUGGAUUAGGUUGUAGGAUAAAUUCGGACAUACAGCUAACCCUAGAGGUGAUCUAAACAAUCUACAAAAGACUAAGAGCAAACCCUAAUAGUUAAGUAAACAAUAUAAAAUAUAUAUGAUAGCAUUAAUGAUAGAAAAAAUAUCUAUGACAAUUUUAAUAAAUGGAAUGGCUAAUCAAACAGUAAACAACAAUUAAAAACAAUAAACUGAAAAAGAGUUAACCCUAAGGUGAGCUAAACAAUCUACAAAGAUAUAUGACAAAUUUAAUGAAGGAACAAAAUAUCUCUAACAAUUCUAAAACAAAAAAAAGGAUCAAUCACACAAAAAUUAAUCAAGAAACAAACAAAUUAAAUCAGUGGAAGACCCUAAUUGAAAAAAAUAGAGACAUAAUCCUAGCACCCAAUUGAACAAUUUAUAAACAUCCAUGACAAUUUGAAUGAAAGAACAAAAUAUAAAUGAAAAUUUUAACAAAGCAAAUGGCAAUUGGAUACUAAACAAUGAAAAAAAAAACAGUGCAUUACCUUUUGAAUCAAGGGAGAAAGUUGAAAACCCAGACCCUGCCAUUCGUCCCUCAGCCAUCCCCUCUUCACCGACUCUGUGCGUAACCCGUUAACCCUAAAGAAUACACACACCCAUGCUUUCCGCUCUGUAUCUAUCUCCCUGUCCAUCUCUCUCUCUAAAAUGGGAGAAAAUCCCAUAGAUCCUAGCAGAGGACCUAGCUAAAUCUAUCUCUCACUCAGUCCAAACCCAUAGCUCCCAUCUCUCUCCAAUCUGUCAGGCCUUGUGUCUCCCUCCUCUCUAGUCGCUCCGUCCCCCUUUCUCCGCUCGCCACAGCCACAACCACACCCAGCUGUCUCCGAGUAAAAAAUAGGAACGAUCGUCUCUCUCCAAUUUGUCAGCCGUGAUGUCCCCCUCCCCUUUCUCUCCCCGAGUCAAAGCUGAAAUGCAGCCAACGGCUGAUAAUCGGUUUUUAAGCCUGAGUGGCAUUUUUGUAAUAAAGCGAAAGUUGGUUAAAAGCACCCUGAGUGGCAAUCUUGUAAAUAAACUGAAAUGUCUUCCAAAACACUGCUCAAUUGUACAAUGCAAUUUCCCCUCCUUCAUUAGACUAAAGUAAUAAUAAUUCAGACAAUUUAUACCAAAAAUAAAAAAACAUCCCAAAGCAUAAAAAAAGAUAGCAUCUGUUACAAUAUCAUUAUGUUUGAAUUGUGUAUAUAGGUAAUUAUGGGGGAUUCGGGAAAGAUGGAAUAACUAUACAAAGAAGAGAAAUGAUUUGAAGUCUAUUGUUCGCUUUUCUUAUUAGCACAAAAUUCAAUCAAGCAAGGAUGAAUUCUUUCAUAAAUUACAGUUACGGAUCAUGACAUUCAACAAGCAGCAGCUGAAAUAGUUGUACAAACAUAAAAAAUCGAUGCUGACUGACAUCUUUAAUUAAAGAUUAAGGCCCUAGGACUGACAGGAUUUAUAAUAGUAAGGGUGUAAGAGACAUCCUCAUGUCAAUGGGAGAAUUGAUGAAUACUUGACAAGGUUAAGGCCUUUCAAAUAUGUAGUCAAAUUUUUCUGCAGUCUUAAAGCAUGCACAACACAUUCAAAUUUGAUGAAGUAUAUAUGAAACAACCAACAUGUCUUCGUUGAUUCUCAAUUUCCAACACAUGUUUGCAAAUUGAAACAUUCUCUCUAUGGUCUUAAACAAGCCUCAAGGGCGUGGUUUCAAUGUUUUUUCCAACCACCUAGAACAUCUCGAUUUUGUGUCUUCUUAAGCAGAUUCGUCUCUAUUUGUUUACUGUCAUGGUUUAGUUCGCAUUUAUUUACUAAUCUAUGUUGAUGACAUCCUUAUCACAGAAAAACAUGAACAUAAAUAACCAUGAAUCAGAAAGAUGAUCAAUAACCUGGGAGUAUAUAGAAAACGAAGUCACAGUGUUCGGGCGAAGAUUUCUCCGGAUAGGGCUCCUCGGCUCUCAGCACAGCUCUCCAAGGGAUUGGCCUUUUGGAUGUGUAGUUAAGCUCUUGCUUGUUGAUGUGUUGCAAGAAGAGGAUAGAGUUAGUUUUGAAAGGUGCCUUUGUAGGGCCUUAAGUGUAGGCCUUGAGACUCGCAAUCAAAACUAACUGAAUGCUAGGCGUGCCACUGCUAUCUCAGUAUAGCAGAUGUAGAACAAAUGUGUUUUAGUCGAUUACUUACCCCCCAAGUUACUCAGACUUCUUGUUAUCAAAAGAUUGUCGUGGAUGGGUUAAGUCCACAUUAAGUUCUUUUUCUUGCCUUAUGACCAAGGACUUUCAGUUCAUAGUCUUGUAUGUUCAAGUGAGGGAAGUCCAAAUCUCCUUAAGUCAUCUACUCGGUUCUUGAUUGGUUUUUAAUGAAGGCAUAUUCAUUUAGGUAACCAGAUGCGAGCACAAACGAGACUCUUAAAAUAGGAAAACAGAUGGAUAUGACUUGAAUACAUGAUGGAGAAUACAUUAAGUAGUAGAUUUAUUAACUUAUAAAACAAACAAAGAGCUUUGAGCAAGAUUUCACCUUGUCGGGCAAGGUUGAACUUCUUGCAAUCACUUCUCUUUUGAGUUUACAAGGUUUAUUUGCUAAGAAGGGAUGAAUGGUAAACAAGUUUACACAAGAGAAUCGAUACUACGCCACUAGGGGUGAUAACAGAGCUUCUAAACUAGACAAAAGAUGGCUUUUGUGGGGAAUGAUCAUGAAAAGAUGGCUAACUACAGCUUUUAGAUGCAAAUCCGGCUUGAGAUAAGAGUUUGUAUGAUUGGUUGAGUGUCAUUGUCUUUGGGGCCUCUUCUUCCUUUUAUACACAGAUUAGCCCGACUAUUGUAGCUUUGCUCUUGCCCAAAAGUAAUUGAAGGGUAGUGAGUCAUCAACUUUUUACUUGUAUUGCCAUUAAAAAGUGCUUUUUGGCUAAUUAUGGGUUAGUCCCCAUCACUUGACACUUAAAUCAUAGGCACAUGACCAAUGCAUUAAUGAGAAGGCGCCAAUUUAUCUCUGGGCUUGAUGCUGGGCUUUGGGCAAGUCUUCCUUUAAUUGGUGUUUUUGCUUCUACACACUUGCAGCCUAAAGUUCAAAUAUUAACCCAAACAAAACUUCUAACCCACGAUCAUAGUGGUCACUCCUCACACCCCAAGCCAGAUCCCUCGAUUGGAUGCAGCUAAUGAAUCUCUCUCUACAAAAGGGACUAGCAUCUUCCCUAAAAGCGUCAUGGAAGACCGAAGUUGUAGAGGGCAGAGAUGUCUCCGAGUUGCUUGGAGAUUUUGAGGACGAAGCCGAGCUUGUAGUUGAGUGUUGGCCUACAUGUCGGACUCCGGCAAUGGUGGUAGAAACUUCAGAGUCUGAGCCCGAAGCGUGGCUGGCUCCAACAAAGAAAAAGAUGCGGGCACAAACUUCCACAGCUUCAAAGUCUUCUACACCAGUGGCUGAGGUGGGUAGGGAGAAACGGAAAGCUUUUAGUAAGUAAUCAUUGCUUCAUUUUAUUCACAACUUCAUGAUGAGAGUUGACAACUCUCUUUUCUUUGAUUCCAAGGCCCCAAGUGACUAAAAAGCCUACCAUCGCUUCAAGGGAUGACCCAUUGCGGGCUGAGAUGUCUCAAAAAGCAAAAAAUCUGCAAGAUUUCACCCUGGAGGAACUUGAGGUACAUCUUGCAUAUUAAAUUUUAUUCCAUUGGGUUCUUCCCUUUUCCUUCUUACUCUCCUCCAUACUAUCUGCCUAUUUUCUGAUUUAGGCCAUAAGGGAAGGAAAGAUCUCUCCGCCCGAGGCCUCCUCACCUCCAGCCCGAAUGGUACAAACUUCUCCCCCUCAGGCUAAGUCUUCAAAGGUAUAUCUUUUCUCUUCUUUUAGACUUGUAUCUUUAACAAUCCCAGAGUUCUAACACUCGAUUUGUACUUUCGUAGGCCAAGGUUGGAGAGGUUGCUUCCUCACUGGGCAUAGUUUUACCUUCAUUCUUCCAGCCUCUCUUCCACUGGUGGUGGCUCCUACUUCCUAGUUUGAUCCAAGCACUGCAAAGUUGUUACACUUUGUAGAAGAUAAUAGUCGCCCAGUAAGUACUUCCAUUAUCCUUUUUAUGUUCAGAGUUCCUUUUUUUCUUCCUUACUUAUCAUCUGUUGCCAUUUGUAGCCUUCCUUAUCACAGACAUCUCACCAACCAGCCGUGUUUGCUUUUGGAGAACCCGUAGUCCCUGAGAUCCCUGUGGUUUCAGAGGUGACUAGCCUGAGGGCUUCUCGGGCAGAGUCUCUUGAUGUAGUUGUUUCUGAAUUACCUAUUUCUCAACUUCAAGUAUAUCAUUAUCUUAAACUUUCGCUUCUUGUUUUCUGCAAAUUGUCUUUUUGACACUUGUUCUCUUUGAUGUCUAAAGGCCUCAGGUAAAGGCCCAGGCAUUAUUCCUUCCUCCUUAACAACCAAAAAUGGUCCCUCUCCACAACUAAAGGAAACAACUCUUCCUCCAUCUCAUUCCUUGGCUCCGAGCUCAACCCAGGUAUAUUGUCCUUACUUGUCUCGCCUUCCGCCAUUCUGAAUCAUAAAUUAUUUCCUUAAUUUUUCUCCAUUGGUUGCAACAGGGCUUUGGGGAAGGCUCAGGCAAGUCUUCACCACGCUUGGUGCACAAAAUAGAACUCCCUCGACCUUCUUUAGCUUCUAGGGUCAUAGGGAUUCCUAUCCCAAGGCCGAAAAAGAAGACUAAGACCAUAACUGCUUCUAUCUCUCAGGUUCCUCCCUCGGUUGAAACUUCCUCCAUUGCUGCACCCUCUGAAGUAGCUGGAGUACGACCUUCUUCUCCUGUACCGGUUCCUUCAACAGUAUCUCUACCCGAGCUUUUUAAAGAAUUCGGGCAACUCAAGACAAAGUUAAGAUCUCCCAAGCAUCCAGGCAAUUCAAAACAAAGCUAAGAUCUCCCAAGCAUCCAUCUGAAUCUUCAGGCCUCCAAGAUCAACGCCGAGUCUUCCGAGAAUGGUUUAGAAGGGAUUUCUCAGCAUCCUUUAGCCUCAAGGCCCUCCAUGAUGUAGAGAAAGUAGUGACCGACAUUUUCAAGGCCGAUCAAUUAUCAAAAGUUCAGUAUGAGUCAUUUAUCUCAUAUUUUGAAAACUUGAAGGCUCUUAGAAAUCAGCAUAGUCGGGCUGAGAGGCAAACCAAUUGAGUAAGGUGCUUCAAGGAGAAACAAUCUAGUACUUUAACUCAAAUUUAGCAGCUAAUAAAUAAAGGCUCAGCCACGGAGGAGAAGAUCAAGAUGGUCUCUUCCAAUAUCCAGAAGUUAGAGGAGCAACUUGCUGUGUUGAAGGCUGAACAUGCGACUCUCAUUGGCAAGCUUCAGCAGCAAAUUGAAGGAGUAAAAAAGGCCAACAUGGAACUUGAAGACGCCGAAUCUCAACUUAUCAAUAGCAGCAUUGUUUUGACGGAGCCUACCAAAAUUUUCGCGCUCAUGUAGACUUAUUACUCCAGAAUAAUUACUCUGGGUGAAGAUGUACAUCUGUUAGGCUAUGAUCAAAUAUAAUCUUUUCUAAAAUAUACUUCUUUUCAUCUUGACUUGUAUCACUUUAAAUUGAAAUUCUUAUUGCCUUUUUUACUUCACCUCUUUUUUGAAAUCAUUAACUUUGUUUAAUAUAACGAUUUCUAACCCUCAAACAGUUGGAUGUCACCUCUUUAAACACUUAAUACUAACUGGAUGUCUUUGUAAGUUUUCUCUAAAUUGGUCGAUUAAUAUUUCCCUUUAUCUUGUGUUUUUCUCUCUUCCACACACCAAUAGUCUUUUGAUUAAGUACCUGACUGCAACUACCUGGUCAUUUCUUCUUUGUUCUGACAUUACUGGUGUUGGGAAAAUAUGGGGUCGGUCCCAUUCUUCCCUUGUAAGGAACAACCUUUGUUCCAAAAGCUUUUGGGCCGUCACCUUAGUCGGGCGGUCGUUCUCAUCAGCUCCUAAACACUGGAGAAUCUCAAUGCUAGGAUUAUAAAAAUUGACUUUUGCAACAUUGGUAGUGGGAAGGAAUGGCCGUGACUCGGCCUCUACCAUCUCCCAAAAUCCAGGUCCCAUAGCGCAUUCUUCGUGAUAAACUGCUACUUGUUGAUGUAGGGUGGAUGGCACCGAGAGACUUUGAUGAAUCCAAUCUCGGCCUAGUAAAGCUCCAUAUGUGGAAGUACUAUCCACAACGAAGAAAUCUAACAUGAUUUGCUUGAAACCCAAGUUAACCUCAAAGGGUCAUAUCCCAUGGGUUUUAAUGAUGGCUUCAGAGUAAGUGGAAACUGUUAAGUCCGUGGGGAUGAGGUCCUCCUCAUUUCUACAUACCCGCUUCAUCUGCUAAAGGGCAACACAUUGACCGCGGCUCAUCCAUCAAUCAAAACCCUCUUGAAGGGCACUCCCUCCAGAUGAGCAGUUACAUAAAUGGGCUUGAGAUGGUUGGCUAGGGUCAAACUCGGAUGACUGAAGACAAUCAUGUAUGUGUACACUCUCUCAGGCUUUCUCUUUGUGGGCUCGGGCACAUCUACUCUGCCCGAUUCCUCUUUUCCCACCUCUUCAACACUAACAUGUGCCAUCAUCGGUUCCGUUGCUAAGUAGUCAUCCUCCAUUAUGGCAGGUUGAUCAUGUUUCAGCACAAAACAUGGCGGAUAAAACAUAUUUUAUGUUUACGUGGAAGUUGCUAGGUUAAGAUAAGUUCUCAUUUUUGCCCCCAAUGCGGCUCAUGAACUCAUCUAACCAGGCCUGCGCUUCUUCUGGCAGCAUCAGCUCAGGCACCCUUUCUUCCCAGGUUAUGCUAAAGUUUGGGAUUUGUUGUGGAGCAUCGCAAAGAGUAUCAACCAACAAUGGUGCGGGCAACCCUCUCUCAGGUGAGAUAGUUCCAAAGCAUAUUGGUUCUAGGCUCCACCUUGGGGUUGGCAUCAUUACUAUAUCCUGUUGAGCUCUCUUAAAGAUUUUGUGUUUCCCAGGAUGGGGGUUCUAUGGCACAUGGUCUUCUUCCCUUUCGAUCUUGCUAUUAGACUUUUUCACCUCCUUCUUGGUUCUCCAAUGGAGUUGAUUUCUUCCAUCAACGAGUACUUUCUCAAACUUUACAUUCUCUGAGGUUUAUAAGGCAGUUGGGACUUUCAAUGAGUUCAUGUGGGCUUUAUGUUGCCUCUGGACUCUCCUAAUCAUGGAGGCUCUCAUUUCUUUAACGGGUCUCCCAUCAUUUCCGACCACAUACCAUUUCCUCCCGAGUCGGGCAUGAUUCUUCUUCGUGACUGGAUUCACAAUUCUACCCUUAACUCUGACAUCUCCACCAGCAUAGCUUGGUUGGGGUGGCCUCACAUCCACCCAUCUUGGCACCUUGGCCUCUUUGUCGUCCACCUCUUCAGAAGCUUCGUAAUUUCUGAAUACUUAUGACAAACCCUUUGGUUGGGAAUCUCCUUCCAACCUUUGGAAAACAUUCCUAGAGGUCUCUCAUUCAGCUGCCCACAUAACAUUUUUGCGUGCUUCCUGCUCUUAUUUCUUUCUUAUCUUGAUCAGCUCUUGAUCAAUAAUGGCUCCUAGUGCUGGGACUUCCAGCUCGUACUCACAUUGGCAUCUACUGCACAAUAUCACUCCCUUGAUUAUGGCCGCCUUGGGUUUCUCGGGCAACUUGAUGGCUCCAUUGGUUGGCCUAUCAACUUGCCUCCGUUAUGCUUUCACCUCACAUGUAGCUUUUCCUUUUCCCUUCUUAGCCCACGUCAAGUUGAUCAUGUUUAUUGGUACUUCUGGGAAGGGGUCAGAGUCAAUCAUCAUGUUGGCCUACGUUUCUCCAGCAACAACUUUCCUUUUAAUAUAAGGUCUUGUAUCCAAUCCCUGAUCUGGACAGAGUUGGUUAUAGAGUGAUUGAAAGUGUAAUGCAGCUUGCAAUAUUUUUUCCUUCUCAGUUCUCCGGCCUUGGGCAGUUUUUUGGCAUUGUCAGACACGAUGACUCUUGCUUGAACCAGCUCCUCAUAAAUCUCCGCUGCCUUGGUUAAAUUAAAGGAAUAACUCUGGUACUUGGGGGGUUUCAUGAGGAGCAAUCCACCAUCAUUCGUGACCACUUUCUAGUCUUUAAUUGGCUGUACUAACCCCUUUACAGUCAAAGGAUUAAAUGGGGUAGUCAUCUCUGCUGCGCAUACGUCCAUUCUCUCUCCUUCAUGACAUUAUUCUCUUCUGGCUUUCCUUCAAACUCCACUUGGUGAAUGGCAGCUUUGCUCUUAUAGAAAAGAGGCACCUUAGAUGAGUGCUUUACUUACUAUUCCUCCAGCAACAGCCUCUCAUACUUGUUGGUCGCAAUCACUAACUCAUUCAGCUCAUUGAAUUGUACAUCAUAAAACUUCUUCAUCAAAGACAAUCUUAACGCCCUCUGAGCAAUGGAUAUGAGAUGUGCAUGAUUUAUGGGGAACCGUCACCUCAUCCUCGUCUUCCUAAACCUCAUCAUGAAGUCUUCUGUAGACUCAUGCUCGUACUGCUUCGCCUUCACAAGGUCAUUGAUAACCAUCUCAGGUUUAACCCUGUAAAACUGCUCAUGGAAUGCCAUCUCCAUUUGCCCCCCAAUUGGCAAUAGAAUUAGAGGGCAACAAAGAAUACCACUGAGAUGCUAAGCCCACCAAGGAGUUCCCAAACAAUCUCAACUUGUAGUUGGGAUUGUCUUCAAAUGCCACACAGUGAUUAAAGAACUUGAAAAUAUGAUCUCUAGAAGACACAUUGCCAUCUUCUCCGCUGAAUGUUGGGAAUGCGGGCAUCUUGAAGUUGACUAGAAAAAGGUUUUGCUCGUCAACGUACUCAGGAUAAGGCUUCUGAUAAGUGCUCCUAAACAGCGGGCGAGCUUGUGGCUGAUCAUUCCGGGCCACCAUCCUCCUCAACUCGGCUAACUCAUCCCUGAGCUGUUAGUGAGUUGUAUUAUCAGGAAGAGUAUGAAGAGGUUCCUAUUUCGGGCUACGAUCAUUGCCCGAGAACGUCUUUUUUCUUGGCUCAGGCUUUCUCCACCUAGCAUCCCCUCCCUUACUGGCUAAUGACGAGGGCCUAUAAGGAAGAGGCUUGUCUGGCUUGGUAGGCUUGCCUUUUCCACUGGAUUUCCCAAUCAACUGGGGCCUCCCAUACUUCGUUCUUUCUUGCUCGCUCUACCCCUACUAUUAAGUGGAAAUAGUGAAGGGUCGGGCAACUCCACUUCUAGGAUUUCCUCCAAAACUGGCCCACUAGUGCCAGAUUCAUCAUUGUUUUUAUGUUUACCAUUCUUCCCCCUGACUUCUCAGAUGAGGUUGGGCUUCUCAAAACAGUUGGUCCUUGUAAAGAGGGAACGUUCUCUAGGCGGUCUGCCAUGUUUGAUUUUGGUAGUUAUUGGGGUAGCUUGUACUCUGUGUUCCACCUGAAGGUUUUCUCCUUCCUUCUUCUUCUUGACAUACAAGACUAAUGUGAUCUCACCGGGCAUGCCAAAACUAUGUUUGGGCGAAGAUUUCUUCGGAGAUGGCUCAUUGGCUCUCAGCACAGCUCCCCAAGGGAUUGGCACUUUGGAUAUGUAGUCGGGCUCUUGCUUGUAAGAAGAGGAUAGAGUUAGUUUUGAAAGGUGCCUUUGUAGGGCCUUACGUGUAAAACUUAAGGCUCGCAAUCAAAACUAACUAAAUGCUAGACGUGCCACUGUUAUCUCAAUAUAGCAGAUGUAGAACAAAUGUGUUUUAGUCGAUUACUUGCGCCCCAAGUUACUCGGACUUCUUGUUAUUAAAGGAUUGUCGUGGAUGGGUUAAAUCCACAUUAAGUUCUUUUUCUUGCCUUGUGACCAAGCACUUUCAGUUCAGUUUUGUAUAUUCAAGUAAGGGAAGUCCAAAUCUCCUUAAGUCAUCUACUCGGUUCUUGAUUGGUUUUUAAUGAAGGCAUAUUCAUUUAGGUAACCAGAUCCGGCACAAAUGAGACUCUUAAAGUAGGAAAACAGAUUGAUAUGACUUGAAUACAUGCUGGAGAAUACAUUAAGCAACAUAUCUAUUAACUUAUAAAACAAAGAAAGAGUUUUGAGCAAGAUUUCACCUUGUCGGGCAAGGUUGAACUUCUUGCAAUCACUUCUCUUUUGAGUUUACAAGGUUUAUAUGCUAAGAAGGGUUGGAUGGUAAACAAGUUUACAUGAGAGAAUCGAUACUACGCCACUAGGGGUGAUAGGGCUGAUUACAGCUUUUAGAUGCAAAUCUGGCUUGAGAGAAGAGUUUGUAUGUUUGUUUGUUUGAUUGGUUGAGUGUCAUUGUCUCUAAGGCAUCUUCCUCAUUUUAUAGGCAGAUUAGCCCGACUGUUGUAGCUUUGCUCUUGCCCGAAAGUAAUUGAAGGGUAGUGAGUCAUCAACUUUUUACUUGUAUUGCCACUGAAAAGUGCAUUUUGGCUGAUUAUGGGUUAGUCCCCAUCACUUGACACUUAAAUCAUAGGCACAUGGCCUAUGCAUUAAUGAGAAGGCGCCAAUUUGUCUCUGGGAUUGAUGCUAGGCUUCGGGCAACUCUUCCUUUAAUUGGUGUUUUUGAGCUUCCACACACUUGCAGCCCAAAGUUCAAAUAUUAACCCAAACACACUGUCUCACAGAUCAAGUCAGAUUGGGCAUGAGAAGGGCUGAAGGUCCAUCAGGAAAAAAAAAAAACCCCUUCAUCUCUGUGUGUUUGCUACAAGUCUGUCUGUAUGUCGUCAAGUCCAAUAAAAUGUUCAUCUUUUCCUGUAAAGAAACAGUGAAGAUGCCAAGCUUGAUGAGGGUUUUAACUUUGGGAAAAAUAAUCAUUAUUAUAAUAUUAUGACAUGGACACACUAGAUCUAUAGACUCUAGCAAACCACCAAUUAAAACACGACAUCUAAUUUGAGGUGCUAUUUCGGUUUCGGUGCGAUUUUCAAAAGCCAAAACCAAAACCAAAACCAAACUGUUUCCUACACUGCGGUUCGGUUUCCAAACCACAACCGUUUCAAAACUGCAAAACCGAACCAUUUGGUGCGGUCCGAUUUGGUUCAUGUUUGGGUUUUGGUUUUCGGUUUCAAGUGCCCACCCCUAGUACUAAGUGGCUUAUCACAUAAGUUUUAUGUAAAGUGAUUAAACAAUUUAGCAUGUGUCAGUUUACUAGAGAUUCUUUCGAAGGACUAUGAGAGAUACAACUCACGAUCCAGGAAGGAAGUCGAAUCUAAGACAGUGAAGAGGAAUAUUACUAGACCAUAUUAAGUGGCAUCAUAUCUUCUGAAUUUUUUAAAAUCGACUUUACUAGAAACAACAAACUCACUCAUAGUUUUGGCCUAUCAAUUACAUUCUUCAAUGUACAACCCCUCACUCCAACUUUCUCAGAAACCUGUUUGUAGCCUAACAGGGGUUCCUUCAGAAAAUCUGAAUUCAAAGGAAGGACAUUGCACCACUGCCCCGUCAACGUUUUUGAUGAUUCAAAUAUCCCUUAAAUUUUAGGGGUCCAUAUUUUUUUAUGGUCAACGUUAGGCGUCCAGAUGAUGGGCAAUUUAUCAAUUUGGAUAUCAUUGAGGACUGAAUUCGGAUGCAUAAGGUCUAAGCAAGAAGUACAGACAAAUCAUUCCAAUGCAAUUUACACUCAUUAAACAAAUACAGUUGAAUCUGAUUCUCACGGAUGCAUGGUUAAUUACCUUAACGCCUUUCAAGCAUUUCACUCAGAAAAAAGAAACAACUAUCAAAAUUGUGCAUGACGUCGAUUAAGAUAAGAUACAUGAGUUAAGAAAAGACACGUCCUAUUUGCAUAGUUCAUUUACCAGGUAAAGAAAGUACCUCAUCUCAUAACCGGUUUCCAGCUUCCUUGGAUAAACGGAUGUUCUUUGAGACUGCAUCGCACUCACUGGAGUUGCUUGUUUUUGCUUGUUUCCUCUAGAUGAAAGGAUAGUCAAAUUCAUGAUUGCACACAAGCGAUGUUUGGUCAAUAAGGUUGCUUUAAUCCAACCAAAUCUCUCUCGUAGAUGAGACGCACCCCACACCUCUUCACCUCCAAACCAGGGCCUAAGGUUUUAAAUGUAAACUCAAGGUGAUGACAACUGUCUUGCCAUGUUGUACCAAAGUAUUCACCAGAUACAACGGAUAGCCAAAUGUGCUCUUUCUCAAUUUGCCCUAAUUCUUCGCUGCAGGCGAAGGAAGGACACCAGCCACCUACACCCAAAUUCCCAGGCUUAACUUCGCAACGAAGACCAUGUGCAGUGGUAUGGGUUCCGUAGUUCCAUUUGCCAAGCAGAUUAGGUGGGAGUCGUCGACGGAGAGUGAAACAGCACACAAUGCAUAUCCCAUCCACUCGUUCUUGUACCAGUGUUGAGGGAGCUCCACGCUUACCACAGGCCUCUCACUUCGAUAACUAAACCACUCAGAAAUUUCACUGCCAGGAUAUAUAGCUUCAAAUUUAUUCCCUACGUAAGGGAUUCCCUAUAUAAUACAAAAUUACAAAUAGUGAAGUCAAACAAUUGAUACGACCGUCUUAUAAAUAAGUACAAAAUGCUUUUAGUUUAUUUUAUUUUUUCUGUGUGUGUGAGAGAGAGAGAGAGAGAGAACCUCAAGAAUAAAUCGCAAUAGGAGAACAAUAACUCUGUAGAAUACAAAACCCAACUAUUAGGUAGUAAAUCACCCCUGUUAGUAGCAGUAAGCAAAGAAAGACAUAAUGAAUUCCAAUAACUAGAAGGAAUAGAAUUAAAAGUAACCAUAGGUUCAUAAAUGCAAACCAAUCCGAAUGAUGGGAAAGGCAAACAUUGGAAAGCUCCAUAUGCGUAUCUGUUUGGGCCCAAAAUAAUAGUUUGGGCUGAGGGUAGGAUCACUCUCGGCCCAGGAGGCCGUGCGGCGAAAGGGCCAUGGAUCGUUCAGCUCAUGGGCUUCCAAGCCUAGGUCGGUUAAAUCAGAACGCAAGCCGAGUCCUAGUACAAUAGGGACUCUCGACAGGAUCAGUAAUCCAGAAAGCGAAUCCGGCUCAGUUAAGGACUAGAUUCGUAGUCCUAGUGGAGAUAGGAUUGGUCGAGGUGAUGUUGAUCCAGGGAGGGAAACCUAGUCCGAAUAGGAUUGUAACUCGGGCUCGAGGACCAGCACUAUAAAUAGAGGAAGCUGUGCAUUAAGGAAGGACCCCUGCAAAUCAAUACAAAAUUGCCCUGCGCAAAUUCUCACAACUUGUGAUUUUUCUUUUUCCUUUUUCGCUGACACAUCUUCCGUUGGCAUCAACAGCACUGUGGAAGCAACCGGUGAUAUCUUAAGUCGGCAUAGAUAGCUCUGUCACCGUAGAAUCAAUCGGUCUCGCAGUAUCUACCGUUGGCAUCAACAGCACUGCGGCGAGAACGGUUGAUUACCUAUCCAAGUCUCGGUCGAGAAGGGUUUCUGAACCCUUAUUGGUCGAGGUCAUCUCAUCAGCCUUCUCGGCGAAGUGAGGUGUUACACGUUAUUACAUUCAGCAUAUUGAAAGCCGAAUUUGAUAUUGAACUUCGUAAGAAUAGUAACCUUGUCUUCAGGUUCGAGAGCCCAAGAGGCCGAGACGUGUUCCUUUCUCGGCCGCAAUCGCAAGACGUAGAAGUCAGCCGCGCACCCAACGCAACAUCAACAAAUUUACUCCUCGGCCGAGCUCGGCUGACGAGUUGGCACGCCCCGCAUUCACCGAAGGACGUAGUUAGCUCAUUAAUUACUCGACCUGCGCGCCACGUAGGCUUUGUAGUUUUUAGGGUCAAUAUUUUGGCACGCCCAGUGGGACCCAGUGCUAAACUACGAAGUUCAUGCCAAUUGAAACAUGAUCGGUAAAAAAGAAAACAACUAUGGGAAAGUCGACAGCCGAUUUGCCGAAUCAAAGCCUGGGACAAAGUGUGCUGCAGGCGCAGAAUCCCCUUAGCGCUGUGACACCUGAGUCCAUGAGCGCGACUCGCCGAGAGAGAGAAGUUAAUCUCGGCAGUCAACUACGCGGUCUAGAAAUCCCUAACAGGAACACUUGCGUUCUCACUGAAGGGAUAGUAGAGGAGUGCGACGAGGAUGGUGGUGAAGGAUCUGAUCCACCAACAAGGUCGUUUCUUCGAAAACGACUAGACGAGCAGUCUCGGUCAGUCGAGCAGACGUUUAGUCGAGGCAUUGACAAGCUGCAUGAGGUGAUACUCAGUUCCAAUGAGCGACAAACCAGGCUGCUCGAGAUGUUGGUUAGUAAAGUCAGUGGCAGCAAGCCUUUUGACCUUCUUCAGCAUUCCACCAGGGAACAAUCCGAUACCAAUUGUACCGACCGAGCCUAUUCCUGCUCAGCUCAAACCAAUUGACUUGGAAAAAGAAGGAGGGUCGAAUAGUAGGUCAGACGGAACCGACCAGAGGGUCGAAGCAACACCUGUUGAUAUGACCGAAGUUCAGCGGAUGAUCGACUCGGCCAUGAAGAAAGGGCCGAAGUUUCCUAAGUUUAUUCAUCCGUACUCGGCUUACAUGGAAACGUUUGGAUACCCGAAAGGUUUCAAGAUCCCAGAUUUUAGUCUUUUUGCCGGUGAGUCGUCCCUGUCUUCGUUGGAACACGUGGCUCGUUUCACCGCGCAAUGCGGAGACGUUAAUAGUGAUUUCCAUAAAUUACGGUUGUUCAACUUUUCAUUGACCGGCUCAGCGUUUGCCUGGUAUAUCAAUCUCCCUCCUAAUUCCGUCCAAAACUGGGAGGAGUUGGUAGAGAAAUUCCACGAGCAGUUUUAUCGGCCAGGGAUGGAGAUGUCAGUUUCUUCGCUAGCACGGAUGGCUCAGGCAUCUGAUGAGUCACCAAUGGAUUAUCUUACCAGGUUUAAAUCGGCCAGGAAUUGGUGCCGGGUGUGAUAGGAGCAUUUUUAUGCAACUUAAUUGGCUUGUUCUCAUGCAUUUAUGUUGUUUUUCCUUAGUUAGUUUAGUGUUUAAAGUCAUUUCGUGCAAUUUCAGGUUUUAUUGUCAAAGUAUGCAAAAAUGAGCAUUUUGGAGCUUUUAGGAGCAAAAUUGGGCUUGGAAUGAAGUGCAUAUGCAUGGAGCAAGGAGUUUGGACGAAUUUGAAGUCAAAACAUCAAAUAAACAUGCUAAAAAUCUGGUGAAACAAAUACAAGUUGCAAGAAGGGAUAGGUUUCUAGAAGGAUUGACCAAAAUUCCACUCAAAACCAUGUUCACACCCCAGAAAUUCAUCUUUGCCGUGCAUCCUUGACUCACUUCCACCAGAUUUUUGAGUGGAUGAUUCAACACCUACUCUUUAUUGCUUUUACUUUGCCAUAUUUGCCAUGUUUGCUAGUUGUGUUAUUUGCUUGUUUUUAUGUGAGUCUAUGUUUGAAACAUUGAGGACAAUGUUUGGUUUAAGUGUGGGGGGGUGAACAAAGUGUUUUUGUUGCAAAAUUCGUGGGAUUUUACCACCUAACAUUUCAAAGGUUGUUUUUCAUUGUUUUUUUUAGUGUUUUUAGAAUGUUUUGAUGUGUUUUUAUGUGGCUUUACCAGAAAAUACGAAAAUUCAAGAAAAAAUUAGAAAAAUUUUGAAAAAACCCAAAAAGAGUUGUUUUUGUGUGUUUGUUUGUGUCUUAGGGUACCUUCCAACACAAUGAUGAGGAUUUGGUUUUUAAUUGCAUGACUGUUAAAGAGAGUUAUAAGCAUGGAUGAAAGUUUGAUUUACUCUUGGUUUAUGCUUGGUUGUGGUUAUAACUUAUGAAUUCACAUGCAAUCUUAAAGGAAAAAUCAGUUUUUGUUUGUAACAUGCUUGAAGGAAGCAACUCAAAUUAACACUACAACCUUGUGAGACUUGAGCCUAAACGUUUAUUUGGAGAGUUAUUAAUCUGUGCAUUCUUGUUUUCUAAAGUCGUUGCAUGAUCUCAUUAUUCUUUGCUUGGUUGCUACUUAGAAUGCGUUUCAUCACUUUAGUUCCAAAUGCUAGAACUCAUGCCAAUUUCAUUCAAAACAUGUUAUUGAAUUGCAUAACACAUAACAAGAUGAAGUUGUUUAGUAGUUACCACCAUAGCCAAAAAGCCUUCAUUCCAUACAUUUGUUUUUGUAGGUUUAACCCCGUUGAGCCUUAUUUAGCCUAUAUUGUUUGUUAACCCACGUUAUCCUUACCUAGCCUAGAUUAGGAUCAUCCAUACCCUUGUUCUUAAAGCAUAGUAAGCAUGACGUAAAAUGAAUUCCUUUUGAUUGAGGGUGUGCAGAAAACAAGUGUGGGGGAAGUGUUUUUCAUGAAGAAUUGUGUGCCAUAGGCACGGGUAGAAAGAAAGAAAGAAGAAAAGAAAAAUGUUGUGAAAAGUGAGAAAAAGAGUUGAAAGAGCAUGAAAAUGAGUUCUAAGGUGUGGAUUGUUGAAGAAGGGGUCCAAAACAUUGAAUUUGACCCUAAGUGUUGCAUGAAUUUCCCCUUUGAGUUUAAAAGUUGAUUCUUGCACCCAAAAGUGAAUUCUAAGUGUCAAUUUCAAUGCUUUGCUUACUAUUGUUUUAAGAACGUUUGUUUAUCCUUCACCUUUCUUAGCCAAUAUCCCAAGCCCCGUUACAACCCUCAACUUCUAUCUUGAGUGUUGUGUAUUUCAAUUUGUGGAGUUUGGGAUUGGUAUGAGCAUAUGGUGUCACUGGUUCUCGCGUCUAAGUAGUAGCAUUCUUUUCAUGUGAUCAUAUACAUUCUUAUCAAAUUCAGAAAAAACUUUCCUUGUUAUAACAUAUGUGAGCAUUCGUUUUCAUAUCUACAUCAAUCCUCUCACAUAUAACUAGCAUAGGGUGUGUAGUCAGAAAAUCUGUGCGAAAAUUGAGUGCAUAUCUAGUAAGGAAUUGAGCAAAUUCUCUAAGGCAUGUUGCUACAUUCAAAAUCAUGUUUUAAUUGGUUAGAUGCGAACGAGUACGUAGUGACUAUAAUUAAGUAUGUGCUUAAGUGUAAAGAUGGCUAAAAUCUGUGGGAAUGAUGAUCUUUAACAUGUUAUGUGCAUUGGAAAUCCCUAAGGCAAACGUUGGAAGGUUUAGGUUGUUUUUGUUUGUUUGGUUUCGUUUUGUUUUUCUUUUGUUUCUUUGUUUUGCUCGAGGACUAGCAAAAGCUAAGUGUGGGGGAAUUUGAUAGGAGCAUUUUUAUGCGACUUAAUUGGCUUGUUCUCAUGCAUUUAUGUUGUUUUUCCUUAGUUAGUUUAGUGUUUAAAGUCAUUUUCGUGCAAUUUCAGGUUUUAUUAUCAAAGUAUGCAAAAGGAGCAUUUUGGAGCUUUUAGGAGCAAAAUUGGGCUUGGAAUGAAGUGCAUAUGCAUGGAGCAAGGAGUUUGGACGAAUUUGAAGUCAAAACAUCAAAUAAACAUGCUAAAAAUCUGGUGAAACAAAUACAAGUUGCAAGAAAGGAUAGGUUUCUAGAAGGAUUGACCAAAAUUCCACUCAAAACCAUGUUCACACCCCAGAAAUUCAUCUUUGCCGUGCAUCCUUGACUCACUUCCACCAGAUUUUUGAGUGGAUGAUUCAACACCUAACAUCCACUUCUUGCUGUGCAUUCUUGAUUGUUUUCCCACCAGAAAAUUGAAUUAAACAAGUCCAUCCUCUCCCUAUAAAUACCCAUGGCAGCAACCUUAUUGAGGACAUCCAGAAAUUAACCAUUCUCCAAGCCUUGCCUUGCCUCUCCCUACAUAUCCAAACUCCUUCCCAUCCAUUCCUCCACCACAGCCGUGCCUUCCCACCACCAUCACCACCUUAUGCAGCCACCAUUGGAGGAGAAAGAAGUAGUGCCAUGCAGUCCAAAGGAGGAAGACACCUUGCACAUGCAAUCUGCCAUUAGUGGAGUGUUUGGAGUUCUUUCUUUUCUUGUUUCUGUUUUCAUGUUUAAUUUAACUUGCUUUCCAAUUAUGUUAAACAUGUGGAACUAAUUUCUUUUUAGUUAGAGGUGAAUUUGAAGCCAUGGACAUAUGUUGGUUAUGAUUUGAUUUACUCCAGUUAUGAAUUCAUGAACUUUAAAUGUGGUUUACUUUUCUGUUUUGAUUAAGAACUUGUUUAUGUAUGUAGGUUGAGGGUCGACACUUAAUUUGCAUGCCUAAACUUGAUACUAGGAUAUAAGGGAAUUUCACCUAAUCGUUAUGAACUUAUAUUCAUAAGUAGUAAAGAUCGCUAGUCACGAUUGUGUUAAGUAAACCCUAGGUUGGAUUAACAUGCGUAUUCCAUAGUUAUGAAUGCCUAGUCGAUGUUUAUGAUUUCCGUUGAACUUAAUGAUCUUUGUUGAAUGUCUCUAUCAUGCGUAUUCCAUAGUUAGGGAUUUUGAUGAGGAAUAAUUUGGUUGCGAUGCGUAUUCCAUUCAAUCCAAUGAAUCUAGGGAAAUCGGAAAGUUAAUUUAAGCGGACCUAAUUAACUUGGAGCAUUGUCAUUCAUCGUUUGUUGAAGUCAUAACUGGGAGUCAAAUUGUAUGCAUAUGUUCAUGUGUGGAUAAGGAACCCUCUAACUAGCUUCUCACCAUUCUAUUUAAUCAAAAUCUGUUUUAGUUUGCUUUGAUUUGCAAUUUGUUUAGUUUUAAUUCAAUUUCGUCAAAAAUCAAUCCCCCAUUUAUUUUAAAGUAUUAAAUUAGUUAGAAAUCAAUUUAGUGUUAGGUACUCAAAACUGCCCAGAAAGUGCUUUGAGUCAAGUUAUAGUCCAAAUUCGUCCAAAUUAGUGUUAGGUACUCAAAACUGCCCAGAAAGUGGUUUUAAGGCAGUUUUGAGCCUUUUAGUUGCUGUUUUGAGUUUUUAGUUUGUUUAGGUGUUUUAAACUCUAGUUUUACAUUAAUUAAGUCUAGUUUAGUGUUCUACAUUAUAUUUUUUAUGUUCUUGAGUCAGUUUUACAUUGAUUAGCAUCCCUAGUUAAUCCCCGGUCUAGAACGAUCCCUAUUUGCUCAUAUACUACAAUUGUCAUCCAUAGGGUUUAAUUUGUGUGUCAAGUUAAUUUUCACAUCAGGGUGCCUUUACCCGAAGUCGAAUUUGUCAGGCUUGCUUUGAACAGCCUCAACGUCGAAUACAAAAAGAAAUUCUUGGGGGCGAACUUUCGGGAUAUGUACGAAUUAGCCCAACAUGUCGAACAUUAUGAUUAUUUGCUCCGCGAGGAAAAGACUUCGAAAGCUCCAACUCGGGGGACGAUUUACAAGAAUCCUACUGUCAAUUAUGCAUCAGCCGAGGAUGAAUGUGUUAGUGUGGAUGCAGCUGAGAUAGUGAUCGAUAAGCCAUACGUUUGCAAGGCAUUGACUCAGGUUGAUUCUAGAAAAGCCAAAAGUCCCUCGGCCACUGAAGGAACAUCAAAAUCGUUAAAGGUUUACACUUUUGAUAUUACCAAGGCGGACGCAAUUUUUGACCAACUGUUAUCAGCAAGAAUCAUCAAGCUUCGGCCUGGUCACGACAUUUCUAAGGCCGAAGAACUUAAAGGAAAGGUAUAUUGCAAAUACCACAAUUCGAGCAAACAUACGACAAACAAUUGCGUCGUAUUUCGCGACAACGUCCAAAGCUGGAUUGAUAAUGGCAAACUGAAGUUUCCCGAGAAGAAGAUGAGUGUUGAAACUGAUUCGUUCCCCACGGCAACAGUAAAUAUGGUCGAUGCGUACCUACCCAAGGACAAAGGGAAAGGCAAGGCCGAAGUGGUUGAACGCCUGCGGAAUCAGAAUUCUCGGCCACGGUUCAUGGCCGAUUUUCGUUCAAACAAACCACCCACGGCUUUAACGGGGCCCGCUAUUGUCAAACCUAUGAUGGAUUAUAGCACCGAUGAAGACAGUGGAACGGUGGUUUUGUGCAGGAAAUGUAGAGAAAAGGUCGACAGUGAACCAGAGGAGAAGCCCUCUUCGCAACCUGUGGCCGCAACCCGGCAAAAGGUAGCCAAUAAAGGCCAACAUCAUGGGGUCUUUGAGAGGCUCGGUCCUAAAGUACAGAUGGAAGAGACACCCCCAGUCAGACGGCGCCUCGAUUUUGAUGCUUCAUUCUAUGACGAUGAUUACUAUAAGCGUAAUUCUAGCAGUUCAGAAUCAUUGCGGAGCAAAAAGACCUUCAAGCCUCCCGAGCCUAGAGAUCAACGUUGGUAUACAUAUCAUUCUUCGAGGGGGGUCUACAUCGCGUUGUCCAAAUCUCAGAAACACCGGCAUCAAAGGAUAGAUUGCAUGGCCCGUCGACGAGCAGCCCAAGAAACUUUGGCCCCGAAGUGGCGGUCGAAGAACAUAGUUGCCACUGAUGAUGAGCGACCACCUCCAGCAAUUAUGACAGAGUUGGCUCAAGGGAAACGGCUGGUCGACCAAGAUGUCGAGACCACGUUUGAAGAGGCUGAUAAAUGGAUCAAACUUCUUCUUCGACCAGGGGAGAUGAAGGCACGCCUCGAGCAUUUCAAGCAAGAGGCCGAAAGAAAAUUUCCUCCGCCAGCUAUACAAGAACCUUUGAUCAGAAUUCGACGGAAUUUGCAUCCACCAUUUCUUGGGGAGGCUUUAGAAUAUAUGCGAGAAUUUCAUAAGAAACAUUCGGCCAACGAUCUGUAUGGUUUGCCGAAGGCAUGCCAGGACACCAUUGAUCUAGUCCUGACUUGUCCGGAUGCCGAGCGAAUCAUUCAGAAGACCUCAGAUCCAGGAUUGAAAGUAAGGUUCUAGCAUAUACGAAAAGCUCGUGUCCUUGGAUUUGAAGUUGACCCGUACACCGAUAUCGAUGCAGCCGACCUUCCUUUCUCAACGGAUGACCUUCAGUAUUUACGAUAUCACUUCGAAGUAUUUUCAGCUGUUUCUCUCUUCGGCCUUACGGCCGAUGAAAUCGCACGUGUUGCACGUUUCGACGCUUAUCUCAACACCAGGGAUGCCCGAUUACAAUACCAAGAGCAGGUUCAGGUUCUGAUCCCAAGUGCACCGUCAAUCUCAACCUUACCUGAGGCGGUCACGCAGGACCAACAAAUCGUCGAUGCAGCACCGCCGAAUGAAGCCAUCAAAGAAGGAACAGAAGCGUCUCGUUGUCCGACUCUGACGGCAACGGAGUCCGUAAUCGCUGACCAACCGAGCGAGGAGGGUAUUGACCCAAUGGGCCCGUCAGUCCUGGAUAAUAUGGAAAUCAGUAUGGUCCAUGUGUUACCUGCCAAUUUUCAAUCAAGCACGGCUCAACCAAAUUUCCUCGACGAAGAUGUGGUGGCCGAAGAGGCCGGCCAUGUUGAUUUUGUAUUUGUUGCUGAAGUUGAGUUAGCAACAAAAGCUGACAAUCUAAAGGCGGCUUUGGCUGAAUUGUUUCCUCGUUCAUCAUCGGCCAAACUUCGCCAUUUAAAGCCUUUGUAUGUGACGGCCCAUAUCGAGGGGUAUCCAGUUUCUAAAGUUUUCGUCGACUGUGGAGCUACCGUCAAUAUCAUGCCUCUGAACAUCAUGAAGGCCUUACGUCGCUCGACUGACGAGCUUAUUCCUUCAGGGAUCACAAUGAGUAGUUUUGUCGGCGACAAAUCCCAAACCAAAGGUGUGCUUCCGUUAACUGUAAACAUUGCCGGUCGCACCGCCUUUUUCGUGGUUGAUUCCAGAACCGAGUAUAAUGCACUGCUCGGUCGAGACUGGAUUCAUCAAACCAACUGUAUUCCUUCAUCAUUGUAUCAAGUGCUUGUCUUUUGGGACGGUAACUCGGUCACUGUUCACCCGGCCGAUAGCCAGCCUUUCGAAGCUAACAUGAUCCAAGCACGGUAUUAUAAUGACCAUGUCGGCUACAUUACAUUGCAAGGCUUCAAUGAAGAAGGACGACCGACUCGGAUUUCGGUUCAUAAAGCUAUCGAGGUUGGCGCCGAAACUGUCCAGCAGGAUUCGGCGAGACUCGGAUUAGCCAAUUUCCUCCCCGAAGCUGAUGUUUGACACCGAUCGGGAAACACGUAGGGCCGCGGUUUCAUCUACUAUGGAACGACUGCUGGCCCAUUGGUAUACUAUAUCCAAACAACCAAAUUCGGGCGUUAACCUCGUCGAGUUCCUUGCCGAAGAAGAUAAUGGUCCUGUUUUGUCUCUUGAUAAAAUUCAAGCCGCCCCGGCCGAACUCGAAGAUCAUCGGCCCCAAGUUAAGGACCCCUUGGAAGAGAUUAAUGUUGGGACGGCCGAUGAUCCACGACCUUUGUUUGUUAGUGCGUUACUUCCCCAACAAAUGAAUGACGAGUUUCGUGCCUUGCUUACGGAGUUCAAAGAUUGUUUUGCUUGGAGCUAUCAUGAAAUGCCCGGCUUAGAGCGCACUCUGGUCGAGCAUGAAUUACAUAUUAAGCCCGGAUGCAAACCUUUCCGUCAGCCACCUCGUCGAUUCUCGACCGAAGUGCAACUCGGCAUCAAGGACGAAUUGGUUCGGCUUUUGAAAGCCGGGUUCAUUCGGACAGCUCGAUAUGUUGAAUGGUUGGCAAAUAUCGUGCCUGUUUUAAAGAAAAAUGGUGCCCUACACAUCUGUAUCGAUUUCAGAAAUCUGAAUCUGGCAACUCCCAAAGAUGAGUAUCCAAUGCCGAUCUCAGACCUCUUGAUCGAUGCUGCGGUGAGUCAUGCAAUCUUAUCCUUUAUGGAUGGACACGCCGGAUACAACCAAAUAUUCAUUGCCGAAGCCGAUGUGCACAAAACUGCUUUCCGUUGCCCGGGGGCACUCGGGACUUACGAAUGGGUUGUUAUGCCGUUCGGCCUCAAGAAUAACGCCGCCACAUACCAACGGGCGAUGAAUACCAUCUUCCAUGAUUUAAUUGGAACCAUCGUCGAAGUUUAAAUCGACGAUGUUGUCAUCAAAUCUAAACGCCGACAGACACAUCUGGACGAUCUCCGACAGGCUUUCUUCCGCAUGCGUUGGCACAACCUCAAGAUGAAUCCCGCCAAGUGUGCUUUCGACGUAUCGGCCGGAAAUUUUCUUGGCUUCCUCGUGCAUCACCGUGGGAUUGAAGUCGAUGAGAAUAAGGCCCGCGCAAUCAUCAAUGCCCCACCCCCAACAACGAAGAAACAACUCCAGUCCUUACUCGGCCAGAUCAAUUUCCUCCGCCAAUUUAUUGCCAACUCUGCAGGUAAAAUGAAAGCGUUCUCCACGCUUUUGAAACUCAAGGACUCCGAUAAAUUUGUGUGGAACGAUGAGCAUCAGGCGGCGUUUAUGCAAAUCAAAGUCUCCCUCAUGAACCCACAUGUCCUGGUUCCUCCUCGGCGCGGUAAGCCUCUUAAGCUCUACAUCUCGGCGGUCGAAGAGUCCAUCGGCUGCCUCUUUGCACAAGACAGCGACGCCGGCCGAGAACAGGCUAUUUUUUAUCUCAACCGCAAUCUCAGUCAACCGGAGAUCAAUUAUCCAGCCGUCGAGAAGCUGUGUCUGGCCGUGUUUUUCGCCGCUUCCAAGCUUCGGCAUUAUAUGCUCCCAUCGGUCACCCAAGUUAUUGCUCAGACCGACGUCAUCCGCUACAUGCUCACCCGACCAAUCGUAAAAGGCCGCAUUGGGAAAUGGACCAUGGCACUAUCCGAAUUUAGCUUGCAGUAUGUAGCCCAGAAAACUGUCAAGGGCCAGGCACUGGCUGAUUUCCUUGCUCAACAUCCUUCCCCAUACGGGUGUGGGGGCAACGACGUUGAAAUCGGCAUGGUUCAGACGCGCAACAACCACUGGACGAUGUACUUUGACGGCUCCAGUACGUCAUCUUCGGCGGGUGUGGGAAUUGUCAUUCAAUCCCCGAACCACGAUCGCUGGUUAUUUUCGCUUAAGUUGGAUUUCGAAUGCACCAACAAUCAGGCCGAAUACGAAGCCCUAAUUGUCGGCCUUGGAAUCCUUCAUGACCUGCGGGCGACCCGCGCCCUCGUCCUCGGCAACUCCGAACUUGUGAUUAACCAACUCAAUGGUUCUUUUCGUUGCAUGAGUUGUACCCUGGCGCCUUACCACACGAUCGCCAGCUAUUUGGCCAAGUCCUUCGACGGUAUUACAUUUAAACAUAUUUCCCGGAGUCAUAAUACCGACGCAGACGAAUUGGCUCAAAUUGCCUUCGGCGCACAUCUCUUGGGGGGCAAGCUAGGCCGAGAAAUACCCAUGUUGUGACAGCUAUACCCAGCCUUGGUUAACCAACAAGUCCUCCAGCGCGACAACGUGAUACGUACAAGAGUCAUGUCCUUACCUUCGUUGUUAGAUCGAGACGACCCUGUGGAGAUUUGCACGACCGAGGCAAUACCAGAUGAUUGGAGAAAGCCCAUUAUGCAGUACCUCGACAAUCCCAAUGGUAAAUAUGAUCGCAAGACAAGAGUUCACACCACGAACUAUGUCAUGUAUCAGAACGAGUUAUACCGAAAAGGCGAAGAUGAUUUAUUAUUACUAUGCCUCGGCCCCCAAGAGAGUGCUCAGGCGAUUACAAAAGUCCAUGAAGGGAUAUGCGGAGCUCAUCAAUCUGGACGGAAAAUGCGAUGGCUACUUCGACGGCACGACUAUUUUUGGCCAAGGAUACUAAAGGAUUGUAUCGAGUUUGCACAAGGAUGUGUACAAUGCCAAAUCCACGGGCCUAUACAAAGGGUCCCGGCCGAAUCUUUGCAUUCGGUCAUAAAGCCAUGGCCAUUUAAAGGAUGGGCCAUGGACGUAAUCGGCAAAAUCACGCCGUCUUCUGGAGCUGCUAAGCACGCAUGGGUAAUAGUCGCAACCGAUUACUUUACUAAGUGGGUCGAAGCGAAAUCAUAUGUCGAACUAACAUCUAAAGAAGUUUGAGAUUUCGUGGAGGAACACAUCGUGACCAGAUUUGGUGUACCAGAAAUGAUCAUAACUGACAAUGGAACAAUCUUCACAGCCGAGAGGUUUAAAGAGUAUACGGCAAAUUUAAAAAUUCAGCUUGAACAGUCUACACCGUAUUAUCCACAGGCGAAUGGGCAGGCCGAGGCAAGUAAUAAAGUGUUGAUCGGCAUCCUUGAAAAAAUGAUAAAAGAAAGGCCUGGCAUGUGGCAUUUGAAGUUGAACGAGGCAUUAUGGGCAUACCGAACGACGCCCCGGUCGGCGACCACGACAACCCCAUACGCAUUAACCUACAGACACGAUGCAAUGUUACCAGUCGAGUUAAGCAUAAAUUCGUUGCGAUUAAUUGAACAAAGUAGUUUGUUUAGCGCCGAAUACAAUCAGUCCAUGAGACAAGAAUUAGAAGAUUUGGAAGAAGUGCGACUUGACGCUUAUAACUUACUGGUGGCACAGAAACGGAUUGCCGAACGAGCAUACAAUCAAAAGGUGCGACGGAAAACAUUCGGUGAAGGCGAAUUGGUUUGGCAAACGGUGUUACCCGUAGGACUAAAAGACCCUAGGUUCGGCAAGUGGUCGCCAAAUUGGGAAGGACCGUUCGUUGUACAUAAGGUAUACGAAAAAGGGGCGUAUCAUCUUCAAGACCGGACCGGUUCAGUUCACAAAUUACCAAUCAACGGGAAGUUUUUUAAAAAGUACUACCCGGUAACGUGGGAAAUGUGAGAAUAAACAAAACCAUCUCAUUAAGAUUGAUGAGCAUGUACAAGCUAAGUAAGUCAUUCAGGUUAAAACUAAGUACAUUCAAGGGGAAGAAGGUAAGAGGGUGCCGAGAAGGGCCUUCAAUUCCAACCACCGCACCUCGGCCAUGAUAACUUCAGCUUGCCGAUUCUUCUUGUCCAGCUUCAACCGCUCGACCCGCUUUGUUGUCGCUGCGUACUCAGUUAGGCGAUCCUUUCCACCCGACUCGAAGUCUCUAGCAAGCUCGGACGCGAUGGCCGAUCGACGUUUUGCUAGUUCAGCCAUCUGACGGUCGAGCUCGGCUAAUACUUCUCCUUUUGCCCUUAGAGCGUCGAUUUUCGGACGGAGAGUGUCUUGAACGGCCGUGGCAGCUUGCAGGUCCUGUUUGGCCUUUAGAGCGGUCUGGAAGACACUAAAUGUCUCCUGAACCCGCUCCAAAGCAGACGAUGCCCAAACGAUGGCAUUUCCGCUCAGGCGACCGUCGGCCCCAAGAUCGUUCAGACACACGCCAAGCAGAUCAAGACCGUUGCGCUCGAGUACUUGCGGUGCUGAAAGCGACAGAACUUCUCGCAACUGGGUUAGAGCGGUUGGAUCGGCAGCCUCAAUCGGAGCAGCCGAAGGCCCGGACUCGGCAGUUGUGCUGGAGAUGAGGGCUUUGAAUUCGACCUCCCACGAAGCAUGGACAUAUAAAUCAGUUUAGGCUUAAAGGAAGGCAGUGCAAGAAUAGCAAGAAGGUUUCAUUUUUUAACCUGCCGAGAGGAGACCUCGGCCAUGUCCCCAAGAUCGUUGCUCGAACCUAAAGAACUCAACGGCCGAGCCCAGUGUCUCAGAUUGCUUCUCAGUUCACGCGGUCGAUGGAGGUUAUCUACGUUUGAUGGCCACUGAGGCGGCCAAGAAAUAUAGAUAACGCCCUUCGGCGCGUAGAAUUGUCGGUGAAAAGAAUGUACAGGCACCUGACAUUUAGUAUUUUCCUCGUUUAGAAUUCUAAAGCGGAAAAGCAAUCAAGGAAAGACGGUGGAAGAUACUUACGAAGGCCGAAGUAGCCUCCUGCGGAGGAAUGUGGAAGCCCUGGUCUUGAGGAUGAACGAGCGAUUCCGCCGUUGCCUCGGGUUCCUCGACUGGUCGUUUGCCACGGUCGGCUGUGGAGGGGCCGACCGGGACAGCUGCUUCUGAGGAAGGAACACCCUGGUCCUAAGAAGGAGCAAGGGGUUCGGACACCGCCGUUGGUUCCUCGACCGGACGCUUGUCACGAUCGACCGUGGAGGGGCCGGCUUGAACUGCCAUCUCGGACACUGGAGGAGGUUGUCGGCGAGUAUGAGGACGAUGUGCCAGCGGGACCUCGUCGCUCCCCUCACUCUCUUUCAGAACGAAGACCGAGGGCUUUGGAUUUUUGGGAGAGGUGCCCUCGGUCGCAGAAACCGCCUUCUGUGGGACAGGUGCCUCCUCGACGGAGGGAGGCAUGACUGGUGUGCCGGCCCCAGAGACAGGCUGCGCUUGAACUAUCUCUGCGACCGAAGCUGGCGGUUUCUCGACCAAGGAAUGGCCGACGGCGGGAGAAGGGGAAGCACUGGGAGUCGUCAUCCCCGUAGUAUGACUGGAGAUGACGUGGAUGUCUCGUGCACCUUUCUUCGCCAGUGUUUUUACCCGCUUGCAGGCGGGGGAGACUCGACAGCCGGCUCGACCUCUGGGCAAGGCCGUUUGAUCAGCACGGCCCGACCAGCAGUUUUGUUCUUCUUGGCCACGACCGAUUUUUUCUCGGCCGUAGCAGCGGCAACUGCAUCCGUUUUUCUUGAAGGCCGACUACCUGAGAAGAUAAAAGCAAUUCAGCAAGGCAAAUCAGUAUGCAGAGUUGAAAGAAAAGAGGAGAAAUGAACAAUUACCUUGAGAUUGGGGGGCCGAGGCCUUCUUCGGUCGGUCACCGAAGAGUUUGUUCAGCACCUCUUCGACCGGAGCACCAAAGAACUCUUGGGUCUAAUUUUCCCACCAUUCACCGAAGGUGUCGGUGCAAAGGGUUUCUGGGGUGGCCGGUCGAAGGCGGAAUUUUUUGCAGUACUCUUGGAACUCCCUCGCGACAGUUUUACAUUCCUUCUCCGAGGAACGAGGUUCACGUCCACGGCUUAGGACUGUUCGGGAGGAGAGAAGGGGAACAGGGCAGCCCUGAAGAUAGCCGAGCUGUCGGGCAAGGAAGUUCGGAUGGUACACUUCCCAACCCGACCAUUUCCCAUCGCAGCCAAGAGGGAGGUCGCGAGCGAGCACAAACGACCCCCAAGUCUGACGAAGCUCGGCAUCCUCCUCCGCGCCCCACACAGAGGUAGGUAGUCUGAUGGAGGAAGGAUAGUCCCGAUGACGACAUAUCAAGAAUUCAUCGUUGGAGAGAUCAUCAAGAGCGAAGAGGUACCGAAAUACCUCUUCGGCUUGGUGAGGAGGUGUCGGUCGGGAGGCCAGCUGAGGUCCAAGAGCCUCCGUUGGCGAGAAGUCAGCUAUGGCCGGCCGAAGGGAGGCGAAGUACACUUGUAACCAGAGCUGGAAGACCCAGAGGGGACCAUUCUGGUGUGGGUCGACCUUGUGGAGGGUCGUCUCGGCCAGGCAACGGAAGAGAUGGGCGAGAAUGUUGGAACUCAGUGCCAGGACGUGACCACUAGCCAGGGCUUCGGCUACCAGCAUGUUCUCGACCAAACACUUGUUCGACUUGGUACAACAAAUGUAUUUGUUGUACCAAUAGAAGAGGAAGGCUUCAUGCUCUUCCUCUCGCAGGUCCUCUUCUCAUCGGCCGGCGAAAUGAAGAUAGAGGGUGUUGUAAUUAAAGAAGUUCUUGUGGAGCUUCUGAAUGUCUUCCUUCGACGGGAUUUGACCGUCACGGUUCAAGGUCUCGAAGGCUCGUCGAUCGAAAAGCGUCUUCAGAUCAAUAUUCGAUGGGUGCCCAGAGAGGGCCGCGUCGAUAGGGAUCCCGGUUGCCGAAGUCCCCAGAAUGGCGGUGACAUCAAGGAUGGUAGGACCGAGGGGACCAAGAGGAAGAACCAGGGUGUUGGUGGCCGAGCACCAGAAGCACAAGGCGGCUAGGAGAAGCUCCUUGUCGAGAAUGACAUCCAUUGACGAGAGAAUGAUGGCGUCGUAAAUGCCGAGGGCUCUCCAUUGCUCGCCGAAGAACCAUUCCAGGCUGCCCAGGUUGUGGUCGUCGAGGGCCAGGAGCCUUGGGGUUUCGCCGCAUCCCAUCUUGACCAUUCAAACCCUUGGAACAAGGGUGUUAGGCAGUGCUCCUGGAGAAGGCCAGUAAUGGUCGACGGUAUUGCAGCCUUGAAGAGAGGACCCAAGAUUUGGUGGACAGUGCUCAUGUCACUUUCAAACCGUAUGGUUUUGAUCGAGCUCCGAUCAAGGAUUUUCUGGUGCUGUUCACAUUCCCUGGAAAGCUUGGAGAUGAAAGACGCCAUUAUAGGAAGGAAGCACGGCGUAAAAGGUUUUCUGGGUUGGGGGAUUUGAAGAUGAAGACCUGGAACAAGAAAUGUGCUGGAGAAGAAGGGCAAGAGAUUUCAGAAAAUUUUGAGAGCAUAAAGUGCAAAUGAGAGAAUUCGGUAUUUAUAGAGUUGUGGAGGGAAGAGCAAUCGUUCGAAAUUCAAAACAAAGGGCAAAAUCAACCGAAGGAAUCGUUGAUCAUGAUGAACAUUUGGGAAAUGCAGUUGAGAAGACCGAAGGUUUCAGGUUUUGGGGGCGCACGAUCGCGUGUGAUGGCGAAAUUAAUGGCAGAAGACAUUUCGACGCUUGCACGAUGACAGGUGGACUCACGGAUUGAGAAAGCGGCUCGUGAAUUGAGGUAAUGGUUAAGUUGACGGUUCAGGUAGCCGCACGCCUUAGACGUCAUCAUUGGGGUUGGCCGUGUUGGAGAACGCCACGUGGCGAGUUUGGUUAGCAGGAUCAAGAUCGUGCAAUCAUGUUCAAUAAAUGCGCCUUGGAACUUGGGCAUUAGGGUUCUGAGUGGUAGAUUCGCUUCUUCAAGGCCGAAACUCGGCCAAAGAAUUCAGGCCGAGGACCUCAGAAGCGAGGGGGCAAUGUUUGGGCCCAAAAUAAUAGUUUGGGCCGAGGGUAGGAUCACUCUCGGCUCAAGAGGCCGUGCGGCGAAAGGGCCAUGGAUCGUUCAGCUCAUGGGCUUCCAAGCCUAGGUUGGUUAAAUCAGAACGCAAGCCGAGUCCUAGUACAAUAGGGACUCUCGACAGGAUCAGUAAUCCAGAAAGAGAAUCCAGCUCAGUUAAGGACUAGAUUCGUAGUCCUAGUGGAGAUAGGAUUGGUCGAGGUGAUGUUGAUCUAGGGAGGGAAACCUAGUCCGAAUAGGAUUGUAACUCGGGCUCGAGGACCAGCGCUAUAAAUAGGGGAAGUUGUGCAUUAACGAAGGACCCCUGCAAAUCAAUACAAAAUUGCCCUUCGCAAAUUCUCACAACUUGUGAUUUUUCUUUUUCCUUUUUCGCUGACACAUCUUCCGUUGGCAUCAACAGCACUGUGGAAGCAACCGGUGAUAUCUUAAGUCGGCAUAGAUAGCUCUGUCACCGUAGAAUCAAUCGGUCUCGCAGUAUCUUCCGUUGGCAUCAACAGCACUGCGGUGAGAACGGUUGAUUACCUAUCCAAGUCUCGGUCGAGAAGGGUUUCUGAACCCUUAUUGGUCAAGGUUAUCUCAUCAGCCUUCUCGGCGAAGUGAGGUGUUACACGUUAUUACGUUCGGCAUAUUGAAAGCCGAAUUUGAUAUUGAACUUCGUAAGAAUAGUAACCUUGUCUUCAGGUUCAAGAGCCCAAGAGGCCGAGACGUGUUCCUUUCUCGACCGCAAUCGCAAGACGCAGAAGUCAGCCGCGCACCCAACGCAACAUCAACAAAUUUACUCCUCGGUCGAGCUCGGCCGACGAGUUGGCAAGCCCCGCAUUCACCGAAUGACGUAGUUAGCUCAUUAAUUACUCGGCCUGCGUGCCACAUAGGCUUUGUAGUUUUUAGGGUCAACAGUAUCAGAAUUAACAAUACCGCGAAAUAUUCCAGUAAACUAGCUUCAUUUGGAGGUUGAAAUAACUUGUCUUCCUGCCCUAGUAACAUAGGGUUCUUCUUGCCUAUCUGCGUUAGCUAAGCUUUCCCAUAACUGUAGGAUUACAUCAAGGCUCAUCCUUAAGUCCUUACCUUUUUGCGUUGGUAAUGGAUGACUUAACAGGACAUAUUCAAGAUGAUAUUCCUUGGUGUAUGUUUCGCAAACGAUAUAGUGUUGAUAGAUGAAACUCAGGAAGGGGUAAAUGCAAAGCUUAACCUUUGGAGAGAAGUGUUGGAAUCUAAAGGUCUUCGCCAAAGCCGAUCAAAGACAGAAUAUAUGGAGUGCAAGUUCAGUGCAAAUGGAGGCCAAAACGAAUUAGGGGUGAGGAUCGGAGAUCAAGAAAUACCAAAGAGCGACCGUUUUCGUUACCUAGGAUCUAUCUUGCAAAAGAACGGAGAAUUAGAUGGAGAUCUCAACCAUAGAAUACAAGCUGGAUGGAUGAAGUGGAAGAGUGCAUCCGGCGUGUUGUGUGACCGCCGUAUGCCACUGAAGCUCAAGGGAAAAUUUUAUAGGACGGCAAUAAGGUCGGCGAUGCUGUAUGGCACAGAAUGUUGGGCAGUGAAGCAUCAACACGUACACAAAAUGGGUGUAGUGGAGAUGGGGAUGCUUCGUUGGAUGUGUGGGCACACGAGAAAGGAUAAGAUUAGGAAUGAGGAUAUCCGGGGUAAAGUAGGAGUAGCUGAAAUUGAAGGAAAGAUGAGAGAAAAUCGGUUACGAUGGUUUGGACAUGUGCAAAGAAGGCCUACUGACGCUCCGAUUAGAAGAUACGACUAUGGGACAAAGGUUCAGGGCCGAAGGGGUAGAGGAAGACCUAGGAAAACUUUGGAAGAGACCCUAAGAAAAGACUUAGAGUACUUGGAUCUAACGGAGGACAUGACAAAUGACAGAACAUAAUGGCGUUCUAAGAUUCAUAUAGCCGAUCCCACUCAAUGACUUGGAUUUUCCAAGUCUCCAACCGAGAAGUUUUCCUCACUCGGGAAAUUAAGGGAACACUACCUCAACCUACAUGCUCCACUCACAAAGCUUCAACAUGCAAGUUUUAACAAAAGAAAAUUCAAAGAACUUAGCGAAGAAAGCUUUGGUGUAUUUAACACAAUACGUUGAAAUGAAGGAAAACUUAUUUAUUGAUAUCCCCGAUAAGUUACAAAUAUGUACAUAUACAUGAGUCAAAAUAAACAAACAAGAGGGAGCCUUCACAAAGGUUGUUUAGGAGAAGUCUCAGCAGUCGGUAGAGCCCCAGAAAGAGAAGGCACCGGAGGGGGAUCAUUCGGAGCCUCAGUACUGGACAGAACCCUAGAAGGAUGAGGCAUCAGAGGUUGAUCAUUUGGAGCUUCAUUACGCGGUACAACCCUAGAAGACGAAGGCAAUAAAUGCCUUUGGAACAAACCCACAAAUCUCUGAUGAUCAAGUAAAACCUGACCAUCAGAUUCCUUCAUUACGCGCCAUAUGUUGUCUGGAGAAGGCGGGGCUGCCUCUUCAACAAGGUUCAAGUCAAAACGACAGUCGGAGGGGCCAGACAUUUUCAAAGGUGUUGAAGAGAGAAGAGGUCGGACAAAGCAAGAUCUUAGAAGUGCAAGAAUGGAACUUCUACUGGUGGAGAUUCAAGUGUGUUUUGGAACUUAAUGCCAGCCCUAUAAAAAUCUGCACUCGACGAAGCUUCAAAAAUCGAAGAGGCGUCUGCUCAGAAAUCGAAGAGGCGUUUGCUUUCUCAAAAGAUGGGCUGCUCAAAGACCACGAAGGCCGAUCUCAGAAAUCGAAGAGGCUUGCUUUCUCAAAAGCUGGGCUGCUCAGAGACCACGAGGGCCGAUCUCAGAAAUCGAAGAGGCACAUACUUUUCCAGCCUUGUCAGCACUUGUCACACGCACACUCAGCUUUGCGGAAAUUAUGAGCAUUCUGUCGAAGAUUUCUGGUGAAGUAGAAAUCACAUGAAUCGUACUGUUUAAUCACCCACUUCCCACACGCAACAGUAGCUCAUGGGUACCACAGAUAACUUUGCCAAAGUUCUCUGACAAAGUUGAGACACGUGAAGCUUGCAGCUCCCACUACCUUGCUCUGACCAAGAAGGGUAAAAGAAUAGCAAAGAAACAACACUAACAAAGUUUAGACACGUAAAUUUUCAAGGUCUAGCUACCAUAUUAUUACCCACAAGGGUAAAGGAACAGUACCACUGUUGGAUAAUUGGAAGGUCCCGGUGUGUCAACCUCUGUACUUCGUGGCAAGGUAGACUAGCAAACAUGCCCAACCUUUACUCACAUUCGAGAAAAUACUCCCAACAAGAUUGCUUGCUCCAAAAUUGAAGAGGCACCGUCUUCCAAAUCUCGAGAGCCAGACUCCCAACAUGAUUACUUUCUCAAAAUCGAAGAGAGGGUAAAGGAACAGUACCACUGCUGGAUAAUUGGAAAGUCCCUGUGUGUCAACCUCUGUGCUUCGUGGCAAGGUAGACUAGCAAACAUGCCCAACCUUUACUCACAUUCGAGAAAACACUCCCAACAAGAUUGCUUGCUCCAAAAUCGAAGAGGCACCGCCCUCCGAAUCUCGAGAGCCAGACUCCCAACAUGAUUACUUUCUCAAAAUCGAAGAGAGGGUAAAGGAUCAGUACCACUGCUGGAUAAUUGGAAAGUCCCUGUGUGUCAACCUCUGUGCUUCGUGGCAAUGUAGACUAGCAAACUUGCCCAACCUUUACUCACAUUCAAGAAAACACUCCCAACAAGAUUGCUUGCUCCAAAAUCGAAGAGGCACCGCCCUCCAAAUCUCGAGAGCCAGACUCCCAACAUGAUUACUUUCUGAAAAAUCGAAGAGACGCCGCUCUCCGAAUCUCGAGAGCCAGACCCCCAGCAGGAUUGCUUUCUCAAAAAAAUCGAAGAGGCAUCGUUCUCCGAAUCUCGAGAGCCAGAUCCCCGACAGGAUUGCUUGUUCGAAAACCGAAGAGGCACCACUUUCCCAACUUCAAGAGCUGAAUCUCCUUGGAUAAAGCUUGUCUGUAAUCUUCACAUGCAACAUCAGCUUUCCAGAUACCACAUACCACUUUUUCAAAGUGCUCUGACAGAGUUAAAACAUGUGAAGCUGGCAGCUCCCACUACCGUGCUAUGACCAAGCAGGGUAAAGGAAUAGCAUUAUUACUUGAUGUUAGGGAAACUUCUAUAUAUGUCGACCUUCAUCCCCAACGGACAGGCAGACCUGUAAAAAUGCUCAACCCUUCCUCUUAUCUGAAAGGGACGAAGCCUUUCGAAAUAUUCAGCUUUCUUUCCCCCCGAUAAUACCUCUGCAAACAAGCUAUACUAGAGCAAGAAUAUCUCAUAUCAUCAGGGUUAAAAGCAAGAGUAUCCCAUAUCAUGCUUUUUCCCUGUCUUUUCCUUUGGCCUUGUUCUUACCUGCAAGACAAUGAGAAAGAGAGCAAUCAGUCAGCACUUGGAAUCAAGCUUCCAGCCAGGAACUGACUGCCUGGAACCCCUUACCUGAGUACUUACCUGGCAUUGCUCUCGAGUACUCAUCUUCAACAUCUUAUGCUUCCAGGGAAGAUACCGCAUCUGCCUGAGGAACAGAUAGGGCAAGUGAGAAGGAUACAAAGAAGCAUGUGGAGACAAGCGUAACAGCACACGUGCCGAUACAUCCACUACUCUGUCAAAAGCAAAAGUAUCCCAUAUCAGCAGGGUCGAACGUACUCUAGAUUUGAUGGACUUGUUUUUACCCUCAAAUUCUUCAGUCGGCCUUAUACUCUGGAGGAAACCAGAAAACCCUCCAGCCCAGUUCAAGAAUAAGCAUGUGGAAAGUUAUUUAUUCAAAAGCAAAAGUAUCCCAUAUCAUCUCUUCUCAUUUUUCUUCUCUUUAUCCUUCAUGCUGCCUGCAAGAUAGGGAGAAUGUGAACAAUCAGCCAGAGCUCUGGUUGCUUACCUUGUCUGUCACCUCUUUCAACAGAUCCCCUAGCUCGGCGACUUGGGGGACUCCUACUACAUGGUUUGUAUCGCGCUUGAUCAAGCCUGAAAUUGAUACAUUACCUUGUGCAUCUCCACCAGUUAAAGAUACCACCCCUGGAUGGAGGAAGAGUACUUCCAGAGAAGAUGCCACAUCUACCUAUGAGACAGAUAAGGCAAGUCAAGACGAUACCACACUCCGGUACUUAGAAGUUUCGUGAUUACGAGAUCAUUCUCCCAAAAUAUUUCCUAAUGUCAUUUGUACUAAAUCAUUCACUUGUACUCACUAAAGGAGAGCUUGAACCUAUGUACUUGUGUAAACCCUUCACAAUUAAUGAGAACUCCUCUAUUCCGUGGACGUAGCCAAUCUGGGUGAACCACGUACAUCUUGUGUUUGCUUCCCUAUCUCUAUCCAUUUAUAUACUUAUCCACACUAAUGACUGGAGCAAUCUAGCGAAGAUCACAAAAAGCGACCGUUUUCGCUACCUAGGAUCUAUCUUGCAAGAGAACGGAGAAUUAGAUGGAGAUCUCAACCAUAGAAUACAAGCUGGAUGGAUGAAGUGUAAAAGUGCAUCCGGCGUGUUGUGUGACCGUCGUAGGCCACUGAAGCUCAAGGGAAAAUUUUAUAGGACGGCAAUAAGGCCAGCGAUGUUGUAUGGCACAGAAUUGUUGGGGUGUGAAGCAUCAACACGUACACAAAAUGGGGUGUGGCGGAGAUGAGGAUGCUUCGUGGGAUGUGUGGGCACACGAGAAAGGAUAAGAUUGGGAAUGAGGAUAUCCGAGGUAAAGUAGGAGUAGUCGAAAUUGAAGGAAAUAUGAGAGAAAAUCAGUUCCGGUGGUUUGGACAUGUGGCAAAGAAGGCCUAAGACUCUGACGCCCGGUUCGAAAAUGUGACUAGGGGACAGAGGUUCAGGGCCGAAGGGGUAAAGGAAAAGACCUAGGAAAAAACUUUGGAAAGAGACCCUAAGAAAAGACUUGAGUACUUGGAUCUAACGGAGGACAUGACACAAAACCGAGCGCAAUGGCGUUCUAGGAUUCAUAUAGCCGACCCCACUUAGUGGGAAAAGGCUUUGUUGUUGUUUGUUUGUUUGUUGAGAUUUACUAAGAACGAGAGUAAAGUCAUUGGAUCCUACAUGCAUCCACAACAUUGACCUCUUUCGUCGUGCCAAAACUAGGUGGGACAUCCUCAUCAUCAUCAUAUUCAACAUACGUAUUACCUUUUCCGAUGUAGUUUUGAAGCCAAAACCGAAAUGAAACCAAACCAUUUGGUUUGGUUCGGUGCCGUUUCAAACGGUUUUGGUUCGGUUUUAGAAAAGAAAAAAAUUUACAAUUUAAAAUUUAUACCUAUAUACGCAUAACACGGUCUCAUUUUUCACACAAUAUAUUAAUUAAUCAACCCAUAUGAGAAUUCUUUUCUUUACUGCUCUCUCUAUUCUCUAAUGUACAUUUGAUCACAACAAGAAAAUGGUACGGGAGAAUGAUAUAUAAACAACUAGCUUAGCAUAGCUAGCUAAUUGCACGAAUGAUGGACUCUGUGACUGAGCAGGAAAAAGCACCCAAAUGGAGUGAUGUGGCUAGGGAUGGGCAAAAUACCAUGGAUUUGGGUAACCGCGGUUACCCAUCCAUUUAAAGUUCACGGUUACGGUUAUGGGUAACCGUUUAGACGAACAAACGGUUAUGGGUAUAAACGUUUAUCCAUGAAAUUUAAAUGGGCGGUUAUGGGUAUUAUCCAUGGUUAUAACGGGUAUCCAUCGAUUAUGGGUAUUACUAGCGGUUAUAACAGGUAUCCAUUUACCCAUUUAAUUUAAUAUAUGUAAAAUUUAAAAAAAAAAUUUAAAUCCUAAAUUUUCAAUCACUCCGCCAAACUCAGAGUCUUAAACGCCUUGUCCCCCGCUCAUCUCUCCCUCCUCACUGCCCUUUGUCUCAUCUUCGCCAUUGUGAGGCGAAAACAAUUCAAGUAAACAGUUAAGUGCUAAAUCACCUUGUCCAUGUAACGAUUGAUGAGAGCAGGGAUAUCCGAUUUAGGUUCGAGUCCUCCAAAUAAGGAUCCCAUGAGGGUUUUGCCGCUGUGAAGGAUAUCAUGAAAGGGAAGGCUCGCCUUUGAGGCUCUGACCCUGGCUUGUCGACACCUACCAUAACUGUCUCUCCCCAACCCUGAAGUUCAAAAGAACGAUAAUAUUUCAAUGCGUAGUGCAGACAAAUUAUAGUUGCCUAGGUUCAUCAUGAUGGUUGAUCAGUACGAUGCAGAGCAUAUUCUUGUUUUGUAAUUUUCAAGUUGUUAAAAAAAAACAUGUAGAUGGAUGAAAAAAAUGGGUAAAUAGGUAAAAAAAAGAUAAACAGAUUCAAAAACGGAUAAAUAGUUAUGGUUAAAUGGGUAAACGGUUAUGGUUAAAUGGGUACACAGUUAUGGGUAUGGUUAACCGUUUAUAAACGGUUAUGGGUAUGGGUAUAACCGUUUAUGCAAUUACCCAACGGGUAAACAGUUAUGCGAGUAUGAACAUAAACGGUUAUGGGUAAAUAACUGCAGUUACCCAUCCGCUAUAAUCGUUGCCCAUCCCUAGAUGUGGCUUAUUAUUUGAUCAGAGAUUGGUCUUUGUAUCUCUCAUUUUGUGACUAACUCUUACUUGAAAAUUAGGAUUCUGAGGUGCUUUUACUGGUAAUAAAAUGUUCAUCUUUUCCUGUAAAGAAACAGUGAAGAUGCCAAGCUUGAUAAGGGUUAUAACUUUGGGAAAAAUAAUCAUUAUUAUGAAAUGUAAACACUAGAUCUAUGGACUCUAACAAACCACCAAUUAAAACACGACAUCUAAUUUGAGGUGCGAUUUCGGUUUCGGUGCGAUUUUCAAAAGCCAAAACCGAAACCAAACCGUUUCAUACACUGCAGUUCGGUUUCAAAACCACAACCAUUUCAAAACCGCAAAACCAAACCAUUCAGUGCGGUUCAAUUUGGUUCAUGUUUGGGUUUCGGUUUUGGGUUUCAAGUGCCCACCCCUAGCACUAAGUGGCUUAUCACACAAGUUUUAUGUAAAGUGAUUAAACAACUUAGCAUGAGUCAAUUUACUAGAGAUUCUUGCGAAGGACAAUGAGAGAUACAACUCACCGUCUAGCAAGGAAGUCGAAUCUAAAAUAGUGAAGAGGAAUAUUACUGGACCAUAUUAAGUGGCAUCAUAUCUUCUGAAUCUUUUAAAAUCGCCUUGACUAGAAACAACAAACUCACUCAUAGUUUUAGCCUAUCAAUUACAUUCUUCAAUGUACAACCCCUCACUCCAACUUUCUCAGAAACCUGUUUGUAGCCUAACAUGGGUUCCUUCAGAAAAUCUGAAUUAAAAGGAAGGACAUUGCACCACUGCCCCGUCAAAGUUUUUGAUGAUUCAAAUACCCCUUAAAUUUUGGGGUCAAUAUUUUUUUAUGGUCAACGUUAGGCGUCCAGAUGAUGGGCAAUUUAUCAAUUUGGAUAUCAUUGAGGACUGAAUUCGGAUGCAUAAGGUCUAAGCAAGAAGUACAGACAGAUCAUUCCAAUGCAUUUUACACUCGUUAAUCAAAUACAGUUGAAUCUGAUUCUCACGGAUGCAUUGUUAAUUACCAUAACGCCUUUCAAGCAUUUCACUCAGAAAAAAGAAACUAUAAUAAAAUUGUGCAUGACGUCGAUCAAGAUAAUAUAAGGAUUCGACGUAAUCAUGGAGUGCCGGCUGUCGACUACCUGACGUCCUCCCCCUCCUCCUUUAUCCGGGCUUGGGACCGGCAAUGUAAGAUAAACUUACACGGCGGAGUUCAUUUACCAGGUAAAGAAAGUACCUCAUCUCAUAACCGGUUUCCAGCUUCCUUGAAUAAACAGAUGUUCUUUGAGACUGCAUCGUACUCACUGGAGUUGCUUGUUUUGCUUGUUUCCUCUAGAUGAAGGUUGCUUUAAUCCAACCAAAUCACUCUCGUAGAUGAGACGGACUCCGCACCUCUUCACCUCCAAACCAGAGCCUAAGGUUUAAAUGUAAACUCAAGGUGAUGACAACUGUCUUGCCAUGUUGUACCAAAGUAUUCACCAGAUACAAAGGAUAGCCAAAUGUGCUCUUUCUCAAUUUGCCCUAAUUCUUCGCUGCAGGCGAAGGAAGGACACCAGCCACCUACACCCAAAUUCCCAGGCUUAACUUCGCAACGAAGACCAUGUGCAGUGGUAUGGGUUCCGUAGUUCCAUUUACCAAGCAGAUUAGGUGGGAGUCGUCGACGGAGAGUGAAAACAGCACACAAUGCAUAUCCCAUCCACUCGUUCUUAUACCAGUGUUGAGGGAGCUCCACGCUUACCACAGGCCUCUCACUUCGAUAACCAAACCACUCAGAAAUUUCACUGCCAGGAUAUAUAGCUUCAAAAUUAUUCCCUACGUAAGGGAUUCCCUAUAUGAUACAAAAUUACAAAUAGUGAAGUUAAACAAUUGAUACGUCCGUCUUGUAAAUAAGUACAAAAUGCUUCUUUUUUUUUUCUUUUUUUUUUCUUUUUCUGUGUGUGUGUGUAAGAGAGAGAGAGAGAGAACCUCAAGGAAUCUCCUUAACGCUGCAAAUGCUACAUUGUUGCAGCCUUGGUCGUCAACCACUUCAAAGCAAUUAAUAAAACUGAAACAUGAUGACAGCCUUUCCCGUGAAAAACUGCCUUUUCCCUCAACACUCAAGUUCAAUUCUGCUGAAAGGUCCGGCAAUUUUUUAAGACACUUACAACCACCCAAAUUCAAAAUCUGAAGCUUAGACAGCUCUGUGAUGCUCUUGGGAAGACUAACAAAACUGUUUUUACUUAGAUUAAGCGAUACUAUUGAGGACAAGCAGCCAAGAUUUUCCAGGAUUGUUACCUCCUCAAGAUUACAGUCACUGAGAUUCAGCACUGUCAAAGAAAGCAAACCAGAAUCUGUGGUCGGCAACAGCAAACUCAGUAGACUUGUCUUCUUUCUUCGCAUCGAUUUGCAACCACAAAUGGAUAACAAUUCAAGAUUUUCCAGGCGGGAAAUGGAGGAUGGUAGAUCAUUAAUAGAGGUACCGCCCACAUCAAGCUCCUUCAAACAAACCAUAUUUCCCAAGUUUUUUGGCAGUUCUUCAAGCUUUGAGCAUCCACUGAGAUUGAGACUUUUGAGGGAACGCAACUGGCAAGUACUGCUUGCAAGGGAACUGAGAUUUCUGCAAUCUCUCAGGUUUAAUAAAGUAAGGCCAGUCAGACAUUCGAUCGAAGAAGGUAAUUCUUCUACAGCAGUCUUAUCUAAAUAAAGUUCCAACAAGUUUUCCAUAGGUCUCACAAAUUCUGGAACUUUAUUAAUUUUUGAACAACCAGAAAGAAUAAGAAUUUGAAGACUUUCCAUUUCAAAACAUUUGGGAAGGCGUUUAAGACUUCUGCAGUCCUUAAGAUUUAAGAAAAUAAGCCUUUUGAGCUCAGCAAUGGAUGGGUCGAUCAUCACCAAGUUUGUACAGCCUUCAAGAAUUAAUCUAUGAAGAUUUGGAGUAACAGUAAAGUCCGGGGUCCUGGUCAGGUUCUGGGAGUAGCUAACAUUAACGAAUUUCAGAUUGCCUAAGCACUGUUCAAAACAUUAAAGCACAAAAUUUAGUACUUUAUAUAAAAAAAAAAAAACCCAACUUUUUAUGUGCUACCCAUAAUCUGACCUUUGUUCUAUUCCAAAGUUGUCCAAUGCUGCUAUGGGACAAGUUAACUUCACAAAGUUGCUCAAGUUCAAAUUCUCGUGGGAGAAAUUUUGAAGGAUACCCACUCCAUUCAAGAAACUUUAAGGCAUUAGAAAGUUUUUUUGGGCCUUGGGUCAUUCGCAGAUUAUGAAUUUGGAGAAAUCUGAGAUUAUGCAUCGUCGAGAAGGCCUCCAAGUCCCAACAUGCCUCUUUCAAUUUAGGGAAGUCUAAGGCUAUACCUUCAACUGCAUUUGUACCCUGAUAACAGAGAAUUCAGAAUAAGUUCAUUAGACAGUAUAAUUAAGUUUAGAAGUACUUACUAAAUUAGUAUACUCCAUCUUCCUUCAAAACCACUUACCGUAUUAUUCCUCAAUACAUGAAUGACAUCAUCAUGAAGCCACAACCUGCUUUGCUCUCCAGGAUCCUCAACAGCAUCUCUGCGUACCAAUUGUCGUCCCAAUUCUUGUAUCAACCCAUGCAUCAACACUUUGUUAUUUGAAAUAGUUAUGAGAGAUUUCUCAAAGAGAGCUUCCAUCCCAUCCUUCGGAUUAAAUCCAAAACAAUCUAGUAUCUCUACCACUCGUUCCUUGUCCAUUCCUUGAAAGAAACAAGCAAUAUCUAGAAACAUUCUUUUCUCAUUGUCCGCCAGUCCAUGAUAACUUAUUUCAAGUGCUUGAGAAACAUUUUUAUCAGGAACAUGCUUCAGCUUUUCCAAUGCAUUACGCCACUCUCCCGGACUUCUGUGGAACAGAGAGGAUCCCAAAACCUUGAUUGCUAAAGGAACGCCUCCAGCAUAAUGAACCACCCGUUUAGACAGAUCCAAAUAAUAUUCUCGGGGUUCAUCACUUUUAAAGGCGUGAAUAUUGAAGAGCUGACGCGACUCACCCUCACUUAAUCCCUUAACUUCAAAUAUGCUUUCUACACCAUGCUCUCUUAGCAAAUUCUCAUUUCUAGUUGUAAUGAUGACUCUGCUCCCCAAACCAAACCAUUCUUUGUUUCCACCCAAUGAUUUCAGUUGGUCUAAGUCGAAAACAUCGUCUAAAAUGAGAAGAACCUUUCUCUUACAUAGAAUGUUCUUUAUCAUUAUGGCUCCCUCGUUAACAUUUGGAACAUCUAUGCCUUGCCCCAAAGCCUCAUAAAGAAGUUUCUUUUGCAAUUGCAGAUGACCCAGUGUUUCGCUUAGCCCACAAGUAAUCCAGGUGAAAAUUUCAAAUUCAUUGGAAAUGUUGUCAAAAACCACUCUGGCGAUAGUUGUCUUGCCCAUCCACCAAUUCCGCAUAUCCCUAUGAAGCGAACAUCAUUAGAUUUGAUGUCCAAAAGCCUAUUUAGUUCCUCUACUCUUGAGUCAAUUCCCACUAGGUCCUCAAGAUAAGAUGGCAGAGUUUGCAAUGUAUUCAAAACCCAUUGAACAAUUCGUUGGAUAAAUUGUGCCUCAUACCUAUGCAGAAGAAAAUAAAUGUCAAUCAUUCGGAAAUAUUUGAAAGAAUCCCGAUUGUAGUGUAAGCCUUUUGUUUAAGAACAAAAAUGUAUGACAAUAACCUAUCGUUCUCUCAUGAGAGAACUAAUAGAAAAGCUAGCAAGCAACGAAAAUUCAUCUCUUUGGACAGCUUAACAUAUGUUAUCAUAAAUUACAGCAGGAAAGAAUACAAGCAUACAUAUUACAUAGCAAAAACUGAAAUAAAAUAAAAUUUAUUUGCUACUGAAAGGAACUACCCACCCAUCCUCGUCCUUGUAUAGGUCAAAUCCAGACAGAUUGGCUAAUUGACGAAGAGCAUCCCUCCAGGCGCGCACUUUGUCGAUAUUGUCAUUGAAACGUCCUUCAUGCUCGGCAAAAAAGUCACCGAAAUCGCCUGUCUGUUUUCGUACCUCGGAUGGGCUCACAUCAUAGAAGACAGGCAAAACUAUCUGGCGAGCCACUUCCUUGCAUUCCAUAAUUUGCUGAAGCUCAUCCAAGCACCAUGUUGACCUGGCAUACUUUCUUGAAAGAAUGACAAUUGAAAUUUUUGAACUUUUAAUUCCCCGAUAAAGUUCAUCAUCUCCAAAUACGACGACUCCUCGGUUACUCAGAGCAGCACGUAGUUGGUCUGCGAAAUUCCUGCGAGUGUCUUCGCCACUGAAACUGAGGAAGACAUCGUAAUCAGUUGUUUGCGCAGUCGCCGUGGAUCCCAUCGGAAUACUCGGCUUUCUUCUUUUUCUUGAUUGCGUGGUGGCGAUGGAUCCCAACGGAAAUCUCUGCUCUCUUCUUCCUUAAUGGAACCCCAGACCGAUCAAAUCCAGAUCUCUCGGUCUUCUAGCAUAGGAAUGGAAUAUGAAAUGUCAACGGCCAAUUGCAACCGUCCGAUGCGGAGCAGCAAAUCUCACCCGUCUAAUAAGUUCCAGUCGCCAUCCACUGUUGCUCUAGUUUCUCUCGUUUUAUUUUUAUUUUAUUUGUGUGGGGUCCAUUAUUAUUAUUAUUAUUAUUAUUAUUAUUAUUUUAUAGGAAAAAUAAUGUAUUAAAUAGAACAACCCCUUACACAACCAGUGUCAUUACCGUCGAAAAGAAAAGCCAUAUUAGCUUCCAUUGGGAGAAAAACAUCCCAAAUGCAAAGCUCCUUUCUCUUCAGCCCAACAGACGCUAUGGCAUUUGUAACAAAAUUUGCUUUCUUAAAAAUAUACCUCCACUUGAUAUCAUGAAAAUUUGUUUGAAGCACACCACCUGGGAUCCAUUAUUUUGAAUUAAGCACUUUGUCAUAUUUACGAUACAGCGUUUUUCACGGACAAACUUACCAUCUAAUCUUAAUUUCAAGCACACCCAUCAGUGUCAUCACCAUUUUCCAUUCAGAGCGGAUUCAGGUAAAUCCAUCCAUCUAUCACGAAAGUGAGAAAUUCAUUCUCAGAGUGAAGUGAAUUGACUAUUGAAGUUCGUUUCUUCUUUUCUAUAUUUCCUUUUUUUUUUUAGGUCAAAGUUUUAUUUGAACUUGUGAAAUUGUGAUUAGAUGGUGGGUAGUGAAAUGAAAUUGUAAUUAGAUACAGUUUCUCUCUUAAUCGAAAUUGUGAAAUGAUGGAAUUAAACUCGGAAAAUUAAAGCCCACUUUUCAUGAAUUUUUCCGCGCGGCAAUUGUUGAUUUCUGCGCGUCAAGUAGCCAAGCACAUCAAAUCCAAUUCACAUCCCUCAAUUCCUGACUUGUUUUUUCCACACACAGACAUACUAUAAAAUCAGUUUCUAGUUAAAUACACUUUUCUUUUUCUUUUUUUAUAGAAAAUCUCGACGGUACGAAGAGAAUUUAUUGAUAUCGAAAGAAAAAAAAACACCUAAUUAGGGAGACAUAAACCUAACCUCUCAUAAUACAAGAAAAAAUGAUAAAAGAUACAUGAAAAAAGGAAGACAUAAACUUUACCCUUCUAGAAACAAAAACAACAAAGAUACAAGCAACAUCACAAGGUUAAGAAGAAAGAUAAGAAGGUGAGACAAACUUGUAUGCCUAGAUGCACAUUUAUUUGAGAAGCGGAAGUCAGGAAAGCCAACAUAGUCUGAAGAACCGUCAUAGGAUUUGAAUCAUGCCAUACCAAAGUUGGAGAAGACAAGACCAUGUUAGCAAAAGUGUCUGCAACCACAUUUCCUUCACGAUAUAUGUGAGAGGAUAGAAUGUCAUCUUUCGAAUGCAGUCCAAACAAAUAGACCAUUGCGUACGAAGAGGCUAAUGAGGAUCAAAAUUAGUCGAUUGGAGAGUAGAAACAACACUAGAAGAGUCAUUUUCCAGCCAAAGACAAUGUCGACCCCACUUAUAAGCAAACUCUACGCCAAUAAUAACUAUUGAUAGUUCUGCAAAAAAAAAAAGAGUUGCGAUGACAAUUCCUUGGCAGAAACCACCAUGAAACUGACCAUGCCAAUCUCGAAAGACUCAUUCACAAGCAAGAGCAAUGGAUCGAUACUAAGCAAUGGUAGCAGCCAUGGACGAAGGGAGGUAAGUCCUGGGGGGGUUUUAAACACCCCUUCUCCCUUUUUUUUCCCUCACGUACUAAUGUUUAAACCUUGCUGAGUUACAUGUAUUUGAUUAAUUAGUACGAAUGAGCAUUAGAUUUCCAAUACAACAAUUAAAAACAAAAUUAGACAAUAGGGUAAUAAAAUUAGUCAUUUGUAAAAAAAAAAAAAAAAAAAAAAAAAAAAAAAAAAAAAAAAAAAAAAAAAACUAGCUUUAUUUGUCCAAAAAAUGAGCUGAAAUUUUUAAGGUGCCCCCUCUUAGUUAAAUUUAUGGCUUCGUCCCUGGUAGCAACCCUUUCUACUUUAGGGGAUAAGGACCACAAAGUUGCAAUUAAUAUUUAGAUAAAGUCAGCCCCGCUUAAAAAAAUCUUGUACAAAUGCAAUAACAUCUAAAUCAACAAAUCCAAGCAUGAUUGAUAGAAAGAAGCAGGAAAAGAAUCACAUCCCGGAGCACUUGAGGGAUCCAUAGAAAAAAAAUGGCUUUUUUGAGUUCAUUAGCACAAGGUAAACAAGAAAGAGCAAGAUUUUCCUCUUCUUUAACCAUAGGUGGAAUUACACCACAAACAUCCUCAAUUCCAUUUGAAGUGAACAAAGAGUUAUAUAAAGAUUGAUAAAAGUUUACCACAUGACUAGCAAUAUCAACAAGGGAAGAUGGCACAUUAUCACCAUCCAAUAGAGUAACAAUCCUGAAAGAAGAAAGCCUACCUCGAGCAUAAGUAUGGAAAAAAACAAUAUUACGAUCACCUUUAGUAAGCCAAAAAGUUUCUCACAUAUGAAGAGCAUCUAGGACAGUUGUCUUAGCCACAGCUUCCUCAUUAAACCUCUCUUGAAAAUUCCCAUUAGAAAAACAGUAUUUUGGAUAUUAUGAAGUUUGUCCUUAGCAAUAGUGAUAUUUCUAUGGACAUUAGCAAAAACAUAACAAACAUGGGACACCCGUAUGCAAUAGUUGACUGCCAGCACUUAGCAACCAAAUUAGAAAAGCUUGAAUGUAAAGUCCACAUGGAUUGAAAUCGAAAAGGUCGGGGAUCCUCCAAGAAGAGUAGCAAAAGCUGAGAAAACAAGACAAUUAUGACCAGAAACUACCCUUGGCAAAGUUGAACAAUUUGUAUGAGGUCAAGACUGUAACUAGCGUGUGUUACAAAGAGAGCGGUCAAGAAGCCUCUCCAUGUAACCACAGACACUCCAACCAUUAGUCCAAGUAUAAAAAGCACAAGUAGUAUCCAUAUGAGUAAAUUCACAAAGCUCAAUAGCAGUACGAAAGUCCUCACACGAAAUUCGAGCAAGCGACUCCUCAUUUGUUCAUGAGCUCCAACAAUAGCAUUAAAGUCACCAAUUGCCAUCCAAGGUAUUGUAGUAUUAGAAUGAAUACUUAAAAGAUCACAUCAUAAAGCACGACGAAGACUCGAUGUAGUAGCCGCAUAAAAAAAAAAAAAGUAAACCGAGAAAGAACACCAUCAAAAGAAGCCUGAAAAGUAAUUUGUUGUCCUGAAGAAGAAAUCACAAUAGGAGAACAAUAACUCGUAGAAUACAAAACCCAAUUAUUAGGUAGUAAAUCACCCCUGUUAGUAGCAGUAAGCAAAGAAAGACCUAAUGAAUUCCAAUGACUAGAGGGAAUAGAAUUAAAAGUAACCAUAGGUUCAUAAAUGCAAACCAAUCCGAAUGAUGGGAAUGACAAACAUUGGAAAGCUCCGUAUGCUUAUCAGAAUUAACAAUACUACGAAAUAUUCCAGUAAACUAGCUUCAUUUGGAGGUUGAAAUAACUUGUCUUCUUGCCCUAGUAACAUAGGGUUCUUCUUGCCUAGCUGCAUUAGCUUUUUAUUUUUUUUAUUUUAUUUCUUUGCUGAGAUUUACUAAGAACGAGAGUAAAGUCAUUGGAUCCUACAUGCAUCCACAACAUUGACCUCUUUCGUCGUGCCAAAACCAGGUGGGACAUCCUCAUCAUCAUCAUAUUCAACAUGGGUAUUACCUUGGUUGGUUGUAACUCAAGAAGCAAUCCGUCUGCAUUUGUCUCUAACUGUCCAUGAUGCACUGCAAACGAAUCAAUUACCCUAUCAGUCAACAUACUUAACUCAUUAUUCACAACACUCAUUAGUAUUUGAUUUGCAAAACCGUUAACUUGGUCAGCAUGACGUUGCUCAAGAGAGCUACACAAUGGAAUCUCCAUGCCAUUAUGAAGUUCAAAAGUAUGUUCUUUGUGAAUAAUUUCAACUGAAGGAGAACGUCCCUUGUGAAUAGUAUCAACUGAAGGAGAAACAGUCUUAGUAGACGGUUUUGAACGAUAAACCUGAUGAGUUUUUGAUCAUCUGCGAUGAUGAAUCUCAACAUUUGGUUGCAUCCCAUCUUAGUGAUUACAAGCAUUUAACUGUCGAAUUUUACUCGUGUUAUGGCCAAUUACACCACAAGUUGGAGGCAAAUUCUCAUAAAUAAUAUCAGCAUAGAAACCAUGUUGUUCCCGCUCAACCGUAAUAGAUGAAGGCAAAUCAGCAGAGAGAUCCACAUCCACCAGAACUUUAGCAUAGUAGGCAUAUAAAUUUCACGUGUAGCAUGAUCCAACUGAAGUGGAAUACCCACACCAUGAGAAAUUUCCAUAAGAAUGCAAGGGUUCAAUAUUCUUGACUUGACCCAUAUAUUUUGAUCAAGACAUGUGCAUGAGUUUGGGGAAGCAUGUCACCAGGCUUGAAAUCCGGUUGCUAUUGAGACAACCUAAAAAUACCGAAUUGAAGUGUACAUGUUCCACCAACCCACACUUUUCUAAUGUCUUCUUCGGUGGAAAAGUGAAGAUCAAAAUAUCCCUUACCUAAUGAUACCAGUAGCCAAGGAUUGUGAAUCUUUCAUGGGUGCUUUUUUUUAAGCACCUCACUCCCAAACCACCCCUCAGUCUUCAUUGGCAUGGUACUUUUCUUUAACAAAAGUUUACCAAUGAGGUUUGUCCAGAAUGAGCACAGUUGUCUUGAUAAAGGCCCACUAAUUUGACAUCAGUCGCAUCUCUCUGAAUUAGGAGCAGGAAGUUGACUUAAAUUAACUGAACUUUCCUUACUAUUUGAGACAAUGGCAGCAAAGGUCCGUGCUUUCCAUACUAGUUGAGGAAGCCCCGGGCAUGAAGCACUUAGGUGACUUGUUCAUGAAAACCUCAACCUAGUCUACCUAGAACAAAAUUCAUUCCAAAAUAAUGUACAAAAAAAUAAGAAUAUAAAAUAGAAAAUUAUAACCUGAUCAAAGUGCAGCAGUUUUGAGAAAAGUGUUAAAAGUGUUCCAAAUCGUAGGACUCAAUGGAACUUAAUGCAGAAAGACCAAAUGCCUCCAAAAGCUGCAGCAAGUUUGAGUACAAAUCGCAGAACGAGCAAAUUGUAGAAAAUCACAAACCGCCCUAAGUUGCGAAUGAAACGACCGACGCAUCGCGUUCCUUUCUCCAAAAAACACAUAAACCACCCUCUAAAGACGCAAGACGAGAAGAGGGCAAUAAGCAGAUCAACCUGUUCAGAACAGUAAAGGACGAAGCGAUGUGGACAGAUGCGGGGAACGAUAAGCGGCUUCCCUUUUUUUGUCUUCUAGUUGAUAUCUUACAGCCAUUUCUUAAAUCAGUGUUAACGAAAAAGGUUUGGGCUAACUUUUAUUUAAUGAAAAACUACCUUAAACUAUUAUUUAAUAAAAAUGACUUAAGAUUUAAUCAUAAGGACACAAACUUAUAUCUCAAGUCCUACAAAAACUAAAACACACAGGUUCAACAAAAAGCCCAAACCAGAUAACAAUUAAUAUUCCAAAAUUACCCCUAACGGAACCUAACCCAACUUGUUGAGCCAAAAAUAAUCACAAAGCGACCCGAGGAUUUUUGGAAAAAAUAUGACAAAAAUACCCUUGAGGCAUACCAGGAUUCCUACGCGCGAACAGCAGGCAAUCAUCGCUCAAUCAAGUGAAAAGUGUCCAAAAUAAGUAACAAUUCAAAGCCUAUUGUAUCCAUCCUCAUCAAAUCCUAUUUCACCCAUAUGGGUUUGCUCUCGAGUGCGAGUGCGAGAGGAUAAACUAAUUAUUCUCUAGUGCAAGAGGUAAACCAAUUCCUAGACACCCAUAUGGGUUUGCUCUCGAGUACGAGAGAAUAAACUAAUUGCUCUCCAGUGCCAGAGGGUAAACUAAUUCCCCGACACCCAUCUGUGUAAGCUCUCCAGCGCAAGAAUGCUACAUAGCUCAAAAUAUCAAAUGCUUGAAUAUCAGCUAGGCAGCAAAUGGUCAGGGGGCAGCAGCCACUUUUGCACUUAACACACUACAAAAAAAUGAGCACUGUGCACAAUAAAUUAUCUAUGCCCUUUGAGGCCAAAAAGCACCAACAAGUGUGCUCAUAGACCAAUAGCAACAGUGUAGCUACUAUCUUUGUGUUUGUGCCCUCUAUGGGCGUCACCAUUGGGCACAAUACUGAGUUCUGUGCUCAUGAUGUCAGCACAAAUAAAGGGUGUUUUGUGCCUAACAAAGUUGUCAGACUACCAUUUCCAGCCAUGUUGGCACUUAAAAUGUAAUUGUGCCUGCAUGAAUUAAAUAUUAAAAAAAUUCAUAAUUUGAAAAAUUGAAACUGAAAUUGAGGUUUUUUUUUUUCAUAAAAUGUAGAAAGCCUACAAUACAUUCUCAAUCUCACAAACAUAUAUUGUAAUGUUACAUAUUUCAUCUCUGUUUGUACCAUACUUGACCAAUCCCGAAACUACCGAGCACCGGCCAACGCUAUACUGUCAAGGACCCAGAAGAGUUCCCCUCCGACCAGGAGGCUAAUCACUACUCGACACGUGUCAAGAUUAGAAGCCAAUCAGAGCGCAGCACGUGUCAACAUCAAGAACCAAUCAUAACAUGACACAUGUCAAUGUGACAAAGCUACAAGUUUUUCUAUAAAUAGGGGUCAUUCCCCCACAAUAUUGCCGAAUGCCAUUUGUGUUAAAUCAUUCACAAGAACUCACUAAAUUGAGAACUUGAUCCUUUGUACUUGUGUAAGCCCUUCACUACUAAUAAGAACUCCUCUACUCCGUGGACGUAGCCAAUCUGGGUGAACCACGUACAUCCUGUGUUUGCUUCUCUGUCUCUAUUCAUUUACGUACUUAUCCUCACUAGUGACCGAAGCAACCAAGCGAAGGUCAUAAAACCUGACACUUUCUGUUGUACCAAAGUCUUCGCUGAUUUUGUGCAUCAACAUUUGGCGCCGUCUGUGGGAAACGACACUUAUUCCUACUCUCUUCAGCUGUGUCAAGCUGGUUUCUAUCAUUCGUACACUUUCUUUUGAUCAGGCAUCCUUCUCCAGCAUAGGAAGCGAAGGAAGCCACAGCACACAGAAUGACACCCCCCUUGCACAUAGUGCGAAACAACGAAAGAAGGAAGGAAAACGAGUUCUUCUUCAAGCUAAAGUCGAUGAGUUGGAAGCUCAGAACAACAAGAUAGCAAUGAGGAAUGAGGUCCUCCAGGAGCAAUAUGAGAAGCUCUUCGAGACACUUCACGAAGCUAGGCAAGCUCAGACACGCGAGCUUGUUGCCCCCGUGGAAGUCAACCAUCAACUGGGUGCCCUCCAACAUGGAGGGUCACAUGCAUUCGACAUAGAUAUCCCUGAUAGGGAACAAAUUACCCCUCGAUUUGAUAAUCAACAUGAGGCUUCUCUUAACCCAGUUGCUUCGACCCGAACCAUGAGAAGCGGAGGGAGACACCUCUUUGCUGAAGGGGCAGAAGGAUCGAAAGCCGUCUUUCGCGAUUGUCGGGAUUUCCUGAAGCAACGUCGAGAGAAUUCCAUCCAUAUAAGCUCAAAGAUCAAUGACCCAAGGAUUUCUGAGAGACUCGGUCCCCUGCCACGGCCCGAGCCGGCCACCAACUUUGGGGAAGGGGCAACAAGUCCUAGAGAGACAUGAGGGUACAGGGGACUCAGAGGUGUUCCGACAGACAUACCCUGGAAGCCAGUACAGCGAGUCCAGGGAAAAAUCACAUGCCCUUGAUCAAACCUUCCUAAUUCCAAGAGGAGAUGGAGAUUUACGAAAGAAAGCUCCAGUGGCACAUAACUCCGCUCAGGACCCCCUUGUCCUACAACUUCUUGAGGAAGUAAACAAGUUGAAGGCUGAACGUCAGGCUGAAAUACCUGACUGGAACCAACCCAGGCCUGGCCCUCUUACAAGGAGGAUCCUCAACACCCCCUUCAAGCAAAGACAAAGCAGAAGCUUGGCUUGCAACUUUAUACUGGGAAAGAGGACCCGAUUGAGCACCUUAACCUCUUUGAGUCCACCAUGGCAUACCGGAUGCACACCGACGAAGAGUGAUGUCUUCUCUUCCCCUCCACCCUCUCUGGCGGAGCUCUAAAUUGGUAUUGUCGUCUUACACCUGAGACGGUAGACUCAUUUGAGGAAUUGAGGAAACUAUUUGUUUCCCAACACAUUUUCCAAACCGAUCGCUUGCAAUCUGCAGAUGACCUGUACACUAUCCACCAGAAGCCAGACGAGUCAUUACGUAUGUAUGCUGGCCGCUUCAGCCAUGAAUACUCCCGGUGUGCCGAGGCAGACGACAAGACUGCCCUCAAAGCCUUCACGGCAGGCCUACGUGAUUGUUUCUUUAAAUACAUGAUCAAUGCCAAUACUUGGAAGACUUACUCUGAGGUGAUGGCGCAGGCUUAUAACCAUGCCUCCGCCGAGGCAAAGACAUAUCAGGAGAAACCCCCUACAACCAUCCUUUAUCAACAAGUGGGAGGUGGAAGCCAGACUCACCUAAAUGAGAAGACCUCGACUUUCCAAACAGCAGUGGCACCUCCCCAUGCCUUGCAUAAUGCUUCACCGAAUCAACAGACAUAUCAAUUUCAAGGCAAGAGGAAGGAUUUCCAUCCUCACCACUCUCCUUUCAGUAAAAAGAGUAAGGGACACUAUCCCGAUAACCAAGGGUAUCGCCACAAUAACGCUCGCCCCCAGGCAGUCAAUGCAGUGGGUCAAACCCGCGUCAAGAUACCCCCUACCCCAAGGUAUGAGACAUACACGCCCUUGAAUGCCACAUGCGCGGCCAUUUACCCCAGCAUAGCUCACCUGAUACCAAAGCCAAAGCCGAGGCACCCAGAUUACACGCCCCCGAAUAACGCGGGCAUGUUUUGUUGCUACCAUGAGCAUAACGGCCAUGAUAGCGAGAAAUGUAUCAUCCUCCGUGAUCGUAUUGAAGCUUUGGCACGAGAAGGAAAAUUUGAUCAAUUCCUUCUUCACCCUCAAAGGGAUAACCGUAACCAACGCCAGGUGAAUGUCAUAUAUUCCAUAAGCGGCGGCACACCCAUAUCUGAAUCUUCCAAUAGGGCCAUGAAAAACAGUGAACGAAGUCUGAGGCCUGGUCACCAAGUGUUUCACGUGGAAGACAUCAGGGGAGGGAAGUAUCAAAAACCUAACUGGGAUCCGAUAUGUUUCUACCCUGAGGAAGAAAGAGGCAUCAUCUACCCUCAUAACGACCCAUUGAUCGUGGAGGCUCACAUAGCCAACUUUGAUGUUCGACGAAUCCUCGUAGACACAGGGGCUUCGGUCAAUAUCAUGUUUGCCGAAGCUUUCAAGGGCACUCAGUGUAGCUGAACACUUGCUCGAUCGCUCGAUUUCUCCUCUGAUAAGCUUCUCCGGUGAUAUCGUGCAACCCUUAGGGAGCAUACAUUUACCCUUUACUAUUGGUACAGGCCCUUACACGGCUACCAUUACCACUAACUUCCUAGUGGUUGACUGCCCAACGGCAUACAAUGUCAUCUUUGGGCGCACAGGCAUCAAUGAUCUCAAGGCUAUGGUAUCCACGCAUAUGCUGUUGAUGAAAUUUCCAACCCCCCAUGGCAACGGCUACAUCAGAGGAGAUCAGCUUAGUGCACGAUCAUGUUACAACACUUCAGUUAAGCAACAACACUUGCCCGGACCCAAGGAAACCCUGUCUGUACAUGACCAAGUCACAAAGACCAGCCUAGAUGAAGCGAACUUGGAUCUUCCUGAUAGCAACAAUCAACCCGAUGAUGAUCCUCGAGAUGACUCUUUCACCCAGCAAGCCCAACCUGCUGAAGAGUUGGAGAAGGUACCUAUCUCAAGAGAUUAUCCAGAUCGCAUGGUGAAGAUUGGCACCACAUUGUCACCACCCCUUCGGUUAGCAUUGAUAUCUUUUUUGAAAGAGAACACUGAAGUCUUCGCCUGGUCAUACGAGGACAUGCCAGGCAUCUCUCCCGAUGUCAUCUGUCAUCGUUUGAGUAUUGACCCCAAGAUCAAGCCGGUGAGACAGAAGCGAAGAUCUUUAUGACGCUGAACGAUACGAGGCAAUGAAAGCAGAAGUUGAAAAACUCAAAGGCAUAGGCUUUGUCCGCGAAGUCAAUUACCCGACAUGGGUAGCAAAUGUGGUCCUUGUUAGGAAAAAUCCGACCAAAGAAAGUCUUUCGCUUCAAAAGGUCUUGUGGAGGAUGUGUGUUGACUACACCGACCUAAACAAAGGGUGUCCGAAAGAUAGUUUCCCUCUUCCUCUUAUUGACAGGCUUAUAGACUCUACGGCAGGGUGUGAGCUCUUGAGCUUUAUGGACGCUUAUUCAGGAUACAACCAAAUCCUCAUGAACCCCUCAGACCAAGAACACACGGCCUUCACUACUGACAGGGGACUAUAUUGCUAUAAAGUCAUGCCUUUCGGCCUAAAGAAUGCAGGAGCAACUUAUCAGAGACUGGUCAAUUCAAUGUUCGCCGAACAAAUUGGGAAGAACAUGGAAGUUUACGUUGAUGAUAUGCUAGUCAAAAGCAAACAUGCUGACCAACACAUCACCAACCUAUCUGAAACUUUCACCAUUCUAAAGAGGUAUCGAAUGAGGUUGAACCCCAACAAAUGUGCCUUCGGCGUGGGCUCUGGCAAAUUCUUAGGCUUCAUGAUUAGCCAACGAGGCAUUGAAGCUAACCCUGAAAAGAUCAAAGCAAUCCUCGACAUGAAAGAGCCAAUAACUUCAAAAGACAUCCAAAGCCUUACUGGCAAGGUGGCAGCCUUAACCAGAUUCAUCUCUAAGGCCACAGACAGAUGUGCUCCUUUCUUCAAAGCACUCAAGGGAAAUAAGAAGUACAUUACAUGGACGGAGGAAUGUGCCAAGGCAUUCAGGAACCUCAAAGAGUACAUGAGUAAAGCCCCUCUGCUCUCCAAACCAGAAGUUGGUGACACUCUCAUCAUCUAUCUAUAUCGGUUUCGGCUUCAGCAGUCAGUUCUGUUCUUAUUCGAAUGGACAGUGGUGUCGAACGGCCCGUCUACUACGCUAGCAAGGCCCUACAAGAUGCGGAGACACGAUACUCCAACAUUGAGAAAUUAGCUCUAGCAUUGGUCAUGUCUGCUCGGAAACUUCGCCCUUAUUUCCAAGCACACGCCAUCAUCGUGCUUACCAAUCACCCUCUUCGACAGAUACUCCAGAGUCCUGACACGUCUGGACGAAUGAUCAAAUGGGCGAUAGCAUUGGUUGAGUUUGACAUCUCCUACCAACCAAAACCAGCCGAAAAAGGUCAAGCAGUAGCAGAUUUCAUCGCCGACUUCACAUAUCCUGUUGACAUUGCUUCUACACCUGAAGCAGUAGCUUCAUUACCAUCGGAAGCUCAGAAAGUAGAAUCAACGACCUCAGCAUGGAGUCUGUAUGUUGAUGGCUCAUCCAACCAACAGGGCUGUGGAGCAGGACUAGUCUUGACUACGCCCGACAAAGUAGCAAUGGAGUAUGCUCUUCGUUUCAAAUUCAAGGCAUCAAACAAUGAGGCCGAGUAUGAAGCCCUUCUAGCAGGAUUACGUUUGGCCAAACACAUCGGGGUUAAACAAAUUGAUAUUUUCAGUGACUCCCAAUUAGUGGUCAACCAGGUUACCAACAACUUUGAUGCUAGGGACAGCUCCAUGGCAGCAUAUCUUGCGCAAACACAACUUUUGCUCAAGCACUUCCACUACCAGAUCACCCAAGUUCCUCGAGCGGCAAACAGUCAUGCAGACGCCCUGGCUCGCCUCGCCUCAGCUGUGGAAGACAAGAUUGGAAGAAAAAUUCAUGUCGAACUGUUGGCCAAGCACCAUGGUCGCAGAAGUAUGCAACUUACAACAGGGGGAUAGUUGGAUCACCCCGAUCUAUACUUUCCUUGCUCAUGGCACCCUCCCAAAUGAUAAAGUCCAGGCUAAGCAAAUUCGAUACAAGUCUACCCGCUACCUAAUCAUCAAUGAUCAACUCUAUAAGCGAGGUUUUAGCCUGCCAUACUUAAGGUGUCUUACGCCUGCCGAGGCGGAAAUCGUCUUUCGGGAAAUACAUGAGGGAGUCUGUGGAGAUCAUGCUGGAUCUCGGUCCCUAGCACACAAGACUUUUCGCCAAGGAUAUUACUGGCCAACACUCCACCAGGAUGCCAUCAAAGUAUCCCGCUCAUGUGACAAAUGUCAACGAUAUGCAACUAUUCCUCAUUCCCCUCCAGAGCCUCUUACUCCUAUGAUCAGCCCUUGGCCCUUCGCCCAGUGGGGACUUGAUUUGAUCGGCCCAAUGCCGGCAGGGAAGGGCAAAGUCUGUUACGCAGUCGUUGCAGUGGACUACUUCACAAAGUGGGCCGAAGUAGAACCCUUGGCAACCAUUACUGAGGCAAAGAUAGAAGACUUCGUGUGGAAGAACAUCCUUUGUAGAUUCGGCAUUCCCAAUGCGAUAGUCACUGACAAUGGGCGACAGUUUGACAACAAGAAGUUUAGGUUGUUCUGCUCUAAGUUCAACAUCAACUUAUGCUUUGCCUCUCCAGCUCAUCCCCAGUCUAAUGGACAAGUUGAGGCCAUCAACAAAAUAAUCAAGCGCACUUUGAAAACCAGCUUGGACAAAGCUAAAGGCUGUUGGCCAGAAUUUGUACCCCAAGUUCUUUGGUCAUAUCGCACUUCAUAUCGGACUUCAACAGGAGAAACUCCAUUCUCACUUGCCUUUGGCACAGAGGCGGUUGUCCCUGUUGAGCUCGAGCAAGCAACAUUCCGAGUCCAGAACUACAUUCAAAGUGAAAAUGACAAACAACUCACCCUCAACUUGGAUUUAGUCGAGGAACACAGAAACCAAGCUCACUUGAGGAAUGUCGCCUACAAGCAGCGCAUCUCGAACUAUUAUGACUCUAGGGUCAAGCCUCGUUCUUUCAAAAUAGGAGACUGGGUCUUAAAAAAAAGAUUACUCUGCGACAGAGUCCCGAGUGAAGGCACACUUAGUCCAAACUGGGAUGGACCGUAUGAAGUCAUUGGCAUCAGUCGCCCUGGCUCUUACACACUUAGAAGCUCCGAUGGCAAGACCCUUGGCCAUCCAUGGAACGCUGAUCACUUGAAGUACUACUACAAAUAGACUCACGAUGUACAAAUGUUGAGCUAUAGCCGUUCGGCAUCCUAUGUAAUGAAGGCCAUUUGGCAAUGAAUUCAAUAAAGAGGUAAUUUAGCCAACUCAGCCCUCACUCUUUUACAUUCAUAGCAAGCGAUGCCGGAACCCUUCUCAAUCAGAAAGCAAUCCGUCUUCCACAGUCACUACAAAACAAGCAAAUGAAGACCGUGUCAAGCGCAAAAAAAAAAAAAAAAAAAAAAAAAAAAAAAAAACAGCUUCAUCCAAAAAGCUUCACCCGAAAAGCUUCACCUCCAAAGCUUCACCCACAAAGCUUCACCUAAAAAGCUUCACCCAAAAAGCUUCACCCGAAAAGCUUCACCUAAAAAGCUUCACCCAACAAGCUUCACCCGAAAAGCUUCACCUCCAAAGCUUCACCCACAAAGCUUCACCUAAAAAGCUUCACCCACAAAGCUUCACCAAAAAAAAAACUUCACCCGAAAAGCUUCACUUAAAAAAGCUUCACCUACAAAGCUUCACCUAAAAAAUCUUCACCUAGAAAGCUCCCUCUACAUACUUUCACCAUCAAAGCUUCACCAUCAAAGCUUCACCUAGAAAGCUUCAACACCAAAGCUUCACCUACAAAGCUUCAACACAAAACCUUGCUCCAAAUAAACAAAUUUUGUUCACAAAACCCAAGAUGCCCUUGAACUUGUACAAAAACAUUUGGGUAAACAUAAACAUUUUUUGUUUUACACCCACAAGGGCCCAAAAUUUUCCUUCUUAUUUAUUCACUUAUAUAUGUUCCCAAACAUAUUAUAAUAGAUCCAACAACAAGCCAAAGUCCCAAGUUUCAUAAUGGACAAAAGUACAAGCAAUUCAUCAAUAAUGAAGGUGCUACAAAAAUUGGAAUCUGCCCCAAAAUAGAAAUCCAACCCAAGAGACUUUUUCUCUCUCUCCCUCUUCCGCCUCCUUUCAUCUAUCAAAUUUCUGCAACCUCUGCUCUUCUCCAAUGGAGCUGAAUUUUGGACACCCUAUAGUUCUUGAGCAUAUGAACAACUUUCAAGAAGGAACCAUUUCUGUUUGAGCGACGGAAAUUAAAGUGUUGAAGCUCCAAACAUGAUAGUCGGCUUCUUGCAGAUUUCGAAGCUGUUGUGAUGUUUCGAAGAUCUGGAAAUAUUUAACCGUUAUUUCAUCCUGAAUUUUUGAUAUGUUAUGAAAGAGUCGAUGAGGAACAACUUCAAUGAAGAAAGCAUACCGAUCUGAACAAGAGAAAAUGGAGUUUCGAAGCUCACAACAAAUCUGACGGGUUGACAGAAAAAUAAUAACCCGUCAUUCAUCAUACCUGGAUUUCUGGAGUUAUACUGCUCCGAGGGAUCUCAAAUUUGGAUAUGUUGUAGUUCACAAGCUGAGGAACAACUUCAAUGAAGAAAGCAUGCUGAUCGGAGCAAGAGAAAAUAGAGUUUCAAAGCUCACAACAAAUCUGACGGGUUGACAGACAAAUGAUAAACAGUCACUCAUCAUACCUGGAUUUCUGGAGUUAUACUGCUCCGAGGGACCUCAAAUUUGGAUAUGUUGUAGUUCACAAGUUAAGGAACAACUUCGAUGAAGAAAGUAUGUUGAUCUGAACAAGAGAAAAUGGAGUUUCGAAGCUCACAACAAGUCUGACGGAUUAACAGAACAUUGAUGAACAGUUACUCAUCAUACUUGAAUUUCUGAAGUUGUACUACUCCGAUGGAUCUCAAAUUUGGAUAUGUUGUAGUUCACAAGAUAAGGAAAAACUUUCAUGAAGACGACUUUGCAAUCUGAGCUAUAGAGAAAGGUGUUAUCUUGCAUCCACUCAGGCUGAUUAGUGGAAACGAAAAGCAAUUCCACCAAAGAAAAGAUGAAAAAGAGAGAAAAGCCACUAAUUGCACUUGAUCUUGUCUAGUCAAUAGCAUGCAACAUCAAACACACAAAAGUUGGAAAUAUUUUUAGAUAAAGCAUAUACGAAUGUGUGACAUCGAAACAAGAAUUCGUUACUUUGACAAAUUAGUAACACGCGAGACACCUCAUUCGGCAACUCUCUUCGCCUGAAGACUUGGGGGACUCCCACCAUAUGCUACUGCACCUUGAUACUCGGCAGUCUCACAACCACUCAGUGACUUGGAUUUUUCAAGUCUCCAACCGAGAAGUUUUCCUCACUCGGGAAAUUAAGGGAACACUACCUCAAACUACAUGCUUCACUCACAAAGCUUCAACAAUACAGGUUUCAACAAAAGCAAAAAUUCAAAGAACUUUAUGAAGAAGGCUUUGGUGUAUUUAACACAAUAUGUUGAAAUGAAGCAAAGCUUAUUUAUUAAUAUUUUCGAUAAGCCACAAAUAUGUACAUAUACAUGAGUCAAAAUAAACAAACAAAAGGGAGCCUUCACAAAGGUUGCUUAGGGGAAGUCUCAGCAGUCGGUAGAGCCCCAGAAAGAGAAAGCACCAGAGGGUGGUUAUCCGGAGCCUCAGUACUUGACAAAACCCCAAAAGGAGGAGGCAUUGGAGGUUCAUCAUUUGAAGCUUCAUUACCAGGUACAGCCCCAGAGGACGAAGGCAAUAAAUGCCUUUGGAACAAACCCACAAACCGCUGAUGAUCAAGUAAAACCUUACCAUCAGAUUCCUUCAUCUGGUCAAGCUUCCUCUUCAUGUUUGUAGCAUAGUCAUGGGCGAGCCGGUGCAACUGCUUAUUCUCAUGCUUGAGCCCUCUAAUCUCCUGUUUGAGACUCAUCACUUCAGCAGCCAAUGAUUCAACUUGGCGGGUUCUAGCAAAUAGGCGUUGGGCCAUAUUAGACACAGAAUCUGCACACUGAACACUAAGAGCCAAAGAGUCCUUAACAGCCAACUCAUCAGACCGUUUGGAAAGUAGUCUGUUAUCUUUGGGAGUGAGAAGGUUCCUGGCCACCACUGCAGCGGUCAUAUCAUUCUUCAUCACAGAAUCCCCAACGGUAAGAGGACCAGUAGGGGAUAUGAAGGAUGGGCGCCAUAUGUUGUCUGGAGAAGGCGUGGCUGUCUCUUCUCCAAGGUUCAAGUCAAAACGACUGUCGGAGGGUCCAGACAUUUUCAAAUGUGUUGAAGAGGGAAGAGGUCAGACAAAUCAAGAUCUUAGAAGUGCAAGAAAUGAGCUUCUACUGGUAGAGAUUCAAGUGUGCUGUGGAACUUAAUGCCAGCCUCUAUAAAAAUCUGCACUCGACGGAGCUUCAGAAAUCGAAGAGGCGUUUGCUUUCUCAAAAGCUGGACUGCUCAGAGACCACGAGGGCCGAUCUCAGAAAUCGAAGAGGCGUUUGCUUUCUCAAAAGCUGGGCUGCUCAGAGACCACGAGGGCCGAUCUCAGAAAUCGAAGAAGCACCUGCUUUUUCAGCCUCGUCAGCACCUGUCACAUGCACAAUCAGCUUUGCGGAAAUUACGGGCACUCUGUUGAAGAUUUCUGGUGAAGUAGAAAGCACGUGAAUCUUACUGAUCAAUCAUCGCUCUCCAUAUGCACCAUCAACUCCUCGGGUACCACAUAUAACUUUGUCAAAGAUCUCUGACAAAGUUUAGGCACGAGAAUUUCGAAGUUCCAGCUACCCUACUAUUACCCAUAAGGGUAAAGGAACAGCACCACUGCUUGACAACUGGAAAGUCCCUAUGUGUGUCGACCUCCGUGUUUUGCGGCAGGACAGGUUGGCAAGAACGUCCAACCUUUACUCACAUUCGAGAAAAGACUCCCAACAUAAUUACUUUCUCAAAAACCGGAGUAGCACCGCUUUCCGAAUCUCGAGAGUCAGAUCCUCGACGGGAUUGCUUGUUCGAAAACCGAAGAGGCACAACUCUCAGAACUUCGAGAGCCAGAUUUCCUUAGAUAAAGCUUGUCUGUAAUCUCCACACGUAAUAUAUCAGCUUUCCAGAUACCACAUACCACUUUUUCAAAGUGCUCUGACAAAAUUAAAACACGUGAAGCUGGCAGCUCCCACUACAUUGCUGUGACCAAGAAGGGUAAAGGAAUAGCAUUACUACUUGUUAUUGGGAAAUCCCUAUAUACAUUGACCUCCCUCCUCAACGGACAGGCAAACCUGCAAAAAUGCUCAACCCUUUCUCGCAUUCGAAAAGGCACCCUCAACAUAACCUCUCGAAAUACUCAGCUUUAUUUCCCCCCGAUAAUACCUCAGCAAAUAAGCCACACCAAGAACAAGAGUAUCUCAUAUCAUCAGGGUCGAAAGCAAGAGUAUCCCAUAUCAUGCUUUCUCCCUGUCUUUGUCUUUGUCCUUGUCCACACCUGCAGGACAAGGAGAAAGAGAGCAGUCAGUCGGAACCUGAAAUCAAACCUCCAAUUUGGAACUGACUGCCUGGAGCCUUUGCCUGGUUGCUUACUUAGCAUUGCUCUCGAGUACUCAUCCUCAACUGCUGUCAAGGUCACGAAUUCCACCGGCAAAUACCUCAUGACAGUUGAUCAGAUAUUGGCUCUUUACACUGAAGCUGCCAAGCGUGGAUGAGUCACUAUGAAGGAAUGUUCUGAAGGACCAUUUAAAUGCAAAGGUUGCACACCACUUCUGCCAUGCAAAAGAUUGAAGCAGAAGGUUCAACGGUGAGCUGAAACAGAUCACUACAGCACGACACAUUUCCAUACCACAUUCAUUAUUCCGUCAACAGCAAAAGUAUCCCAUAUCAUCAAGGUCGAACGUACUCUAGAUUUGAUGGACUUGUUUUGACCCUCAAAUUUUUGAGUCGGCCUUAUACUCUGAAGGGCACCAGAAAACCCUCCAGCACAGUUCAAGAAUAAGCCUGUGGAAAGUUACUUCUUCAAAAGCAAAAGUAUCUCAUAUCAUCUCUUAUCCAUUUGCUUCUCCUUAUCCUGGCAGUUGAAUGAGAGACAAGGAGAAUGAGAACAAUCAACCGGAAGCCGAAGUCAAACCUCUGAUCCUGGGUUGCUUACUUGGAAGUUUGACUGCUUACCUUGUCUGUCACCUCUUUCGGCAGAUCUCCUAGCUCGGCGACUUGGGGGACUCCUACUAUAGGGUUUGUAUCACACUUGACUAAGCCCGAAACUACAACUAAGCUUCAAGUGAAAUUGAUACAUUACCUUGUGCGUCAACAUCAGCUAAAUACACCAUUCCCGGAUGAAGGAAAGGUACUUCCAGAGAAGGGCAGAUGAAGAUCAGACCACACUUCGGUACUUAGAAGUUUCGUGAUUACUCAAGGGAUUGGAUCUUGCAAGUCCCCAACCGAGGAGUUUCCCUCACUCGGGAACUUAGGGGAGCACUGUUUGUACCAUACUUGACCAAUCCCGAAACUACCGAGCACCGGCCAACGCUAUACUGUCAAGGACCCAGAAGAGUUCCCCUCCGACCAGGAGGCCAAUCACUACUGACACGUGUUAAGAUUAGAAGCCAAUCAGAGUGCAGCACGUGUCAACAUCAAGAACCAAUCAUAACAUGACACAUGUCAAUGUGACAAAGCUACAAGUUUUUCUAUAAAUAGGGGUCAUUCCCCCACAAUAUUGUCGAAUGCCAUUUGUGUUAAAUCAUUCACAAGAACUCACUAAAUUGAGAGCUUGAUCCUUUGUACUUGUGUAAGCCCUUCACUACUAAUAAGAACUCCUCUACUCCGUGGACGUAGCCAAUCUGGGUGAACCACGUACAUCCUGUGUUUGCUUCUCUGUCUCUAUUCAUUUACGUACUUAUCCUCACUAGUGACCGAAGCAACCAAGCGAAGGUCAUAAAACCUGACACUUUCUGUUGUACCAAAGUCUUCGCUGAUUUUGUGCAUCAACAAUCUCUAAUGCAAAAAGAACUUGAAAGCAGACAUUUUUGGACAGAUGCAUCUUCCCCAGCAAGCCUUGCACCUCAUCAAAUCUCUGCUGCUCCAUAAAUGAAUUAAUGAAGAUGAUCAUCAAGAGAAGAUCUUCCAUUUCUGUUUAAGUAUUCCUUCAAAUAGUUUUUCCCUAUCCUCCUACACAACAACAUUAGUAAACUCAAUAAUUUAAUGAUUAUAGUAAUGUAAAACAAGAUAAUUUUAAUACAUAAGAAUAGAACCUCCAACAAUAUGCAAUUGAAAUAUAAGUUUUUCCACUAUAAGAACAUCACCGUACCUUGAAAUUCUGGACAUCAGUAAGUGGAUAAGCAAGACAAAAGUUGGUACUUACAACAACAAAAGUUGAUAAUUAUCCUAAAUAAUGUCAUUUUGGCCUACAAGAGAUCGCAAACCAAGUCACAUUUUCACCAAGGAUGGGAAGUUCAUGAGUUGGAGGGCAAACAUAUUUCAUAGUGGUCAGAGAAAGUAAACUUCAGAAAGAAAAAGAAAUGUGCAAGGUUUUGAGAGGAUAGAUGUACACAUGUCUCACCUGGCUUGCAACAAGGAGAACUGCAUUGGCAUUUUCUUUCUUGUAAUUUAUCUAAAUGUGUUUUUGUCACCAUUGCAACCCGAUCAAUGUAUGGCUCGGUAUAUUUCUUAGCUUCCUGCAAUAACACAGAAAUGCCAUAAGAAAGAAUUCCAUCCACCAAAUCCAUAUAUUUAAAAAGUUCGCUUGAGGGGCUCACCUGAAUGUAAGGAUCUGCCAUAUUUUGUGCCUUGAAAACAAGUGGUCAUAUAGAACUCUUUGAUGAACGAUAUACAUCAACAGUUUUUGUAGUGACUAAUCAAAUGUUUGGUUCAAGAUAGGCUUUGAAUUCCAAAGACUGUUUCUUCAACCUUGGGAUCCAGUUCUUCAAAUUAAAAGAGGAAGAAUUAGAAAGGUUGCCAACUUGGUUCAAUAUCUCAAAUAGAAAAGUUGAAUGUACACUAAUUGUUCAGAAAAGAGGAAGAUGUCAAACACCAAAGCUGAGUCUAAUGACUUCAGAAUUUAUUAGUAAGAUAGGCUCUUGCUGCUUUAUGUUCCUCUUCAGAACUCGAGUUUUGAAACUCAAAUUUUGCCACUUAAUCCCAUAAAACGCAACUUGUGUCUCACUUUGUAUUUUGUAUUAUAUGAAGAAGAGUUGGGGAUAACAUAUUGUUCUGAUUCUUUCAACGAUGAUCCCAGCCCAACCCUUACCAUGAGCUUUCAUUUUUAAGGCCUGAGGACAAACAAAUAAAUGAAUACUUGGCUAUUCCAGUUUAUUCACCUGGCAAGUGAACAUCUUUAUUGGAGAAGUUUAACGAAUAAAGUUUGGAAUAUCAGACACACCUUUUCAAUUCCCAGAUUGAAGGCUGGUCUUCCAAGCUCAUUCCAGUAAGUCACAAUGUACGUCUGCACAUAAAUAUUGUGUCAUGAAAUUAGACUGACAUUGUUAUCCAACUAAUCUGCGUGGAUUUACCUGAAAAUAAUCUACAUGAACUCCAAAUGUAUGUGGAAGCCAUCCUCCAUGGACCUGAUCAUGGGUCAUAGCAGGAUUUAACUAUUGGCAGUAUGGUGAACUUAAUUUUAAAGUACUUGUAAAUGGUAACAAGAACAUGAUACGCUUCACUGUUAUUCAAGCUUAAAAGUUUGCAUAUGAUUAAUAAGAGAUGGGGCCAUAACAGAAUCCACCUUUAGGCAAUUGAUAAAUUUACUAAUUGACUAGUCUCACUAAACGAGGUAAAGACACAAGAAUUAAACCUAAAGUGAUAACAACAACGUUACCAACAACAGCAGGCAUUAGAAAAUUAUAGCAUUACCAUUUCCUUACCUUAGUCAAAUCUUCAAAUAUCGAAGAAAUCCCAAACUUCUCCUUCACCAUUUCUUUCUGAGAUAUCAAAAAAAUUAAUACCAUAUAGCAAUUGAUAGUUUCAGGUAGCAAAUAAACGGACAACAAACCUCUGCAACUUGAAGAUCAUGUUCAGUUUUCCGAAUUCCAGUCUUUUGUUCAUCAUUUACUUUUCAAAGCUGAAAAAGAAUAGAAAGAGAGAUUAAAUUGGCCAAUUAAAUUACACUAAAGUCUGCUUUUACAAAGAAAUUUUGCACCCAUGGAAAAUUAAACUUGAUUACAGAUUGUCUAGUUGUAUACACCAUGUAGGACCUUGACCGCAGAACUCCACAAUGAAGGGAUAUCUGAUCUACAACUCCAUAGAUAUUUAAAAGCUUUCAGAACUAAUCAAAACAAUUCAAAAUAACAUCAAAUCCUACGAGAAAACAGCUUCUCUUAAAAACACGCGAUUACUAAAAGAAAUAAUAUUGUAUAUCCAUGGCACCUGAACAACCAACACAUGUUUACAAGUAUACAAUUGUACUUUAAAAAUGAAAGGAGAUAAAGAUGAAAGCACUAAUCAUCCUCUUCCUCUUCUCUUACCUCUCAUUCUCUCCCUCCUCAUUCCAAGUCGCCGACUCCCAAUUCGAAGGCUACGGGACGAAAUAAAUGAGGACAACGACGACUACUCCUCACUCCCUCUUUCAACUCGCACCCGCCUUUUCCUCACCACCGCCUCCCAACCCGACUCACCUUCUGAUCUCUCCCUACCAGACCCGAUUCCCAACCUGAUUCCCGAUUCCCGAUUCGGACUCACCAUGUAUCCAUCUUCCCAAACCUUCCUUCACCAGCUUCGUGUAUUGGGAUGAAGAUGAGUUCGAAUGCCUCCCACUCCAACCCUAGAAAAUGCCCCUCAAUGACCCUGCAGUUACCAAAACUGCGAUUACCUCCUCCGAUUCCGAUUAUGAUUCCAAACUCUCCACCGAUCCCAACACCCCGCCGCUCCGAGAUCCUUUCUUGUGGAGAUCGUGUGCGGAGGGUUCCUACCAAGGUUUUCUGGCAACGAUGGAACUCAAGAGCCUCCACGAUUUGAUCUGGGGAAGGUAGUGAGAGAAAGGAGGUUGGAGAGAGAGAGAGAGUCUAAGGGAGGCAGAGAGAGAGAUGAGAGAACGGGAAGGAAGGGGUGCGGUGUGGGUGGGUUUAGGGGAGAGAGAGAAAAUGGGGUCUGGGGCCACAAGUAUAUGACAAAUAAUAAAAAACAAAUAAUUGUGCCUAGACCUGGCAGUUUUUGACACGACACAGUGACACGAUACGAAAAUAACAUGAAAAUAACGGGUUUCGGGUCAACACGAUAACUUAUUAGGUCAUUAUCGGGUGACCCGUUAAGAACCCAUUAAUAACGGGUUCUUAACAGGUAUACAUGCGAGUAACACGUGGGUAACCAGUUUCGACCCGUUAAGAAAAAAAUUAUUUUAAUAAUUUUAAAGUUUAAUUACUAAAAGAUUUAUUAUAAAAUACAAUAGUCAUAUUAAUAUAUACAAUAUAUUCUAUAUUAAAUAUAUAGUUUUGUAUUAUUGUUCUAUAUAAAUUAUAAAAAAAUUUAAAAAAAAGUUUUAGUCAUUAUUUAUUUUUAUUAUGAGAGUUCCUUAUUAUCAUUACUAAGAUAAAUUUUACAUACCAUAUUCUUGUCCAAAAUUAAAAUAUACUAGUAUAGUAUUUGUAUAUGCAAGAACUAAGAAGACAUACAUACAAGUAUGAAAAAUGUGAAAGAAUAUAUAAACACUCGUGAUUUAUCAUCAUUCCUCCACGAAUAGAUCAUUGUUACACUUAUAUUAUCGUUUAGAUUUUUAAAAUCCUUCAAACCCUCAUGAAUAAUGUUUUUUAUUUGAGGGAAAAAUUAAUAAAAUUAAUAAUAAUUAUUGUAGAAGUGUAAAAAAUGUAAAAAUAUAUAUAUACAAUCACUCAUAUAUAAAAAAAAUGUAAAUGCUUUAAAUUAAAGAUCAAAUUUAUUCAUUACAUUCUUAUAAGGUCGAGGAGUGUAUAUGUACAAAAUCAUCAAAAUCGAAGCUAAAAUAACCGUUAAAUUGUGAUUUUUCGUUUAUAACCGUCAACAACUUUUGUUCCGUUACGUAAUCUCUGAAUGUUUGUUUUUUACAAUUUUUUACGUUUGCAAUCUCGGAAUGUGUACAAAUAAGUUUGACGGUUUGAUCGUUGAAAAAAGUUUCGUAGAAUGCAUAUUGCAUCAAAACGGUAUAUUAAACAAACACUUAGGGUUAAUAUUAUACUUCUAUUAAGUAUAAAAUAAGUUUUUGUGGUAUCCACUAGUGUAAAUACUUUAAAUUAAAGAUCAAUUUAUUCAUUACAUUCUUAUAGGGUCGAGGAGUGUAUUUGUAAAAAAUCAUCAAAAUCGGAGCUUAAAUAACCGUUAAAUUGUGAUUUUUCGUUUAUAACCGUCAAAAUCUUUUGUUCCGUUACGUAAUCUCUGAAUGUUUGUUUUUUAUGAUUUUUUACGUAUGCGAUCUCGGAAUGUCUACAAAUAAGUUUGACGGUUGGAUCGUUGAAAAAAGUUUUGUAGAAUGCAUAUUGCGUCAAAACAGUAGAUUAAACAAACACUUAGAGUUAAUUUUAUACUUCUAUUAAGUAUAAAAUAAGUUUUUGUGGUAUCCACUAGUGUAAAUACUUUAAAUUAAAGAUCAAAUGUAUUCAUUACAUUCUUAUAUGGUCGAGGAGUGUAUCUGUAAAAAAAUCAUCAAAAUCGGAGUUAAAAUAACCGUUAAAUUGUGAUUUUUCGUUUAUAACCGUCGAAAACUUUUGUUCCGUUACAUAAUCUCUGAAUGUUUGUUUUUUACGAUUUUUUACGUGUGCAAUCUCGAAAUGUGUACAAAUAAGUUUGAGAGUUGGAUCGUUGAAAAAAGUUUCGUAGAAUGCAUAUUGAGUCAAAAUAGUAGAUUAAACAAACACUUAAAGUUAAUAUUAUACUUCAAUUAAGUAUAAAAAAACACUAGUGUAAAUACUUUAAAUUAAAGAUCAAAUUUAUUCAUUACAUUCUUAUAGGGUCAAGGAGUGUAUCUGUAAAAAAAUCAUCAAAAUCGGAGCUCAAAUAAUCGUUAAAUUUUGAUUUUUCGUUUAUAAUCGUCGAAAACUUUUGUUCCGUUACGUAAUCUCUGAAUGUUUGUUUUUUAUGAUUUUUUACGUAUGCGAUCUCAGAAUGUGUAAAAAUAAGUUUGACGGUUGGAUCGUUGAAAAAAGUUUUGUAGAAUGCAUAUUGCGUCAAAACAGUAGAUUAAACAAACACUUAAGAGUUAAUUAAUCUAUUAAGUAUAAAAUAAGUUUUUGUGGUAUCCACUAGUGUAAAUACUUUAAAUUAAAGAUCAAAUUUAUUCAUUACAUUCUUAUAGGUCGAGGAGUCUAUCUGUAAAAAAUCAUCAAAAUCGGAGAUAAAAUAACCGUUAAAUUGUGAUUUUUCGUUUAUAACCGUCAAAAACUUUUGUGCCAUUACGUAAUCUCUGAAUGUUUGUUUUUUACGAUUUUUUACGUAUGUGAUCUCGAAAUGUGUACAAAAAGUUUGACGGUUGGAUCAUUAAAAAAAGUUUCGUAGAAUCCAUAUUGCAUCAAAACGGUAGAUUAAACAAACACUUAGAGUUAAUAUUAUACUUCUAUUAAGUAUAAAAUAAGUUUUGUGGUAUCCAUAGUGUAAAUACUUUAAAUUAAAGAUCAAAUUUAUUCAUUACAUUCUUAUAGGGUCGAGGAGUGUAUAUGUAAAAAAUCAUCAAAAUUGGAGCUCAAAUAACCGUUAAAUUAUGAUUUUUCGUUUAUAACCGUCAACAACUUUUGUUACGUUACGUAAUCUCUGAAUGUUUGUUUUUUAUGAUUUUUUACGUAUGCGAUCUCGGAAUGUGUACAAAUAAGUUUGACGGUUGGAUCAUUGAAAAAAGUUUUGUAGAAUGCAUAUUGCGUCAAAACAGUAGAUUAAACAAACACUUAGAGUUAAUAUUAUAUUUCUAUUAAGUAUAAAAUAAGUUUUUGUGGUAUCCACUAGUGUAAAUACUUUAAAUUAAAUAUCAAAUUUAUUCAUUACAUUCUUAUAGGUCGAGGAGUCUAUCUGUAAAAAAUCAUCAAAAUCGGAGAUAAAAUAACCGUUAAAUUAUGAUUUUUCGUUUACAACCGUCGAAAACUUUUGUUCCGUUACGUAAUCUCUGAAUGUUUGUUUUUUACGGUAUUUUACGUAUGCGAUCUCGGAAUGUGUACAAAUAAGUUUGACAGUUGGAUCGUUGAAAAAAGUUUCGUAGAAUGCAUAUUGCGUCAAAACGGUAGAUUAAACAAACACUUAGAGUUAAUAUUAUACUUCUAUUAAGUAUAAAAUAAGUUUUUGUGGUAUCCACUAGUGUAAAUACUUUAAAUUAAAGAUCAAAUUUAUUCAUUACAUUCUUAUAGGGUCGAGGAGUGUAUCUGUAAAAAAUCAUCAAAAUCGAAGCUAAAAUAACCGUUAAAUUGUGAUUUUUCGUUUAUAACCGUCGAUAACUUUUGUUCCGUUACGUAAUCUCUGAAUGUUUUUUUUUUACAAUUUUUUACGUAUGCAAUCUUGGAAUGUGUACAAAUACGUUUGACGGUUGGAUCGUUGAAAGAAGUUUUUGGACAGCCAGCAAUAGAUAAUUUUGUAGUAGUGAAACCUUAAAUUUAGUUAACCGUCGAUUGUCAUUUACGCUUUAUUCUUAUUACUGAAUUUCAUUUUUAAAAUUUUAUUUUUAGAAAACAUGAUCAUCUGCGCGGAUGUAAGAAGAUGAUAUCACGUUUCGAUAUUUACGGUUAACUGAAAUAUGAGUCAAUGUCAUAUAAUUUGUAGAAACUUUAUAAACAUCAAGCAAUAUUUUCACUAACCAUAAAACCCUAAAUAUAAUAUCAAUGAUCCAAACCAUUCAUCUACCUGCACCCUCUAAUAGAUCAUGUUUUCAAAAAAGAAAAUCUAAAAAAACGAAAUUUGAUGAGAACAAUGAAGCAUAAAUGUAAACAACAAUCAACGGUUAAAUUUUGAUCUAUGAUUUAUAUGAUUAUAGUGGCGAAUUUCGAAGUUAAGCUCUUCAUGAAAGUUAUAAAACUUGUCAUUACGAGUGUUUAUAUAUUUUUUUCUAUAUUUUUUUACACUUCUACAUUAAUUAAAAAACUAUUAAAGACUUUAGGUAAACGAAAAUAUACUUAAAACAAAAUUGCGUUUUUAUGUUUUUGAUGUGAUAAUAUGGAAUGUAUAUACUUAUUUAGUAUUAUGUUUUCAUUUGAUUAUUUAUUGGUUUAAAAUAUAUUUUCCUUAACGGGUAACGGGUCGGGUCAUAUUACCUGUUAAUAUUAUCGGGUCGAUUUCGGGUCGGGUCAUUUUACCCGUUUAUUUUAACAGGUGUUAUGAUGAGUAGAUUUUAUAUUAUAUAUUUUACCCUAAUCUUUGUAUAUUUUGGUUAAUAUUUUGGAAGAAUUUUGAUACUUUGAAUUGUAUUUUCAAUAUAGGACUUUGGAUUUCCUCUGGAGAAAAACAGGACCAAAUGGACGAAUUUUGGAGUAAUUCUAGUUGGAGAACGUUCAUGAGUCACUUAGCUUAAUCGUAUCAAAAUUUUGGAUUUUUCCACCAAGCGGUUAUUUUCUGGCGAUAAAAUAAAGAAGCAGUGCGCAGUGCUGGAAAAUGGCGUUUUUGGGCUUAAAUUGCAUUUUUGGAGCCCAAGAUGACCUCGAAUGGGUUCGUGGCCUUCUGGAGAAGUGUUCAGAAUAUUCCAAACAUUAAAUCCAGCUAUAUUGGGCCAUUUUUGGAGCAGCUUAUGGGCCAAAACGUGGCUGUUCAGAUUUUAGACGAAUUUUAUCAUUUAAUUUAGGGUUAUGUUUCCUAGGGUUUGUGUGGAGGCUUAGCAGAUAUAUUGCUUGGCCGUCUACAGUUUUUGGGGACAAUAUUUUUUUUAUGCAAUUUUGGAGACAGAGAGAAGUGCUAGGGUUUUGGAGAUUUUCUACUUGAAGGUGUUUUCAAUCCUUUUCUUAAGAAUAUUUUCUAUGAUUUCAAUUAUGAGUAUGCGUAACUAAUUCCUUUUGCUAGGGCGAAGCCUUGAGCCUUAGCAUGAAUAUGUGAUUUUUAUUUAAUUGCUUAUGAUUGAUUGCAUGCAUACUUUGAAUUGUUAAUCACCGGGAUAAAAAGUAUCUAAUUGCUUUAAUGGCUGAUCACCAUUAGGAUCUUUAGAAAAGUAAUUUGAUGCAAUUUUGGUCAGAAGGUUCCCUGAAAUUGACGCUGGCUUCUUGUGAUUAAUAAUUGUAAUUUCGCUUAGGAUGAAUAUCACGUCUUAAGGAUUGCAUGGUUUUUCAAAGGAUUUUCAUAAAGCGUAAUGAGUCUUUCAUGUUCAGAUUUGAUCCGAACGUCCGGACGGGUUGCAUGUUAGAUAUACGUUAUAUGUUGGAGGUUCCAAGUAGAAUAUGAAUUAGGAAAAUCUAACCUUCAAAGUGGCAUGUGUAGAUUAUAAGUAAUUGGUAAAAAUUCAUAGGAUUGCUAGGUGAUGGUGGAACCCUAGUGUUUUCUUAAUUUGAUUCUCCCAAAACUGUUUUCUUCUCUCUAGCUCUAAUAUUGCAGAUUGUUUAUUUUAAUUCAUUAAUUUCGUUUUUAUUUUAAUUAGGUUAUAAAAUCAAUCACCUAAACUUCUACUUUACAAUAAUUAAAUGGAAUCUGAUUAGUUUUGAAUUAUUUAAUAAUCCAUGUGGAGACGACCUUGCGAGAUCCGUUUAUACUACAAUAACUUCGUGAUUCUUGCAAGUAAAAUAGGAGAAUUAAGCCCGUUCACAUGAGUAGUAAAAAUCCUAUCAAGAAAAUGGCGCCGUUGCCGGGGAUCGAACCCGGGUCACCCAAGACAACUAGCUAAAACUCAACCAUGACAAAACUUCCACCUUCAAGUUGGCAAUCCAUAGCAAAUUUAAAAAACUAGAACAUUUUCAAAAGUUCCAACCAAUCCCACCACAGAGUCUAAACCAUUUAGAAUCAAUUAGAAAGGAAUUCACAAACUUCAUUUGGUGUAAAGUGAACCACAUAGUUAAAGGGACUCGACUAAAACCCUUACCUCUAGUCUUUCUUUAUUUCACACAUACUAACUUUAAAUAUAACUCUCUUUCUUUUUUUUCUUUUUCAAUUAUUUUUUCUCUUUUUUUUUCAUAUAUAACAUUUUUUUUUCAAUAACAGUAGUGGUCGUGCAAUGUUGGUUCACUUAAGCUUUCGAUCCAACCCAUGUAGCGAGCUUUAGGUCAAUGACACCCAAACCACUAGGGCUUUAGGGCACUAGGUGUAGAACACCCCUAAGGACUUAUUAACUCGAACUGAAAAGGCUACGAAACCAACUAACCAUCCUGCCCCAUGCCAAAACUCUACCGUUUGACGCGAGAAUCACUGCUGAUUAGGCAGGACUGGCCCGGUUACUAGGCAAAACCUCGGGUGAGACAAUUAUUACUUUAUUCACAAUAAUAACUGACUUUACUUAAAACAAAAAUUAAAAAUAAACUUAGACUAAAAGCAAGUGUUUCAAUCUCACUCCCCACAAACCAUGUUGGUGUGAUGUGCAAAGUUCAAAGUAUAAUUCAUGAAUUAGUGUCUAAGCAACGAUAAAUAGAAAAGACUCUACUGUGGGAUUAAUCUUCACCAUGUCCAUUUGUUCCAACAUUUAAAAUAAUCUAUGGAUAUUAACUUAAGAAGAAUGAAAAUUUUAUCCUGACACAAAAAUUAAAAAAAACUAAAAUUUACUUUCCCACCCCCAAACUUAUUUCACACGUUGUCCUCAAGGGUGUGGAAACAAAAAGAAAACUAAAAAAACAAAAGAAUAAAACACAAAAACUCUAGUGGACACUUUAAAAAAAACGACAACACUAUAAGAAGAAAUAAAAAAAUAACAAAUAAAAUAACAAAUAAAAUAAAAAUCAAAGAAAGAAAAACACCUGGCAAGUAUGUCAGCCCACUCGCAAAGGAACAUUGGAUUCCUUUCUUUGAAAGGCAUGCAAUUGGCAUGCCAUGUGAAAAGUGGCGUGCAGCUGGCAUCAGUCUACUGUCUCUGUCAGUCAUCAAACAUAGAGCCCAAACGGCUCUCUCCCCUCUCUUCAAACCCUGUCCUAGGGAAAGAAAAGGUCCAUAGGAUGCGCCCACUUGUCAUGCAUCAGAAAGAGAAGGUCCAUAGGAUUCUAAAUCAAGGGUUAAGAUCAACCCCAUAUGCCCAUCUAACUCUCUCUAGAAAGUCUAAAAAUGCUUUUACUCUCUCCAUUUCAAAGCAAGUCCUUCUGCCUCCAAUUUAUUUUUUUCGCAUUUCUCUCGGAUCCCAUGUCUCUGCUCUCUCUCCUUCAUGGCUUCUCAGACCCCAUUUCUCUAUAAAAUAAAUAAUACCUUUUCCCCCCACAUUUUUCCCUCAUUUCCACAGUUGCUUCUUCAUAUUCGCUAAACGUGGCAUCCGUGCUGCAACCAACAGCCCAGCUAUCUACACACCUCCGUGUUUCUCGAACACAACCAUGGUGACAGGAGUGGAAAAACUGAUAGGCAGGAAGGUAAAUCCCUGCUCAAAUCUUGUGGAUUUCCUGUUCAGAUUUAUGUGUUUUAGAGAACUGGAACAAAAACUAACACAUGCAUGUGGUUUUAUCAGUGUGACGACCCCUAAUGGUUUCAAAUCCAAGACAACAACACAAGAACACACCCUGAGUCGCCAGCUCUGCUCAACCAAGGAUCUGCAAAUGUUGAGGUAAAACCCGUAACCCUUUCGAUGGAUUGACGCUUAUCUGAUAUUUGAAUAAUAUAACCACUGAUGGGACUGAAAAAUGACACUUAAAUCCAGCGUAUAACCGAGAGAAAACAAGCUUAAGUUGCCGGUCUAAUGGUCCCAGAACGCAAACUAAACGGCAAAUGUCUCGACCGCUGCAAAUCAUGAAGGUAAAGAUCUCGUUCUUUUGCAGUUGCUAAACUCAACAUUUACAUGUUCAACGACAGUUCAUUAUAAUGCCAUAUUUAACCUGUGUGUACUCAUAUUUUCGCUCUUUAUGAAGGGGUAUACGAAUCCAUGAUAGAGCCAAAGAAACAGAAGUAAACACACAAGUUCAAUGGAUGAAAACAGCACAGGCCGCAUGACCCAGAUCGGUGCAUCUGGGAGGUAAAAUUCGAAUCCCUGCAAGUGUAGUUGUUGUAGAUAUGGUAAUAAUAAUAGUUGUACUCAGUUCUGUGGUGUACGGAUCUGUGAUUUAAUUGUGCUUCCUCCAUGCAUCGCAAAACUGAGCUGCAGAAAAUUAACUGCUCUAAAUUAUGUUUCUGUGCUGGAUCUGCAACAAUCUCCCCCAAACUUGCAUCUGUGAAUGUCUUGUUAUGUUGACUGCUUUAAAUUUCCAGCAUAGUGUAGAUGUGGUUGAUGUGAACGUUAGACUUGCUGCUGGGUGCAAGAUUCCAGCAUAGGACGCGCUUUAUUUUCCACGUUCGCAACCUGCAAUUAACCAAUAUGCGUAUAUUAAAAAAGGAGCUAAAAUCAACAUGCGUAAAUGAAGAAAGCGACAUAUUUUUGAAUUUUUCAUGGUCUUUUUAUUUUUUUUGUUUUUGUUUUUGUUUUUGUUUUUUUAGUUUUUUGUUUUUUGAAAACUUAGGUCUAUAUAUAUGCAUCUAGAAUUUAAACUUAUAAUAAAAAAAAUCAAACAAAAAAAAAAAAAUAAGGAAAGAGUUUAGAAAAAUUGGGUUGCCUCCCAACAAGCGCUUUAUUUUAAGUCUGUAACUAGACGUUGCAGAACUCCGGUGGCUAGAUCACUGGUGCCUUCAGAGUCAAAGACUCGCUUUCACCAAAUUUCCCUAUGCAUGGUUUUAGUUGAUAUUUCUUGACCUUGAGCAAACAACCCCUGCCCAAAAUGAUGGGUGUUGUCAAAUCCUCAUCCAUGUCCAACACCAUAAAAUCAGCUGGUAAAUAUAAGUUGUCAACCUUCACAAUAACAUCUUCAAUGACUCCUCUAGGAUAGGUAAUUGAACGGUCAGCCAAUUGAAUAAUACUGGAGGUUGGCUUCAGCUCUCCUUCACCUAAACGUUUAAAAACAGAAUAAGGCAUUAAGUUUACACUUGCACCUAAAUCAGUUAAAGCACUUUUAAAAUCAGAAUUGCCAAUAGUACAAGAGAUAGUAAAACUCCCUGGAUCUUUUUUCUUUGGAGGCAAUUUAUGCAAUAAGACCGCACUGCAUUGUUCUGUUAAAAUUACUUUUUCGGAAUCCACAAGCUUCUUUUUCUUUGUACAAACGUGCUUCAAAAACUUGGCAUAAGAUGGAAUGUUCUUGAUUGCAUCAAUUAAUGGAAGAUUAAUUUGAACUUUAGCCAAAGUCUUCAAGAAAUCUGUCAACUGUUGAUCUUUAGCUUUAGGCUUCAACCUUUCGGGAUAAGGCAUAGGAGGCUCAUAACACGUUCUGCAGUUUUUGUGGUAGCUUAUGCAGUAUUUUCGGAUCUGUCUUGGGGCUGCCCAGAAUCUGCAGAAAUUGCAGAAUCUGCAAAAAUUUCAGAUUUAGUUUGGGGAUGUUCUGCUGCCCGCGAAUUUCCAGCGGAUUUUUCAUUUCUAUUGUAACUUUUGCCAGACCGUAAAGUUCGUAUAGCAUUGCAUUCUUCUCGUCCUCUUAGAUUAGGUACUGUUUGACUAGGAAAUGUACCCGGUGCUCUUUCUGAAACCUGCAAAGCAAUCUGUCCCAUUUGUUUUUCCAUGUUUUUCAUUGCUGCCUGUAUAUUUUGAAUUUCUUGAGUGGUAGUAUUUGCCAAUUUUUCAAUUGCAACCUCCCAAGCAACCUUAGGUGCAGCAGGUUGCUGUUCCUGCUGUUGAAAUUGAGGCCUAGAGUGCUGGUCUUUGUCCCACCUUAGAUUUGGCUAAUCUUUCAAACCUGGGUUGUAGAAAUUAGAAUACGGGUCAUAUCUAGGACGCUGGAAAUUGUUAAAUGAAUUAACCUGCUCCACUAUAAACUCCGGAUAAGCAUCUUUAUGUGGACAACUCAAAAAAUCAUGAUUUGUCAAGCUGCAAAUGCUGCAGGCAGCUUGUAAAGGCUGCUGUACAGCAACCUGUGAACCCGAAAUUCUUUGUAAUAACAUGUCAAAUUUUGCAUCAAAUCUUUCAAGCUUUUUCUCCAUUUUUUCAAUUUGUGCCGACACAUAUGGUGAACCAUUAGACAUCUCAAAAAAGGAUCUAGAUUGUGGCUGCUCAACUGCCCACUGCUGAGUAUCUGCUGCCAUUUUUUCAAAUAACAAAUAAGCCUCUUGUGCAUUUUUAUCUUUGUACGAACCUCUGCAUGAAGCGUUGACAAGAGUUUUUGUAGUCAUAUUCAACCCUCUGAAAAAUAUAUGCAUUUGAUCAGUAGUGUUAAUACCUGAGUGUGGACAUUUUCUAAUCAACUCUUUGAACCGCUCCCACGCAUCAUGAAACUCCUCAUUUGGCUUUUGGGCAAAAGAUAAAAUCUGAGUUCUCAUGUCAAGAGUCUUAGAAGCCGGAUAAUGCUUGUUUAAAAAUUUUUCACUAAGUUGGGCCCAAGUUGUAAUGCUUCCAAAUGGGAGUGUGAGGAGCCAUCUCCUUGCUUGAUCUUUUAGAGUAUAAGGAAAUAAGCGCAGCUUAAUAGAUUCGGCUGAAAAUCUCCUCACCAAAAUGUUUUUGCACCCAUUAAAAAUUCUGCAAUGUGCAUGUUAGGAUCAUCAGAUGAUAACCCAUGAAACGUAGGUAGAAUAUUCAACAUGUGCUGUUUUAUUUCAAAUGCAGUCCCUUCCUCCACUGCCGGAUAAGUAAUGCAACUUGGUAUAUUUGUGGUAUGGGCAAUCAGUGACUCACCCAGAGGCAGACCAGCCUCUGGAAUUACAAAUGCCAUUUUUUCUUUGCUGUGCAGGUCCCCAGAAAAGAAUGAUUGCAGAAAAGUCUCCUGCAGAGGACGAACCCUCUGCAAAGUUUGUGAAGGAUUUAUUUUGAAAAACAUGUUCAUUUGAAUAACAUCUAUAGCAUGCAAUUAACAAAUUAAAGGCGGAAUCAUGCUUGUAUGCAUUCAAAAACAAAACAUUACCCAUGAAAUUCAAAGCCUAGUAGAUUGGUGAACCAAUAAUCAACUCAAAACAAAGUGAGUUGAAAUUAAUACCUUUGUAGAUUCCUCUUUGCAUAAGCAAAGGCUAAUCACCCAAAGAGAUAGGGCCUUCAUUCCUUGCUUCUUAGAUCCAUGGAUUUGGAUGGAAGAAUAGGUUCUCCAAGUUCCCAAAAUUGAGAACCUCUAAGUCUCUUCACCAAGGUUUGAUUGUAGAAGAAAUGAGUGACCUUGGAGUAGUAGGAUUGCUAGAUGUACCCUCCAAGGUGUUGGCCUCUUUAGAGAGAAAAUGGAGAGACAAUUCUCACCCAUUUUCACCCAAAAUAAACCCUUAAUCACAUUAUGAAUAUUUGGCUAUAAAGUCCUUUAUAUAGUCCCUUCAAAUAAGUGACCUAAAGAACAAAAAACCCUAAUUCAUCUACAUGGCCGGCCUACUUUGGGAUUUUUGGGCUUUUGGGCCUUUGUGAAUCUUUAUUCAUUAAGUUGUCAUACAUCUUAAGUCAAUGGGCUUGACAUUCGAAGCCCAUUGGGCCUUAAGGUCCAAAAUUAUCCCGAGGUCUUUAACGAACUUAUUCGUUUGAUUAAUUAACAUAUUAAUUAAUCCUUGCCAUAAAUAAAUGAUUAAACCAUUUAAUCAUUCUUACUCAUUUCCGUUUAAUCUUCAAUCUCCACCUUUUAUGGUGUGCGAUCCAUUAGGUUCCUUUUAGCGAGGCAGUGGGGGGCGAUUAAAACCAUUUUACAUCGAUUGUGAAUUGAAACAAUUUUCAAUUCUCCCUUUAGUGGUUAUACACGUAUAGGGCUUCCACAAACCAUGGUUGACGCCUAGCAGCAUGUCAUGGUUACCCAAGCUAAUCAGAAGAGGUUAGAGAACCUAUUCAGUUCGGGAUUACAAGUGCAAUACGGUCCUUCUCUAAUCUAAUACUCUUGACCACAUUGUUUGGUAUGAUAGUUUAUUUACUCAUGUCUACUAUCCAAUGUGAAUCGUUUGCUUAUAUGAUUUCCUUGAAUGUGAUUUGGAACGCAUUCCCCAAUCUUAUUCAUACUCUGGCCAGAGAUUCCAAAUCAUAUCAUAGAGUAUUCUCCCUCAACUGUUUGAAGGUUAGAGAUCCCUUGUUGCGCAUUCACUUGUCUCCAUAGCUAAGUGGCUUAACCCCAACGAUGCCGUGACACCCCGAGGGGGUGAAUUAGACAUAAUCAAAGAUUAAGGACUUAACCACAAGACAACUGUGAUGCCUCAGGUCAAAGGACAACUUUGCAUUAUCCCAACCAUGAGUUCUCAUGUGACAUGGAAUAUAAGAACUCUUCGUUGAUCACGUUCAGUGAACUCAUUCUCUUAUUUGAGCACCUACGUACUUGUCUUGAUGUCACACACACCAAUGACUCGAGACUAGUCACUCUCCCUGAGAGAAGACACAGUACGUACUGAUCUUAACGGACUGUCAAUGCCCAAUUGGUAAUCCUAUGAUCAGGAACAUUUAGGAUGUGUCUACGAAAGAAUGGUCUCAUUAAUCUAACUUCAUUAGAUUGCAUUCUCCCAAUCACAUAUUCCUUGGACUUUAUCGUUUAAGCAUAUAACAUUUAUAUGAGACGGCUCAAACAAUAAUCUUUGCCCUUUAUAUGUUAAACUAGAUUAGUUUAACAUUUGAAAUGUCCGUAAAGUAUCAUCAUAUGAUUGGUUUUAGGGCACAUUUCCAACAAUCUCCCACUUGCACUAGAGCCAAUCAGCAUUGGUCAUCAGUGAUGAUACCUCUUCUGUAGUCAUUUCAUAAAUGGCUGAAAAGUAGGCCUAGACAAUGGAUAUCUAUAUGUUAUCCAUAGAAGCAACGUUGAGAAUAUCGACUUCACCAUUAUACAUGAUUCUCAAUCAUGAGGUUCAGUCUCUCAUUUGUGUUCGGAUCUUGAUGAGCCCUUGAUUCCCAGGCUUGAGCUAUCGCCCCAUUAGUGUCAUACACUUUCUGGUUGGAACCGUAUAGAGAGUUCAUAAAUGAACUUUCCCAUCCAAACAACAUUGUUGUAAACUUCUAUAUGGCAAUAUAUCUUGCAUUCAUAAUGGAACACACUAAAGUCAUUACUUUAAUGUUUCCAUCCAAAUAUCUCUUUAGUCAUAAUAAAGAGAUAUCUGUUUAUUUCUUCAUUCGUAAUGAAGAAACAUCCAAUGAUGGAUUAGAUUCAUAAUCUAAUACAUUUACGCUUCCAUUACGUUACUCUAAUUCUUCCUCGAUCUUUGAGGAAUUUAUCCUUUAGUAUUUCUUAAAUACUUAAGGACUCACUUGACAGUUGCCAUGGUUCUGAUCCUGGGCUUGUAUUGAUAUCGUCUUGUACCGUUCUCGGUACAACUCAUAUCAAUGUUUUUCAUACAAUAUGAAAUACAUAAAUCCCCUUUCUGUUUACGCAUAAAGGAUUCUAUUUACGCAUUAUUUCUUUGGGAGUCAACAACUUCUUAGUCUUACUAGAAUUGUCCAUUUGAUUGAAGUUUAUCAUCAUAUGAGAAACUUCCCAGCAUCUCUUGUCUAUUAUUGGGGAUUGAUACAAUCCAAUUAUAUCCUAAAAUCUAUCAAUAUAGAUUUCAUUCCCAUGUAUAUAGACUAUAUCUCCCAUAUACAUUCUAUCGUUUAUAGAAUGCUUAAAGUCAUAACUUUAACGAAGAAGAAUUCAUUUCAUUUCCAAAAUUAAUAUAUCAUAUAUAUUUUAAAUUUUAGGAACAUGAUUAACUCCCACUAAUCUUUUGUAAAACUCGUAAACAAAAGAUUCAUUUACAUCUUGAUGAGAAAUCAAACGAUUUGAUUCUUUUUCCUCAUAAAAUGCAAAUAGCUCCCACUAACUUGCUAAGAUCCAUGAUGGAUGGAUCUCUACAACUUACAUGUCUUGUGAUUUAUAGUUUUGGACAUAUAUUAUCAAGACUAUCUUAAUAAUGGUUUCGGAAACCCAUAUUAUGUCAAAACAUUGAAUCACCAUUUUAGUUGUAGCUAGCAAUCUUCGAAUUAAUUGAAACCAAGCCUACCUCAAAGAUGGUUUCUUCAAAGUCAACCAUUCUCUUUGAUUGUAGUUACCUUAAGCUACCAAUUAGCUAUGAAGGUUUUAUUAUUUCGAGUCAAAUGGUACUUUACCAUUUCCUUGAGCAUGUAUCAUAUAUACACUCAAUGUAGUCAUAAGGAUUUUCAUUCUUAUUUCUUUCGAAUUAAGAGGUGCAACUCUAUGACAUAGUCAUAAAGUUCAAACCAUUCAACUGAGACGGUUUAUAAAUCCUUCUUGACUACCUUGGAGCUUAAGGUAUAGGAACUAGGUUGUUAUAUUUGUUGAUUACUUUCUUGUCUCUCAAAGAACCCAUUCUUCGAGUUCUAUCUCUCGUUCAUUUGCUUUUAGGCAAAUCACAUUGUAGAAUUACAAUGAACUACCCAACAAAACAACAUUUGUUAGUUGGUUUAUAGAAGCGAUAUCCAAAAGUUAAUUUAAGGAUAUCCUACAAGAUUGUUAUCAAACAAAUAUUGCUUAUUAGCACACAACCUCAAAUCUUAACAUGCUUAAGAUUUGUCUUUCUUUCCAACUACAUCUUAUGGAGUUAUGAAAAUUUUGGAAGAUCUUCUAAUUGACAAUUAUAUUGUUUUUAGAAGUAUAUAUCCUAUAUAUGGGUAAUAGAUAACAUCUAACGAACUAAAUCUUAUUUGAGUUCGUUCUUCUCCUAAUGGAGAAAUACAUUAUCUUAUGAUGCUAUUUUCCUUGAUAUCUUUCAAGGAAACUCAUCUAAAGUGUUACCUUUCCUUGGAUCAAAUCUAAGGAGGUAAAUACUUUAGAUAUCUUACUCAUCUAUUUACAUUUCUUGAAUUCUUUGAAACCUUUUGCAAAGUAUUCGGACUUGUGUUUAUUCAAAAUAAACUAUAGUCCAACCGAGAGUGAUCUUCGGUGAAUGUCAUAUAACAUGAGUAGUAUUAUGUUGUGGACAAGUGCCACUAACAUCUAAGUGAAUUAACCUCAACAACUUUGUGAUUCUUUCUUCUUUUUCCAAAAGAAUAAAGAUUCGAACAUUUCGCCUCCAUACAAUUUUAACAAGAAGGUAUUGGAUCCGGAUCUAACGAUCCAAAGCGUCCAUCUAUGACCAACUCGUAAUUUAUGUUUUUAGAGGUAUCACAACUUUAGUUGGGAUUAGUCACUACCUUGCAACCUUUUGGGUUUUAAGCAUCAUUAUUUUCUAAACAGUUAACACUACCAUAUUAUCUCUACUAUAGAGACAAUCAAUUAGAUUACUAUAAAUCCAAUUUCUUUGGUAGUUCAUAUGAGGAAGUAAGUACUAUCUGCUUUCGCAGAGAUCUAUAUCUUAUUCACGUUCCGUAUGUGAAGCACCUUUUCUUCUCUCAUAUAUCUUCUACUUCUUAUUAGUCACACUUUUACAACGAUUUGUAAAACAUAGUUACUAAUACGGAAUCAUACAUUCAAGUAGAAGAACCAACUGUUUUGAACUAUUCAAGAACAAUUUACAACACCUUCGAAAGGUGUGUUCUUGACACUUGCAAGACAUUUCUUGCAAAUACCCCUUCCAAUUUCCAUCCUUUCAUAAAGAAAGUUUGUUCCCUUGGAGUUAUUUAUCUUCUUUAUUUGACUUUCACCUUUGACUACAUUAGUCAUGGUCCCUAAACUCCCACUAUCUCUCUUGAAACCCUUUUCAAUUGUGUUAUACACAUCAAACAAUUUGGAGAGUAUGUGGUUAUUGUUCACUACAUAGUUUACCAUAAACUUAGUGAACCAUUAGGAUAGGGAAACAAAGGUAAAGUCCUUGCCUAGUUUCCGUCUCGUUAAGUGGUUUAACACUUCAACACUCAAUGAUUCAAAAUCAUCAUAAGUCCAUGUUAAUGGACUAUUUUUGUCAACCAACCAUUAUGUUCUAAACAUAAUUACAAACUUUCAAGAGUUGUACAAGGCAACUCUCAUUUCUUCAUACAACAUUUGGAAGUGAAGAAUCAUGGCACAUUAAGUGUCCAAGCCUUUGUGCUUUCUUCUCAAGUUCCUUGUUCAUGUAACAAAGAAACAAGCACUAAGUGUUUGCAUUGAUUAAGGGUUGUUCAAAGCAACUCUUAUUUCUUCAUACAACAAUUUGUAAUUGAAGAAUUAUGACAUUAAAAGUGUUGUCCUCUUUAUGAUAGACCUAUUCUAACAUAUUCUUCUAAUGAUACAUUAUCAAUAGGAAGAUUGUGAGGAUGAGACUACUUAGGUACAUUUACAAGCCAUUAAAGACAAUCUAUGGUUUUGUAGUACCAAGUCCGUAAACUAAACGUUCGGCUUUUAUUUGUCAAGUGUUGGAUAACGUUUGCAAAUAUAUUGGUAAACAAAUACAUAACGAAUAUAAAUUGAUUGAUUUUAAGCCAUUUGAUUCGGGUCUUUAAAUCAAAUAGCAUCACCCACUAUUUUUGGCAAAUUCCAUAUCCCUCAUUGGAAUUCGAGAGUUUUGGAUGAAACUCUUAGUAGGUUAUGGGAGGCUCACUAUUACCAAGCCCACCUCAGAAUUAUAUCAUGUUGGCUAGCGUUAAUGAUAAUGAGAGAGUACGCUUACUCAUUUGCAACUAAUGCAAGUACCCAUCUUAUUUGGCCUCUAGAGAAUGAUUGCCUCAGAAUUAUAUCAUGUUGGCUCCAUUGCACUUAGUUAAGUCAUUUCCACCAUGCUUAGUUCAUGUAGGGGUUCAAGCAUAGCCUCAGAAUUAUAUCAUGUUGGCUAAACUCGUUGCCUACACUCACCUCAUCAUAUGCGUAUAGACUCUUCCUGAGUAUAAGCAUGCACUUUGUACUUCCCCAUUAUAGGGUGAAGGCGGUGUACAAGUCAUAAACGAUUGGAGCCUACCACGGUGGAAGGCCACGAAAGAGUGUUCAAAGCACUCUCACGCUUUCAACUUAAUAUUGGGUUGGUUGAGGGUUUUAGGUCUCAUCAUAUAUCAAUAUACAUUUUAAUCUCUAUUAAAACAAUUUUGGUCCUAUUACAACUAUUGGUCCAUAUGAUUGUUUUAGUUGUACAUAAUACUCCCACUAUGCUUUUAAAACGGUUUUUAAAGCAAGAGUAUAUGUUACUACUAACAUAAGGUUUGCAUUCAUUUAAUGGACUAUAUAGUUGCCUUAGGGCCUUAGGAUGACUAUGAACCUUUGUUUAGAUUCAACACGAGCCUUGUGUUGAAUCUCGGUCUAGGGAUGGAGAUUGAUUUUAGUUACGCGUUUAAUCACAUUAAGGCGUGUUGUCUUAGGGGCGUUGGACCCAAUUACUUCAUUUUCAUGCAUAUCAUAUAAAGCAAGAAAGAAAUACUUCAAAGUAAAGGAUGAGCUUAUGCUCAUUACAACAUUUGCAUAAAACAAAUUACCUUAAAGUAAAGAAGGACUUAUGCCCUUUUACAACAUUUGAUUAAAUCAAAUUACAACCAAAAUCUAAUCUACACAUUCCCAUGGUUCAAACAAAUUUGAAACGCCUUUCACAUAGCUCAAUUAUAUUAGGCUUAGGUUCAUAAUCAUCCUUUAAUUAAUUAACGCUUUAACUAAUUAAUUGAAUGCAACAUUUUCAUUUGGUUUUUGUAUCCAUAAAAUUGAUUUAAGUGGAGCUAAACAAAAUGAAAAUCCAAUUCUCAUUUAAAGAGACAAAACAAUUUUGUUCUCAUCCUAUUUGGGCCAUCAUGCAAUAACCACAACUUUUUGGGCCAUAUUGCGAAAACAUAAACUUUUGGGGUCACUUUGUAAAAACACAAAAGUCACUACUUUCAUGUAAAUACAACUAGAACCCAAAAUUUAAAUAAAUUCAAAAACUUCAUUAAAGGAGCAAAACAAUUUGUCCUUUAGCGUUUUUAGGCCUUAACGUCAAAACGUAAACUUUCGGGUCAAAGUACAAAUACACAAAAGUAUCAAAACUUUAUGUAAUUGCAUAAAAGCCCCAAAAAUACCCUAUUUUAUUAGGGUGGCCGGUUUUUAGGGAUAAAAAUGAGUGAUGGGUGUUUUGAUUUAUUAGUUUUGUCAAAAACAAUCAAGUAGUGCUUUCACCUUUCAUAAAAAUAAUAUAUGUUUUGAUGAUUGAUGUUUCCAUCAUCAUUUAUUCAAAUAUUUAACACUUUAAAUACUUUCAUAAAAUUAAUAUAUGUUUUUGAUGAUUGAUGUUUCCAUCAUCAUUUAUUCAAAUAUUUAACACUUUAAAUACAUGAUAAAUCAUUUGAAAAACAUAUAACAUAAACUUUAUGAAAUAUUCAAAACUUUGAAUCAAAACACAAAACCUUUUUGUUCUUGGCAAGAACAUCAAGAACAAUGAAGAACAUCCAUGAAAACCCAUAAGAGCUCCAUGAAUGUUUUCAAGCCAUAAAACUCAAAUUUUCACCAUUCAAAAUGGUGUUAACAUCCUAGGGUACUUAGGGGUUCCAAAAGUCACCUUAAAACAUUUUUAACAAGACAAACAUGAACCCAAAAAAUCACCCUUUGGAUUUGGCCGAAAAUCCCAAAAAUCAUGGCACCAAAUUUUAGCUCCAAUAUUCAUCCUCAUAUGAACUACAUCUACAACAUUUGAGAUGGCAAAUUUUCAAACAAAAUUUACAUUCAAAGAAGCAAGAAUAAAGCUUGUAACAAUUACAACUUUUAAAUCAUAAACUUAUGAACUACAAAACCCAAAAGGAUUCACCAACUACUAGACCUACUAGACCUAGGCUCUGAUACCACUUGAAGGAUUUAUUUUGAAAAACAUGUUCAUUUGAAUAACAUCUAUAGCAUGCAAUUAACAAAUUAAAGGCGGAAUCAUGCUUGUAUGCAUUCAAAAACAAAACAUUACCCAUGAAAUUCAAAGCCUAGUAGAUUGGUGAACCAAUAAUCAACUCAAAACAAAGUGAGUUGAAAUUAAUACCUUUGUAGAUUCCUCUUUGCAUAAGCAAAGGCUAAUCACCCAAAGAGAUAGGGCCUUCAUUCCUUGCUUCUUAGAUCCAUGGAUUUGGAUGGAAGAAUAGGUUCUCCAAGUUCCCAAAAUUGAGAACCUCUAAGUCUCUUCACCAAGGUUUGAUUGUAGAAGAAAUGAGUGACCUUGGAGUAGUAGGAUUGCUAGAUGUACCCUCCAAGGUGUUGGCCUCUUUAGAGAGAAAAAUGGAGAGACAAUUCUCACCCAUUUUCACCCAAAAUAAACCCUUAAUCACAUUAUGAAUAUUUGGCUAUAAAGUCCUUUAUAUAGUCCCUUCAAAUAAGUGACCUAAAGAACAAAAAAAAAACCCUAAUUCAUCUAUAUGGCCGGCCUACUUUGGGAUUUUUGGGCUUUUGGGCCUUUGUGAAUCUUUAUUCAUUAAGUUGUCAUACAUCUUAAGUCAAUGGGCUUGACAUUCGAAGCCCAUUGGGCCUUAAGGUCCAAAAUUAUCCCGAGGUCUUUAACGAACUUAUUCGUUUGAUUAAUUAACAUAUUAAUUAAUCCUUGCCAUAAAUAAAUGAUUAAACCAUUUAAUCAUUCUUACUCAUUUCCGUUUAAUCUUCAAUCUCCACCUUUUAUGGUGUGCGAUCCAUUAGGUUCCUUUUAGCGAGGCAGUGGGGCGAUUAAAACCAUUUUACAUCGAUUGUGAAUUGAAACAAUUUUCAAUUCUCCCUUUAGUGGUUAUACACGUAUAGGGCUUCCACAAACCAUGGUUGACGCCUAGCAGCAUGUCAUGGUUACCCAAGCUAAUCAGAAGAGGUUAGAGAACCUAUUCAGUUCGGGAUUACAAAUGCAAUACGGUCCUUCUCUAAUCUAAUACUCUUGACCACAUUGUUUGGUAUGAUAGUUUAUUUACUCAUGUCUACUAUCCAAUGUGAAUCGUUUGCUUUGCUUAUAUGAUUUCCUUGAAUGUGAUUUGGAACGCAUUCCCCAAUCUUAUUCAUACUCUGGCCAGAGAUUCCAAAUCAUAUCAUAGAGUAUUCUCCCUCAACUGUUUGAAGGUUAGAGAUCCCUUGUUGCGCAUUCACUUGUCUCCAUAGCUAAGUGGCUUAACCCCAACGAUGCCGUGACACCCCGAGGGGGUGAAUUAGACAUAAUCAAAGAUUAAGGACUUAACCACAAGACAACUGUGAUGCCUCAGGUCAAAGGACAACUUUGCAUUAUCCCAACCAUGAGUUCUCAUGUGACAUGGAAUAUAAGAACUCUUCGUUGAUCACGUUCAGUGAACUCAUUCUCUUAUUGAGCACCUACGUACUUGUCUUGAUGUCACACACACACCAAUGACUCGAGACUAGUCACUCUCCCUGAGAGAAGACACAGUACGUACUGAUCUUAACGGACUGUCAAUGCCCAAUUGGUAAUCCUAUGAUCAGGAACAUUUAUGAUGUGUCUACGAAAGAAUGGUCUCAUUAAUCUAACUUCAUUAGAUUGCAUUCUCCCAAUCACAUAUUCCUUGGACUUUAUCGUUUAAGCAUAUAACAUUUAUAUGAGACGGCUCAAACAAUAAUCUUUGCCCUUUAUAUGUUAAACUAGAUUAGUUUAACAUUUGAAAUGUCCGUAAAGUAUCAUCAUAUGAUUGGUUUUAGGGCACAUUUCCAACAGUUUGCUCCCUGCGAUUCCUCCGUAAAUUCUACUCAAGUUCUGGAUCAAGUGGAAUCAAUUUCUGCACUGUUGAACGGGUGCUGACCAUGCACAGAUUUCUGAGAUCUGCACUGCCGUACUGUUGUAAUCUGUAAAAAUAAAAUAAACGAAAAUUAAUUUUUUUUUAUAUGUAUGAACAGCAAUAACUAAUUGAAAAUCUGAUUAGUAUGGAUUAUUUUAAAUAAUCCCCGGCAACGGCGCCAUUUUUUCUGGAGAAGUGUUCAGAAUAUUCUAAACAUUAAAUCCAGCUAUAUUGGGCCAGUUUUGGAGCAGCUUAUGGGCCAAAACGUGGCUGUUCAGAUUUUAGACGAAUUUUAUCAUUUAAUUUAGGGUUAUGUUUCCUAGGGUUUGUGUGGAGGCUUAGCAGAUAUAUUGCUUGGCCGUCUACAGUUUUUGGGGACAACAUUUUUUUUAUGCAAUUUUGGAGACAGAGAGAAGUGCUAGGGUUUUGGAGAUUUUCUACUUGAAGGUGUUUUCAAUCAUUUUCUUAAGAAUAUUUUCUAUGAUUUCAAUUAUGAGUAUGCGUAACUAAUUCCUUUUGCUAGGGCGAAGCCUUGAGCCUUAGCAUGAAUAUGUGAUUUUUAUUUAAUUGUUUAUGAUUGAUUGCAUGCAUACUUUGAAUUGUUAAUCACCGGGAUAAAAAGUAUCUAAUGAUUUUAAUGCCUGAUCACCAUUAGGAUUUUUAGAAAAGUAAUUUGAUGCAAUUUUGGUCGGAAGGUUCCCUGAAAUUGACGCUGGCUUCUUGUGAUUAAUAAUUGUAAUUUCGCUUAGGAUGAAUAUCACGUCUUAAGGAUUGCAUGGUUUUUCAAAGGAUUUUCAUAAAGCGUAAUGAGUCUUUCAUGUUCAGAUUUGAUCCGAACGUCCGGACGGGUUGCAUGUUAGAUAUACGUUAUAUGUUGGAGGUUCCAAGUAGAAUAUGAAUUAGGAAAAUCUAACCUUCAAAGUGGCAUGUGUAGAUUAUAAGUAAUUGAUAAAAAUUCAUAGGAUUGCUAGGUGAUGGUGGAACCCUAGUGUUUUCUUAAUUUGAUUCUCCCAAAACUGUUUUCUUCUCUCUAGCUCUAAUAUUGCAGAUUGUUUAUUUUAAUUCAUUAAUUUCGUUUUUAUUUUAAUUAGGUUAUAAAAUCAAUCACCUAAACUUCUACUUUACAAUAAUUAAAUGGAAUCUGAUUAGUUUUGAAUUAUUUAAUAAUCCCUGUGGAGACGACCUUGCGAGAUCCGUUUAUACUACAAUAACCUUGUGAUUCUUGCAAGUAAAAUAGGAGAUUUAAGCUCGUUCACAUGAGUAGUAAAAAUCCUAUCAUGUUACACGACACGACCCGUUAAGAUAUCGGGUAUGACACAAAAACGACACGAACACGGAAAACACGACACGAAUGCCAGGUCUAUUGUGCCCUUAGAUGUAAAAUAUAGGCACAAUAAUAUAUUUGAGUUCAUCUUUUUAAACAAAGUGGUCAGAAAAUGUGUUUGUGUCCAUUUUUUUUUAUAUUGGGCAUAAUAUGUAGUGUCCUUUAUUGAAUGGGCACUGUUUUAAUCCUUUUGUGUUGAAAGACACACAAUUUUGUCCAUAAUUUUGUGCCCAAAGGCCAUUUUUGUUGUAGUGACAGUUAACUCAUCCGACACUUCAUCUUGAGCAGCUCCGAUCUUGGCAGCUCCAUCCUUGACUACUCCGUCUAUGGCAGCUAAGAAAUCAAACUUAAGCAGUUUCCUUAUUUUUGGCAAACAACCCAUACGUGGCAGCCCAAACCGUUGUCCAUGCCACGCCACUUCCUCGGCCCAUGCCGAGCCAAUCCUUGGCUUUAAUUAAGCCGAGCAGCACAAGUAAUGGCCCCUGCCACACCUCUUCCUUGGGCCAUGCUAAACCGACUCCUGGCCCCUGUCAGUCGAUGUACCGCACCACCCCGACGGCUGCCCCGUGGCAGCACCUCCCACGAAGAAGACAAAGAAAUCAAUGGAAGACGGUUCUUUGCACGGGCAAGCAAAGAAGAGUGCUAGGGGAGGGGGAACAAAUAUCCUCUAGCUUUCUCUCUUUCUUGUAAGGAUAAAUAAUUGCCCUUCAAAGUUGAUUUAAUCCCCUACUUAAGGUAGGAUUAAAUAGGCAUUGGAGGCGAUUUAUUUCCAUUUCCUAAAAGAAUAUAAUUCCAAGUCCUUGAGAAAAUCUACAUCAAAGUUGGAGAUCUCUACACCUGCUGCCCUUUCCUGUGAGCAGCCCAGCAAGUAUGGAGGCAUUUGUGGAGCCCAAAAUAAUCACAAGGCGACACAUGGAUUUUUGGGAAGAAGAAGACAAAAAUACUCUUGAGGCAUACUAGGAUUCUUACGGUCAAGCAGCAGACACUCAUCACUCAACCAAGUCAAAAUUGCCCAAAAUAGGUAACAAUUCAAAGCCUAUUUCAUCCAUCCUCAUCAAAUCAUUUCUACAAGAUAAUUCCCAAAACAUUCCUUUUAAAUUAUGUUAAUUGGCUAAUUAAUAGAUUUAUUACCUAAUUAAUCUAUUAAUAGCCAAUUAAACCACCAAUUACUCCCAAAAAACACACAUAAGGUCGGUCACCUUCUCUCCCAAGGGGGCCGGCCAUGCCUUAUAAUUUCUACCUCAUUUUCCCCUUUCAUUAGCUAAUCAAUUAGGCAAUUAUUCUAUUAAUUGACUAAUUAAUUAGUUAAUUAUUCCAUAACUCCCAAUUUAACACAAAUCAAGAACCUAGCCCACAAAGGGAGCUAGGUGGCCAGUCCUCUCUCAUCCAAGGAGGUCGGCCACUCUCCUAUUUAAACCACAUCAUCCUCCUCAAAGUCCACUUCCAACUCUCUUGUUAAAAUUCUCACACUUUCUCUCUAAAUUUUAACUUUAACAUCAAAGAUUCUCUAGCCAAAGCGCCCCCCCCCCCCGGCGCCAAUUCAUCAUGGGCGUAUGAGGCUCUUGGCCUUGACCAAAGGUGUUAAUUGUUUUGUAGGUGCAAUUUUGUCCAAGAUCAAGGAGGAGGAAAUUUGCAUCCACACAACCCCUUCAAACCGCACCAAAAAAUCAAAACAUCCAUUCGAAACCUCAAUUUUUGAAACCAAUUUCAAGUUCGAUUCAAGUUUUCAAACAAUAAUCAAUACAUCAAAUCCGGAAUUUCUCAACCCAAAAACUUCAUUUGAAGACGAAAAACUGAAAAAAUUCGAGAUAUAUAUUUGCAGAAUCCAAAUCAGAGAAACACAGGUAUGAACCUAGAAAUUCUUAUAUUCUUGAUGAUUUCUUACUUUGAUUUACUACAUAUGUAUAUUUGCAUGUUUGAGAUUCUAAAAAAUAAAUUAUGUUUCCAGUUCAGAGUAUUCUGAUUUGCAUCCAGACGAAAACGAACAAAAAAAAAAGGGGGAAAUAAAAGCAACAUAGAAGAAAUAGAGGUACAUACUACAAAAUUUAUAAUAUUCUCGAUGAUUUUACAGUAAUAUGUAAGUUUGCAUGAUUCGAAUUCAUUGAAUGGGCAAUGUUUCUGCAAAAUGGUAUUUUUUUACUUCACUUUGAUAACGCUUGUUUUCUUAUAACCUUUAAAUAGUCUUUUCUUGACCUCAUAUGUUGGUUACUUUGCUUAAAUAACUUAAAAAUAAUCAACAUUCUAUUACAAUGGUUCCAGAAACAGUAUAGUUUUUUUGUUUCUGUUUGAUUAACAGUAUGGAUCCAUAAUCAAUAUGGUGUUUUAGUUCAUUUUCUUAAAUAACAUGCCCUAGUAUGGAUCCAGAAUCAAUAUAGUGAAAAAGGACAUUUUUGAAGCGUACCAAAAAUACUCUAAGACGAAACUCUUGAAGGACGAAAGCUACUGCUUCAAUUAUAUGUGCGCAUCUCAUCCAAUCCCUCUUAUUUGCAACCUCCAGAACAUACAUCACAUGGAACUUUAUAACAAAUUGUGGGGCAUUUGACCAAAUCAGCAAAUAUAAUUGGGCAAAAGGAGUGAUAGACUACUUGUUCAAGAUGAUUGACAAAUCAAAGAAAAAGAAGAAAAAUGGAGGAUAAUUAGCAAUAACAAGCGGAUGCACUGCUAUUAUUUUGGUAAAAAAAUUAGAACUAUAGUUUUAAAAGCAUGAAUUCUAUCUUAUAAAUUUCACAAGAAACUAAUUCAAAGUUCUUAUUUCAUGCAGUAUUGGAUUUAUCUUCACACCAAUCUAGUGGAGACAAUAAGUUGACGAGAAAACAUGAUUCCUGCAAUUAGAAGAUGGACAUAACCAAGAUAUACAAAGCAAUUCUUGACCUUUCGAUUGCCUUGCGGAUUAGUGAGUUACUGGGUUCUGCCCCAUAACGUACAUCUUUGUGUCUACAUACGACGACUCCGUUUCUACUCAGAGCCGCAUAUAGAUGGCUCGCGAAACUCAUGCGGGUGUCUUGGCCACUGAAACUGAGGUAGACAUCGUACUCAUUUGUAUGCGUGGUGGCCAUGGAUCCCAACGGAAAUCUCUGCUCUCUUCUCUCUCUUCUUCUUAUGGAAACUCAGACCGAUCAAAUCCAGAUCUGAGAGUCUUCUAGCAUAGGAAUGGAUAAUGAAAUGUCAACGGCUAUACAAUCGUCCGAUGCGCAGCAGCAAAUCUCCAUUAGUUUGACUUGAACUACAUAUAAGUAUUGUUUUUUUUUUGUUAGAUACAUAUUAAUAUUGUUCAAAGCUACAUAUUAAUAAAAAAAAAUUGUUCAUUAAAAAUUAGUAAAAAGACUAUUUAGUUUUUUAUCUCAAUAAAAAAAUUAAAGACAGUAACGUAAUUUUACAAAAUAAAAUUUUACUUUUUUGUUUAAACAUCACUUACAAGUACUUUUAACAUUUUUAAUUUUUAAAAAUUGAAAGAAAAAAAAAAUUAAACUCUCCUCGCUCUCGUUCUCUGUCUCUCCUCCAAUUUUAAAAACAAAAAUAAAAACAUUUCACACACAUUUUAUGUAUUGGCAUACUAGUAUUUAUUUACAAUUCACGUUUUUCACAAACAAACUUACCACAUUGAUCUCACAAAAAUAAUUUGGACAGGAUUAUAUAAAAUCAUAAAAGCAAAUUUGUUGAAGAUCUACUUUUGGCGUUUUAAUUACACUUAGUUAAAACCGCAUGUUUAAACUAUUUUGCUAUAUACAACACUAAGGGGUUGUAUUCAAUAUGGAACGGUACCAUAUGUUAAUAUAUAAUUGGGUUUUUUUUUCCUUCGAAUUGUAUAAAAAUAUGUAUUGUACCGUUCCACGUUCCAAGCAAUUUCUCCAUAAUCAGGAUUUUGAGCAAUUUUAAUUCUUUUUACAAAUCCAAGGGAAUUUAAUUAAAAUUUAAGUGAUUUUCUAAAAAUAUAAGUGUAUUCAAUUAUGAUUUUAAAAGAGUUUAACACAUUUCAGCAUUUCAAUUAGAAAUUUAGUUUAAAAUUUGAGGAAUUCGAGUGAAUUUGAGAGGUUUUGUAAUGUAUUUUAAAUAUUCUCAAAUCUCACAUCUCUCCCUAAUUAUUUGUGAGAAUUCACUCAAAAGUUUCGUAAUGUAUUUUAAAUAUUCUCACGUCUCUCCCUAAUAAUUUGUGGAAAUUCAUUCAAAAGUUUACAUGUGAAUAUCUAGAAGUCAAAUAAACUCCAUCAAAAUCCAUCAAAAUCCAUUAAAAUCCCUCGAAAUCUUAAUCGUAAACAACCCAUGAAUAAGAGGAGGCUUGAGAGAGAUUUAUGCGACCAAACCAAUGCUGAAUGUCUACUUACUUGAUGCUGCGUGGUUAGGCUUAGUCGACCUCACUCCAUCUUCAUUGCUUUGCUACUUGAAAUGAGGGAUUCCAAACAUAUUGGCGAAGCCGGCCAAUGUACCCUUCAAUCUACCACUUCCACUAGGUCCUUCUCCGUCACCAUCGCUACUGGAUUGGGUCGCUAUUUCAUCCAACUCUUCCACAGCGCUCUCGUACACAACGUCCAACUCUUCCACAUCACUCUCGUACACCAAACGAGUGCCGCAACUCUUCACCAAGCAGGGGCCUGAGCUUUUGAAAUUAAAUUUUAACUGAUUGCAACUGUUUUGCCACUCUGUACCAAAGCUUAUACCACGAGACACAUAGAGUAGCCAGAUAUGAUCUGACACGGGCUGGACAUCCGAAGAUAGUAGAGGCGCAGGGUACUCUUCCUUUCCAUUGACUUCCAAAACACCAGAGAGCUCCCAUCCGCUCCCACAAACUUUAAAUACAGCGCACAGAGCAUAUCCCAUCCACUUGUUAUCACGCCAUUGCGGAGUUAGGUCGACGGUUACUUCUGGUCCCAUCCUUUGAUGAGUGAACCACCCAGGAAUUUCCUUUCCAGGCAUGACAAUUUCAUAUCUAUCUCCUGCAUAAGGGACUCCCUGUACAGGUGAAACAGUGAUGUCAAGCAUUGAGAGAGAGAGAGAGAGAGAGAGAGAGAGAGAGAGAGAGAGAGCACCUUAAGAUAUCUUUGGAGCAUUGUAAAUGUUAUAUGAUUGUAGCUUUCUUUCUCAAGCAUUCCAAAGCAAUUGAUGAAAUUGAAGCAUGAUGAAUUCAAUCUGUCCAAAUUUGAUGGACAUUCCAGCAUUUUCAGUUUAGUACAACCAUCUGCAGUUACUUGUAAAUCCACAUCUGACGAAAGAACUGGAAGGUGUUGAAGCCUCCAGCAACGACUCAAGUAUAAAUUCUCUAGCUUAGUGAGUUGGCUAAUGCUUGUAGGAAGAUUAACAAAAUCGUUUCCACUUAAGUUCAAUGAUACCAAAGACGAUAAGCAGCCAAUAUCACUGGGGAUGUCUCCUUUACCAAGACUGUGACCACUUAAGUCUAAUUCCAUUAAAGAACAAAGGCCUGAUAGAGGAGGCAAGAACAAACUGAUGGAAUGAUGAAGGCUCCCUGUUGGCAUUAAUCUAAAAGGGAGCAACAUAUGCCAUGGUUGUUGUGAUGGCCCUUCCAUUCCACGAAAAAUCAAUGCUUUAAGGUUUUUCAGAAGGGCAAUGGAAGAUGGGAAUUCUUUUAUAGCAGUUCCACUUAAAUUAAUCUUCUCCACAAACUCUAAUUUCCCGAGGGUUUCUGGCAAUUUGGCAAGAUUUGAGCAUCCAGAAACAUCAAGACUUUUAAUAGCCGUCAAAUUUCCAAUGGUACGAGGAAGACAUUUCAGAUUUUUGCAAUCUCUCAAGUCCAACAAAGAAAGGCUGGUUAGAUGUUCAAUUGAUGAAGGUAUACAUUCAAUACCGGUCCCAUCUAAAGAAAGCUUCCAUAAAUGCUCCAUAGGUUCCACAAAAUUCGGUAUCUUUUUAACGCUUGAGCAGCCAGAAAGAACUAGAACUUCAAGGUGCUCCAUUUCAAUCUCAUCCGGAAGAAGCUCGAGACUUUUGCAGUCUUUAAGAGUCAAGAAAGUGAGCUUUUUGAGAGUUCUUAUGGAAAAGUGAAUCUCAACUAGACUUUCGCAUCCUUCAAGAUCUAAUCUCUCAAGAUUCUGAAUCCCUUCAAAAUCAGGGGUUCCAGUCAAACUUUUGGAAUGACUAACUUUAAUGAUUUUCAACUUGUCAAAUUUCUGCAAUGUUUACAAGAAAUGAAGAAUAAUUAGAUCCAGAAAACUCAAAUCAGGUAAUGAAGUAUAUUCUACAUCAAGCAAGGUAAUAAUAUUAUAGAUGUAGCCAUAUACCUUUUCUCCAUUCCAGAGCUGUUUAAUUCUACUAUGACACAUAAUAAGUUCAACAAGCUCUGCCGGGUGGAAUCCUAAUGGGAGAUAUUGUAGAGGAUAACCUCUCCAUUCAAGAAAUCUCAAGGAAUUAGGGAGACGGUUUAGGCCUUCAGGAAGGCGCACGUUAUGGACUUUGAGCAAUCUAAGAUUAACCAUCUGAGAAAAAACUUCAGGAGGGCAUUCGACCUCUUCUGAGGUAAGCAAGUCUAGGACAAUACCUUCAACCGUCGAUGUCCCCUGAUAACCAAGAAUAAAUAAAAAAACAAGUGAAUUGCAGUAUAGUCUGCACAUUAUAAGUAAAGGAAGAUAAGUAAAACUAAUAGGUUUUUUUUUUUUGUGCUUUUAAUUGUUGGAUUAAUUUAUAUUUGAUGUAUUAGGUAAGCUCUUACCGUAUUUUCCUUCAAAACACGAAAGAUGUCCUUAGAAAGCCAUAAUCUGCUCCGUUCACCAGGUUCUUUAGAUUGUUGACCAACAAUUGCUUGACCCAUUUUUUGUAACAAAUCAUGCAUCAACACCAUGUUAUCUGAAAUUGUUAUCAGAGACUUCUUCACAAGGACAUCUAUGCCAAUACCUGGAUUAAAACCACAACCAUCUAGUAUUUCAACUACUCGAUCUUUGUACUCUCCUUUAAAGAAACAUGCGAUGUCAAGGAAAAUAUCUUUCUCUUGUGGAUCUAAACCCUCGUAACUUAUUAUAAGUGUCUUCAUAAUUUUUUCAUUAAAUAUUAAAUCAUCCCCUAGUUUACUUAAUUGACCUCUCCAUGCAUCUAGACCUCUUCCAUUCAAAAAUAACCCCAAGACUUCAAGAGCUAAUGGAAGGCCUUUGGCAUAACUCACAAAACUUAUAGACAGAUCCAUAUGACUUUUAGGCGGAUUGUCCCUUUUAAGGGCUCUCAAGCUAAACAGUUUAAGAGCGCCAACAUCACUCAACAACGGCACCUCAAAUCUUCUUUCUACACCAUGUGAAAUUAGAACCUGUUUAUCCUUAGUCGUAAUAAUGACUCUACUCCCUUGACCAAACCAAGCUGGGUUUCCACAUAGCUUUUCUAACUGAAUACUAUCGUCCACGUCAUCAAGAAUGAUGAGAACCUUUUUGUCACGUACGAAGUAUCUCAUUUUGGCGGCUUCACUGGGACUCCAGUCUUGUAUAUUUCUAUUCAUAAGGCUAUUGGAGAGCUUCCUCUGUAUACCGUCCAGACCGUGUGCCUUAAAAUCCUCGCUAACUCUGUCAUGAAAGCUUUUGACUUGAAAUUUAUGAAGAAUCCUCUGAUAAAAUGCUUUGGCAAUGGUUGUCUUACCUAUCCCACUCAUCCCCCAUAUUCCUAUAGAGAGAACAUCAUUUGACUCUUGUUCUAAAAGCACAUCAAGUUGCUCCAGUUUCGACUCCAUUUCAACCAGGUUUUCUGCAGGCUCCAAUGAUAUAGGACCUACUUCAGUUCGUACCUUUUCAACGAUUUCCUUGAUGAGCUCUGGUUCUUUCCUACAAGAAAAAUAUACAAUGUUCAAGAUAUGACCUAAUACACAUAGAAAUAAAAAAGUUAGAGACUAUUUUUGUUUUCGUCCACCUGAAGUCCUAGUAUCAAGUGGUCUCUGUGUCCAUUUAAUAAGAGGGUAGUUUGGUAUUGGACCAAAUUAGGGACGGUUUCGGAAUAGGGGAGGAUUAAAAAGCGCAGCAGUGUUGGAUUUAAAAGACAUGAAUUCUUAACCGGAGCAAUUUUUUCCCCUUAGAUUCUCAAAUGGACCAAAUAUAUGGUAAAAACAAAAGGUCCUCUAGGAUGGAACCGUAAGAAUAAAGUUAAACAAAGUCUACAAGGCCUAAAUGCUUCCUCAUUAAUUAGUUGUGCUGUCAUGGGAUUAAGUAGUUAUCAAGCACCUUCGUUACUGUCGUCGUACCCAGUGCACAAGGCUCCCGCUUUACGCAGGGUCUGGGAGAGGUGAAUGUCGGCUAGCCUUACCCCCAUUUAUGGAGAGGCUGCUCCCAAUGUGUGGGGGAUGCAACACGAGGACUUCCCAGGAGGUCACCCAUCCUAGUACUACUCUCGCCCAAACUCGCUUAACCUUCGUUACUGUGCAAAAAGUAAAUUAUAUGAAUUCUUCGAUUUUCCUAAAACUUAUCAGAUAUUCUUCAUGCAUCAGGAUUUGGCAGAAUUGUAUUGAACUCUAGCAAAACUCAACCGAAUUAUAGAAACAUUGCAAGAAUUGAGUGAAAAAAGAAGGAAUACUAACUUGUUAUUUGAAAUAGGCCCUUUGAUUUUUGCCACUAUUUUUAAGGCAGCUUUCCAUCCAUCCACCAUCUCUUUGUCAUCCUUAUACUCUUGUUCGAGUUUAGUGAAGCCAUUCCCAAAAAUCCCAGACCGAUCUCCAACAUCGGAGGGUUCCACUGAGUAGAAAACUGGUAUAGCUGCCCGUCUCUCUUCCAUGCAUUCAAGAAUCUUUACGAGUUCGUUCAGGCACCAUUUUGAAGAAGCGUAAUCUGGAGAGAUGACAACGAUGGCAAGCCUCGACCUUGCAAUUUCCGGGAAGAGAUCAGAAAUUGGGCUUCCUAUUUGAAGUUCGUCAUCAUCCAAGAAAGUUCUUGUAAUUCCUUGUUCUUUCAAUUUAUCAUGUAGAUGGGCGGUAAAACCUAAGCGCGUGUCUGCACCCCUAAAACUCAAAAAGACAUCAUAUUUCCAUUCAAGAGCUGAAGGAAGAGAUGAAGUGGCUCGUUGGGUGCUCGAUGCCAUUGAAACAAGCUAACUGGAUACGGUGGCAUAGCAGCAAUUAAUAUGGUAUUAGUUUUUCAAGCAAUCAUCAUAAAAUUAUUUGCAAAAACAUGAAUAUAUAAAUUGACUUGUGACCAGAAAAACAAUUCAGCAUUCAUAAAAUUAUAUUAGGCAAUAACAUGAAUCAGAAAGAUGAGCAAUAACCUGGGUGUAUGUAGAAAACGAAGUCACAGAUCAAGUCAGAGGGGUCAUGAGAGGAGCUGAAGAUCCGUCAGAAAAAAGGAAACACUGUCUCUGUGUACUUGCUACAAGUCUCUCUGUAUGUCGUCGUCAACGAAACUUCACCGCGUAAGCUUGAUGGACGUGAUUCAACUGCUUCUUCUAUCCGACGGUCAAACCGCGUAAGCUCUAUUUUCCCUCUUUUUUAUUUUUAUUUUUUAUUUUAUUCGUUUGGUGAACUGUAAGCUCCAUUAUUUUAUUUUUGCGUGGCUCCAUUAUUAUUUUUUGGCCAAAUUGGAUUGUUCAUCCCGUAGCCAUAAGACACUUGCAUGAUGACAUCCGUGGUGAAAAAAUUAGGAAUUAAACCUAUGUGGUCUAGAAUGUUAGCAAAUUUAGUCCAAAAGUAAGAUUUCUGUUAAAGGACUGUUAAAAGUUGGGGUAAAACUGUAUUUUCAGUUCCAAUUGACAUUUAAAAUAAAUAAUUUUUUUAUAACAAUUAACAAAAAAAAUAAUGCUUAAUUUUUUAAAUAAAAAAAAAUACAGUUUCUAAAACUGUAUUGGAACUGAAAAUACAGUUUUACCCAUACUUUUAACAGUCAUUUAACAGAAAUCUUACUUUUGGACUAAAUUUGCUAACAUUCUUAACCACAGGGGUUUAAUUCCUAGUUUUUUCACCACAGAGAUCAUCAUGCAAGUUUCCUAUGACCACAGGAAUGAACAAUCCAAUUUGGCCUUAUUUUUUAUACUAAUGCAGAGCACACCAUAGUUGAAUGUUUCUAACAAACACAAAAUUUAAUUGCAAGCACUUCUUUUUCUUCCAGAAACACAAAAUUUAAUUUUCUUUAAGUUGACCCAGUGCGUUCACUUAGACAACAGUGUUGUUUGAAUAAAAAUAACUCUUAACAAAAACUUUUUUAUGGCAAACCAGAAAUACACCUGAAGCUUCUUGAACUACAUUAUGUGGAAUCAACACACUUAAAUUUAUUUAGAGUGUUAUAAACUCCUUUAAAAUAUUGAUUGUUCAAACCGAUCAUUUUGAAGCGCUAACUUAUUAGUAAGCAAAUACGUUUCUAGCUACACGUUUGAGCACAUUUGCAAGAUUCAUGAUUAUCCAAACCGAUCAUUUUGAAGGCCACCAUUGAAUAAGGAUUAUUCGUGUAAAAUCUCACUCAAAUUGAGCAUUGCUUAGCUAUCUAGCUAAUGGCAACACUAUAAGCAAACGAACAUGGUAAAUAAUAAAGAAAAUCAAAGGGCUCAAUCAUUCCAAUUUAGGUAAUUUUUGCAAGAAUGAUUUUGUAUUGAUUUUUAUUUUUUUUCUUCAGAAAACUAUUAAUCAUCAAAGUCCCAAGGGAGGGCGAACAAGAAACCAAAUCAGCAGGCCAAACAAAGGACCGUGGGCACUGCCGUUACACACUUCUAACAGAACGCAAAGAACCUUCCGACGUAUGCCUCAGCCUUCACCCGGCAACGAUUUCUGGCGAGCAACCGGGCAAGAAGAGAGAUGCUACAUCUCCAGAGACAAUGCUACUUGUAAAGAGGAGAGGACUAACCCACAAGUUAUGACAAACCUACCAAUAUUAAAUUUCAACAUCUCGAGUCCAUGUGGUUGGUACGACAAUUUGAUCCAUACAUACAUACAUACAUACAUACAUACAACAAAGACACACAAGAAAGAAAAAUUUGGCCAACCGUUAAAAACAAACCGAGAUCAAAGAAAUCAAACAAUAAGGUACAUCAAUACAUUAAAUUAUAUGCAAUGCCUGCUGACAUCUCGGAAAUAUACCAACUAAACAGCAUAGACAAACCAAAACUGAAAAAGUUCCUACCAAUAUUUAUUUAGCAACAGGUAAUCUCAUGAUCUCAUGUGUAAGUGAGGAACAAGGUCCAGAGCCAGACUGACCGAUACGCUGAUGGGCACAACUCAAAAUGACCUAUUCGGGUUUGAAGAAGAUGACUUGGCUUUUGCAAAAUCAACUAGAUCCUUGAAAAGAGCAUCUUCCUGUUUUACUUGUUUUGUUGGGGUAGACGAAUUAAGGGAGAGAUUCUGAGUCUGUCCCACUAAGUUGUCAUAAGAUGAACCAGAUCCACUGCCUGGAACGCCUUGUUUCUCAAAAAACUGUUGUCUCUGGUUAUACCUGGAAGGCGGAGGUGGAAGGCUGACAGGAGAUUGACCAUUGCCAGGAGACUGAGGAUUCCCCAGAGACUGAGUAUCCCAAGGGGCAGGAGGGAGCCCAUCUAUAGAUUUGCUUCUAGGAGCCGGUUCAUCAUAUACAGGCUUUCCAGUGAAUAUAGGUGAUGGAGUUGUGUUUUGGGAAGAAGGGGGUGAGGGUGAUAGUGGAGUCAAUCGUGAGGUGGAGCUGGAAUGAACUGGAGCUGCAAAGGAUGUGGAUUCUGAUGUUGCAGAGGAUCCUUCAGAUUUGUAGGCUUCUCCACUGAGAUAAUCAAUCACACCAGGACCUAGAGUGAUUGGCCUUUGCGAAGACGGUGGAGGAGGAAGAAGUGGGCUGACUUGCACAGGUUCAGCCUUGGCAUUGGCUGAUCUCUGGCCCUGUCCUUGUGAAUUAUCUCUUGAUGACCUGCAAUGCAUCUUACCGAAUUUUACUAAGAGGAUAAGAAUAUUAAAAGUAAAAAACUAACAGAACUUGCAAUAUUCAUAUUCUGAAGCGCACACAUACAAGUAAAAUUGGUAGAAACAAAAACAAGUGAGAAUGAAAUGACAAUGCAAAAUAAAACUUAGAAGUGCUCCUCUAACAAUCACCUGUGCGCUAGUUGGGAAAAUUCAUCCUCAGACUCAUCAUCCUCAUGGUUCACAUUCACAAGUGGCACAACUGAAGAUUCUGCUCCUCUUACUACAGUUGUAGUUCCUUUCACAAUAUCGUCAUGCCGAGAAAUUACACACGCUGCAGAUCAUCGUUCAGUGCCAAUCCCCUGACAUAGAAGCUCCUCAUCUCUGAGAGGAGAGCAACCACAACUGUCACUAUUGCAUCAAAUGUAUGAGUAAAACUCAAAUCCAUAUCAAAUCACUUACGCAGUCUCAUUCACAAGAAGCCUGACACGCUUUUGGUAUGAACGGCACUGAUCAACAAGGUCAACAAUCACUUCUUCCUUCAAACCCUGCCAUAGUAUUUCAUUUUGACCAUUUAUGACCAUUAAAUUUGCACACAUUAAGAGCCCGGAUGGUAAUAUUACGAUUUUGGUUCAUUUUUUAUUUUUAGCAAAAGCCGAAGAGGAAUUGUAUGGAGAAAAUAGGGAGAAAGAAAGGGCUCAGAUGGAUGAGCAUUAAAAUGAAUAUGGAACGGUAUUUAAACCAAAAAUUAAAUCAAUCUCAACUAUUCUAUUUUCUCCUUCAAGUUUUUAUUUCACCCAUUCCCCUUCAAUCAUCAUACCUCCUCCCUUCUACAAGCACAAGAAAAGUGCAGCCCUUAAAGGUACUAAUUUUCGAGUAAUUAACCACCUAAUUCCAACUCUGCUAAAAGUCCCAACUUCAAAAAAUUUUACAAUCACAGUAAUUGACACCUCUGGAUAACUAGCCUUAUAAAUAAAGUUUUGUUAUCAAUAUAUCUCCUCAAAUAAUUUACAUACAGUGCAUAAGUAAAGAAAAGUAUGGACCAUAAAUAUUCUCCACAAUUGACCAUAUACAACUUUCAGAAUUUUCUACUGUGGGCCCAUAUGAAACUUUCACCGCUAGAGAACUCCACACACAAAAACAAAAAAAUAGAAUCAUUGGCCUCUCAACAAAAAAAAAAUUCUAGAAAAACAUAAAUAAGAAAUUAUCCUUUAAUAAUACCUUUUUGGAAAGAAAUUAAUCAGACGUAAAAAAAUAAGGUAGAAAAUAUAUUACCUCAGGAUUCUUAGCAUCCAAGGCAUUAAGCAUUUCCAUCAACACAUCUGCAAUUCCACGAGCAUUCUGAAUCUCUGGCAAGCUGAUUAAAGACAGUUCCAAUCAGGAUGGAUCUAUCAUAGCUUCAAUAAUAAUUCAGACAAUUUUUACCAAAAAUAAAAAAGCAUCCCAAAGCAUAAAAAACAGAUAGCAUCUGUUACAAUAUCAUUAUGUUGGAAUUGUCUGUAUAGGUAAUUAUGGGGGAUUCGGGAAAGAUGGAAUAACUAUACAAAGAAGAGAAAUGAUUUGAAGUCUAUUGUUCAAUUUCUUAUUAGCACAAAAUUCAAUCAAGCAAGGAUGAAUUCUUUCAUAAAUUACAGUUACGGAUCAUGACAUUCAACAAGCAGCAGCUGAAAUAAUUGUACAAGCAUAAAAAAUAUAUGCCGACUGACAUCUCUUACUAAAGAUUAAGACCCUAGGACUGACGGGACUUAUAAUAGUAAGGAUGUAAGAGACAUCCUCAUGUCAAGGGGAGAAUUGAUGAAUACUUGACAAGGUUAAGGCCUUUCAGAUAUAUAGUCAAAUUUUUCUGCAGUAUUAAAGCAUGCACAACACAUUCAAAUUUGAUAAUGAGAAAGGUAUAAAAAAAAAUUUUUUUUGAAGAAGUUGAAGAAAUAAAAAAUGAAAGAGAAACAAUCGAAUCGCCAAUUUAUGCAGUACAACAUAUGUAGAACAUGUCAUACUGAGGGUUUUAAUCCUGGGACACUUUCCAAUUGCCUACAAAUAUUUUUAACCUCUCUCAUGCAAUCAACACGCAAGUUUAUAGUUGUGACAAACAUGCAUGUGAAGGAAACAAUAAUUGUUUGAACAGGGAAUAAAUACCAUACUCAAAAGGCCCAAAAAAUGUAUGUUUCCAAGAAAACCAUAUUCUCGGCUAGUACCUAAGGCCCGAUGCAUCCGACUGGAGAGAAGCCUGAAUGGCAGCAUCAUCAUAUGAUGUAACAGGAGAAACUACUGGCUGGGUCUGGGGCGGAGUAAAUAUUGGUACACUGUUCUCUUCUCUUGGUGGAAAUUCAACUCCUGCAGACUGUCGGUUAUUCAUUAAGAGAGUUAGGGUGGAAGAAGAAACAGAAUAAAGAGAAAAUAAUUAAAAUCCACAGUUAUACUAAAUAUUGAAUAGCAAGCUUAUAAGUAUUGCUGGCCAAACUGAUGGAAAUGUUAUUUUGGACCUAUUAAACAUCAUCAAAAGGUAGAAAGGUAAAUGCGUUGAAAUCUAAUUGUGUGAAAGCUGAGGCGUAGUUGCCUCUUUUGUCAGACAAGGCAAGGCAUAAGCCUCUCGGACAUGAAAUCUUAUAGGAAGCAAAUAAAUAAUGCAAUACUAAUAAGUUGAAGUGCUAGUGAGUAACUGAAGUAUAAUAAGAAAUCCCAAUAUGACCACAUAUAAGUUAUAACAGUCAUUCAAGCAUAACAACCAAUCACAAAAAUAAAAUACUCAAUUGGUCAUACAAAUAUUCAAAACCCCAAAAGAUAAACUCAGUUCACCACAAUACUUGUGAUGAAUAGAAACUAACAUCACUAUCAUACUGGUCCAACAGACUGAUGUGAUAAGGGACGCAUAGCAGUGACUUGCACUAGAGGAGGGUUUGCAAGAUCACUAUUACUUCCAUUGUUCACAACAUUUACUAUCAUCUGUCAAAGCUGAAGGCACUUGGGCUGAACAUGUUUACCCAUUAAUCUUAACUUAACUAGGUCAUAUAAUUAAACAGAAAUGUUUAAAAACAUGGCCUAUUAAGCAACUCAAAAGAAAGAUGACAGCAAAGAAUGUCACUGAUUGGACCGGUCAGACUGGGUGAUAUCAUAAAUAUAUAACAACAUGAUUCUAUUCUCUAUAUACUAUAUCCAUUCUUCGACAAAUGAAAGAAAUAUCCUAUAAGGCAGUUUUAAAAGGAAAUACUUUUUAGAAGACGGUCUACUUUGAUUAGUAAAUUGAAAAUUUAGUAAGAUAGUUCCAUGGGAACACAGCACAAGUACAAAUGCAGUGUACAUAGUACAGAUUACAAACAAAAGCUUAACAUGAGUAUAACAAAGAUGUGAUAAAACAAUUACCCUCAAUUCAUUAUAUGCUGCAUAAUACUGGGGAAAUCUUCCCCUUGGUCCCCCAAAAGCUUCUUGCCAUGUAUCUAUCAAAAUUAGUAUCUUUUCCCUAACAUUCAAGUCUGGCUGCAUAAUGGAAUUAGAAUAACAAAGCAGAAAGAAAGUUAGUAUCCUAUUCAUGCACAAACUGGAAAGAAAAAAAGGAAGCAACAAGUUAGUGAAACAGAAAAACAAAGGUUGGGAGAGAAAUGCAGCACCUUCUUCUUUACUAUUUUGACCAUUUCAUGCAAGAUAUCACGCUCAACGAUCUGCUGAAAAACAUUCUCACCACAGUUCUUGCUCACAGUCUCCAAUGCCUGCAUCGAAUAAUAAAUUAGGAGAAGGAAAAAGACACCAUUGCUCAGAAAUGGCUUGUUUUGUGCUGAUGAUAGGCUAAUGCAAGGCAAUCAUUGAACCACAACAGGUCCAUCAUAAAUCACAAAUUUAUUAUGACAUUUUCACAUGUAUACAUAUUUUUGGGAUGGGAAGGGUACCACAAGCUUUACAUCAUGAAUUUAAAAUUUUAAAAGAAAGAUGCAAAAACAUGACAAGAAAUAACACAAAAAAUACUGAAAGUCUCACAAAGAAAAGGAAUAGUACUAACAAAAAGAGCCAGGAGUUGUAUUUUUGGAUUUUUGCUGCCCAGGCGCUUCUUGAGUAUCUUCAAGGCCUCUUUUGCUUGCCUGAAAGUUCAAACCAGUUCAUUGGCAAAACAAAGCAUUCCGAAUAUUUAAAUUAGGAAAGAGAUUCUAUGGGAAAAAUAAUCCACAACAAUAGAAAAUAAAGAGGAUAGUCUUCUGCAGAGUUUAAGAAGCUAAGAAAUGUCCAACAUAUAAAAGAAAGCCCGAUACACCAAGAUGCUCAUGGAAUCUAUUUGAAAAAUAAAUUACUCCUUCUACGAAGUUUCCAGUUCAUCCCAAAUCAAUGUAGCGAAAGCAUUCUACUACCCUGUCAAUUUUUUAAAGUGUUACUUUUCAGGAGGACAUGAUUUCCUUAUGAGAUGAGCCACAUCUCCAUUUCAGGAGGAGAUCUCCUCUUCUACCAGGAGCCAAGUAUUAAACUUCGUGUGUAUGUGCGUGCACAUGUAUAUAUGAAUACAUAAUAAGCUCUGAGCACUUUAAAGUUUCAACCAACAACUACGAUAUCAAUAUUUCAGAAAAGAUUCAACGUACUCAACAAUUUAAGAAAUGCGAACUCUAAACGGGUGGAUAUACCUAUAUAUAAUAUUCAAUCUAAAAAACGAAAUUGAGGGAAAACAAAGUAAUCAUACCCAGGGUCAAUAUUGAUAAUAUCACAUAAUUCAAUAUUUAUUGCCCAGUCUGGACCAAUCAACAUAUCACUUGUUGCCCUCUCUGCACAGGCCGCACCAUUACCAGCCAUGUCGUAAUCCCCUUCACGCAAGUCUUUAUCCUUAAAACUUCCUAAAUCAGAAGCCAAAAACAAGUUCAACUACGUGCAAUUCAACAUUUGUGAUGUAAAAGAACUUAAUAGAUGCUAGAAACGGAAGAUCAUAAGACACCUGUCAGGCUCAGGCUAUCACUAAUUAGCUCGAUGUCAGUAAUCUUGUUCAAUUCCAAAAGUUCCACAAAUUAUUUCUUACCCACCAAGACAAAACUUAUGAAAAUCCCAAUUCAAUUACGAUAAUUGACAGCGGAACUAUACAAAAUUGAUCCAGAAAAUAUUAAAAACCCGAAAUCGCAAACAAAUAGGGUCUAUAAACAAAUUCAACUAUCUGCUCAUCCCCAUCACAAAUACGUAUCCCAAAUCAAAAUAACAAACAAUCAGAUAGUCAACAAAGUACGAUUAACACAAAUCCAAGUCCCACAUCAAGAAACCCACAAAAAUUUGUGCCCAUAAAACACAGACAAGCAAAACCCAAUUGGAUAUUAGUACUAAAAUUGAAAAUCAAAAUUCGAAUUAGCAAGAUAAUGGUCCUGUGCUUAAAGUUAAACCCAGUUGACAAAACGAUCAGAGAAUAAGAGAAAGGAAUGAGAAGAUUUUGAGUAUUUUGGGUGAGGAUCUCGGGGAAAAAGCGUACCUGUGGAAACCCAAUAUCAAAGCGAAUCAGAACCGACCGAAAUGCCAAGAUUUGAGAAUUUGAGGAGAGAAAUUGGGAUAAUUAGGGGAGUGGGUUUUCCUUGGGGAAUUCUCGCUUUUCUUUUUCUCUCUGUUGGGGAUCGUUUGCUUGUUUGGUGUAAUGUUUAUCUGCGUCAGCUUUUGCUGUUUAGAAAUUAGAACCAAAACUUGUGACUAACGUUGCCUACAAAAAUAUAUUAUAAGACAAAAGUCUCUUGUUUUUUUUAUUUUUACUGCAAAGCUGAAUUUUCCGGGACCACUGCGUUUGUCUGCCAUUAUUUUGCUUUAUUUAACUGGACUAAAAGUUAGUGCAGCCUCGUAUUUAUUAUCCGCACAAAAUUAUUUUUAAUAAGAUUACGGGGAAUUUGACUUUAAAUUCUAAAUUUUAGAUUGUGUUAUUCACACUUUUUUUUUAUUUCUUACAUAUUUUUGUUAAUUUUUGUCUAUUAAUCUUCUUCAUCUCAUUCGAUUUAUAAUUAAAAAAAUUGAAAAAAGUGUGUGAGAAGUAAAAAAAUAGCUUGUGGAAACACUGGUCUAAACUUUCCCCACAUGGUUGUUGUGCAUAAGAUUUAUAUUCUUUCAAAAAAGCUUUCUUUGAAUUUUAAAUUUUAAAUUCUAAUUUUUUUGCACGCGAAUUUAUCUUGUUAAGGAAUAGUAGCCACACAAAAUUUCAAAUUUCUAUAUUCAUAAACGGCAAUGAAAAUUGAUGUAUGACAAUUUAAAAGUUAUUACUUUUAUUUAAAUUUCAAGAUUAUUUCUCGUAUCUAAACGAAUGUAUGUUUGUUAAUUAAUUUUCUUUAGCCAAAAGGAAACAUCUUACAGUAAUCUUGAUUUGUGAUGAAAUAGAAUCCAAAAGAAUUAAAAUAUAAUUGGUUUUGCACGAUGCUAGUAAACAACAUUUUCUCUUUAAAUUUUUGUUUCCUUCCCAUGUAAAUUGGAGGUUUUAAUUUCCUAGGCGCUUCCUGUUUAGACUUUUCUUUGAUUGCGAAAUAAUCCUGACCGUGAACGCAUUUUGGAAGCGGCGACUGGGCCCACAUGACGGUGCAUUGGAAACGGCUGUAUCGGUGUUGGCGUUGAAUUCUUUGAGCUCUGGGUGUCGAGCAAAAGUCAACUGAACCUAAAAUGAUACCAUGGUUGACUGGGUCAGCGGUCAGCCUCAUCCCUCCAACUUGUUCAUCCCUCCAACAUUUUCUCUCUCAUUUUGUUAACGAAUAUUAAAUCAUUAUCAAUUAUAACGUAUUUAACUGAGUCAUUGUCAGUUAUCAAAUAUUUAUUUCAUUAAUAUUUUUUUUCAUUUGUAAAUGAAACGUUUUAAAUUUGCGAUAUUGAUGAAUUCAGACUUUGUGAAGGCUUAGUUGUACUUGUUGCGAGUGGUAUCAGAAGCCAAUGCUUGAAACUUGGGGUCUCUCUCGUAUUAAAUGGUAGUAAGCCACGGAUAUUUGUUCAAGUUCACCAACAUAAAAAGCGAAGAAAAUUGCACAGAGAAUUUGAUUUCAAAAAAUUCUCUUUCGAUGCACAAGAACUCUCCUUCCAAUAACUUCAUCGGUCUAAACAGAAUAAUUUAAGAAUGUCAACCAAAUAUUACCAAGUGGUCAGGGAUUGGAAUCGAACACAAUGCUGAAAUAACAGCAAAAAACGAAAUAAUUAUCAAACGGACCCUAAGUGUUUCACUUCAAGUUCCAGAAUGGAGAUUUGUAAAGGGUGCUCACUGGCAGUGUUCUAAAAAGCCCCGUCUAUAGUUUCGGAGUAUAUUUACUGUAAUUGAAAAUCAAAACUCAUUAUAAACAAGGAUUGUAGUAGCAUCUUGAACGUUGAUUUACUAUUUGACGUUUUUCAAAUAACUGUCAACAAACGAGAAGUAACAGUUUGGAUCAUUUAGUUCCUUUGGUUUAUCAACCUCUCAUUUGUCUCAAAACAUAACUAUAUUAAUUAUUCGUUUUAAUGACAAGAGAAACUAUAUUAGUCAUUUUGCUAAUUGCAAAUACUCAUAAGUUGCAGCGGUGCAAUCAGUAUACAAGAAAAGAGUAGCAAAGUAUCAUCACCUCAGAGCCGGUAUAGCCUUCUCUUCUUCGGUGAUAACGAGCUUGCCCUCUGUGAACUCACAAGCUGCAAUGGAAACACUGAGCUGCUUCUGCAGCUUCUUCACAACAAAAACCUGUGACUCUUCGCAUAUUGUUACGACAGUGCCCUUCCGGCCAAGCCGACCAGUCCGACCAGCUCGAUGUGCAUAAUGAAUUGAGUCAGUUGGCAAGUCCAGGUUGACAACAAGAUCACACUCUGCCACAUCCAAACCCCUCGCUGAAAGUUCAUUUGUCACCAGGAUUCUAACCUCCCCAUUUUUAAACUUUUUCAGAGUUGUUGUUCUACCAAGUUUACCAAGAUCCCCAUGUAGCUCUGCCGCUACCAUUCCACGAGCCUCCAGCUUGAAGACGGUAUCUUUAAGCUGCUUAGUGUGGUUCAUGAAGACUAUAACAGACUUGGCAUCGAGAGCAUGAACACAUCUUCUCAACGCAUCAACCUUGUGUUGUAUCUUUGUGACACAGUAGUAGUGUUUAAGAGAUGGAGGUAGGCUCUGUAUUGCAGACUGACCUUGCAAAUUCUGGGAUGGAUCGGAAUUGGUCGAUUGUCCUGACAAAUUAAUGGGCCCCGUUGGAGAAAUAGAUUCAAUGGACAUGACUUUUUUGGCUUGGAUGAGAAGUGGAUCGUGCCCCCAGCUCCUGGCUGCCCGUAUCACUGAGAAUGGUACUGUGGCAGAAACCAAAACGGUCUGACGCUCAGCCCGCUUGGCAAGUGAUCCUUUUGGUCCAUGCGAGUCUCCAGUAGAUUUCCUCCCAACAUGUUCCAAUAUCCGGUGCAUGUCCUCCCGAAAAUUAAACGAGAGCAGCUGAUCAACCUCAUCUAAGACCAAGAAACGACAGCCGUGGGUGUGAAGCUUACCAGCUGCACUAAUCUCCGAAAGCCUUCCAGGGGUACCAACAACAAUGGAAGGUUUAUUUUUCCUCAGCGCUUCUUCCUGCCUUGUUCGAUUUGCGCCCCCAACAAGCUGCUGCACCACUUUUUUGUGUGCAGGCCCUAAUAUCUUCUCAAACUCCCUCACAAUUUGCAUACCCAGCUCCCUAGAAGGAGCCACAAUUACUGCUUCUAUAUCUGUUUUCUUCCCAGGUUCACCAUCGCCCUCAGAUGUUCUCGUCUUUAGAGGGCCCACUUCAGAAAGGAUGGGAAGAAGAUAAGCCAACGUCUUUCCUGAGCCCGUGUAAGAUUGAAUUACAACAUCAUGAUCUUCAAGAAUUGUUGGAAUUGCAGUGGCUUGAACAUCAGUUGGAGUCUUGAAGCCUUCCUUCUCUAACCUCUCGAUCAACAAAGGUGGAAGGCCGAGCUCAAAAAACGACUUCGCAUUAAAGAUACUCGAAUCUAUUUCAAGUGAUCUGUGUGGCCCAGCUGCUUUCACUACAUGGCUUCUAACCACCUUGGCUUUACUCUUCGGGACCUCUGUAAGCGACUUCAACACCUUGACUUCAUUGAUUUUCCCAUUCUCCGGCGUUUCAAGAUCGCCUUUGAAGCCAAGACUUGCAAGACUCAGACUACAAACACUUCUAUGGAACCAAGCAUUCCGAGAAACAUGUGGAAACCUAUGCAAGGAGAGAGACUCUCCAAAAAUGAGCAACCUUGGCGAGAUCAAUGCUGGCAUCUUUAAUAGUCCCCACCAGUAAUUACUAAUCAGAUACCAGCGGAUUGAACUCAGAGCUGGAUAUUCGGAUUUGAGAAGAAACAAGAAUUACAUGAUAGGACCGAAACAAAAUACGUAUCCUGGACAGCGUACUAACAGAUACUUAAUAACUAUCAGUAAACAGCUACUGAACCAAAACUCAGAUCAGUAAAAAAUAUGGAAACACUUCAUCUGACAUUAAAACGAAAUGGAAAAUGAACCAUACCAACAGAUUAGUAAUCUUAAAUUAGUACGAAUUUACGAAAACAGCAUCGGAAUUAGAAAUUUCAUGACCAAAUUUAACAUAUCUAGCAUCUAUAUACUACAUAAUCCAUGAAAAAUUUGAAAUAAUGGAAGCUAAAAGAAUCAAAACAGAUAAAUGUGUCCAAAUAUUAAAUUUUGUUCUUCCGAAUUUGACAACACAACAGAUGAGAUUAGAAUUACAUUUACAGCUGCAAAUAUAUAUACAACAAACAGAAAACAGAAGCAAUUCAGCAAUUCAGCAACACAGCGAAGCUCAACUCAGAGCAGAUUAGAAAUCAAACCCUAAACUAGAAAUGGAGAAAUACCUUUUGUGGGUAACGGGUUACGUCGUCGGAAUGGAAGGCGCCUAGGAAGAACUGAGGAAGAAGAAGAAGAUAGGAAGGGCGGAAGAAACUGAUUCAGACGACAAGUUCCACUUGAGAAAGGGUUUAAGAGGGGGACUGCGGGAGGAGAGCUGCUGGGUUUACGGAUGAGGUUCUUCUACGGUUAUGAAUGGCUAAGGAUGGGCUUGGUGACUUGGGUCAGCUGGGCUUCCGAUCCUAAAAAUACUAUGAAAAUAAAUAGGGUGGUUCUUUGUACAUCAAAGUUUCGUCUCAAGACACUUUGGUUUCUUUUCGAAACACUAUGGAUGUCCAAAGAGAAUAACUGGUUUCCUUAAGAAAUUAUUGAGCCAUUUGUGGUAGUUUUGUAUUGAUUAUAGAGUCAUUUUUAAAAAUAAAAUUAAUAAAUGUUCAGAAACAAAACUUGAGUAUACAAAGAACCAUUCCUGAGUAAAUUAUGGUGUGGAUGGAGGUUUUGGGCUACUUGGGGAAUAUCCAAGGUCAUUCAUUUUGAGUUCAACAACAUCAGUAGGCAAGCCGGAUCCCCUCCGGAUCCAAAGGAACUGAGUCCAAAAAUCAAAUGAUUUAGGCCAUUGAAAUUUGAUCCAACGGUCACAAUUAUUAUAACUUUUAGAAAGCCACAUGUUUGUAGUCGUUAAAUCAAAUUUCAAUCGUCCGGAUCAUUUGAUGAGUGGGCUCAGUUCCUUUGGGUCCAGAGGGAAUCCGGUUCCAAUAGGCAGGGGAUAGAAAAAGCUUUGUUGGCAGUUCCCUUUGUCAACCCUUUAGCAACAAGGCACCCAAAUGUCAAUGCCUUAAUCUGGAUCCACAGAUAAGUGUUUGAGAUGUGGUUUUGUGUGGAAGCAACAUCGAGUAGAAAGUGUUUGGAAUCUAUCACAUUGAUUAACAUGUCUUGUUUUGCUAGAGAAAUUGUCGCUUAUCCUCUCUAACAAACGAGGCCACAAAAUAUAUUCAUAGACUAAAUUGAUUUAGUUGGAAUUUAGAAUUAUGAGGUCAAAUUAGUGAAACGAUUAAAACAAAUAAACCAUUUUGAUAUUCAACCUAAUUCGGCCUUAGGCCAAUACGACAUUCGGCGGCCUUGAGCCAUUGAUAUUGUGCCCACUCUAAAUAUUUGGAAUAUUUGAAUAAAAGUAACAAACUAAAAUAAAGGCAAAUGGCACUUUGCUGUCAAGGUUCUAGAACAAGUUGAUCUGCGAAAUAAUAAAGGAAAUAGAGAAAUAUAAUAAUCCUAGCAAUUUAGUCCUACGGGUUCCUAUCAUGGAAGGUCAUUUCGCAUUAUCAUUUUCUCUUUUAUAUGUUUAUCUUAACAAAUUAAAAGAUAAUUAAAGGAAAAAAAAUAAAGAACAAGACAGGUGCAGACGCUACCUUUGUAUUAUAAGUUUAUAAUUACUUUGGUUGUUCCAUGUGCAUGUAAUUGGAAUAAUGAAGAAAGUUCACAUUUCACUAUAAAAUUAAUUAGCGAUAUGAAGAAUAGUUCAAUUUCUUAUACGCAGAUACAAGAUUUUUUUUUUUUUAUGUGAGAUUCAUCCUCAAUAAUUAGGCCAUUGACAAAAAAUGACAAUAAUUCUUGUGAUAUCAAUAAACUUCUCGUUGUUGUAAAUAUUAUUUAUUAUGCGGUUAUUCAUUUUUAAAUCAAUAUGAUAUAUGUAAUUAGUUAAAAAAAAUUAUGUAGAUUCUAAGCUCUUUAUAAUCUCUUUUUUUCUCUGUACUUUUAUGCUUUAGUUUGAACACUUGCAAAGUGGUUAAGCAACAACCACAUACAUUAUUAUUUUGUUCUCUGUAUCAAUAAUUAGUUAGUGUUUGGUCAAAGCAGAAUGGAAUCAUCACUCAGCUUUCCAUACAUUUUUUUUUCUUUUUUUAUAAUGUCAAUAAAAUUCCUCCUUCCAUGCUUACAAGUGUGGCAUGUUAAGGCAAGAAAAAUAUGUGCCUCCCUACCUACCUCAAAACAUAGAUCAUUCUUUUCUUUCAAGUUACGUACAAAACAUCUUCAUGAACUUUUAAGCCAAGCUCAAACAAUUUCCUUCUUUUAUUUCCUAAGAAGAAGCCAACAAUAUCUUACAUACUAUAGGUUCAAAGACUUGUGAAAUCAACAACAGGAAUACACAUUCAGCAAGCACGAUCUGAUAUUGGUGCUCGGUUACUUGACAUGAUCAUUAUUCUCAACAACGCCUUGAUAUGUUUGAGAGUUUAUUGUCUGAUAUUAGAUACUCUCAAUCAUAGUUAGUAAAUUUGAGUAUAAUAUGCGUAUUACACACACAUGUACGUAUUUUCUUAAAUUACUUUUGUUUUUCCGCACACGUCUUAAUGAUUCGUUGAAUUACAUAUUUUUUUAAAACUCUAACAUGGUCAACACCAUAGUUUGCCAAACAAUCUGCCACCUGAUUUCCUAUACAAUAAAUGUGAGAAAACUAAAUAUGCAUAGAAGAUAGAAUGGUACAACAAUUUGCCAAUCAACUGAUAAAUGCCAAGGCACCUGAGAAGAUCCAUUAAAAAGAAAAUGUAUUAUCAAAGAAGAAUCACACUCAAUCCAAAGAGAAUGCCAACCCCUCUCCAAAGCCAUAUAAACAUCAUGAAUAAUAGCUUUAAGUUCUGCCUCCGAGGCACUAUUAAUGCCAAAAAAAUCCUGCAAAGUAUCCAAAACAAUGACCAAGUGGUCACGGAAAAAUACCACCCAAAUCAGCCGGAGAACCACACCGCCAAUGUUAACUUUAACUUAAAAAACACAAGGAAAAAGUCAAAGAACCUUGUGAAUUCUGUGCAUCUUUGAAGGACUUCCAUGCACUCGAAGCACACUAAGAAUGCAAAGCUCAUCAACUAAGUAUAACAUAAAAACCCAUAGCCCAAGAAUUCACCUCACAAACAUGCAAGCGAAUUGCCACUAACCAACUGUAAACUUUUUUCCUUCAAAGCUGAAAAUUUUUAAGCUUGCCAAAGUGAGUAAAAACUUGUCUCAAUCAUACCCCCACCAUAAUAACAAAUGUUGAGUACUGAAACCACGCCUAAAAGGAUAACAAAAAAAAAAUAUUGGAGAAUAACAUAAAAACUUGAAAUAAGGCUAACACCUUACACCAAAUUGCUAAAGAAAAUGAGCACAUCGAUACAAAAGAGAACCCUCGGUGAAGCAAAUUAGUAAAGGAUAAUGCUUUUGUCUCCCUAGAGGGGACUUGCUCGUCCCUCCAUAUAUGAUUAACGAACCUUUACAAUCCGAACAUCAUAAUCAGAACCAUUCAAUCUCUUUAUCAUCAUCUAAAGAUUGUAUUUGCAAGAAAUAAUCAAUUUGAAGAUCGUUUAGUCACCCACAUGUAUAAAACAAAUGGACGGUUAAUCAUGAAGUUGCUGCUUGGUACCAAAACCGUUGAUUGGUUUAAUACACAUGGAUGACUAAACAAUCUUCACAUUGAAUGAUUUUUUGCAUAUACAAUCUUUAAAUAAAUAUAAAAAGAAUGAAUGGUUCCGUUUACGAUAUUCGAACUUUAAAUGUUUGUUAAUCUUAAAUGAAGGGACUAGUCCCCAUAAUAAGGGGACACAAUCAUAUUCCAUUAGUUAACUAUAAUUCAUUACAAACCGUUGAAGCGUCUAUAUAUAUAUUAAUUCAUUACAAACCGUUGAAGCGUCUAUAUGUAUUAAUUCAUUACAAACCGUUGAAGCGUCUAUAUAUAUAUAUAUAUAGCCAGAACAAGUAGACGUCGAAACAUAAAUCCAAUUAAACAAAGGGGAAUAAAAAAUUAAAAACAAAAACAAAAAUAUACCAACUCUUCCAAAAACUGCCAGAAUAUAUACAAGCAACGGCAAAUUUUCUUUUGCAAUAUUCUACUAUAUCUUUUAAAGCAUAUUUUUAUUUGAGACGUAAUUACACAAACACUUAAUUAAACACUUAAUUAAAUAUUAAUCUCCAGCUUGUAUUGUAUCUAAAAGGCAGGCAAGGCAAUCCAUUCAAUCCUUCCUCUUGUUCUUCUUGAACAUGAUGAACGACCAGCAGCCGCUACUCUUGCGCCUGCAAUUAUUCAAGCAGAAAAACACCAUUAAGAAAAAAACCAGAUAAACUAAGGACAAAAAAUUAGGAUGAGUUGAAUAUUCUGUGGUGCGUUGGACUAAAGAUUGAAAGUGAUGUGUACAUUUUGUCACCCAUUCGAUCAUUCGAACAGUCCAUUUAUAAGUCAUGGUGCUACUAAAUAUAAAAACAUCUAUAUACAUACAUAUAUAUAUAUAUAUAUAUAUAUAUAUAUGCCUCAAAAUUGUUAUAUAACGUUACAUAAUGUUACAUAUUAUAAGAAAAACACUUCAAACUCAAAAUUUUACAAAAGCAAUUGGUAUAAUACAAAAGGAAUUUCUUGCACUAAGGCGGCAUAUGAGUUUAAUUUUAAUAUGUAGGAAUCAGACAUUCGAGUUUAAUUUUUAUAAUCCUAGUUUUAAGAAUCAAUACAACAAGUUAACGGGGUCCCUAAAAUAUAUAUUUAUUUUAUUUAUAAAACUUAUAGUCAUUAGGAUGUUUGUACUAAUUUAAAUUUUUUGUAGGCCCUACCUUGAAAUUUUUCAUAAACGAAAAAUAUCUGACCAUGGUUCUAAAAAUACUAGAAUAAUAUAUAGUUUUGUAAACGUCACAACAAUUUUGUAAUGGUGACAAAUUCUAGAAGGCCCCCUUACCCAAAACUUGCACAACUUGUGCACCAAACAAUCCUUUGUAUAUAUCUUUCAAUAUUAGUCAUGACAUUUGGCAAAUCAGCUUCUAGAAUGUUAGUGAGAUACAUGCAACUCAACCACUCUCACACGUUUUAUGGCUUUACUUUCUUUGCUUUUCCCCUUUCUCUCUUUCGUUAAUGGAGACUUUGAUAUUUAGGAAAUUUAGAUAAACUUUCCCCUUCACCCAAAAUUUCUAAAUGUUGACUUAGAGGAAUUUGGCAUGCACUGGAGCAAUCGAUAUUGUAUGACAAUAAUCUAACGGCCAAGAAUCUCACUGUAUAACGACUCGUACUAAAAAUAUCCCAAUUUAAAUAGGUUUUGGUUUAUAAGUUUUUAAUACUUUUCUCAUGAAAUCAAUAAACUCAAGAUUCCCAUGUUUCAUCAAGAAAAAUGACUUGCUCUGCAAUUUUAAGACAAUCAUGGAAAUAAGGAAGACGAAAUGAAGACAUAACUAAAAAUUAAAGAGAAUAGUUUCCAAAAUAAAAUAUAAUAAAUUAACUUUCCUUUAUCGUUCUAAUUCGCUAAAAAGUGUUACAAAUACCAAUUUUAUAAAUUAAAAUUUAGAUUAGAUUAAAUUAAAAUAUCGUUGGAAUGAAAUGAAACUCUAUGGUAAAAUUGAUAACAUACCUGCUGUUGCUUCUGCUGCUACGACUACUGCUGCUGCUGCUGCUGCCACUGCUUUUCAUGCUUCCACUAUUGAUACUAGAAACACCACUUUCACUCCUUUCUGAUACAGAAACUCUCUUCAUCUUCCACCAUUCAUUAUCCACACCCACUCCCUUCACAGAUCCAUCCACCCCCUGAGGCUUUGGAGACACCUUCGCACUCAUAUUAUUGCUAUUUGCACCCACCGCCAAACACUCACCCUUCUUCUUAAUGCUCUUAUUGUUCUUCUUCUUACCCCCCAAAGAAAUUGGCAAAACCAUCUUCAAAAGAAACCCCCCACUAUCUAUACUCCCACUCCUCAUCACCAUUUUCUUCCUCUCACCAUUGUUCUUCCUUUCGUUUACGCUUCCGUUUCCAUUUCCCCUCCUGAUCAUCAAGUUCUCAGUACUUCUAUUAUCAUCUUCUUCCUCUUGAUCUCGAUCUUCUUCUUCACCACCCAUUGUCCUAUACUUAUGCUCAACGAGAUCCUUCAGUGAAAGCUCAUAGCAUGGCUCGGGCAUGUUCUUCACCAUCUCCAUCAGCUCCCUCUGUCCUCUGGCAAUCGCUUGUGUUCUCGAAGUCGGGGAAAGACUCCGGUAGUUGUUCACGCGGUUCGUCGUCUUCCACAACGGCGGCGAGUCAGACUCAUCAAAGGGGGCGGCAGGAGUAGUUUCGACGUUGAUACGGGCGUCCAUGCUGUUCCAACUCCUGUAGUUUGCAUAAUUUUGAGCAGUUUUCUGAGCCCGGGAAGCGUAAUUUACGGCCUGCCAAGAAUCGUAGGUUGUUGUGUCCCCUUUAAUUUGGUCGUCGGCGCUGCUGUUGAAGAGGAAAGGGUGUUCAUGUGUGUUUGUGUUGGGAUCAAGCAUGGUGUUUGUUUCCUGGGAAAAUUUUGAGGGGAAAGGGAAGGAAAGUGAUGGAAGAAGAAAGAAAAUGGGGAUUGUGUGAAGGGUAGGGUUGUUGUAGUUAGUGUGCUUGAAGCAGGGAUUGCCAGGUGGGUGGGUGCUGGGAGUUAUCACCGACCCUUUUUUUUUUUUUUUUUUUGUUGGUGUAUUUGUGAUUUUCUUGGCACCCAAGUUUUUAAUGGGGAUAUCACGGCAGGGGGUCAAGGGGUUCUAGAUGGGGGCUGUGCUGGGUGGAUGUGAUUACCUUACUUGUCCUCUCUAUAUUUUCUCUUUGUUUGUUCCUUUCUCUUUUGUCUUUUGAGGAGGAGCUAAGAUGCUAACUUAUUAGGCUUUUAAUUCCUUUUUUCUCUACUAGAUUUGUAGGCUAUUUAUUUCAAUAAAAUAUUGCACUUUAAAAAAAAAAAAAAAAUCGGUUUGAGCAGUACAUUAUUUUUUGGGUCGUUUUCUUCACACCUCAUAUUUUGUUGAUUACAUCUCACAUACUUAAUAAAUCCUACUUUUACCUUUUAAAUUAAAAUUUAUCUUAAUGCACCCCACAUUUUUUCCAAUACUACCCUCACACCCACACUCUCAAUAUACACCUAACGCUCAAACUCUUUAUCAACAUCUAGGUUUAUGUCAAUUAAGUGUUUUGUUUUCUAUCAAUUAGGGAUUUUAAGUUUCGUAUUUGAAGAAAUUGGAUCAAAACCAUCGAAUGCAAACCAAGUUUUGCAAAAAAUAGAAUAGUGCCUUUGCAAUCUUAGCAAGUGAAUUCAAAAGAUUGUUCAAGAGAAUUUCGGAAGUGCCUAUCAUCAUCAAGUCAUCACACUGAAGACUAUUACUUCUAUUGGUUCGAGUAAGGAGCAAUAAUGUGAGAAUUAUGACAAGUUGCCCUAAGUUGCUUCAUAAGGCUUUCAAUAUUUGCUUUCUGUACAUGCCCAACAAGCAACAGCAAACUCCACCAUAUCAAAAACAAACCCGUUCACUUUUCUCUGAAGAGAUUUUAGCCAAUCAAAGAAAUAUCAUAAACACAAACUGAUAUGUGAUAAAUGACAUUGCAUUGAAUUGUGUCGUUGAGUUCAAUAGCAGGCGAGAGUGGCUUCGAGAGCUUGAAAAAAAUAAUAUACACUAAAAAUGAUUUGGAGGUGUAUUCAUAAUCUUAUGGGGGCUAAACAGUCUUUUUGUAUUAUAGUAUAUAAGUAAUAUUUUAUGUGGGGUGCAUUUAACAAUAUGUGGGGUGCUAAUAGAAAAACCCUAUUUUUUUAUGUACUCAAUUUUAAGUCAAGUUCUUUUAAUAUUUGCAUCUACAUGAUAUAAUUAUUAUUUCAAUCGUCAAAUAGUGAUUGUGUUAAAUACAUAAAUUCAUAUAAAUUAUAUCUUACCGUUAAAUAGUUAUUGUAUUAAAUCAUGUAAGUAUUAUAGUCAAUCUCGAGAAUUUGAAGAAUCUUAAAAAGUUUAAUUCCAAUAAGAAUUAAUUAAUUUUAAAAUUCAGAAACCUAGAAAAAGGAAGAGUCACUAAGACAAGAGCUAGGUAAGCAACCGUUGGAGCAGAAGUUUCCACCCUCCCCCUAAUGAGCAAGUAACUUUCCUCCUCCCAGAUACGACGAGACUAGGCCGGUCAAGAAUAGGAGAAUGACCAUCUAGUUAUAGCUCUUAUUAUCUUAGUUGCUUUUUUAAAAUGUGAAGGAUUUUUUUUUAUGAAUUUGAGGGAUUUUAUAGUGAAAUUUAGGCUUUAAGAAGUCAAGUCCCCCUCUCCUAUAUUUUGAGGGAGUCUAUUCAAAUCUGCAUAGAGUCUACGAAAGUUCCUUAAAACUUUCUCAAACCCCAUGAAAGGUCGUUUUAUUAACACCACACAUCAACAAUAUAUGAGAUACCACUAAACAACCAGUCCAUGAAUUUAUAACUUAAAAUCCUUCAAAAUUUAAUUGAGUACACCUCAAUUAUUUUAUAUUAGAAUAUCGCUCCAAUCAAAAUAUAUUCAUUUUUUCAAUGAUACAGUUACAAGAAGAGGUUAUGAAUUUACGCUAAGCUACACAAUUAGAAUGUUAUAAUAAUUUAGUGUCGAACUUACUAUCCACGAGAGUCUAACACAAAACUUAACAUUUUAUUUAUUUUCUGAACAAGUAAUAUUAGCUACACUAAGGGGUGGAGGAGUGAACUAAGCAUCACAACAGACAAGUCAUAAUAAUGUGUUUUAAAUUCUUCUUUUGCGAGAAUCAAAUAUAAAACUUUUUACUUACAAGUAAAGACUACUAAACCGUAAUACUAAGUGAUUAAAAACGUCACACUUUAAGACCAGAGAAAUAAGCUUGAAUUGUAGUACUAAAUGGUGGAGAUAGCUGUGUACAUUUGGAUGGACUGAAAUGAGCCGCAUGUCCCAUUCCUUUGUCUUAAUUUAUUAUUUCUUGACUUUUUGGUUUCGUGUUUUGCUACUAUAAAUGAUAUCCUGUAACGUCUAUAUAUAUCUUAAAGUGGAGUUUAUUAUAGCUUGAUUAAUCUAAUCAUACUAUAAUUUUGUUGUUGCCUUUAUAAAAAGAAAGAAGGAAAGAAAUAAAGGGCAAAUAUCAAACAGCAAAAGCUCCUUCUGCCUGCUUAGUGCCUUGUAAUUAUAUUGUCUGAUUAGACAAACUUGGAGGAGGAGAGGUCCUUGCUUUAAGUUUCACCCUUCCUUUUAAGGCUUUACACGUUUCUCCACUUUUUGUGACUAACUACUAACCUGGCCCCACUUUCUUUAAUAUAAUAAUCUCCCUUUCUUCUCACUCCUGAAUUGGCUCCAGAAAACAUGAGAGCCAAAUACUUUUUUAUUAUCUAAAUUAUCUAUAAAUAGUAUUUUCUUUUGUAAAUUAAAAGAUAGCGACAAAAUUAUUUAACUUUUUACUACAGAAAAAAUGUUAUGUAAUAAUGUAAUUUUAUAAAAUUAAAUUUUGUUUUUUUUAAUCUCAUGUAGAUAUGAUUUUAGUAUAUAUUUAAUAUUAAAAGAAUAAAACAAAAAUUCUCGAGUAAUUCUAUUUUUGUCAUCUAAAUAUAUCAUACUAAUAUUCCAUCUUAUAUUGCAAUUGAGGUAGACAUCCACAUCGAUUAAAAAAAAUCCUAUGUUAAGGUGGAUAUUUAUAAUUUUACAUCAAUGAUUUUACUAAUAAAAUUAUUAAAAAAUAAAAAUGAAACCUACUUGCUCAUGUUUUUGAGAAAUUUUUUGAGGUACCGGGUACCCCAGUUGAGUUGGUGUUCCUAACGAAUAAAAGUUUGACAUGUAAUUAUCCAAGUUUUUAAUUAAGAAAAUGUCAAACUAGCAUUUUUUUUGUUAACAAAUUUUCUAAUUUACCCCAAACCCUAACAAAAAUUGAGAAUAAUCACCCUCAGCAGCACCACCCACCCAGUGCCGCCAAGAACUCAGCCAAGACAAUCACCCACCUCAAUCGAAGUUGAUAAUUUUCACUGGAGAAUGUCGAAGUUGAUAUUUUCACUGGAGACUGAUCGACGACACUCCGACCUUCAAAUUAGAUGUCGCCGACCUCCGAUCAAAGCGCGAGGGUGGUCGCAGGCAACUUUUAGGAUCUUUCUCCGACGUAAAGGAGGAGUAGAGUAAAAAAUUGGAAGAGAAGGAGAUAGAAAGAGAAAGGGAGAGGGAGAGAGAGAGAGAGAGAGAUAGUGACGGCAAGGGGAGACGGAGAUGGGUGGGGGUGGGGUGAAGGUCGGAGACUCAGGACGACAAUCUGGGUUCAACGGUUUUGUAACUUUUUAUGUUUUUUUUUCUAUAUAAUUAUUUUCUGAAAAUGUUUUUGUGUCGGGUGUCCAUUGGUGGGGAGCACCAGCUGUCCUGAGUACCCAAUACCCAUAAAAAUUUCUCCACGUUUUCAACCUCACCGCUGGGCCGAACACCUUUGUCACCAACUCCAAGUUUGCAAUUUCAAUGGUUUAUGCUUUCUAGCCGAACUUUGAAAUUUCACUGGAAUUAUCUUCUGUUUGACUCAGAUUAGUUGGAAGAAUGAAGCGUACACAGGAGUUGAACGUAUAAGGUUUAAGCAACAAAAAAAAUUUAAAAAAAAAACCAGAAAUUCUACCUAGGUUGAUACUUAAACUUCAGUAUGUGUAUACUAAAUGCGAUAUAAUAAGAUGAUAAUAAUAGUAUUUAUUGAAAAAUCUCUCUUCGAACUCCUAUUUCACGUUUUCUCUCUUCUUCUCACAUUCUUAUUUUAAAAAUAAAAAUAAAAAAUAUUCACAAACACGAAGUGUGUAUACAUUUGCUAAUUUUAUUUAAUAAAUGAGAAGGAAAUUGAACCAUUUACAUUGGCUUGAGUAAAAUUCUCUUUACAACUUAGAUUAUAAGUUAUUAGUAAAUGCCCAAACAUAAAGUGUAUGUGAAAUUUUUUAUUUUUGUUUUUAAAAUUGAAGGAGGGAGAAAGAGAGUGAGAAAGAAGGUGGGCGUGGGGUGGGCUUGGGGCGAGGAUGAAAGAGGCUUUUUUUUUUUUUUUUUUUAAUAAUUAGAGAUGGUAAAAUCAUCAGUAAAUGAGGUUUAAACAAAAAUAGCAAAAUUCCAUUUUGUGAUAUUACGUUACUGCCCUUAACUUUUUUGUUGUGAUAGAAGACUCAAUAGUCGUUAUACCCAAUAGGAUUAUAUUAAUAUGUAAUUUAGAUUAGUAUGAGUUUAAUUUAUUUUUAUUUGGGCAAUAUUUUAAUCUAAAAUGCAAGAAAUUUUAGGCUUUUAGGAAUUUUAUCUAUUAUAUAAUCAUCCAAGAUAUUUCAUCAAGUAGUCAUACUUCUAUUUUCUUGAAAAGGGAGAUUUUAAGUUUUUACGUUAUAUAAGCGAUAUUGAGAGAGAAGAAAUUGAACUCAUGUGGUGCUAAAUAUUCUUAAUUAAACUGAACUCUAGGUUCUGCAAAGUGAAGUUAGAUAUGAAUAAAUAAAUUGGCCGAACAAAAGAGGAGGCGAAGUUAAGUUAAAGAUUUUUUUUCAUAUUAUUAUUUUAUUUUGAAUUUACUAUUAUUAGGGAAAAUUGAGAGAGUUUGAAAAACUGUUACAAUAACGAGAUAUGAGAGUUUCGAACCUAGAGUUAACGCAAGGAUAAAAAUCUAACACCUUAUUUACUAAGAUAUUGAACCACAUGCAAGUAGUUAAAGAUUUAGGUGAGGGUAUCUUCUAUGCAUUAUUUUUUUGAGUGCAAGUAGUUAAAGAUUUAGGUGAGGGUAUCUUCUACGCAUUAUUUUUAUUUUUUGAGAGAAAAAAAAAAUAAUGCAUAGAAGAUACCUGACUUGAAAGUUAAAAUAGUGCAUAUGUUGCAUAGGUUUAAACAACUUUCGAAAGUUCAAAUAGUCAAUGGUUCAAAUAAUCAAUUAAGCUUCUAGUCCUUAUUUUUUCUCUCUUUCUUUUUCAACAAAAAAAAUUUCAGAACUAAUUUUUGUUUUGAUUGGAUAGUUUCAUUGACCCAAAGAGAUCAGUGUGGAUUUCAAAGGUACUGAAUUAUACUGUUGCAUUUCCUCUUUGGGAUGAUCUUUAUUCUUUUAUUUGCAAAUAUAUUAUUACCGUUAAAAUUUCAUAAUAGGAAUCGUUCAAUUUCUAACUCUUCAUUAAAAGAUUAUCUCUACAAAAAAUCAUUUGAACUGAACAUCAUUUUCCGAAUAUACCAAAUGAAUCAAAUGUUUAUGUAUCAAGUAACAUAUUAAUGAUGAACUGUCUAUUUAUUUAAUAUAUUUAGAUGACUAAAAAAUCUCAAAUUCAAAUAAUUUUUUUUUUGAAGUAUGAUUUUCAAAUGAAGAUUACGAUAUUGAACCAGUUAUAAAGUUUACAUCUUUCAUUGUGAGUUUGUGACGGUACCACUAAGCAAGAAGAACCACAGCAGUCGAGUCGUGCAUGGCUAGCAAAUACGUGGCUUCUGAUUAAAUUUUUCGUAGUGUCACCUCCACAUAUGCAAUGAGGAUUACACAAUUUUAUCUCGUAAAAAUAAUGCUAAUAAAUGAUACUAGCCUUCGUUCACACGCAUGCAUAAGACAUUUUUUAAAUUACGACGUGCUACAAGCGACUUACACAUUUUAGAUGUAUUUAUAUGCAUAAAUUGACAAAAAAAAAAGUCAAAUAUUUGAAGUAAAUGAAUAAUCUUAGAUCAUACUAGAAGAAACCCCUUAUAAACCAAUUAAAGCAGCUGAAUUCAUAUAAUAAAAUCGGUCUCUAUACAAAUUACAUUAAGAAUAGAGAAAAUAACAUUUAAUAACCAAUUGAUUGAAUUACAUUAUUGCUAGCCCAUUGUGAGGCUAAGCCCACUCAUUUCCUCUUAGUGUAGAUAAUAUCAUUUGUUAAAAAAAUAAUAAUCAUUUGACAACUAAUUUAAUCACAUUAUUAUUGACACAUCCUGACCUAAAUCAGGGCAUGCUGGCCAUCAUAUGGGAGUGACGUAACCAUGUGCACAAUGUGGAAACAAUAGAGAUAUAAGGGAAUUGCAAAGGAAUAAAACCAAACUACCAACAGAACUAGUUAAGAUAGAGUGCUAGUGAGAUAUUAAGUGUGAAAUACAUAACCAGAACAUAAAUAGUCUAAGUGCAGUCAAGCAAGAUAAGUACUAAGAAUACAACACCCGAGGGUGAUCCUACAUGGUGAUGUUCUGUCUAAACCCCCGUCAGAAUCCUUGUGAUCCACCAAAUCACUUCUACUUAAAACCUGGAGGGGCGCAAAACAGAAAGUGUGAGUGGGCAAAAACAAAGCUUUUCAAAAUCAUUUCAUUUCUCAAAAGUUCUAACCCCUCGUCAUAAAACCUGUAUAAUUUUCCCAAAAAAAUAGAAUAUAUAUAUAUAUAUAUAUAUAUAUAUAUAUCCCAAAACCAUGCUCAGAAAACGAUAUUCAUAAGUAUGCCAUGCCAAAGUAUCUCAAUGCAAUGCUAUAGGUAAACCAUGCAAAUUAUAUAAAUAUCAAAUAUCGUAUCAACCAAAUCUCUCUAACUCAAACUGCACUGCUGAGUAUAUAGCUUAUAACCAAUCUCAAUCAUAUCAAAUCAAAUCUUGCACACAAGUCGGAACCACCUACAUUGAUCUGUAUGACAAGACUAGAUAUAAAGUAAAUAUACUCUAGUGCUACGAUCACGUGAAGACUGUGUGAAUGAUCGCGGGUCACCUACGAGUCGGAACCAUUUAUAAUGGUCUGUACGACAAGCAUGUGCACCUAACUUGGAUCCAAGGUGAGCAUAUGGUACGGGAGGUGAAUAUCACGUGAAGGACUAUGCACUAACUCUGGGCGGGAGCCUUAACACCGGGGUACAAGUUUAUGAGCUCUCAAGACAUUACAACAUAUCUCACAUAACCGAAACAAUCUCAUACCUUUGAUUUAUGAACUUACUUGACACUUACAUGUGCGUCCGCAGCACCAAUCAUGAAUGUAUGCAACUACUAAUGCAUAAUUAAAAUAGAUAGAUACUUGGAUGGCAUUUCCAAAACAUAUAUUCAUUUAAAUUCAUUUUCUGGGAAAAAUCUCAAGUAUAUAGGUAUAUACAAAAAACCAAAAGCCCACUCACUGGUAUGUCGAAGGGUCAUAGCCCCCUAGCCUCGAUUGAUGGCGUUUGUCCUCAGGAUAGGUCUCACCUAUAUGCGAAAUAACUGAAUAAACGUUAUUUAAAGCACAUAACCAAAACUAGGUAAUAACUUCUCAUACAUUGCUCAAAUGGGCUAUUUCAAUAUACCACUAUGAUCUACUAAACCUCAGGAACAUCCCCAUAUUUUUAGACAAAAAUUUCGACGUCCCACGUGCCACCACGCGCCGAACAAGGCACGCCCAGACACGCUCUCACACACGGCCAACCCUUACGGAAUCCUUAACCGCCGUUAGGGAAUAUUUAGCUAAAAAUUAGAAUAUUCCGUUAAAACUAACCUGACACCCUUAGUUGCCGUUACGAAUAUUCCGUCAAUAUCGAUGGAAUAUUCUCCUUACUUCUCCGGCGAAUAGCCGGUCACCGGAAACUGGAAAUUUGAAAAACCUUAAUAUCUUCUUCAUUUCUCAACCAAAUUUCACGAAUUUUAUACCAAAAUGAAACUUAAGACAAGUAGAACAAAUCCUUACUAGCUUUAGGACAUAAAACUCACGAGAUCUCGCCAGAAAAAUCCACAAUAACCGGCUACAUCUGCAACUCACUAUUCCCGAGCUUCUUGAUUUCCAAAACGCCUUAACUCUCUUCUCCGAGAUUUGAGGGAGUGAUCUAAAGCUUCCUAUAACCUCAAAACUCCCUGAAAACUACACAUUUACAUGUGCAUGAACAGUGCAUCAAAUCGGGAUUCGAGUUCUCACGAUCCCGACAUCCUCAUGACCAACUAAGGGUACCAAUGUGUUCCUGGGCUUGCAAGGAACACAAAACCAACCUUCAAGUCUUCGAUCGUGAAUGAAAUGGAUACUUGAAACUUGUCCGUAUGAUUAUAUGGAAAAUGGGAAGAAAAAUCGAAAGGGAGAGAGAGAGUCAACGGAAUUGGUUGAGGGUGAGUGUAUGUGGUCCAAAUUGGGUCACCAACCAAAACAAAUAAAACUUUAAAAUUUGAUUGGGUCCAAAUAGUUGGGAAAUGAACUUAAUUUGUGCAAAACCUUAGCCCAUUUACACACACUAUCACCAAACACUCAAGGGCAAUUUCGACAAUUCACACUAUCGAAAAAAUAAUAAUAAUAAUUUGGGACGGGCUGUGACAAUUAUCCGCAUGUGAAAUACCUUUUUUAUAACCAGCAUUACACCCCUAUUAAGAUGUUUUGAACAUGUUUAAAAAUAGAGAAAAUAAUAUUUAAUAAACAACUGGUUAAAUCACAUUAUUGCUAGUCUAUUGUGAGGUUAAGCCCACCCCCUUCCUUUUAGUGUAGAUAAUAUAGUUUGUUAAAAAAAAACAAUCAUUUGACAACUAAUUCAAUGUAAUUUAAUCACAUUAUUAUCUGCGAAAGAUAUUUUUUAUAACCAGCAUUACACGCCUCUUAAGAUGUUUUGAAUGUGUUUAAAAAUAGAGAAAAUAAUAUUUAAUAAACAACUAAUUCAAUCACAUUAUUGCUAGCCCUUUUUGAGGCUAAGCCCACCCCUCCACCUAAGUGUAGAUAAUAUUGUUUGUUAAAAAAAAAUCAUUUGACAACUAAUUUAAUCAUAUUAUUAUCUGCGUGCGAAAGAUUUUUUUUAUAACCUACAUUACACGCCUCUUAAGAUGUUUUGAACGUGUUUAAAAGAGAGAAAAUAAUAUUUAAUAAACAACUGAUUGAAUCACAUUAUUGCUAGCCUAUUGUGAGGCUAAGCCCACCCCCGUCUCUUUUAGUGUAGAUAAUAUUGUUUGUUAAAAAAAAACAAUCAUUUGACAACUAAUUUAAUCACAUUAUUAUCCCCGUGCGAAAGACUUUUUUUAUAACUAGCAUUACACAUCUCUUAAGAUGUUUUGAACGUGUUUAAAAAUAGAAAAAUUGAAUCACAUUAUUGCUAGUUAUUGUGAAGUACUAAUUAAAAAAAACCACACAAAAAUUAAUUAUUAAAAAAAUACUAUUAAAAUGACAAAAAUGUGUGCCUUAUUUGAUGCAUUAUUUUGGAAUGUCUUUAAAGUUUUUUGUCUUGGGAGCAUUUUUAUCUAAAUUUUUUGUUGAAACUUGGUGACAUCAAAAUCACUAUUCAACUUUUCCAUUGAUUUUAUAUAUAGAAGAUGUUUGUACCAUAUUUAGGGUCUCCGUAUUUAGACCUUGUAUAAAUACUCGGGGGACUCAAAUGUAAUUAUGUAAUAAAUGAAGGGGCAAAUAUGUAAUAAGUAAGGAGCCCUUAUUCUAUAAAAUGACUUCUCACUCUCCUCAUUAGGGGAGGUUAAGAUUUAGGUCAUGGGAAGAGAGAAAAUAGGCUAGAGAGCACAUUGCCUCUAACCUUAUUGUAUAUUCACCAUUCAGAGUGAAACAAUAUCAACAUUAGUGUGGACGUAGCCCAAACAUUAGGGUGAACAACGAUACAUCUUGUGUUAUUUACUUUCUUGCAGAUUCACGGUCGGAUUUACGUUGUUCCAAGACCCUUCCGGUUUUGUGCAUCAACAUUUGGUGCCGUCUGUGGGAAUCGACACGAAAAGCUAUGUCGGUUCUCUCUUAAUUUUUCACCUUCGUCGUGAAUCUACAAAAUCACAAAAAACCAUCAACCAGUCUCAUCUCUCUCUCCUCUCACUGACCCACGCUGAAGUCACCUCUUUGCUUUCCCUCUCGUCCGUUCUCUAUGCUCUCUCUGCCACACUGAGAACACCACAUCAGGCAAACCAAAAAACCCAUCUCCAAAAAUACCCAAAUUCUCUGAAAGUUUCAAACUUUAUGUUUCCCGGGAGCUUCUGAGAUUGUUUCAGAAAUACCCAAAUCGUUGUUCUUUUUAGAAGCUUUUAUCUUAAAUGCUGAACAUUUUGGUCUUGAUGUUUGAGAUUGAUGACUCCAGUUCCUGUGUCAGGCGAUAUGCUGAGAAGUUCCUAAAGCAUUCCAUGCGUGUUGGAAUAAGGAUUGCAGAGCUCAACCAGGGAGCUGCAACACAAGAUUAGUCAUCAAAUCAGCAAGAUCACGCCCGAUGCAAGUCCAUAGGUUCUUGUUCUGGUUCGACGUCAAUGAGAUCAUGGUUGAUUUUCCGCCGUUCGUACAUCAGCAAACACCAUGAAGCAGCUCAUCCACCGUCUGUCCCACGCCGCCAACUCCUCGCAGUAUUGCCUCCUGCACUCCGCCUCGAACAUGCCCCCUCACGUGACCUGCACGAUCUCCUGAACUCGAUCUCCGAUGACCUGAGAUCUUGGGAAGGGACACUAAUGUACUGAAGGGCUUGCAUGUCGAGAUGCAAUUCAAAAGGCUGAGCAAAAUCCAGGCAAUCACUUUGCCAAUGAUUUUGACCCCUCCCUACAAAGAUCUUAUUGCUCAGACGCAUAAUGGAAGCAGUUUGAAGUCGAAGAGACGAUCAAACUCCGCAGAAAUAAUGUGUUUUAUUAAGAGAAGAUGUGUUCAGAAGAUUUAUGGCUCAAGGCAGCACAAAUCCAACAGUGCUGAAGGUCUUUGGUUGUGCAUCUUUUUUCAGUCCUUUGCUGUUUGGGAAAUUUUUUUGAUCCUUCUGAUGCCUUCCCACUGUGGGAGUUUGAGUCGGAUAUCUUGUUGUCUGGUCUCAAAAGCUCUGGCCAAGACUGUAUUGAUUGGUUUCAAAUAGAAUGAGCAGGGUAACACCACUGACAACGAAAAUGGUGAGAAUAUGCUCGAGUCGGAGGACCCCAUACUAAAGAAAUCAGAGGCGCAGUGGAAAGAGAAAAGAAAAAGCAAAAGGAUGUCUGGUAAUGGAGUGGGAAACAAAAGCAAAAGCAAAAAGCAAAAAUAGGGAAAAAAGGGGAAAAAGAAGGAAAGAAGAAUAUCUCAUCCUCAUCUCUCUUGAUCCGCCUCUGCAAAAACAAGGAAAUGGCAUUAUUCCCUUGUCUGUCGUCUGCCAAAAGAAAGAAAAAUAAAGAGAAAGGAAAAGGUAAAACAUUCAGUAUGCGCAAUACGCACAUGGAAAAAUAUCUGUAACAAUCCGGUACGCAGUAGGUGCAGUACACACCAACGAUCUGCAAAUGCCGAAGCUUUUGUGUCGAAACCUUUGUUUUGAAUGAUGUGAUUUAUUUUUCUUAUCUUUUGGAGACAUAUGUAUAACCCCAACAAAGGGUAAUCAUAAAUAAAGAAAGAAGGCAGCAUGCCAAAAAAAAAAAAAACAGGGCCUAAAUGUCGGCAAGCCCAUAAGCCCAAAAUAGUGGGCUGGAAUGUUAUGUGGAGGGCGAAGACCCAUAUACCCAAAAGAGCCAGGCCAUAUGGCUUCAAACUCCAACCUCCACCCCUCCACUUAAGGUUCACCCUCUAUUAUCACCAACCAGAUGAUCAAAAGUAUAUCCAGUACUCCAAAAUUAUUCGGCAGCCUGCCGCUAUUAUCACCAACUAGGUGAUAAAAAAUACGUCCAGUACUCCAAAAUUAUUUGACAGUCUGCCUCUAUUAUCACCAACUAGGUGAUCAAAAGUACGUCCAGUACUCCAAAAUUAUACAUGAGCAUCACUCAUGUCAAUCAUACAUAAACAUUCAUGAGCAUCAUACAUGUCAAUCAUACAUAUGAGCAUUACACAUGUCAAUCAUACAUAAACAUUCAUGAGCAUCACUCAUGUCAACAUCCAUGAGCAUCACUCAUGUCAACAUCCAUGAGCCUCACUCAUGUCAACAUCCAUGAGCCUCACUCAUGUCAACCAACAUAAACAUUCAUGUCAACCAGCUUCAAAGCUUCACUUUCAAAACUUUACCUACAAAGCUUCAGUGCAUGGUAUGCAAAGAAUGCCUCCGAACAACCGCUACUUCGGCCCAUACAGGGAUUGAAUUUGAAGUCUCUAGCCAACAGACUUUAUUGACUGAAGACUUGGGGGGACUACAUUGUACCAUAUAUUGGGCUUCUACAACUGGGCUUCAUGAAAAAUACCUGGGGACCUAACCCAUCACUUAUGUAUUGAGGAGCGGGCCCUUAUUCUAUAAAAGGGACUCCCUCACUUUCAUUAGAGAACACCCAUUAUUCAUGUAUUGAGGAGCGAACCCUUAUUUUAUAAAAGGGACUUCAUCACCUUCAUUAGAGAGCAUCGCCGCCAGCUGAGCAACCGCCUCGCCACGAGUAUCACUCCUAACCCAUCACUUAUGUAUUGAGGAGCGAGCCCUUAUUCUAUAAAAGGGACUCCCUCACCAUCAUUAGAGAGUAUCGCCGCCUGCUGAGCAACAGUCUCGCCCGAGCAUUAACUCUAGCCCAUCAUUUAUGUAUUGAGGAGUAAGCCCUUAUUCUAUAAAAGGGACUCCCUCACCAUCAUUAGAGAGCAUCGCCGCCUGCUAAGCAAUCGCUUCACUGCGAGCAUCAACUCUAACCCAUUACUUAUGUAUUGAGGAACGAGCCCUUAUUCAAUAAAAGGGACUCCCUCACCAUCAUUAGAGAGCAUCGCAGCCUGCUGAGCAACCGCCUCGCCGCGAGUAUCAACUCUAGCCCAAUAUUUAUGUAUUAAGGAGCGAGCCCUUAUUCUAUAAAAAGGACUCCCUCACCAUCAUUAGAGAGCAUCGCCGCCUGCUGAGCAAUCGCCUCGCCGCAAGCAUCAACUAUAACCCAUCACUUAUGUAUUGAGGAGCGAGCCCUUAUUCUAUAAAAGGGACUCCCUCACCAUCAUUAGAGAGUAUCGCCGCCUACUGAGCAAUUACAUCGCCGCGAACAUCAACUCUAGCCCAUCAUUUAUGUAUUGAGGAGCGAGCCCUUAUUCUAUAAAAGGGACUCCCUCACCUUCAACACCUCAAAUUGAGCCAACCAAGGCAACAUAAGCCACAAGCCGAGCAGCCUCGCAACAUGUGCUACUUCUAGUUGAGCAUCAUUUCACAUUGAGCACCGCCUCAUAUCGAGUAUCAGUUUUAGACGACAUCUAGUUACUUCGGCCCACACAUGAACUGAAUUUCAAGUCUCUAGCCAAAAGAUUCUCUUGACUGAAGACUUGGGGGACUACUGUUUGUACCAUAUUUAGGGCCUCCGUAUUUAGAUCUCAUAUAAAUAGUGGGGGGACUCAAAUGUAAUUAUGUAAUAAAUGAAGCGGUAAAUAUGUAAUAAGUGAGGAGCCCUUAUUCUAUAAAAGGACUCCUCACUCUCCUCAUUAAGGGAGGUCAAGAUUUAGGCCAUGGGAAGAGAGAAAAUAGGCUAGAGAGCACACUGCCUCUAGCCUUCUCGUAUAUUCACCAUUCAGAGUGAAACAAUAUGACAUCAGUGUGGACGUAGUCCAAACAUUGGGGUGAACCACGAUACAUCUUGUGUUCUUUACUUUCUUGCAGAUUCACGGUCGGAUUUACGUUGUUCCAAGACCCUCCCGGUUUUAUGUAUCAACAGAAGAUAAGAAAUAAUUCCCGACCAUAUGUUAAGCAUGUAUGUAUAGAUUAAUAUAUACGUGUGCAUAUGAUAUGAAUAUGUGGGACUUUAAAAAUAUUUUGGUUUGGGUGGUAUUCAUUAGGAGGGGUGAAGAUAGGCCUACUCAUUAAACAACGAGGCUCCGCUUACCAUUUUUAUACGUGUGGCUACCAAAAACAUUACAUGAAAAGGAUGCAUGUGAUGUCAUCACCCAGAAUUACAGGAAAGGGAUGAGAAAAAACGAACUAUUAAGAAAAUAAAUGUCAAUAGGAUUAAAAUCAUAAUGAUUAAGAGUGUUUAAAAUAUCUACAAAAUUAUCGAUAUUUUAGUUAAAUUAUCCGAAAAUCAAGGAUCGAUAUGAAAAAGAAGGAGGGGUUUGAAAUGCAAACUUCACCGUAUAUCAUUAAGAUAUAGAAAAAUCAAAGAAUAUUAUCUAUUCACAAUAAAAAAUUUGCCGAACCCAUUGUAGAUUUCGAACUUUAAAUUUUUUUCUUUCUUUCUAAUUUAUACUAAAUCUGAAUGAGUUGAUAUUUGUAAGUUUCCAUAAUUUCCGUCGAAGGCAACUUAUAUCAAUAUAUGUCAAAAAAUUUGCAAAUUGAUAUUUCCACUUGUAUCGAUAUUUUAAACACUAAUUAAAACCCACCUUUUAUUAUUUAUUUAUAACCUAAAGUCUAUAUUACUUUCAAGGGGUGUGCUAUCCACACACCCUAUUUUACUUCUCACACACCUCUUAGUAAUUUCUGUCCGUUGAUCUUCUUCAAUUCAUCCGGUCCGACGGUUGAAAAUUACAAAGAUGUGUGAAAAGUAAAAUGAGGUGUGUGGAUAUCACACCACUACUUUCAACUCACCUAUGUCUUGUGGUGUGGAAGAGAAACCAGGUUUUCGCGGCAAAUAAAACAUUUAUACACAAUUGAUAUACAUACAGUUUAAGAUAAAUGAAAUAACGGGAAAUUUGGAUCUCUAGAAGGAUAUACAAGUAUUUUGGCCUUGUCAACGUGAUCCACAAUUGUUUAAUUACAUAUGUAAUCAAUUAUUUGAUACGAAUUUGACUAAGCUAUACAAUGAAUCAGCCAAAUUAAGUUAGUAUUGAACUCAUCAUUCAUGAAAAUGGAACAUAAACAAGUAUAGAAGGAUACUACUAACUAUAAUACUAAUGGCAACUACAUACCCAAUUUUCAGGUCCAAAUAAAAACUGUAAAGAAAGAAUUUAUCUGAUGACGAGUUGUAUCUUAUUUAGAGUCCAAACAAAAAUGUUGUAUCUAAAUUAUUGUAUUUACUUUCCUUGUUGUAUAGUUAAUUUGACCUAAGGAAUGUAAUAAGUCCUUACUUUUCCUUGUUGCUUACGCAAUGUAUACUUGUAUAUUUACCUAGAUUGGAUAGUAAAAUAAAACAAUUUGAUUUGUAACUACAUAGUACAUACUCCCUUUUCUUUUGUUCCAAAUUUCCAACACCAUGGCUUUCGGCAAGAGAGGUUUUGAGAAACUUGAGCAUGAAGAAAAAUGUCCCGAAAACAAUGGUGCUGACGUUAAAAAGGCGCUCGCCGCAAACGCUUAUAGAAUCAAUAGGCUGAGUAAGUAGUGCAUGGACUAGCUUCGCGAGGUCGAAGAAAAGAGACGAAAAACUGAGAAUUUGAAGAAAAGUAUAAAGACGGGUGCACUCAAGAUUGACGAUUUUCCUAUUGGAAAAUACUUGUAUUUUGAUUUUUUUGAAUGUUCGGUUUUCUGGGCUUAGCGAGUUAGUAUUAGGGUUUCGGUUUCUUACCUUUUAGGGUUAGUGUUAGUUUAUUAUAAAUAACAUGUUUGUUAUUCAGUUGAGGACAAGUCAUUCACAAUGUAAUCUUUUAGGGUUUUGUAGCCGUUUCGGCAUUCUUGUUUGUUUAAUAAUAUUCCUUUUAUUUUGUAAUCUUGUUCGUUACGCAAUCUGAUAUUCAACUUGGUAUCAAAGCAAGUUUGAUCCUUCGAGAUUUAAUCUACUUCGGGUUGGUAUCUGUUUGCUUGUUUCUGUUGUCGUUCGUGUUCAGAUUGUUAGUUGGUAUUGAUUGUUUGCAAGAAGAAAAAAAAAUUUCGUUCGUUUUUUGUCCCGUGACUUUGCUUCUGCACCUUUGAACGCCGCAGCCUGCAGGAGUAUCUACAAGUCUGUAUUGCUGCCAAGGAAAAAAGAGGAAAUGGUAGAAUGGAAUGAAAAAGAAGAAAAAAAAGGGGAGUAAAAAAAAAAAGGAAUAAACAAGAAAAAAUUGGUUGCUUGUUUGAGGCCCAUGCGGGCAAAAGGAAAAAAAAAUAUUUGGUUGGAUUUUUUGUUUGUUUGUUCGGAAAUCAGCAUUGGUAUUGGUAUUGGGAUUGGCAUUGGCAUCGGCAUCGGCAUCGGCAUCGGCAUCGGCAUCGGCAUCAACAUCGAUAUCGGCAUCGGCAUCGACAUCGACAUCGGCAUCGGCAUCGGCAUUGGAAUUUGGAGGCUUACAUCCACAUCUGCUUGUUGGCAAACUCAUGUCGUGUACUGCCAUGAGUUUGAUCCGGGGGGGGUGUUGGAAAAUAUUUGUAUUUUGGUUUAUUUGAAUGUUUGGUGUUUGGUUUUCUAGGCUUAGCCCGUUAGCAUUAGGGUUUUGGUUUCCUACAUUUUAGGGUUAGAGUUAGUUUAUUAUAAAUAACAUGUUUGUUAUUCAGUUGAGGACAAGUCAUUCACAAUGUAGUCUUUUAGGAUUUUGUAGCCGUUUCGGCAUUCUCGUUUGUUUAAUAAUAUUCAUUUUAUUUUGUUUGUUUAAUAAUAUUCCUUUUAUUUUGUAAUCUUGUUCGUUGCGCACUCUAAUAUUCAACUUUUCCAUCACUCAACAACUAUGCUGACAUGUUGUUUCUAAAGUUGCUCGUAAAAGAUGAUGAUGACAAGUACGCUAGGUUUUGCGAAUAGGGAAGACAACGAUGCUGGAGAAUGUGCACGACACAUUUUGUGAACUUACUAACGCUAAUCAGCAGUUCCACGUCAUUUUUUGGGUAACCAUGACAGAGGAGAAGGGUGUGGGAGAGAUACAACACGUGCUCGUAGGAGAGAUACAACACGUGCUCGUAGGAGAGAUACAAGCAAACAAGAGCUACUUGUUUGUUGAUCAAGAUUUCUUGUGAGCUUGAUUUGUAGAGGGCUGGCAUCCGUAAAGACCAUAAAUGUGGAAGGAUCGUGCCUGGACUCGAAUAAAGAUGUUAUUGUUGAUUUGAGUUUUAAUUAUAAAUAUUAUUAGAGUCCUAUUUUAGGUAAGAUUAUGAUAUGUAAUCUUUAGGAUUUAAUUUCCUUGUUCUUUAUAAUUACUUUCCUUGUAGAAUAAGGUAUGUGUGCCUAUAUAUUUGUAAACCCUAAAUGAUAAAUAAUAUAACGAAGUAUUCAAAGUAUUUCUUCUUAGCAUCAAGAGCUUGGUUUUGAUCCGAACUUGUGUACAGUUGCUGUGUUUUCUGCAAUUGUACCGUGUAUUGGUGUGUAGUGUGUACUUGUCUACUGCUUGUCUGCUACCAUAUGAAGACUUGGGGCUGCUACGGUAAUGGUGGUGUCUUGUCCAAUCAGAUUUGUUGUCGCGUGGAAAGUUUGGUAGUACAAUUGCAGCAAUUGUACUUGUUUUAAUUCGGCAAUUAACUUUUUGUAUCGUGUAGUGCUUUGCUAUUGGUUUCAUAUAUUUAAGAAAAAAAAGGUCUAGUGCUUUUCUGUGCAAUUGCAACAAUUGUUAGAGUAAUUGAUUGAAUUCAACAAUUAUUUCUUGUGCCGUGUAUUGCAACUGGUGGUUUCUUGCUGCUACUUGGAAUUACAAUACAGCAAUUGGUGGUUGUGUCGCGUAUUCGUUUAUGGUGCCGUAUGUUGUCUUGGGUCUUGAAUUAUCGAACACCACUUCAGGAGCUUACUCAACUUGUUUCAGUGGUUUUUACAAAUACUUCGUCACCUUGGAUCUUUGAUUGUGUGGUUUAUGUUCACGUUCAAAAAGCUCAUCGCAGUAAGCUUGAUCCACAUGCAUACCGUUGUGUAUUUCUUGGAUUCUCUCCGCAUCAAAAGGGAUCAAGUAUUAUCAUCUUGCUAGUCAACAUACAUUUGUAACUAUGGAUGUGACUUUCUUGGAGUCUAAAUAUUUUUAUACUUCAUUUGUAUCCAAUUCAGAUCACCAGGGGGAGAUUAGUGAUAUUGGUGAUCUAAGUUGGUUGAAAUAUACUUUAAGGGGAGAAAGAGAAGUUGUAGAAAUCCGCCUAGUUGUUUUGCAGGAGUUUUCUAAACCCAGUAGCCCAAUUCGACAGACUACCAUUGAACUAGACAGCCCAGUUAGGCAGGCUGCAAUUGAAGAAAACAACCUAGUUAUGCAGGCUCCUAUUGAACAGUACACCCCAGUUCGACAAGAGUAUGUCGAAGUGCCCAGUAUGUCCACAGUACCCCAUUUCUUUGAUCCUACAAUGCUCGUUCCAUCUCCUUUGAAUGUUCAAGAGGUAAGUAUUUUAAAUCAAAAUACAACUCAUCCUGAUAUCGGUGUAAGUACUUAUAAAUUGCCAGCAAGAUAGAAUCGUGGUGUGCCACCUGACAGGUUAUGAAGGUCAAGUAUCUGAUUGCUAAUUAUGUAUCAUGUGAGCGUUGUUCACCAAAUCGUAAGGUGUUGGUUCAUAUGGAAUCAAUCAAAAUUCCAACUCAGGUAGAAGAAGCCCUCUAAGACCCUAAGGUAUCGUUUGGUAUGCAGACGGGAUAGGACAGGAACAGACAGGACGAGACGGAACGGAGGGGGAGCAAAGAUGCCAUCGGAUGGAAACAAGGAGGAAAAAGAAGGAAACGGAGAGGUUAUAAUUUUGUGUUCCACGGAUGUGGAACGAGUCGUUUCAAGGGGUGAGGCGGAACAAAAAUUAACCCAAAAUUUGUCCCAUGGAACAGUGCGUUCCAUCCAUUUUAGGCGUACCAAACGUGAGAUGAAACACCUCAUCCCACUUCGUUCCGUCCCGUACCACGUACCAAACGGUACCUAAGUGGACACAAACGAUGGAUGACGAAAUGUCAACAUUGUAAAAGAAUAAAACCUAAAAGAUAGUGCAAUUACCAAAAGCGAAGAAACUUGUUGGCUGUCAUUGGGUGUUUACGAUCGAGUACAAGGUUGUUGGAUUAGUGGAUAGGUACAAAGCAAGGUUAGUGGCUAAGGGGCAUACUCAAACAUAUGGUGUAGAUUACCAAGAAACAUUUUCUCCGUAGUAAAGAUGAAUACGGUGCUUGUUUUGAUUUCCUUAGCUGCAAAUACAGAUUGGCCUCUUAAACAGUUUGAUGUGAAGAAUGUGUUCCUUCGUGGGAACUUAGAAGAGGAAGUGUAUAUGGUCUAUCCACUAGGAUAUAGUGCGAGUGGUAAUACAGGAGUGUGCAGAUUGCGUAAAUCUCUUUACACGCUCACGCAAUCACCCCGUGCUUAGUUUGAUAGGUUUACUCAAUCAAUGAAGAAAUAUGGAUAUCAUAAGAGUCAUUCUGAUCACACUUUGUUUCUGAAGCGUAGGCUUGGCAAAUUGAUUGCUUUAAUCAUUCAAGUGGAUGAUAUGAUCAUCACAGAAGAUGAUUCUGAAGAAAUAGAAGUUACAGGUAAAUCUUGCAUCUGAAUUUGAGAUGAAAGAUUUGGGAGAAUUGAAGUACUUCCUUAAAGUUGAGGUCGCUUGUUCACCUAAAGGAAUUUUCUUAUUGCAACGAAAAUGUCACAUUCCAGUCUCGACUCCGCCGUAGUACAAUAUUGUCCGCUUUGAGCCCCGGCCACGCCCUCACGCUUUUGUUUCUGAGAACUCACAUGAGAAUUUUCCAAAGGGUCACCCAUCCUGGGAAUGCUCUCGCUCCAACUCACUUAACUUUGGAGUUCCAAUGGAAUCUGAAGCCUCCCCAAAAGGUCUCGUGUUAUAAGAGGUGGGCAUGUAUAUAUAAUGCACAUCCCCCCUCUCCGUUGGUCAAUGUGGGAUGCUACAGAAAAUAUGUGUUAGAUUUGUUGAAAGAGACUGGUAUGUUAGGGUGUAAACCUAUGGAUACUCUUAUGGUAAAGAAGCAUCACUUGGGUGUUUACCCAUAUCAGGUUUCUGUAGAUAAUGGUAGAUAUCAAAGACUUGUAGGGAGGUUAAUUUAUUUAUCUCAUACUCAUCCUGAUAUUGCGUAUGUUGUGAGUGUUGUAAGUCAGUUUAUGCACUUACCCAGUGAAGAUCACAUGGACGUGGUAAUGCGUAAUAAUGCGAAUUUUGGCAUAUUUGAAAUCUGCACUUGGUAAAGGAAUACUUUAUAGAAAACAUGGACAUCUAAAUGUUGAAGGGUUUACAGAUGCAGAUUGAGUUGGCAAUGUUACUGGCAGGCGAUCUACACCUGGGUAUUUUAUGUUUGUUGGAGGUAAUUUGGUUACGUGGCGUAGUAAGAAGCAGAAAGUGGUGUCAAGGUCGUUUGCUGAAGCUGAGUAUAAAGGUAUGGUCCACGGAAUAUAUGAAUUUCUUUGGUUACGUAAACUUUUGAGAUGUCUUAGUUUUGAACCAAAUGAGGCUAUGGAGUUAUAUUGUGACAAUAAAUCUGCAAGGGAAAUAACUGAUAAUCUGGUACAACAUAAUCGAACAAGGCAUGUGGAGGUUGAUUGACACUUUAUCAAGGAAAAUCUUGAAAAGAACAUUGUGUCUAUACCGUUUAUGAGUUUAGGAGAGUAGUUGUUUGAUGUCCUUACUCAUGCAGUAUCUAGUAAGGUUUUCCAAGACUUAAUUAUCAAGUUGGGCAUGUAUGAUAUCUAUGCACCAACUUUAGGAGGAGUUUUGAUUUGAGUCUUAAUUGUAAAUGUUAUUGGAGUCCUAUUUUAGGUAGGAUUAUGAUAUGUAAUCUUUAAAAUUUAGUUUCCUUAUCUUUUGUAAUUGCUUUCUUUGUAGAAUAAGGUAUGUGUGCCUAUAUAUUUGUAAACCCUAGAUGAUGAAUAAUAUAACGAAGUAUUCAAAGUAUUUCUUAUGAAGAAUGUUAAUAGUUAGGGAGUGUGGUGGGAUACCACAAGAGAGAGCAAGCAAUCCAGCAGUAUGGCCUCUUUUCGACAAGAAUCGGAACUAUGGCAUGCAACUAUUUAUGGAUGUUAAUUAAUGUGGCACUCUUUCUGUUAGCUACGCCUUUCUUUUAUAAUCUGUCUUUUCAAUUGUGAAGCUUAUCACCCUAUUGAUAAUCAUUAGAUAAGUUUGAUUUAAUCUAUUUAUUUCACAAAUCUCAAAGCUUAGAUUAAUCUAACGAUAAUUAAUAGGAUGGUGAGUAAAAACGCUCAUAGUACAAAAUGAGCCACGUCAUUGGGUUUGCAGGUGCCACAUCAGUACACUAACAAAACUAUUAACUAAAUGUUAGAUCCCACAUCAACCAACGGAGAUGAGGUGAUGUGCUUUAUAUGUACAUGCUCCCCUUUCUGUAACACGAGGCCUUUUGAGAACUCACUGGCUUCGGGUUCCAUCGGAACUCCGAAGUUAAGCGAGUUCGAGCGAGAGCAAUUCUAAGAUGGGUGAUCCACUGGGAAGUUGCUCGUGAGUUCCCAGAAACAAAACCGUGAGGGAAUGGUAAGCCCAAAGUGAACAAUAUCGUGCUAUGGCGGAGCUAGAUUGGGAUGUUACACUAAAUCCUAAUGGGGCCACAUUAUUGCACAAUGCUUAAAGUCAGAGACCACAUUCAAGGGCGGAUACACCUAGGGACCAACCAACAGUUGGAAAAACCAUAUAAUGUCUACUGAAACUCACUCGUAUCUAAAACCAUAUAACUGUUGGAAAUUAUAGUUGUUUUAGUGCUUCUUUAACCGUAUUCGUCAAUUUUCUUCACUAAAAAAAAUGUCUUAAUGGUUUUAGAUUAAUCUAAUUUUUGUAAGAAUGGUCUAUGAAUGAUGAAUUGAAAUAUAGACGGUUCGAAUCCUUGAAAAAAAAUACAGAGUAAAUCUUACAUAGUGUGUAAGAAAAUAAGGACACUUUGGAAGCGAUCCCUAACUAUCAAUAUUAUUUGAUUGAAACCUUGUUCGUUUUUAAUUUUUUAUCGAAGUUCCUGAAAUUAAUGUAAUAAUGUAUUUCUAUGUAGGUUACUAUAUUUUUUAAAUUAAAAAUUAAAAUUUAUAGUUGUUUUUAUUAAUGAUAUUUUAAAUAAAAAAACCCAUAAUUUGUGGAUUAAAAUUAUUAAAAUAUAAAUUAUACUCUCCACUAUAUUGUGUAUGUGUGUGUGUGUAUAUAUAUAUGUAUAUAAACAUGGGUACAUCCAUCAAAAUUAACAAAAAAAUUAUUGUACCAAAAUAUGGGUACAUUCUUCAAAACCACACAAAAAAUAAUAGAUAUUAGGCUUAAUAACAUUAAUAAAUUUCUUUGAUUAAACUUGACAUGGAUACAUUCUCAAAUCAAGAAAAAGAAUGUACCCAUAUAAUAUAAGUUUAAAAAUGGAUUAGAAAAAAAUUGAAUAGAUUUUAUAUAAAAAAAAGGGUACAUUUUACUACAACAAAUUGGUAUAUUUAAGAAUGGGUACAUUUUAAGAUUAAAAAAAUGAAUGCUGAUAAACCCAUCCUAUUGUCCUAUUUUUUCACCCACUAUGAAAAAAUAAUAAACUGAAACCCUAUUUUCCCACUUACUAUUAUUCCUAAAAUAACCUUUAUCACAGCACCACACCUUCAUUGACUUUUUGCAACCCCAGUCCCUCCUUGAACUUCCUGUAGCAGCCAAAUGCGUUAAUUGGUAGUCAUGGUUGCAACUUGCAAGUCAAGAGGACAAAAUAGGGAAGAAAAAGUAGCCCAUGAAGGACAACUAAACCUCUUCCCCUAAUCAUCCUAUCCCUCUUCUCAUUCCGCUGCUCUCUUUCUCCUCGUCCUCUCCUUGCCCUUCCUCCACCCCCACAAUCUCCCAUGCUUCCUUUAACCUCCGCUUCUAUUUUCAACCCAAAAUCCCCAAUCUUGGUAUUGAAAUGAUAUAAGGGCAAACUCCUAGACGAGCUCACUAUUUCCUUUGAAAUUUGGAUGGUCAUUAGUCUCUUGCCUUCUCCAGCAAUAGGUAACUAUUACGGUCUAGGCUACAAUGAAAGUUUUAGACUAACAACAACUUUCGAUCAUGGCGGUUGAAGCCGAGGGAGAGAUGAAACCGAAGAGAGAGAAAACCGAGGAUGCAAAGAGAGAUGAUGGGGGGACAGAAAAGGGGUUGAGUUUAAAAGUCUUUUUCUAUAAAGAUAAACAUGUCACUAAUAUUUUCAUUAAAAUGUAGGUAAAGAAAUAGGAUAAUGGGAUGGAUAUCACAUUUUGGGCUCGACUCCGCAGUAGCACGAUAUUAUCCGUUUUGGGCCCCAGCCACGCCUUCAUGAUAUUAUUUCUGGGAACUCACACGAGAACUUCCCAAUGGGUCACCCAUCAUGGGAUUGCUCUCGCGCGAACUUGCUUAACUUCGACGUUCCGAUGGAACCCGAAGCCAAUGAGCUUCCAAAAAGCCUCAUGUUAGGUAGAGAUAGGAAUAUACAUAUAAGCCUUACAGGAUCCACUCCCCUGAGCGAUGUGUGAUGUUACAAUCCACCCCCUUAAGGGCCCGACGUCCUCGUCGGCACACUUCCGGCCAAAGAUUGGCUCUGAUACCAAAUUGUCACAUCCCGGCCCAGGCCCCUACCACAUCCCAGGCUCGACUCCGCCGUAGCACGAAAUUGUCCGCUUUAGACCCUGGCCACGCCCUCAUGGUUUUGUUUCUGGGAACUCACAUGAGAACUUCCCAGUGGGUCACCCAUCAUGGGAUUGCCUUGCGCGAACUCGCUUAACUUCGAAGUUUCGAUGGAACCCGAAAUCAGUGAGCUCCCAAAAGACCUCGUGCUAGGUAGAGAUGGGAAUAUACAUAUAAGAUUUACAUGAUCCACUAUCCUGAGUGAUGUGGGAUGUUACAGUGGAUUUAUCAGCACUAAAAAAAUUGAAAAAUUACAUGAAUGGGUACAUAUAAGAUUAAAAAAAUGGAAACAUUUUUUUAUAAAAAAAUUAAGGGUACAAAUGAUAGGAUUUUUCCCAUCUGCAAAAGUAGGGAUAAAAACACACAAAAUACUUGCAAGAGAACAAGGUAGUCAUAAUAUAAACGUUUCAAGUAAGGUCGUUUCCACAUCAAUUAUUUAGAACAAUUUAUGUAACACCAAAAUUUAAGUUAAUUAUUUGAAAACAAAGAUUGGAAAAGGUUGAUUUAAUGACUUAAAUUAAAAAAAAAAAUUAAUUAAAAAGGGUAACUAAAAUUUGCAAUUUUAAACAAGGAAAAAGGAAACAAUUUUUAGAAUUCAAAGUGAGAAAGUACUAGGAUUCCGCCGUCACCCUAACAAUUCUAUGUGGCUCUUCUAAUUUCCUAUGAAUUACACAUGCAUAUUUUGAAGGUUAGGUUCUCCUAAAAUAUAUCCUACUUGGAACCUCCAACAUAGAAUGUAUAUCUAAUAUGCAACCCGUUCGUGGUGUCCAGAUCAAAUGUGAACAUGCAAGACUCAUUAAGUUUUGUGAAAACCUUUUGAAAAACCAUAUAACCCUUAAGACAUGUCGUCCAUCCUAUGAAUCUACACAUAUUAAUCAAAAGAAGCCUUAGUCAAUUUUAAGGACAACCCUCUGCCAAAAUUGCAUCAAAUUACUUUUCUAAAUAUUUUAAUGGUCGCGAAUCACUAAGACAAAUAGAUAGUUUAAACCGGUGAUUAACAAUUCAAAACUUGCAUGCAUAGAUUCAUAAAAAAAUUAAAAAUAGACUACAUAUUCUUGCUAAGGAUCAUGGCCACACCCUAGCAAAGAAAGUUAGUUACGCAUAUUCAUAUUAAAAUCAAAAGAGUUGUGUUAAACUAGAAAAAGAUUGAAAACACCUUGUAGAAUAAAAAAUGAAAAUAUCUAAGCUUUUAGCCAAAUUCUUCUCUUCAAUAUUGCGUAAGAGAAAAACCCUAAGGCCAGCCAAAAAAGCUUAUUUAUACUCUAAUUAAAUCCUCCUAGUAAAAGGUCUUAGAAUGAAACUAGGAAACCUAAUAAAUUGAAAUAAAUUGGGAAACAUAAUCCUAAAUUAACUUGGUAAAUUCGUCCAAAAUUCUCCACAGCCACGUUUUGGACCCAUAUCAACUCCAAAACUGCCCCCAAAAUAGCUGAAUUUAAAGCUUAGACUAUUCUGAACAAUUCUCCAGAAGGCCACAAACUCAUCUGAGGUUACUUUCCAGCAACGCAUACUACUUUUUAAUUAAUCACCAGAAAAUAACUGCUUGGUAGAAAUUGCUGAAAUUUUGAUACGAACAAGCUAAGGAACACACGAACGUCCUCCAAUUUGAAUCACUUCAAAAUUGGUCCGUUUGAUUUUGGUUUUCUCCAGAAGAAGUUGAAUGUCCUAUGUUGAAAAUAUAAGGGAAGAUAUUAAAAUUCUAUCAAAAUAAUUACCAAAUUAUACUAAGCAUAGGAUAAAAUAUAUAAUAUAAUAUUGACUCAUCAACAAACUUAUUCUAUUUUUUUUAUGGGAAAUGUUUUGAAUUGAGAAUUAGUUAGGAGUUUAAUAAAGGUGUGGGUAUUAAAAUCUUAAAUCAAUUAUUAAUUUUUAUUUUAAAAAUUAUAUAACUGACUUGUAAAUUCAUUAUUGCAUUAAUACUAGAGACCUUGAUCAAAAUUUAAAAACUAAUAAAAUUUCAAUAAAAAAAACAUUAGUAACUAAGAACCGGUACUAAUUUUUUCAAAAAAAUGUGUCAAAAAAUAAGUUUUCCCGAUCCAAACCCGCAUUUGUCCACUCAAAUUUUGCCAACUUUGUAAUAACUUUGCUUCUGUCCUCAUGUCAAUUGAUAUGUGUUUAUUUACGACAUGAUAUGUCUCUAUUAUAUGAUCCUUACAUGCAAAUUGGAUUAAUAAUUAUUUACGAAAUGACAAGCUCUUACUUAUUUUUUUAUUUCUUCGUUGGAGCGACAACAUAGUAAUUCUAUGCUUGUGUGGAAUUUAUUCUCAACAAGUUCAAUUCAAUUUGAUUCUUAAACUGAAUUUGACAAAUCUGAAAUUAAAAUCACACUAAACUAGACAAAACGGUCCAAUUCGACCAGUUUUCAAGCCCAAACUCUAAUUUGGAUCAAUAACAUCAUAUGAAACAAUGUAUGACGUUUGAUAACUAUUUUAAUUUUUUUAGUUUCAAAACAAUUAAAAACAAAAUGAAUAUCAAAAUCCCUAAAAAAAUUCUCCAAUUGGAGGUUUAUUUUACCUUUAUUUGAGUUCUUAUUUUAAAGGCAUAUAAUUUGUAUGGGUAAGUUACAUAAAACUACCUCAACUAUUGGGUCAGUCACAGUUUCGGACCUCAUCUUUAAAAAAUUUCAAUGUCAUACCUUAUCUUCGAAUUUGUUGCAAUGUCAUACGUUCUGUCAGUUGUCUAUCAAUUCCUUUGUUAAAUGUUGACAUGACUUGAGGUGGGAACCACUUUCUAUUAAAAAUUUAGUAAAAUAUUAAAAAAAUUAAUAAUUUACCCUAAAAAAAAAUAAAAAAAUCCCCAUCUUCCUUGACCCCUUCCCCUUCCCUGCAACCCAAAUCCAAAACCACCCCAAACCUAUAUCCCACCAACGCCAACAUCUCCCCCCCAAGACCCACCUCUUUCUUUUCUGCCCUUACCACAUCCUCCUCUUCCUCCUCCUAUCCAACCCCUAAACCCAAAUCCUCAAACCCUAAUUGCACCCUCAUCUGCAAGCACUAACCGUCGGCCAUCCUCGACCUCCUCAUCCCCAUUCUCAUCCUCUUCUCCGGGACUUUCCUUAUCACUUCUUACUUUUCCUACAUCUUCAACUCCCUCUCGCUCCUCCUCUCUCACUCCACCACAUUCAUGUCCCCUACGUCGUCGGCUUCGUCGCCUUCUUCGCCGCCACGCUGUUCGUAGUUAAGUUAUGCUGCGUCAGCGAGGGCAAUCUUGAUUACGAGUGCCUCAGGACUGAGCUUAGGCGAAUGGCACCGACGAAUGGUCGUGCAGUGCUGUUGUUUCAGGUGUGAUGCGAAUGCCCAAUGGCCAUGCUCAAAGGCUUGGGGGUUGGAUAGGGGGAGGAAGAUGAUGUGACAGCGGCAGAGAAUGAGAAUGUGGGUCUUGGGGGGGGGGAGAUGUUGGCGUGGGUAGGACCUGGGUUUGGGGUGGUUUUGGAUUUGGGUUGUAGGGAAAGAGAAGGGGUCAAGGAAGAUGGGGUUUUUUUUUUUUUUUUUAAUAAGUGUAAAUUAUUAUUUUUUAAUAGAAAGUGGACCUCGACCUCAAGCCACGUCAGCAUUUAACAGGAAAGAAUUGACAGACAACUGACAUAAGGUAUGACAUUGCAAUAAAUUCGAAGAUAAAAUAUGAUAUUGAAAUUGUUUAAAGAUGGAAUAUGAAACUGUGAUUCACUCAAUAUUUGAAUUAGUUUUAUGUACUUUACCCAAUUUGUAUUGAAUUAUGCAUGGGCAGCAAUUCCAAACGGCAAUUGCAACAACAUAUGCAUGGGCGGCAAUUCUCUGUUAAACCUUCUUCUCUGCGACAAAGGCCAUCUGACCAAACCCUCAAAUCCCGCCACCGCCAAAGCCGUUACCACCACCAUUCUCAACCACCUCGACUCCGGCCGUCUCCGAAAAGCCGUCUCAAUCCUCUUUUAUGCCCCAUUCCCCUUCCAUUUUUCUCUAUACGCUCGACUCUUCCAGCUUUGUUCCUCCACCGGCAGCCGUGCCAUUGUCGAGGCCCGCAAGGUCGAGUCCCAUUUGUUUACAUUCUCCCCCACCCCGCCGGUGUUUCUAGUGAACCGUGCCAUCGAGGCCUUUGCAAAAUGCGGGUCUUUGGGGGAUGCGAGGGAGCUGUUCGAGGAAAUGCCUCAGAGAGAUGGGGGAUCUUGGAAUGCUUUGAUAACGGCGUGCUCACAAAGUGGGUCUCCUGAGGAAGCCUUUCGCUUGUUUGUGAAAAUGAGUAGGUCAGGUUUUUUGCCGAAUGAGAUUACGUUUGCUAGUGUUCUUGGCUCCUGUGCUGCUGUUUUGGCGCUUUCGCUUUCGAGGCAAGUUCAUGGACUAAUUGUCAAGUAUGGUUUUGGCGGGAAUGUGGUUAUAGGGAGUUCACUUGUUGACAUAUACGGGAAAUGCGUGAUUAUGGAUGAUGCCUGUAAAAUAUUUGACGAGAUUAAGAACCCGAAUGACAUUUCAUGGAACAUAAUCGUGAGGCGGUAUCUGGAGAUGGGUGAAGGAGAGGAGGCAAUAGUUAUGUUUUUCCAGAUGUUUAAGGCAGCUGUAAGGCCACUUAAGUUUACCUUUUCUAAUGCUCUUGUUGCUUGUUCGAGUAUUUCUGCACUUGAUGAGGGGAUACAGAUUCAUGGAGUUGCAAUUAAAAUGGGGUUCGAUGACGAUGAGAUUGUUUCAAGCUCCCUUAUCGAUAUGUAUGCUAAGUGUGGGGAUUUAGAGAGUGCCAGUGCAAUUUUUGACCAGCCCAAUUCAAAAGAUGUGAUUUCUUGGACUUCAAUUGUUUCUGGGUAUGCAAUGAGUGGACAGACAUGGAAGGCCAGAGAGCUCUUCGAUGAGAUGCCCGAACGCAAUGUAAUAUCUUGGAAUGCAAUGCUGGCCGGGUAUACUCGCUACUCCCAGUGGGAAGAGGCAGUGGAUUUUCUAUUUUUGAUGCGGAACACAACCAAUAAUAUUGAUCAGGUCACUCUUGGGUUGAUCCUCAAGGUGUGUGCUGGCCUUUUGGAUGUGGAAUUGGGGAAACAGGUGCAUGGAUUCAUAUACCGGCACGGUUUCUCUUCCAGUAUGUUUGUUGGCAAUGGCCUUCUUCACAUGUAUAGUAAAUGUGGGAAAAUGAGAAGUGCCAAAACAGUCUGGUUUCACCAAAUUAGUCACUGGCGGGAUAGAGUUUCUUCAAAUGCUUUGUUGAGUAGCUAUGCUCGUCGUGGCCGGAGUGAACUAGCUAUGACAAUUUUCUGCGGGAUGCAAUGGUAGGAAACACCGGAUUAGUUUACGUUUUCAAUUCUCCCUGCAGCUUGUGCAAAUAUUUUUGCUCUUGAGCAAGGCAAACAAAUACACGGUUUCAUGAUCAGAAAUGGUUACACAAUGGAUGGUGUGGUUAGAGGGGCUUUACUUGUCAUGCAUUCCAAGUGUCGGUCUAUCUACUAUGCUAUCAAGGUUUUCAAAGAAGGGGGUUCGCGAGACGUGGUUCUGUGGAACUCCAUGAUUUUUGGGAUGCUGUCACAACUACAGUUAAUGACUGCUAAUGAUAUGCAAACAGGAGCUGACAGCACUUCGCCAACUUUGAUGUGCCUAUUUUAUGUGCUUGCACGUUGGAAAGUCACCGUUUUGUUUAUCAUUGCAAAUCAGGGUUCAGGAGGAUACACCCUUUCUCCUCUCUUUUUUCCUGUAUGCUUCGCUUCUGAUAGCGUUGCAUUAACCGAUCUAUCUUGUAACUUAGUACUUAACUGAUGCAGAAACAGGCAAACAAGAAUAGUAAAGGCUUUGCUAGCAGCCAUCUUCGAUUCAAUUUCUUGCGUUGAAUUACUGUUUUAUUGAUUUGUUAAAAGUAUUUUACGAAGAACAUUCGUAAGAAUCUAAGCAUAAACAGCACGCAUUUUCGAGUACGGUUGAGGGUCAAACUUCUAAGGGUUGUCUGGUGUUCCUUCUAGUUCUAGCGUUCAAAGAGGUCCUAAUUUUGAAAUCCCCCUCUGAUUGAUCAAAAAUAAAUAAAUCAACCAAACAUAGAUUAUAAGCCCCAACCCUAACCUUGGCAAGAUCUUACAAGAUUAAAGGCAUAACUUGUAAGCAGCCAGACAUGGCCGUAGCCACAUUGUUUACGACAGAUGUGCUCCCUCUAUGCACCGAGCUCGAAUUUCCCAAUCUCCCUUUCUGCAAUUUAGUCUAGUUUAAAGCAGGAUGAAACACUUGACAAAAACUGGAUUCUACUGAGGAAACUUCCACAUACUAUGAGUCCAUUGCGCACCACACAUUUCUUUUCAAGUUUAAAUAAGGUGUAAUUGAGACUCUGUAACCAAGUUUGAAUACAACUGUAUCUCAAUUGAGUUAACCAUCUACGGCUUCUCUUUUAUUCCAAGCUUGUCUACUGCUUUCCCUUCCUAUUCUCUCCAGAUUCCACUUCAACUGCAUUACAGCAGUUCUACUUUGGCAUCCUGUUUGAUCCGGAGGGCCAAAAGUACGAUGUCGCCUCGUGUAAUACCAAAAUUGUAUGGGAAGAAGAUUAGUUUAUUGUCAGUGAGUGGUGAGAUACAUAUAAUUAAGAAAAAAACAACUUAGUUAAAUCUCAAUAUAAAGAACAAACUCUUUUAGUCUCUCAUGUGCCUCUUUGUUCAAAGUUUUAAAAGGCGCUAGUCAGGCGGCAGCCAAAGGUCUAUAGCCUAGACGAGGCCUAGGUGGAUUUUCUAAUUAUAAUUAAAUUUAUUAUAUAACAUAGAAGAGUGUUAAAAGGUGAUAGUCGGCCGCCUAGUGCUUUGGCGGAGAUUUUUAGAACAGUGCCUCUAUAAAAUCUUGUAUGUUAUUUUUGUGUUAUUUAUCCAAUCCUACAAUCACAAAAAGAGUGUGAACAAAAAACAGUAUGUAAAAAUCACUUUUUUUUAAGAGCAUUUGCCGUUGCAUAAAAAAUUUAUGGGAACUUUAACAAAAAGCUCCUGGUACUGUUUACUUUAACGAAAAACCAUAUUUUUACACUAAAAAGUCAAUCCUGGUACUAUUCAUUUUACCCUUUAUUUUGUCCUUAUCGUUAAAACUCAAAAUUUUCAAGCCAUUUUCAUUAGUUUUCCUAAAAUUUAUAACUAUAGGACCCUUUUGUAGACCCAAUUUCACAAAAGUAAUGAUAUCUAUACAUUUAUUUUUACCUCUCAGACAAUCUUUUAAUUUUUAACUGUGUAUCAAAUGAUAUGAAAAAGGUUAAUGACGAUAGAUUAACAACGAUGGGUGCGCCAAUAGCACUAUCAAUCACAAAACUAACGGCAGCCAGGAACGCUGUCCUUUGCUUGCGCGCGAGGCAAAACUUGCUUAAAAUUGUUAAUGCUUUUCACAUUUAAGGCGUUGUCGAUUGGUUUUUUACCGAUCGGUAGCUACGUAGAUGGAAAAAGAAGGAGCAGACCCAGCAGCAAAAUCACCCGGCAAUACGGUACGGUAUCACUGCUUAAACCCUGCAUUGCCCAAAAACAACCAUCUCUGUAUCCAUACAAGCACUGAGUUUGCAUGCACUCGUACUUUAAGCGGCUUCAUGGAUUUCAUAAGACCUCUCUUUCCUAUUAUUCUCGUCAAAUAGAUCACUGUUUGUCACUAAAGUCUGUAAAUUUUGUGAAAAUUAUACACGCCCAGUUGAUCAAAGUAGGGUUUAACAGCCAUACUUUUCUGGGUAAUCGUUGUCUCGAUGUUUACUUUCGAUUUGGUGACACCCUGCACGAUGCAUUGAAAGUGUUUGAUGAAAUUACCGAUAAGAAUCUUGUUUCGUGGAACAUUUGCUUAAAGGGGCUCGGUCGAUUUGGGGAGAUUGAAAAAGCCCGCCAUAUGUUUGCUGCAAUGCCUGAAAGAGAUGUAGUUAGUUGGAACUCGAUGAUUUCGGGUCAUGUUUCCUGUGGGUUUAUUGAUAAUGCAUUGGAGGUUUUCUCACAAAUGCAAAUCGCUGGCGUGAGACCUAGUGAGUACACAUUCUCAAUUAUGAUGACGCAUGUGACGUCUGCUUGUUAUGGUAAGCAAAUCCAUGGUGAUAUGAUUAGGAGCGGUAUGAAUUUGUCAAAUGUGGUUCUUGGGAAUUCUUUAAUUGACAUGUAUGGAAAGCUUGGUUGUGUGGAUUAUGCUUUUGGCGUGUUUUUCACUAUGGAGGAGGUGGAUGUUAUCUCGUGGAACUCUUUGAUUUCGGGUUGUCAUAGAUCAGGGUAUGAGGAAUUGGCACUAGAUCAGUUCUUUUGGAUGAGAGCCACCGAGUAUGCACCUGAUGAGUUUACAAUAUCAACUGUGAUCAAUGUUUGCUGUAACUUGCUUGAUUUGGAAAAGGGUAAGCAAACAUUUGCAUUCUGCUUCAAGGUGGGAUUUUUUUCUAAUAGCAUUGUAUCAAGUGCUGCUAUUGACCUGCUUUCGAAAUGCAACAGAUUAGAGGGUGCAAUCCGGCUCUUUGAAGAACUGGAUUGGUGGGAUUCAGCCGUUUGUAAUUCCAUGAUUUCAAGCUAUGCACAGCAUGGCUGUGGGGAGGAUGCCGUGCAACUGUUUGUGUUGACCUUGAGGGAGAACCUAAGGCCAACUGAGUUUACACUAAGCAGCAUGCUAAGCUCUGUGUCCAUUUUUCUUCCAGCAGAGCCGGGUAGCCAAAUUCAUUCUUUGGUUGUUAAGUUAGGUUUUGAGUCAGAUGCAAUUGUUGCUAGUUCACUUGUUGAUUUGUACAGUAAAGCUGGAUUGGUAAAUUAUGCCAUGAAAAUAUUUUCAAAUAUGGGCGUGAAAGAUUUGAUAACUUGGAACACCAUAAUUAUGGGUUUGGCUCACAAUGGUAAAGUGUUCAAGACCCUGAGCAUUUUCAAGGAAUUGGUUAGCAAAGGUGCUGCACCAGAUAAUUUAACACUAGCUGGAGUUUUAAUGGCUUGCAACUUUGGGGGUUUUAUUGAAGAGGGGAUGACCAUAUUUUUAACAAUGGAGAAGGAAUAUGGAAUCAUACCUGGGGAAGAGCACUAUGCUCCCAUAGUAGACUUGUUGUGUCGAGCUGGUAGACUCAGAGAAGCAAUGGAUGUACUUGCAGCAAUGCCUUAUGAACCUGGUUCUGUGGUAUGGGAAUCGAUUCUUCAUGCUUGUGUUAUUCACGAAGACUUUAAACUCACUGAAAGAGUUGCAAAAAGGAUGAUGAAGUUGGUGCCACAGUCAUCUCUACCUUAUUUGGUACUAGCUAGGGCAUAUGAAAUGAGAGGAAAAUGGGAAAGCAUGAUUUGGGUCAGGAAAUCCAUGAAACUUAACGGGGUGAAGAAAAUUGUAGGAUGCAGUUGGAUUGGGAUUCAGAACCAUGUAUAUACCUUUAGCGCAGAAGAAUUACAGCCUCCAAGAGGCAAAGACAUUUAUUUGAUAUUGAGAUCACUGUCAUCGGAAAUGGAGGCUGAAGAUUACACUAAUAUCUAACAAAAUUAGUGCUGAGACGAUAAAAAGUGAAGACAAGCAACAGAGUAAGAGUUCAUCUCCUAUUAUUGAUCCAUACAGUUAGGGAUAUAGUCUGUCCAAUUUCAUUUAACCAUAGUAUAUCAAGUAUUUGUAGAACACGAAAAAUUGAUUUGAAUCUCUUUGUACUGCUAGAAUUGUGCUAAUUUGUGGCUGAAUCAAUAUGCUAACAAAAUGUCCAGGUCUCGGAUGUAAUUGUUUUUGUAGUGAAAUUGCUAGGCUGACGCCUAAUGAAUUACUUGUACCAUGCUGCAACUCUGUUUACCAUUGUUGAAACUUGAAAUAGCAAUGCAGUCCAUUGAAAAUAAAUAGUUUUGAGAUGUUCCAGAGCUCCUAGUUUCAGAUAGGACUAGCGACGGUGGCUUAUGGGCCCAAAUAUGGGUUUGUCAGCCCCGGAUGCAAGUUACAACUAAAUGCCGCAGGUGCGUGUGGGCAGAAGUUGUUAGCGUUACUCUUUAGAUGAUUGACAGCCGAAGGCCAAAAAGCCGAAACAUGCCCAUUUGAAAUGGAAAGAUGCUUUGGUUUGUCACCAGUUUUUCUGGUUAUUGCCUUUAAGCAUGAAGGGUGCCUGCCUCUGAUGAAGGCUUUAUGCUCAGCGGCAGAACGUGAAGAUUUUGCAUACUUGGAACUGCAUGUGAUAGCCUUGGCUUGGACUAAUUGUAGUAGAGAUUGAUUUGGAUAGGCUUGGCUUGAAAUUAGUUGUGUCCUACGUUUGGUGUGUCGUAUGGAAAAGAGACAGGAUAAUGCUGCCAUCCUCAACCAGGCUGCCCCCUCCAACCACACUACCAGCCAUGACCCCAAACCGCCCUAUACAGGCAUCCCCUCCCCCACCCAACCCGACCUUCCCCUCUUCCCUCGAAAUAUGCUACCGGUCGAAGGCGAGUGAUACUGUAGCGAGUUCAGCAGGGAUGAGCUCCAAUGUUCGUGGUGUUUUCUAAUUUUGUGUCCAAUGUUCGUGGAAAAGAGACAUCGUUUUUCAGUUUUCAAGUUUUCAGUUUUUGUUUAAACAGAAAAUUUGUUUCGUAAUUAUUUUCAGUUUUCAAAAAAAUAAAAAUUGAAACCAAAAACUAAACGGCUAUUUGUUUUUAGUUUUUAGUUGCAAAUCUGUCUGGUAACUACUUUCAGUUUUCAAAAUGAGAAUUGAAAACUGAAAGCAAGACUAGUUUUCACCUUUUUAUUUUCAAAAAACUGAAAAUAGUUACCGAAGGUGAAAACAAAAACUGAAAAUUGAAAACAAAUUUUUUUAUCAAACAACCUCUAAAAAUCGAAAAUGAAACCGAAUGAAACCGAAAUAGUUAUCAUACGGUCCCUUAGGAUAAUGCUAGGAAGAUCAAAUUUUUAAAUCAAAUUUGCAAACAAAAUUUUUUAAGUUUUGUUCUCCCCAGUGUUACUCCUUAUUUAAUGCUAACUAAUCUAGUUCUUACACCUAGUUUGGCCUAAAUUUUUUUUUAAUGCUAACUAAUUUUGUCCUUACACCUAGUUUGUCUAAAUUGCGAUUAAAUAAUUUCAUUCCAAUCCAAGUUAAGUUAAACAAAGGAGCCAUUUAAAAAAUAGAAUUCUUAAAGAAUCAUCAAAGUAUGAAACCAUUUUGAUGCUCAAUUCUCCAUCGGGCACAUCGAUGAAAUCAAAUAUGGAUAUCAAUUUUUUAAUUUAAAAACAUAAUCAGUGAUCCGGAUUAGUUCAUUUUUUAAUCAAAAUUCUGAAGAGAAUCAGCAUGAUCCUAGAUUCCCAUACAAUUAAAAAUUUAAUAACAUGUAAAAAUAGAUCAAACUUAAACAGCAAAUGAGAUGAGAUUAAAAGUUUUUUGGUUUGUUGUCUUGUUUUUUGGAUGGUUCAUUAAUGGUUGAAAUGGCAUAUAGCUUGAUCUACAUUGGGUUCCAACGAGAGAGGAGAUAAUAAACGGACAAUUAUUGCUCGGCUCCUUACUUGUACAAGUUAUCUAUCUUUUAAUAAACAAAGUUGUCCAUUCCUUUUAUUAUCGUUCAAAUUCAUUUAUUUUGAAUAAAUUUUCUAGAGGUAAUCUUUAAUCGACGAUAAAAAGAAUGAAUGACUUUUAUGAUGUCAUUUGUACGGCAAAGCGAACCAAAUGUUGUAACUAAAUUUAAUUUAUUAGUAACGAUCAAGAACGUACACACGUUGAAAGAAAACUUACAAUUGUAACCACAUUAGGAAUAAAGUACAAUUACUUAGUCUCUAAGGACUCACGUUCAACCAACAUGAAAGAUAAUAUUGCAAGUUGUAGUGCUAUCAUUUGAUGAUCUUGUAAUGGUCGAAUAAAAACUGGGUAUCAGUCACCUUAAACAAACGUCGAACUUCUUUCUAACAGUCAUUUGCCAUGCGAAUGAAACACAAGAAACACAAAAACCACCCCCUAAACUCUAAACAACAAUUGGUGCUUAAAGAUACAAAUUUGUGCAGUAAGUCAUAGUCGGUACAAAGGCUCUUCUUGACAGAGUAAAAGAGCGACCACAACCAUAAAAACCAUUAUCAAAUAAAGCGAAACAGCGGAGGGCAAUCAUAUGUUGUAUGGUGACGUGGAACCCAUGUGGGGCUCACAAAAAUGAAGUGGACAUUGAGUGGAGACCCAAAUAUUGUCGGUGUUUUUAUUGCAUGCAUGUAGCAACAACGUAUGCAUGCCCCUUAGACGGCGGGACAUGACUCAACGACACAAAGAUGAGUCCCCAACCUUUCGGGGCGACCGAUGAUUUAGCAGUCCAAACACUAGCCCUUCAAAAGCAUAAUCCAACACGGUGCCAGUCUGCCAGAGUUUCUCCAUUGGCUCCAUUGAAGACGACGGUAACUUCCCCACCAUGGCAGAAGAAUAUCCAUGGAAUUUAUUCCUGCUCCCCACUGUGAAAGCUUAAAAAUACAGAGUAAAAAAAUGGAAGAAAACUUUGCCAGAACUCCGAACCAAGCUUGCCAUUGGCCAACCAAUCAAAAUCCCUUUUGGGGUUUAUUCGUAUACCGAUUUCCAACUGCUAAAUCAUUCCACAAUCUUCCUUUAAAUAGCAUCUUCAAUUUUCACCACCAUAACAUUCAAAAGAAAGCUUCAAAUUGGUGUUGUGUGUGUAAUAUUCUGUAAAUGGCGAGCCCUCUGACGCCAUCCCACGUUGUCAUCGCCUAUGACGCCACCAAGGACCGCGGCGUGCAUGAGCUUACACUCGCAGUUGACAGUCUCCAGAAGAGGGGUGACGUUUUGCAUUCAGGGGAUACCAUCAUUAUGCUUGGAGUUUUGCACAAGGUAGUCCACCCCAGUAAGUGUUUGAUGAAUUGCCUCGCUGAACUGCACUUUUUUUUAUUGCUUUUUAUUCUUGUUUUCUCCUAUAAUGGCAUGAAAUAUUUAAUGGGUUUUUUAAGAAACUUCUCUUAUCACUGCCUAUUUACUUAUAAAUUCAUAUCAUUAGUUGGAUUGGAUGGUUAAUAAGAUGCAAACAAUUAAGGGUUUGGGUUAUGAAUCUAUAUUUGAAUCUUACCUACUGGAAGAUCGUUGCAUUGCCAUCAUUGAUCCUACUUGCACAUUGAAAUCUUUUCUAUCUAAUCAUGAUUCAUUUCUGGAAAAUGCAUCUGUGCUCGUAUAUAUUCAGCAACUUAUGCUAUCAGUAAAAUGAUCUGAAGAUAUGAGUACUGCGGUUAUAUGAUAAUGAAGUCUGCUUCUUUCUGAAAUGCGGUACCCGUGCUUCUUGUAUCUUUGUUGGGGCAGUGGGCUUUCACAUAAAACCAUGCGCAGAUUUUUUGGAAACCAGCAUUCGUGCAGUGGAGGAAGAAGUUACAAAGAAAGUUGACAUGUAUGUUAGCAUGCUUCUUGAAAGUGCGAGAAAGUGUGAAGAUCAAGGGGUACAAAUUCUCUGAAGCUAAGCAUUGCUAUUUUAAUUGAUUGUUAAUCUGUGCUUUCAUUUUGUUCCUGCCUUAACAUAGUGUUGGCUUUCUCUCAACCAGAUAGUCUUAACUCAAGACAUCUUUUUUCCGAGAUUGCAGAAAGAUCAUUUUUCUUAUCAUGAAUUACAUUUUGUACUGCUUGUAACAUUACAAUUCACAUGAUGACUAUGGAUGUGCCUGUUCUUUUUCAUAGUUAUAAUGAACAUCACCUGAACAAUAAGAUAUGAUUGCUGCUUCUAUUUUUGCUCACCUCGCUAGUUUCCCUGCUGUAAUCAGGUCAGCAUUGAAGUCAAAGUUACUGCUGGUUUUCCCGUUAAGCAGGUUAUUUUGCAAGAGAUUAUGGCCUGCAAUGCAGCUUGGGUUAUACUUGAUAGGUACCUCUGCUUGUGUAUAUUAGACUUCACUUGAGUUACAGUUGAUAUCAGAUCUGUUUGGCUCUUUCAUGAUUUACGAAACCCAUUCCUAUGUAAAUGAUUUCCGCUCACCCAUAACUUCUAUUCUUCACCCUUUUAGAUGAUUAAGGAAGUGAAUGACAUAUUAUAUUCAUGCAUAAGGUACGGUGGGUCUUAUAUAUGAAUGGAAAAGGGAUCCAUGCUUCAAUGAUGCUGCAAUAAUUUAAUGUGAUUGCUAAUUGAAAGAGAACUCCGCCUAUGUAUCUUACAUUGCCGGUCCCAAGCCCGGAUAAAGGAGGAGGGGGAGGGCGUCAGGUAGUCGACAGCCGGCACUCCAUGAUCACGUCGAAUCCUUAUGAAAAUGAAUCCAGAACAAAAUCGCGCUAAAGCUAGGGCGUCACCCGUAAGUGGCGCGCUGUGUGGCCCGAGCACAGUGAUAAAUGAGCAAGGGUCGCUGUAUCUCCAUCGGCACCCGGAUGCAGUGUUAAAUGAGCAAGGGGGCCAUAGAAACUUCUUUUCGAACGACUCCACUCAAAGUUGUUUGGGAGCAUAUGCUCCUAUCAACUUUACACGGGACACACAAAAGAAGUACUUUGAUCCUAUUAGACGGGGGAGGGUGAAGAAGCUAGGACAGAAGGGUAGAGUUCAAGAGAGCAAAAUGCGUUUAGGAACGUGGAAUAUAGGAACCUUAACGGGAAAAUCUAUGGAAGUAGUGGAAGUUAUGGUGAGGAGAAGGAUAAAUAUUAUGUGCCUACAAGAAACUAAGUGGGUUGGUAGUAAGGCAAAGGAUCUAGAAAACUCAGGGUUUAAACUUUGGUAUUCGGGCACAAAUAGAACGAGAAACGGUGUUGGCAUCAUCGUGGACAAGACCUUGACACAAGAUGUUGUAGAUGUCAAGAGGGUAGGAGAUAGAAUCAUGGCAAUCAAGAUUGUAAUAGGACAAGAACUUAUCAAUGUGAUUAGUGUGUACGCACCUCAAGUAGGGUUGGAUAAGAGUUCGAAGGAGAAAUUUUGGGAAGACCUUGGAGACUUGGUGCAAGGAAUUGCUCAGACGGAGAAGUUAUUUAUAGGAGGAGAUUUAAAUGGACACGUGGGCAGGGAGACAGGCAACUAUGGAGGUUUUCCAUGGUGGCCAUGGUUUUGGGGAGAGAAACGAGGAUGGGGAAGCUAUCUUGGAUUUUGCAAUGGCAUAUGAUCUCUUCUUAGCCAACACCUUCUUUAAGAAGAGAGAAGAACAUGUGAUCACCUACAAGAGUGGGUCGUCAAAAACACAAAUAGAUUUUCUCCUAAUGAGGAAAGGAGAUCGUAUAACUUGUAAGGAUUGCAAAGUUAUACCAGGAGAGAGCGUGGCUAAUCAACAUCGCUUGUUGGUGAUGGAUGUACAUAUCAAAAGAGUGAGACAAAAGAACAAAACUUGGAAGUGCCCAAGGACUAGAUGGUGGAAUCUAAAAGAAGAAAAACAAGUCAUUUUCAAAGAGAAAGUAAUCACCCAGUGUGUGUGGGAUAGAGAGAGGGAAGCUAGCCAAAUGUGGGAUUCCAUGGCUAGUUGUAUUCCGAAAAGUAGCAAAAGAGGUAUUAGGAGAGUCCAAAGGUUUUGCCCCACACCAAAAGGAAUCUUGGUGGUGGAAUGAGGAGGUACAAACAAAGGUGAAGGCUAAGAAGGAAUGUUGUAAAGCCUUAUACAAGGAUAGGACCGAUGAAAAUGGUGAAAGGUAUAGAAAAGCGAAGCAAGAAGGCGAAGAAAGCUGUGAGAGAAGCUAAGUUAGCGGGCUUACGACGAUAUGUAUAAGCGACUAGAUACCAAAGAAGGAGAGUUGGAUAUCUAUAAAUUAGCUAGAGCAAGGGAAAAGAAGACAAAGGGACCUAAACCAAGUGAGGUGCAUCAAGGAUGAGGAUGGAAAGGUUCUUGCUACAGAGAACGCGGUUAAAGACAGAUGGAAAGGUUAUUUUCAUAAUCUUUUCAAUGAAGGACAUGAAAGAGUGCUUCUUUAGGGGAGUUGAGUAACUCAGAAGAGUGUAGAAACUACUCUUUUUAUCGUAGAAUCCGGAAGGAAGAAGUGGUUGUAGCUUUGAAGAAGAUGAAGCAUAGAAAAGCAGUAGGCCCAGACGAUAUACCAAUCGAAGUGUGGAAAGUUUUGGGAGAGACAGGUAUAACAUGGCUCACUGACCUUUUCAAUAGGAUUUUGAAAACGAAGAAGAUGCCAAAUGAGUGGCGAACGAGCACUUUGGUGCCUAUCUACAAGAAUAAGGGUGACGUACAAAAUUGCAUGAACUAUAGGGGUAUUAAGCUAAUGAGUCAUACAAUGAAGCUCUGGGAGAGAGUCAUUGAGCAUAGAUUGAGGCAAGAGACACGGGUUUCGGACAACCAAUUUGGGUUCAUGCCAGGGCGCUCAACCAUGGAGGCAAUCUAUCUCUUACGAAGAGAUUGAUGGAAAGAUAUAGAGAUGGGAAAAAGGAUUUACACAUGGUCUUUAUAGAUUUGGAAAAAGCGUAUGAUAGGGUCCCAAGAGACAUUCUUUGGAGGAUUUUAGAGAAGAAAGGAGUACGAGUAGCAUAUAUCCAAGCUAUAAAGGAUAUGUAUGAAGGAGCAAAAGACUGCCGUAAGAACUCAUGAAGGACAAACCGAAAGCUUUCCCAUAACUGUAGGAUUACAUCAAGGCUCAUCCUUAAGUCCUUACCUUUUUGCGUUGGUAAUGGAUGAGUUAACAGGACAUAUUCAAGAUGAUAUUCUUGGGUGUAUGCUUUUCGCAGACGAUAUAGUGUUGAUAGAUGAAACUCAGGAAGGGGUAAAUGCAAAGCUUAACCUUUGGAGAGAAGUGUUGGAAUCUAAAGGUCUUCGCCUAAGCCGAUCAAAGACAGAAUAUAUGGAGUGCAAGUUCAGUGCAAAUGGAGGCCAAAACGAGUUAGGGGUGAGGAUCGGAGAUCAAGAAAUACCAAAGAGCGACCGUUUUCGUUACCUAGGAUCUAUCUUGCAAAAGAACGGAGAAUUAGAUGGAGAUCUCAACCAUAGAAUACAAGCUGGAUGGAUGAAGUGGAAGAGUGCAUCCGGCGUGUUGUGUGACCGCCGUAUGCCACUAAAGCUCAAGGGAAAAUUUUAUAGGACGGCAAUAAGGCCAGCGAUGCUGUAUGGCACAGAAUGUUGGGCGGUGAAGCAUCAACACAUACACAAAAUGGGUGUAGCGGAGAUGAGGAUGCUUCGUUGGAUGUGUGGGCACACGAGAAAGGAUAAGAUUAAGAAUGAGGAUAUCCGGGGUAAAGUAGGAGUAGCCGAAAUUGAAGGCAAAGAUGAGAGAAAAUCGGUUACGGUGGUUUGGACAUGUGCAACGAAGGCCUACUGACGCUCCGAUUAGAAGAUGCGACUAUGGGACAGAGGUUCAGGGCCGAAGGGGUAGAGGAAGACCUAGGAAAAACUUUGGAAGAGACUCUAAGAAAAGACUUAGAGUACUUGGAUCUAACGAAGGACAUGACACAGGACCGAGCACAAUGGCGUUCUAAGAUUCAUAUAGCCGAUCCCACUCAGUGACUUGGAUUUUCCAAGUCUCCAAUCGAGAAGUUUUCCUCACUCGGGAAAUUAAGGGAACACUACCCCAACCUACAUGCUCCACUCAGAAAGCUUCAACAUACAAGCUUCAACAAAAGAAAAUUCAAAGAACUUAGCGAAGAAGGUUUUGGCGUAUUUAACACAAUACGUUGAAAUGAAGGAAAACUUAUUUAUUGAUAUCCCCGAUAAGCUACAAAUGUGUACAUAUACAUGAGUCAAAAUAAACAAACAAGAGGGAGCCUUCACAAGGGUUGCUUAGGAGAAGUCUCAGCAGUCGGUAGAGCCCCAGAAAGAGAAGGCACCGGAGGGGGAUCAUUCGGAACCUCAGUACUGGACAGAACCCUAGAAGGAGGAGGCAUCAGAGGUUGAUUAUUUGGAGCUUCAUUACGCGGUACAGCCCCAGAAGACGAAGGCAAUAAAUGCCUUUGGAACAAACCCACAAAUCUCUGAUGAUCAAGUAAAACCUGACCAUCAGUUUCCUUCAUCUGGUCAAGCUUCCUCUUCAUGUUUGUAGCAUAGUCAUGUGCGAGCCGGUGCAACUGUUUAUUCUCAUGCUUGAGCCCUCUAAUCUCCUGUUUGAGACUCAUCACCUUCAGCCGCCAAUGAUUCAACUUGGCGGGUUCGAGCAAAUAGGCGUUGGGCCAUAUUAGACACAGAACCUGCACACUGAACACUGAGAGCCAGCGAAUCCUUAACAGCUAACUCAUCAGACCGUUUGGAAAGUAGUCUGUUAUCUUUGGGAGUGAGAAGGUUCCUGGCCACCACCGCAGCAGUCAUAUCAUUCUUCAUCACGGAAUCCCCAACGGUAAGAGGACCAGUAGGGGAGACGAAGGAUGGGCACCAUAUGUUGUCUGGAGAAGGCGGGGCUGCCUCUUCAACAAGGUUCAAGUCAAAACGACGGUCGGAGGGGCCAGACAUUUUCAAAGGUGUUGAAGAGAGAAGAGGUUGGACAAAUCAAGAUCUUAGAAGUGCAAGAAUGGAGCUUCUACUGGUGGAGAUUCAAGUGUGCUUUGGAACUUAAUGCCAGCCCCUAUAAAAAUCUGCACUCGACGGAUCUUCAGAAAUCGAAGAGGCGCCUGCUCAGAAAUCGAAGAGGCGUUUGCUUUCUCAAAAGCUGGGCUGCUUAGAGACCACGAGGGUUGAUCUCAGAAAUCGAAGAGGCGUUUGCUUUCUCAAAAAUUAGGCUGCUCAAAGACCACGAAGGCCGAUCUCAGAAAUCGAAGAGGCGCUCGCUUUCUCUCAAAAGCUGGGCUCCUCAGAGACCACGAGGGCCGAUCUCAGAAAUCGAAGAGGCACCUACUUUUCCAGCCUUGUCAGCACCUGUCACACGCACACUCAGCUUUGCGGAAAUUAUGGGCAUUCUGUCGAAGACUUCUGAGGAAGUAGAAAACACAUGAAUCUUACUGUUCAAUCACCCACUUCCCACACGCAACACUAGCUCAUGGGUACCACAGAUAACUUUGCCAAAGUUCUCUGCCAAAAUUGAGCACGUAAAGCUUGCAGCUCCCACUACAUCGCUCUGACCAAGAAAGGUAAAAAGAAUAGCAAAGAAACAGCACUAACAAAGUUUAGACCCAUAAAUUUUGAAGGUCUAGCUACCAUAUUAUUACCCACAAGGGUAAAGGAACAGUACCACUGCUGGAUAAUUGGAAAGUCCCUGUGUGUCAACCUCUGUGCUUCGUGGCAAGGUAGACUAGUAAACAUGCCCAACCUUUACUCACACUCGAGAAAACACUACCCAAUAAGAUUGCUUGCUCCAAAAUCGAAGAGGCACCGUCCUCCGAAUCUCGAGAGCCAGACUCCCAACAUGACUACUUUCUCAAAAAUCGAAGAGAGGGUAAAGGAACAGUACCAUUGCUGGAUAAUUGGAAAAUCCCUGUGUCAACCUCUGUGCUUCGUGGCAAGGUAGACUAGCAAACAUGCCCAACCUUUACUCACAUUCGAGAAAACACUCCCAACAAGAUUGCUUGCUCCAAAAUCGAAGAGGCACCGCCCUCCGAAUCUCGAGAGCCAGACUCCCAACAUGAUUACUUUCUCAAAAAUCGAAGUGACACUGCUCCCCGAAUCUCGAGAGCCAGACCCCCAUCAUGAUUGCUUUCUUAAAAAUCGAAGAUGCAUCGUUCUCCGAAUCAAUCGAAGAGACGCUCGCUUUCUCAAAAGCUGAGCUGCUCAGAGACCACGAGGGCCGAUCUCAGAAAUCGAAGAGGCACCUACUUUUCUAGCCUUGUCAGCACCUGUCACACGCACACUCAGCUUUGCGGAAAUUAUGGGCAUUCUGUCGAAGACUUCUCGAGAGCACAGACCACUUUUUCAAAGUGCUCUGACAGAGUUAAAACAUGUGAAGCUGGCAGCUCCCACUACCGUGCUAUGACCAAGCAGGGUAAAGGAAUAGCAUUACUACUUGUUGUUAGGGAGACUCCUAUAUAUGUCGACCUCCAUCCCCAACGGACAGGCAGACCUGCAAAAAUGUUCAACCCUUCCUCAUAUUUGAGAGGGCACUCCCAACGAAGCCUUUCGAAAUAUUCAGCUUUCUUUCCCCCCGAUAAUACCUUUGCAAACAAGCUAUACUAGAGCAAGAAUAUCUCAUAUCAUCAGGGUUAAAAGCAAGAGUAUCCCAUAUCAUGCUUUUUUCCCUGUCUUUUCCUUUGGCCUUGUUGUUCCCUGCAAGACAAGGAGAAAGAGAGCAAUCAGUCAGCACUUGGAAUCAAGCUUCCAGCCAGGAACUGACUGCCUGGAACCCCUUACCUGAUUACUUACCUGGCAUUGCUCUCGAGUACUCAUCUUCAACAUCUUAUGUUUCCAGGGAAGAUACCGCAUAUGCUUGAGGAACAGAUAGGGCAAGUGCGAAGGAUACAAGGAAGCAUGUGGAGACAAGCGUAACAGCACACGUGCCGAUACAUCCAUUACUCUGUCAAAAGCAAAAGUAUCCCAUAUCAGCAGGGUCGAACGUACUCUAGAUUUGAUGGACUUGUUUUGACCCUCAAAUUCUUCAGUCGGCUCUGGAGGGAAACCAGAAAACCCUCCAGCUCAGUUCAAGAAUAUAGCCUGUGGAAAGUUACUUCUUCAAAAGCAAAAGUAUCCCAUAUCAUCUCUUCUCAUCUUUCUUCUCUUUAUCCUUCAUGCUGCUGCAAGAUGGGGAGAAGGUGAACAAUCAGCCGGAGCUUUGAUUGCUUACCUUGUCUGUCACCUCUUUCAGCAGAUCCCCUAGCUCGGCGACUUGGGAGACUCCUACUACAUGGUUUGUAUCGCGCUUGACCAAGCCUGAAACUACAAGUAAGCUUCAAGUGAAAUUGAUACAUUACCUUGUGCAUCUCCACCAGUUAAAGAUACCACCCCUGGAUGGAGGAAGAGUACUUCCAGAGAAGAUGCCACAUCUACCUAUGAGACAGAUAAGGCAAGUCAAGACGAUACCACACUCCGAUACUUAGAAGUUUCGUGAUUACGAGAUCAUUCUCUCACAAUAUUUCCUAAUGUCAUUUGUACUAAAUCAUUCACUUGUACUCACUAAAGGAGAGCUUGAACCUAUGUACUUGUGUAAACCCUUCACAAUUAAUGAGAACUCUUCUAUUCCGUGGACGUAGCCAAUCUGGGUGAACCACGUACAUCUUGUGUUUGCUUUCCUAUCUCUAUUCAUUUAUAUACUUAUCCACACUAAUGACCGGAGCAAUCUAGCGAAGAUCACAAAAAGCGACCGUUUUUGCUGCCUAUGAUCUAUCUUGCAAGAGAACGGAGAAUUAGAUGGAGAUCUCAACCAUAGAAUACGACCUGGACGGAUGAAGUGUAAGAGUGCAUCCGGCGUGUUAUGUGACCGUCGUAGGCCACUGAAGCUCAAGGGAAAAUUUUAUAGGACGACAAUAAGGCCAACGAUGUUGUAUGGCACAGAAUGCUGGACGGUGAAGCAUCAACACGUACACAAAAUGGGUGUAGCGGAGAUGAGGAUGCUUCGUGGGAUGUGUGGGCACACGAGAAAGGAUAAGAUUGGGCAUGAGGAUAUCCGAGGUAAAGUAGGAGUAGCCGAAAUUGAAGGAAAGAUGAGAGAAAAUCGGUUCCGGUGAUUUGGACAUGGGCAAAGAAGGCCGACUGACGCUCCGGUUCGAAGAUGUGACUACGGGACAGAGGUUCAGGGCCGAAGGGGUAGAGGAAGACCUAGGAAAACUUUAGAAGAGACUCUAAGAAAAGACUUAGAGUACUUGGAUCGAACGGAGGACAUGACACAAAACCGAGCGCAAUGGCGUUCUAGGAUUCAUAUAGCCGACCCCACUUAGUGGGAAAAGGCUUUGUUGUUGUUGUUGUUGUUGCUAAUUGAAAGAUCACUAGAAUUUGGCCCUAUCCUAUAAAGAUCAUCAUUCCUUGCCUUUGUUGUAGAGCGUUGAGAGAGUACUCCAUUUUAGUGCUGAACUGCAAACGGUCAUUAUACAAUUAGUGAAAAAUUAAAAAUAGAUGGGCACCUUCAGAUUAUCCCUUAAAGAUUAAUUAGCUAGUUAAACUAAGAAUCCCCUUAACCGGUUUUUUUUUUAAUCAUGUAAAUAAUAUUUUCUUUUGUAUAUGUUUUCAACUCAAAAGUUAAAACCUUGAAUUGAAUCAAAACUGGCAUAUUGGAGAAAUUUUCUGCCACAAUUUUAUUUGUUAGAUAUCCUUAAAUAUUCAAUUGAAUCAAUAUUGAUGCAGUGAAAACAAAUGACCAUUCCAUUUUUUCAAAGAAAGCUCCAAUUUGUCGCACUUUCAGUUUUCCUUUCCAUUUUUUUUUAUAUUACCUCUGUGUGUGCUUGUGAGAAUGCCUCUGUCAAAUUCUCUUUUUUGUUUCGAAUUAGCUUCAAUUGUAACUUGCAGAGCUUAACACAGGCACCUUAGACGGGAUAUGAGGUUCUACCUUAAGAAGAUACCAUGCAAGGUUGCAAUAAUACAAGAUAGUUUGGCUGUGGAUGUUGUAAGACCUCAUACAACGGAUGACACUGAUACCAUGGAACACAAAUUGUUUUUUUCAUUGUCCAAGCCUGUUCCACUAUCCAAUUAUCAAUCUAACAGAAACAAUGAACAGCCACUCAGUGAUUCACCUGAAAGUUCUGAUAUUCAGAAAACCUAUUUGACUUCACCUACAGUUAAGUUACGAGACUAUGGUUCUUUAUUGAAUCUAGGGUCUUCCCCUACUCAAGAAAAUUCAGGUCAGAAACUUUUUAUAUUCCUUUCUACAAUAUUAUUUACAAAUUCAAGGUAUAUACUGUUGUUUCUGCAGUAAGGGUUUCAUACAGCUGUAAUAUCGAUGCAUAAAAUCUUAGCCAUAACUUUUGGUAGAGAGUUUCAUCAAAUCAUACAAACCUCAAAUGAGAAAAUUUUUGUAUGCUCUAUGAUCUAUCUCUAGAUUUAAAAAUAGUAACAUUAUCAGUCUGUAUCCUUUGUUUGUCUUUGUUGAAUAUUAAGGCAUACGUGUCUCAUUAUUUGGAGUUCGGACUUUGUAGGUAGCACAGCAAGAAAUCUUGCUUAGUUUCUCCAAUAUUUGGAUUUAACAUUUUUUAUAAGUUUCUUGUCAAAAUGAUCAAGACUGAUAAUGUGUCACAUUUGAAGAAGAAUAAAGUUAUUAUUUCAUUGCUUGAAUGACAUAUAUUCAUACGGUCUCUAGAACAAACAGGUCUUUCUAACCAUCUACAUCAUUCAGUUUGAAAUCACAAGUAGGUGAAGGCCUUACAUCAAACAUAUGCCUAGUCCACUGAAGGGAUGACAAGAACAUGGUUCUGUUUAUAACAAAGAAGUUCUCAAUGCCUUCUUUCAUAUUCAUCUUAGCUUGAAAUAAUUCAUUGCGUCAGGUGUUUGUAGUGACAAAGUAUGACUUUAGCAAUGACCAGGGCUAUAACACUCACUACUGUAUAGAUUAAGACUAUAUUUUCUGUUUUCCAGGUGUAAAAACCAAAGCAGACGAUAAACACUCCAUAGUUCCUCAAAAAAUCCAGAAGCAAAAUAACGCCUUCCGAGGAAGAUGCUCAGAUGCCCCAAUUCUGUGUUCCAUAUGUGGAACACGGACUGAAAUGUAUGUCAAGAAUUCUAUGACAUUCAGCUACUCAGAGAUACAGCUUGCAACAAAUGAUUUUUCCAAGGAAAAUUUAUUGGGAGAAGGCGGAUAUGGUCAUGUGUAUAAAGGUGAGUUUAAGGACGGACAGCAGAUUGCAGCAAAGGUGCAGAAAGAAGCAAGUACACAAGAAUUUACAGAAUUUCACUCUGAGGUCUAUGUCUUGAGUUUUGCACGCCAUAAGAACAUUGUCAUGCUGUUGGGUUAUUGUUGCAAGGAGAACCUAAAUAUAUUGGUUUAUGAAUAUAUUUGCCACAAGUCUCUUGAAUGGCACUUAUUUGGUAAACUUCUGUUAAAAUUUUCCCCAGUAUAUUUUGUUUUUCAUUAUUGUUAGUUCUUAUGUUGAUACUAUUACUAUAUGAAAAUGAUUAGUGCAUCUUCCUUUGUUAAUCCUUACUGGCUAUAUUUGUAGAUGAAAAGGCAGCAGUUCUUGAGUGGCACCAAAGACAGGAAAUCGCCAUUGGAACUGCGAAGGGAUUGCGUUUCCUCCACGAAGAAUGUCGUGGAAGUCCUAUAAUUCACCGAGACACGCGACCAAGCAAUAUACUGCUAACACAUGAUUACGUUCCAAUGGUAAAUUAAUAUGCCAUGUUCUUUGUGUGCUUUAUAUUUGGUUAGCGGGUAAUGACGUCAAUAGAUCAAAGUUCCUUUAAGAAUCUGGUUGGGUAGUCUUGGUGCCCUCCAGAUUUGUGCAAAAAUCUAGAGCAGAUCCAAUGCUAAUGAGCUGCAAGUAAAACUUCUAGGAAUUAUGUAUUUUUGUAUUUCUUUCUAUCUAGUAGCUCUUUGAACUCAAAAAAAAGGUCAUCUUUCAGUCUUCCCUAGUGUAAAAAAUAUACAGGGGAGGUGUGCAUGAUGACCUUUUUAGAGUGCUAACAAUUCCCUUCUUCCUAUGUGCGAAAAUACACAUUGUGAUGCAUGAAACAUUUCUCUUAUUUCAAAUGGAGUAUUGAUAUAUUUAAAAGAAUAUUUUAGGAACUAGAUACCUCCGACCCAGAAUAAUGAGGACUUGUAGAUUACGUAUUAUUAAUUCUCUUCUCUUUCUUUUCCCUUUUUUCGCUUCUUUUUGUUUUGUUAUUUACACACCACCUCCUAUCUAAGUUCACCCACAUUUCUAUCUACACCCCAUCCAAACAUUUAAAUUUUAAUUCAUUCUAAGAACGCCAACUUUUUUUUUCCUUAAAAACUACCCUUAAACACCAAUAAAUUCUAUCUUCAUGCUUUAAACUAGUGUUUUGAAAUUUUGAAUCCAGAAAAAUAAUUUCAAUAGCAAUUACUUGUUAUGUUGUGCGUGGUUAAUCUGGAAACAAUACAGCAAUUGAAUAAUGAAAAUAAUUGGCACAGAUUGCACCUACAAUUUUGAGUUUUCGACACCCAAAUAGAUAUUUCGUUUUCACAGCAUAACGGUUUUGAAAGUCUGAGGUUUGUUUAUUACCUAUAUAUUUGUUCUUCAAAUCUAAUUUUUGCGUCCUAGGGGUUGUUAGGUGUUUGAUCUUCUGUCAAUAAAAUCCUUUUUCUUCUUGACAGUAAUCCUAAUUCCUUUUUUGAAUUAUUUGAGCUGUUUCUUUGCAUAUGAUGAUGUUUGCCAACAAUCGACAACAAGUGGCAUUCGAUGAAAUGAAGCCAAUGCAGCUGUAAAGAUUAGGGUGUUUGGAGAAAAAUAAGAUAGUAAUGGUAUUCUUUUGUUGGGGGAAGAAGAUGAACCAUAUGUGCUUUUGGUUCUUAGUAAAGAUUGGGAUUUCUGUGGGUGUAGAUAGAAAUGCUGUCUUUAAGUUUUGCAUUUUUGGCUUCUACUUUUGUUUGACUUUGGAGCAUAAUCUUUUGUUUUGAUCUCUGAAAUUAACAGGCCUUGAUUGCAAAAUCUGAGUAGUUAUUAUCAAUGAAUCUGAAGAAUAUAAAAACUAUUCUAGUUAAUGGAAUGAUUUUCUGCACAGUUAGGUGAUUUUGGCUUCGCCAAAUGGAAGACGGCGAGUAAUGACACUGACCAGACAAGGAUAAUUGGCACACUAGGGUGAGGACUUCUAUACGCUUUUUUCUUCAUUUAAUUUUCACAUCCUACAUUCUCCGGUCUUGGUAACUUUCACUAAACUUGUGCAAGUAAAUUUUUGGUCCUUGUAGCUACCUUGCUCCAGAGUAUGCAGAGAACGGUAUUGUUUCUGUACGGACAGAUGUAUAUGCCUUUGGCAUGGUUCUGUUACAACUCGUAACUGGCCGCAAGAUUGUUGAUUCAAACGGAGAAGGGCAAGCUCAAUCCCUACGGGAGUGGGUAUGUUGGGCUUCAAGAUGUGUUUUUACAUCUUAUUUUAUACUCACUGGUAAAAGGGCAAAAAGAAAACCAUUUUUUACUCAAUCUCAGAAAACAGCUGUGCUUAAUUCUCUGGGUUCCAAUCUAAUAAGUCUAUAUCUGCAAAAUGUAGGCAGAACCAAUAAUCCAGAGGCUGGCACUACAUGAACUCAUUGAUCGUCGUCUAGGAGAUUCAUAUGACACAUAUGAAGUGUACCUCAUGGCUAAAGCCGCAUUCUUAUGUGUACAAAGAAAUCCUGAAAUGCGUCCAUCAAUGCAAGAGGUAAUCAAAAUUUUACCCUCUGGGUUCUUGUGGUUUUGUGGGAACUAUUAGUAUAAGAAGUUGGUGCAAGAUCAACUCAUAUACUCUAACCUGGUAUGACAACAAUGUGACCGCCUUUUUCAAGAAACAAAAAAUGCAAUGCUCAUGAAACACACAUAAAUAUAUGUUGUCGUGUUGGUAGUUAGAAAUACCGCUGGCGUAAACAGAGAUCCUUGUAUAUCCGACAACAAAUGUCUCUAUGCUGCAUUUCAAUACGAACUUAAAAGAUUUUCUUCCAACAGGUUGUCCGCGUUCUUGAAGGUGAAAAUGACAAUUACCACCACCUAGGAGAGCACUUUGCACCUCAAUAUCUCACAAAGUGAAGGAUCCAGCGGCACAGUUUAUUUUCAUUUCGAAGAUGGUAUGCUGUUUAUAUUGUUAUAUCCACUGUUUCUAUCUUCUCAUGUACAAAUAUAUGUCGUAUUUCAUGGCAGUGAGACGCCAGUGCAAUCUAACAUAUGUUUCAUUUGGUUCUGUCCCAGUUCGCAGUAGCUUCUUGAAGGGAAAAAUUACCAUUUCUGCAUCCUAGGAUAGCAAUUCUACCUCGACGAAGACAAUGGCACACUAAACUUUCGUUUGACGGCUGAGGUUAUUGUUUUUUUCUUGUUUUUCUUGAAGGUGGCUCUAGCUUCUCUGGUUUUGCGUGGUUUCGAUCAAAGGAGGCAUUAAUUAUAAGGCUCUGAAAACUUGAACGUACAUAGAGUGAAGUUUGUCUAUUGAUGCCUUAAAAAUAAGAUCCUUUUCAUCUAAGAAAUGGAUCAUCAGUAUUACUCUCCACUAGUUUUGUAAAAACAACUACAUAUAUGUAAUCUGAAUUUCUAUGUCCCAGACUUUGUGGUUGUUGCAUACUUGCAUUAUGUUGGAUUUAUCACAAAAGAUUGCACCUUAGCAGGAAGGUUUAGCUCUUAAAUGAAAUUUAAUCGUCAACGAUUAAGGGAUAUGUAAUUGGCAUUAUAAAAUAAUAAUUUUGCAUGUUAUAUGAAGAAAACAUUGAAGGAAGAAGUGCAUGAUGGCAUUUGUGGAGUACUAACUGAGGGGAUGAUUUGAAAUUAGUACAAUAAUUUAGAGGAAGAGGAGUUUCGAGUCUGAGACACAGUAGGUAGAAACCACAAUACUCUUGAUUAACUCUGACAAUAAAAGUUAAUUACUAGUGAAUAUUUAUGUGACAUGCAAUUUUUCUUGAGCCAUUUUUUUAUUUGGUUGUUUUUGUCGACAGUCUAAACUCCAAAGGAGAAAAUGGUGGUGAAUUGGUUCAUAAAUAUUUGUUGAUGUCUCAUGUCUAUGAGAAUGCAUUUUCUCUGUGAUCAUACAAAUUUUGAUAAAAUACUAUCAGACCGCAGUAUUAAGUGACAAUUCAUUAUAUAUUAGUAACUAGAAAAACAUAUGUUGUUGAAAUAGAAACGUUUACAUCAAAUGCUAACAUAUUACACAACCAAUCCGUUCACAAUAUGAUCUCAUUUUUAAAAGCCUCCAACUCAAAUUAUAAAUGAAGCAACUAAAUGAAGUGCUCUAUUACAUUCACGGGGUGCUAAUAAGAAACCUACUCACACACAAAGUUUUGUUUCGUCUUAUAAGAUGUGGACGGUAACAAUUUUCUUUCCCAUAUUUUGGCUUCGGAAACAGUAGAUGUGUGCUACAAGCACAAGACCAUGGCGACAACAUUAUAUGGAUUGAUGUGAUAAUUUGUGAGCAUCGUGGAUCACCGUUGUUAGUUGCCGCAUGCAUUCCGCCAAAUUUGGAGAAUGUGUAGUCGUUUCAGGUGGACAACCAUGCAUGGCUAGUGACGUCAGUAUAAUAUUAACUGCAACACGCGUCCUCUCAUGGGAAGACGGUUUCCAAUUUGUUGUCUAGGUUGGACAAAGAAAUAGUGUUCGCCAUAAACUGUAUGUGUCACGUGUGUGAGGUAUAAUAUAUCAUUAGGGUUAUCCGUACUUCCAUAGGAAAGAACAAGAGAGAUGGAUUUUUAUAAAUAUACGGUAUACUUCUUAUAACUAGAAAUUAAGUUUUGACAGAUUUAAAGAUAAAAUUAUCAUGUAGUUUAGUUGCAAAUGACGAUUUUGGUAUCAAACGACAACAAUAGCCAUCAUCUCUUUGCUGUAAGUGACACUCACUUACGCAACGUUUUUUCAUACCAGAUAAUAAUUAAAAGCCGUCUUUUCACCUUGUAAGUGGUAUUGAUUGUAAUCUUCUCCUUAUUUUUUUUAUAAUAAGAACUAGAGGAAAACAGUUUAUUCUUCUUUUCUUGUCCUUUGUUAUUUUUUAAACCGCAUUCACGCGACGGAUUUCAUGAUUGAUAUGUCAAACACAUCAAACAUGAAUGAGGGAAAUCAUGCGUCUCUCAUGGCAACUGUUUCUAACAUCAUUUGCCUUCAAUUGUCAACUAAAAUAUCAAUGUCACACCACUAGGCUUUACGCGGUCAAAUUUAUGUGCUCAAGUUAAUUAUGGUAGGUCUGAAAUUGAUAUAUAAUAUCCCAACUGGAAAGUAGUGGAUUCAAAAUAAAGUAGUGGGACUCAAAAGCACCCAACAAAUGGGGAGCAGGAAAAUUGAACUAGCACUUCAGAGGUUAAUCAACAUGUGAUUACUGCCCCAAAUUCACUUUAAAGUAUAAAAAGAGAAAAAGAAGUGUUAAAUUAGAUUCUCAGUUGCUAUCCACACCAACUCAGAUUGAUAAUAUAAUUGAAAUUGCACAAGAAAUUAAAGAUUGUUUUUAAAGUAUUUUGUUAGGUCUAUUUUAGGCUAGAUCAGAUCGUAAAUAUAUGUUUAUAAUUCCAAUCCAAAAAGUUUGGGAAAUAAUAUCAAUUAUAAUUUUAUAAUUAGAAUUUCGGGAUUUCAUAAAUCAUAAGGAAUUUGAAACUUUGGAAAUAGAACUAGUUUCGGAAUUUCAAAAUUGUGAGAGUUGUAUGGCUAUAUACUGAAAUCAUUCCAUGUCUAUGCCUCUUUCUGUAUAACUACCUUCCACUCCACCAAGUUCAUUUAUUUUACAACUUUUUCAUCUAACUAUUUUACCCUUUACAGUAAAUUGAGUUUCCAUUUAAUAUCGCAUGUGUGUUCAUUUUUUUGAGAUUGUGAACAAUUCACUUUGUUUUUUUUUUGAACCAAGGAUACAAUACCAAGGCACAGAAGCCAGCCAAGAACAAAGAAAGUCGCAAAGGCUAACGCAACAAAGGAACUAACGACAGAGCAAAGGCCUGGGAUUAAAAUAGACGCUACCACAGCUGGCGAACACGUCAUCCCCAAAAAACAAGGCAAACCAUCCUUAUUUAAAAUUCUAACAAGAGAAGAUGGGGGCCUGUAAGCCCAAACAGAGUUGCACAUCUUCAGAGUGAAGUUCUUCACAACGAAGUCCGCCGCACAGUUUGCUGAUCUUGGAAUCCAAGACCAGGAGCAAGCUUGGAAAGCCUUCCCAACCAACCAAAUACACGAUCUUGGAUUGGGAAGAGUUCCCAAGCGCAGCUCGAAGAACAAUCCUGCAAACACGAAGUAACCAGUUUUGAAUCCGAUUCAAUCACCACCCGGGGGAAAUUCAGACCCUUCGCUAGAAGACGCCCCUCCAAAACCACCAAGGACUCCGCCAUUGCAGCAGAAGAGGCCAGGACCUUCAUCAUUCUGACCUCCAAACACCUACGACUCGAGUCAUGAAUCACCAAGCCAACCCAUGCCGAAGAAGCACCAUGUCUCCAACUCACAUCCACAUUUAUCUUCAACACGGAAGGAGGAGGAGGAGACCACGAAACCUCACACAAAUGGUUGUUCCUAGGUGAGGGAGCAAGGCCAUGGAUCCUGGAGUUAGCAUCAGCAAAGGCCUCCCAAGUACUGGACAAAUUAAAAAUAGUGUGAGAUGGAGAAGAGGAUCGUCCGUUGAACACCGCGUUGCAUCUGGCUUUCUAGAUAAACCAACAAGAGAAAGCCACCUGAGACAAAAACCUUGACUUAGACUCGGAGGACCCCAGCUGCAACGAAAACAGGUGAGAGAGCCAGUCAUCAAAUGAGGAAAUAGAGGCGCCAAUAAUACGAAUGCAGAGAGGACCACCAAACCACACAGGCUGCACCCACGGGCAUAGGAGCAACAUGUGCUCAACAGAUUCCGAAUGAAGAAGACAAAUAAGACAGCAUGGGUUUUCAGCACUCAUUCUCUUAAACAGGUUCUCCCGAGUAGCAAUGGCACCUCUAACGCAACGCCACAAAAAGAAUUUCACUUUUGGAGGGACCCAUAGCUUCCAAAUGCCAGCCCACUCCUGAGGAAGAAUAGAAUGAGAGGUCGAUGGAUGGUCAAGCCUCAUAACAGGAAUAGAAUUGCGCAACCACCAAUACCCUAAUUUAACAGAGUAAGCGUUAGUCUUAGAAGCAGGCCAGAAGAGGUGAUCAGGGGAACACGAAUCCCCAAUAUGAAUCCUGGAGAUAGCAGCCCCAGCAGACUCAGAAAAUAGAUCCCUAAUCUCAUCCUCGCUCCACGUCCUGCGCUCCGUGUCAAUGAUGGAGGCCACCACCCGUGUCUUGUUAAUCUCCCCUCCAUCCGUGGGAAUCGAACGACCGUUGAAAAUGCUUGAAACCUAAUUAUCCUCCCAUAAAUUAAAGGAAUUCCCACUCAAAACCUGCCAUCUAGAACCAUGAAUGAUCAGGUCCCAACCCUCCAACAGGCUAGACCAAACCCACGAUGCACGCCCACCCCGCUUUGCCGUAAAAAACGAGUCCUGAGGGAAAUAUCUAUCCUUCAGCACUUUAACCCAAAGUGACUCAAGCUCGUGGAGAAGGCGCCAACACUAUUUAGCGAGAAGGGCAGAGUUGAAAUCUUUCAAGCUUCGGAAACUCAACCCUCCAUCCCCUUAGGUGUGCCCCAAGUCAUCCCACCUCAACUAGUGAAUGCCCCGAUCCUUGUUUUUAUUUCCCCAGCAUAACUUAGCAAGGGAUGCGUUAAUCUCCCUACAAAGACGAUCGGGCAGCCGGAAUACGUUAAUAGGAUAUGUAAGAACAACCAGGGCAACUGCCUUUAUAAGCACUUCUUUACCUACCUGGGAGAGGAAUUGUUGCUUCCACCCCAAAAUUUUUGCCAAGACUCGCUCCUUGAUGAAAGCAAGCGCAUCACGUUUCAAUCUCCCCCACAUUGUAGGAACACCCAAGUACGUCCCCGGAUCCUCCACAACCGUCAUUUCUAGGAUGCCACUGAGCUCAUGGGCCAAAGCAACAGAAGUGUUGGCGCUAAAGUAAACCGUUGAUUUCUGAAGGCUUACCUGCUGACCAGAAGCCUUAUAGUAUGCUUUCAAUAAACUCGACAAGUUCCUGCAAUUAUCAGGAGUAGCUUUCAGGAACACAAGCGUGUCAUCAGUGAAAAGAAGAUGGGUUAGCCGAUGACAAUUCGCAUUGAUCUGAAUACCAUCCAGGAAUUGAAUAUCAGUAGCCCUCUUGAGAAGACGGGAGAUAACUUCACUGACAAUCAAAAAUAAAUAUGGGGAUAGGGGGUCCCCCUGACGCAACCCCCUUAACGGCUUGAAACUCUUUCCAGGCUGCCCAUUAAGAUGCACAGAAAACUGGACAGAAGAAACACAACACAUCACAAUAUUCACCCAAGCAUCACAGAAACCCAUUUUCCUCAUCACGGCCUCCAAAAAAUCCCAUUCAACCCAGUCAUAAGCUUUGUUCAUGUCAAGUUUGAUUCCCAGCUCAAAACAGUGUUUAGCUUUCUGGAGCUUCAGGAAGUGGAUAACCUCAUGGGCCAAAAUAAUAUUAUCUUGGAUUUGGCGACCAUGGACGAAGGCAUUUUGACUGGGGGAAAUUAGCUCCGGCAAAAAAGGUUUCAACCGAUUGGCAAGGAUUUUAGAUAAAACCUUGUAAGAGUAAUUGCAAAGGCUUAUUAGUUUGAAUUGAUUCACGUUUUCCGGGUGCGGGACCUUGGGAAUUAAAACAAUACGUGUCGAAUUUAUCAAGUUUGGGCAAGCUCCCCCACUAUGGCAUUCAGCAGCCAUCCCCAUCACCUCCGGAGAAAUAAUAUCCUAGAAAUUUUGAAAGAAGACCCUCUGGAACCCAUCCAGACCAUCCGCCUUCAUCCUUCCCAUUUGGGUCGAUGCCUCCCUGAUCUCCCCCUUAUCCACCGGCUUUCCUAAAGCAACAUUGAUCUCAGCAGUAACAAUUGGGUCAACACAUUCCAGAAUGUCCCCCCAGCAUCGACUCUCAUCCAUUGAGAACAACCGCAAGAAGUGGUCUUUAACCACACGCCAGAUACCCGAGAGAUCAUCCGUCCAAUUCCCACUUGCAUUUUGGAGCCUACCAAUAUGGUUUGACUGCCAGCGUUGAAUCGUAGAUUGGUGGAAGAAAGUGAUGUUUGCAUCACCUGCUUUAACCACCGAACGCGGGACCUCUGAAGCCAAAAUUGUUCCUUCUGCUCCUCAAGUUUGUUGAUAUUCUCUGUGAUCUCCUUAAUAUCAUCCAUUUUUACCCCCCAAUUUACUUGUAGCCUUCCCAGAUGGUUAGAUAAAGAAGCAAUCUCAUUCUUCCGGCCUCUGAAAGAGGCAUCGCUCCACCUCUUAAGGUUUCGUUUAGUUGCUUGGAUUUUCUUGUGCCAUUUGUUCAACCACGAACCCUCAACAUCCAUGUUCCAGGUUCGUUCAAUAAUUUCUUUGCACCCCGACUCCUUACACCAGAAAGCUUCAAACUUGAACAAGUUCUUGGUCCACAUACCACCUGGGUCUGAAUUAAUGAUUAAGGGGAAUUAUCAAAGGCGCGGGCCAUCCCGUGAGUGAUGGUGGUGCGAGGCCACGGGGCUUGCCAAGCACCAUUCACCAAACCCCUAUCCAGACGCUCUUGGACCAGGGAAUUGUUACGGGUUCCAUGCCAAGUGAAUUUCGGACUCGUAAAUCCCAGAUCUAUCAGCUCCAUGGUGUUCAUGAAAUCUUGUAGAAACCGAGGUCUAGAAAACAUUCCUAGAGACCCACCUCAUUCUUGAAAUCUUAUAGAAUUUCAUUCAAGUCUCCUCCACAAAACCAAAGUCUUCCCACUGGUUCCAAUUCCUAAGAGAUCCAUCUCCAAAAAUCCCCAUUCUCAUCCCUAUAUGGGUUACCAUAGACCUAGGAUGCUACGAACCAAUCUGACUCACCCCUAACCCUCAACUCGGAAUGGAUCAGGUUUUUUGACGAGCUGAGAAUGUUGACUUCUAUCGUUCCAUUCCACCAUAGACUGAGGCCCCCCGCAGCACCUAUAGGGGGAACAUCAAAAGCAUCUUGAUAACCCAUCCUCCUGCGCACACCUUCAUUCCUGUGAUUUUUCAUUUUAGUUUCUAAGAGAAAAAUCAUAGAGGGUCUAUAUUGCCCAAUCAUCUCAUGCAGGGCUCAAACCACCAUGUCCGACCCAAGACCACGACAAUUCCACAUAAGAAAAAUCAUGGAGAUCUUGCGACUGUUCAGGGCCUGCCACCACCGCCAUAGUUUGAUUCCCCUACGUCAAUAGCCUUUCGGUUCCAGUCGACCACAUCCUGGAUUGGGACCUCCAAAAGAUCAUCCUCCUCCACAGGGAUACCCACGUUGUGCUGAUACCCCACCUUGAUAGUUGACCCCCUCGACGAUCUUCUCCAACCUUUCCUCCUAACACUACCCGAAAUGCAACCUUCAUCCUUCCCUUUCUUGUUAUUUUGCUUUGAGUUAAUCAUCGAUCCCUUGGUUGCUCGCUUCAUUCCCAGCUUCCCAAAGACUGCAGUAAGGUGGUUUUUCUCUGAACACCCUUCACCCAUUUACGGAAUUGAAUGAUGCGAAGUAGGAAGGCUGUGAACGAUAGGGCAUGUCCUCAAGAUUUAAGACUCCGAAAUUGGCUUGCUCAGGCCAAUCUUGGUAGUUCCAAUAGGUCUAGUCACAUCCAACUCCUCACAAAUGGCAUUCCUAUUUUAGGCACUCCUGCAUCCUCCCACAGAUUACCUAACUUGCCUCUGAGAUUCUCCAUCGCUAAUCACUAGUUGAGGCCCAGCAGAAUAAGGCAACCCAUGCACCUAAUGCCCAGCAAUGAUACCCGCGCAGGCCCUGGAAGAGCGUCCCUCUGAGGACAUGGCCUGCCUUCUCUCCCUACUCGCUUCAGCACACCUCAUCUAACCUUGAAAGAUCAUGUCCUGUCUGGUAAUGUCCGGCACGUCACAAACCAUCUUCGUUUGAGUCCAAUCCCCAUACCCCGUGACACUAUUCAUAUUUGGUUGAUAGGAGCAUUCAGUACUAUCAUGCUCGAUUCUCCCACACUUAUAACAGAAGUUCUGCAGUCUUUCAUAUUGGAAUUCCACCCAUGAGUCUCGAUCCUCCUUCCUAGCUAACCAACACCCAGGUAGUAAAGAGUUAGUGGUAUCAACCAUUACCCUUACCCUGAAUAAUGGAGUUCAUUGUUUUUUUUCAGGGUUAGUGGUAUCUCUUUCACCUUUAACGCCCUACAGUUCCACCCCUGAAUAAUGGAGUUCAUUGUCAUAGAUUGAAGUCCUCAAGUUUGCUCAAGAAUUGGGAUUUCGGGAAGUCAUGAUCAUAAGGUGGAAACUGAUGCUAAGAAUAUAGUUAAUUAAUGUUUUGGUUAAUCAAAUGAAGAGUAGAAUGAUGAAGAACGGUGAUUGUGUCCUGUGUCUAGUUUGUUGUGGUUCUCUUUUUCUCAACCGAUUUUUUUUAAUACAAGCGUUAUUUUAUACUAAUCCAUAUUAAGAGAAUGGAGAGAGUUUGAACUUAAGACUAUGUUGAAGAAAAAAACCCCAACCGCCUGAGCAAUCCAUGACUUGCUUCCUUGAUUGAUUUCUUCAUCAGAUUAUUAUGGCAAAGUUUUUAGUGAGGCUCUUACUCUGGAUCCCUUUUAUUAAACCAUUUGGUUGUAAUCACUUUUAUCAACGAAUCCAUAUCUUUUGAUAUAAAAUAAGAUUAAAAUGACGCAUUUUGAUAGAGAUUUUACCACCUAAAAAAGUAGGGAUAAAAACAAUUAAAAAUACUUGCAAGAGUACAAGGUAUCGUAUUAUAUCAGCUUAAGCAAGGUAUUUCUCCACAAUGAUUGAAUGAAUAAUUUAUGUAAAUACCAAAUCUUAAUUAAUUAUUUGAAAACAAAGUUUGGAAGAGGUUGAUUUUAUAACCUAAAAUAUCAAAAACAAAUUUAAUUAAAAAUAAUUAAAUAAAUUGAGAAAGUAAAGAAAACAAAAGAAAAUAGUUUUGAAAAUCUAUUUAAGCACUAGGGUUCUGCCAUCACCUUAACAAUCCUACAUAGUUCUUCCAAUUACUUAUGACUUACACAUGCAUAUUUUGUUUAGGUUUUCCUAAAGUAUAUCCUACUUGGAACCUCCAACAUAUAACGUAUAUCUAACAUGUAACCCGUCCGUGGCAUCCAGAUCAAAUGUGAACAUCCAAGACUCAUUAAGUUGUGUGAAAACCUUCUGAAAAACCAUAUAACCCUUAAGACGUGUCGUCCAUCCUAAGAAGUUACACAUAUUAACCACAAGAAGCCAGCGCCAAUUCCAGGGACAACCAUCCGCCAAAAUUGCCUCAAAUUACUUUUCUAAAUAUCCUAAUGGUGGUCAAUCAUCAAGACAAUUAGAUAGUUUAAAUCGGUGAUUAAUAAUUCAAAACUUGCAUGCAUAAUAUCAUAAGCAAAUUGAAAAAAACUACAUAUUCUUGUUAAGGCUCGUGACCUCACCCUGGCAAACGAAACUAGUUAUGAACAAUCAUAAAACAAAAUAUUAUUAAAAACAUGGAUAGAAAACACCUUGAAAGAUAAACUUGAACCGUCAAAACCUUGCAAAGUUCUCCAAAAUAUUAUGUGUUCUUCUCCUCUCUUUUCCUUAAUGGUUAAAUAACGUUUCCUUAAUGCUUAUUAUAUUAACACCCCACAAAUUGUUGAAUAAACCCCACAUAUUUAAUACACCCCACGUUUGCUUUUUCACUUAAAAAUUAUCUUAAUACACCCCACAUUCUUAAUAUACACCUUAUAUUUUGUACAUACACCCCACAUUUCUCAAAUCUUAUAACACUCAUUUAAUUUUUAGGACUGAAUCUAACCAUAUGAACAUUUACUUUGCCAAAAGAUUUCAAAUCAACUGAUCAAAUUAGUUCCAUUACCUUAGUUGGACAAGUGCUCUACCAUCGUCUUCUAGUGAAUCUCACCAACAUUACCCACAUUCAGAUCAUCCACAUAGAAGAAGAUGAUCUCAAGGGUUGCCAUACUUGCUAACAAGAUGAUGGUCACUUGUAGUAGAAUAAGGAGCCCUGGAUGAUAUUCUUGCGAUAGGGUUUUUGAGAUAUGAAAAAUUAGGGGGCAAUAAUUUUUUAGAGUUUUUUUGUUUGCUGCAAAUUUCCCCAUAAUGAAAGAGAGGAUUUUCCCAAAUUUUCAUAGCAACUUUCAUCAUCUUUCACUUCAUGUACAACACUAUUAAAUAGAACUAAACCUAGAGGCUUGACGUUGGAAAAAGGCAAAGGGGGCUUGGGCAUAGGAUGCAUCCAAUGCACAAUCAACUUAUCAGGGGGGGGAUUAGGGUUUUGUUCAACAAUGGAGGGUGGGAGAGUUUUAAUAAGUGAAAAGAUCAAUAAUACGCUAAAAGUGAUUUGGGGUGUAUUUAGAAAUUUUUAUUUUUUUUAAAACCUAAUAAGGUCAAAAUUGUCAUUGCAUAAUGGGGUAAAUAAGUCAUUUAAUAUUAAAUUUUAAUGUGGGGUGCAUUCAACAUUUUGUAGGGUGCUAAUAUAAAAAACCUAAGAUAACUAGGAAAUAAAAGGUUUCCUAUUUAAACUGAAAUUCGGACUUCUCAGAAAAUCUGACUUUUGACCAACCAAAUCAACUCCAAUUUGAUCCCAAAAUGUCUCUUUUGAAAGCUGGAGACGUCGUUUACAAAUCCUCAGAAGGAAUCUUCCUCAUAUGCCAUAUUGACCUCCAAAAUACUCAAAGUAUCCAGAAACGUCACAAAAUAACCACUAAAUUAUAACUAAAAUUAGGGUAAAAUAUAUAGUAUAAUAUCGACUCAUCACCCUUCAUCGCUCAUUCUAUUGUUUAAUGAUCACUUUCUCUAGCAAAAGUGCCUCUCAACAUGAUGAUUAGUUCAUGAGAAUCCAUAUCUUUUCAUUAAAAAGAAUGUAGUAUAAUGUGUCUUUUCUCUCUAAAGCCUUAUAAACAACAUGAAUAUAGUAGCUUUAAGUUCCACCUCCAAGGCAGUAGCAAUGUCAAAAGAUUCUACAAGGCAUCCAAAACAAUGACCCAAGUGGUCAUGGAAAAUACCACCAAAACCAGCCGUGCCUGAACCAUAAGUUGCACCAUCAAUGUUAACUUUAACUUGAAAAGCACAAGGAGAAAGCCAAAGAACCUCAUGAACUCUAGGCGCCCUUGUAGGCAUUCCAUACACUCACUUGUAGUAGAAUAAGGAGCCCUAGAUGAUAUUCUUGCGGUAGGGUUGUUUGAGAUAUGAAAAAUUAGGAGCAAUAAUUUUUUAGAGUUUUUUUGUUUGCUGCAAAUUUCCCUAGAAUGAAAGAGAGGAUUUUCCCAAAUUUUCAUAGCAACUUUCAUCAUCUUUCACUUCAUGUACAACACUAUUAAAUAGAACUAGACCUAGAGGCUUGACGUUGGAAAAAGGCCAAGGGGGCUUGGGCAUAGGAUGCAUCCAAUGCACAAUCAACUGAUCGGGGGGGGGGGGGUUAGAGUUUUGUUCAACAAUGGAGGGCGGGAGGGUUUUGAUAGUUGAAAAGAUAAAUAAUGCACUAAAAGUGAUUUCGGGUGUAUUUAGAAUUUUUUUUUUUUUUAAAAACCUAAUAAGGUCAAAAUUGUCAUUGCAUAAUGGGGUAAAUAAGUCAUUUAAUAUUAAGGAACAUUCAACAUUUUGUGGGGUGCUAAUAUAAAAAACCUAAGAUAACUAGGAAAUAAAAGGUUUCCUAUUUAAACUGAAAUUCGGACUUCUCAGAAAAUCUGACUUUUGACCAACCAAAUCAACUCCAAUUUGAUCCCAAAAGGCCUCUUUUGAAAGCUGGAGAAGUCCUCUACAAAUCUUCAGAAGGAAUCUUCCUUAAAAUAUGCUAUCUUGACCUCCAAAAUACCCAAAGUAUCCAUAAACGUCACAAAAUAACCACUAAAUUAUAACUAAAGUUAGGGUAAAAUAUAUAGUAUAAUAUCAACUCAUCACCCUUCAUCGCUCAUUCUAUUGUUUAAUGAUCACUUUCUCUAGCAAAAGUGCCUCUCAACAUGAUGAUUAGUUCAUGAGAAUCCAUAUAUUUCCAUUAAAAGGAAUGUAGUAUAAUGUGUCUUUUCUCUCUAAAGCCUUAUAAACAACAUGAAUAUAGUAGCUUUAAGUUCCACCUCCAAGGCAAUAGCAAUGUCAAAAGAUUCUGCAAGGCAUCCAAAAUAAUGACCCAAGUGGUCACGGAAAAUAGCACCAAAACCAGCCAUGCUUGAACCACGAGUUGCACCAUCAAUGUUAACCUUAACUUGAAAAGCACAAGGAGAAAGCCAAAGAACCUCAUGAAUUCUAGGUGCCCUUGUAGGCCUUCCAUACACUCCAAACGCUCUGAGAAUGCAAAGCUCAUCAAUUAAAUGUAACGUAAAACUCAUACCCUAAGAAUUUACCUCACAAACUUGCAAGGGAAUGCCACUAACCAACUGAUCAACUGUAAACAUUUUCCCUUCAAAUGGAUUUAAUUUUGAGCUUGCUGAGGUGAAUAAAAAUCUACACCAAUCAUACCCCACCAUCAUAAGUGAAGUUGAGUACGGAAACCAUGCCUCAAAGGAUAAGAAAAAAUGAUGUGAUAUUGGAGAAUAACGUAGAAAAUUAAAAUAAGGCUAAACUCCUACGCCAAACUGGCAAGGAAAAUGAGCACUCAAAUAAUGAUGAGUAGAUUCAGUAGCCUGACAACACAAGAGUACAUCGUUGCAAAAGAAAACACCAAUAAGACAAUAAAUCAUCAAUUAAAAGCUUACCAUGAAGAAAACGCCAUAACAAAAUAGGAUUACAUGAUAAAAAACGUCUAUGCCGAACUCAUCUGUUUUGUUUACUAUACUUAAAGUUAUAAGCCAAAAAUAAGGAUAGUGCACAAUUUGAAGCAGUCUACUAAAUUUGUUUAAACAUUGAAAGAAAAUUUUGAAUGAUGAAAUUUGAAAGCAAUGUAGCAGAAUGGACGGCACUAGUUAGAUCAAUAGGACAAAACCAACAGCAAUUUCGAAAAUGUUAUAAAUAGGCAAAAUUUAUAGAGAGAUAACCUUUACUCGGGACAGGAACGAAGCAGUUGCAGAGUAUUAUACCAACACAAGCUGUUGCAGAGGAAGUAAUGUAUAUUAUUGCUAUUAGAUAUAUUUCUCUUUUCUUUCUUCUUCUUAUUCACUCUUUUGCACAAAUGAAGUGCUCUAUUUAUAGAGCCACUUCAAUGGAAAAUUACAAAACAUUACUAUUUAGCUUGUGAGUAUAUAGUACACACAUGUGGGCAAACAUACCCAUUAUUUACAACACUCCCCCUUGGAUGCCCAUAUAUCAACAUCAGUUGCCUCAUUAAAACCUUGCUUGGAAAAACCCUGUGGGAAAAAACCAUAGCGAAGGAAAAAGAGUACAACUUUACCCGGAUGGUGUUGAGCAUGCUUAGGUUGCCUCGUUAAAACCUUGAUAGGAAAAACCCAGUGGGAAAAGUCCUAAGCGAAGGAAAAAGAGUACAACAUGCAUGUAUCAUGGAUGCUCCCCCUGAAUUGUAUCUCCCCCUGAUUCCGCAUUCUUCAAAUCGGUAAGCCGACGUAAUCCGAUUCCCUGUACCAACUUUUGAAAUGUGCACUUUGGUAGAGAUUUGGUGAACAAGUCUGCUAAAUUUUCAUUGGAACAGAUUUGUCUGACUUCAAUAACUUUAGCCUUCUGAAGCUCAUGUGCGCUGAAAAAUCUUGGAGAUAUGUGUUUAGUCUUAUCACCUUUGAAAAAUCCUUCUUUCAUCUGGGCGACACAUGCUGCAUUAUCUUCAUGGAUGACAGUUGGAGUGUCUGUCUUUGAAGGUAGACCACAUGAAUUCCGGAUGUGAUGGAUCAUUGAUCUUAACCAAGAACAUUCACGACUUGCUUCAUGUAAAGCAAUUAUUUCCGAAUGAUUGGAAGAUGUUGCAACUAGCGUUUGCUUUGUUGAUCGCCAUGAAAUUGCAGUAUCUCCAUUAGUGAACACAUAUCCAUUUUGUGAGCGGGCUUUAUGCGGAUCGGAGAGAAAACCAGCAUCUGCGUAUCCAACAAGGAUUUGUUCAUUUGUGGGCUUUUCUGAGUAGAAGAGACCCAUAUCUGUUGUCCCACGAAGGUAUCGUAGAACAUCUUUGACUCCCUUCCAAUGACAAAUUGUUGGAGCAGAGCUGUACCUGGCUAACAAGUUAACUGAAAAAGCUAUAUCUGGUCUAGUACAUUGUGCUAAAUACAAUAAAGCACCUAUUACGCUCAAAUAUGGUACUUCUGGACCAAGGACCAGUUCAUCAUCUUCCUUUGGACGGAAUGGAUCUUUCUUAAUGUCUAAAGAACGAACGACCAUUGGGGUGCUAAGUGGAUAAGCCUUGUCCAUGCCAAAUCGCUUCAGUAUUUUUUCAAUGUAAGCUGAUUGAUGGACCAAAAUUCCAUUAACACAAUGCUCGAUCUGCAGGCCUAGACAAUAUUGGUUUUCCCAAGGUCUUUCAUUUCAAAUUCGCUUUUCAGAUAUUCAGCAGUUUUAUGGAGCUCUUCAGGAGUCCCAACUAAGUUCAUAUCAUCAACAUAUAUUGCCACUAUAGCAAAUCCAGAGUUGGAUUUCUUAAUGAACACACAAGGGCAGAUGACAUUGUUGAUAUAUCCUUCUUUAAUCAAAUACUCACUGAGACGAUUAUACCACAUUCGCCCAGAUUGUUUCAACCCAUAUAGUGAUCGCCUUAAUUUGAUUGAGAACAUACCCCGUGGUUUGUUUGUUGCUUCAGGCAACUUAAGUCCUUCUGGGACUUUCAUAUAUAUGUCAGUAUCUAAUUCUCCAUAUAGAUACGCGGUGAUGACAUCCAUAAGUCGCAUGUCAAGUUUUUCUGAAAUCACCAAACUUAUUAAGUAACGGAACGUAAUUGUGUCCAUUACAGGAGAGUAUGUCUCCUCAUAAUCAAUUCCAGGUCUUUGUGAAAAGCCUUGUGCAACGAGUCGUGCUUUGUAUCUAGCAAUCUCGUUUUUCUCAUUGCGUUUCCUUGUGAAUACCCAUUUAUAACCUACGGGGUUCACACCAGGCGGGGUUUGGACUACUGGUCCAAAAACACUUCGUCUUUCCAAGGAUUUAAUUCUGCCUGGAUUGCAUCUUUCCACUUAGGCCAAUCUUGUCUCUGUUUGCAUUCAUCAACAGAGCGGGGCUCAAUAUCAUCACUUAAUAUAAUUUCAGUGGCUAUUGCAAAUGCAAACAUGUCAUUGAUGAUUAUUUCAUUUCGAUCCCACAAUUCAUUAGUACAUGAUAAUUCUAUGGACUGAUUUCUUGCUACUUCAUGUACCUCUGAUCUCUUCCUGAGGAACAUGAGCUCAUGCAGAUCUAGACAGUGUUGUCUUUUGCACGUGCAGCGAUCAUUUUGCGGAAGACGGUGAUGAGAAACAGAGUCACAAAUAUCGAUGUUGCUGCAGCAAAGAGUAGCUUUACUUUUCAGCUGCUCAAUUCUUUUUGACUUAUAGAAAAAAACUUCGGUGCUCUCCAUUAAAGAGUGAGAAAUUCAUUAGGUAAGAUAGGCCGACUCAAGGAUCUAUUCAUAGUAUACAUGUUCUAAAGAGGGUGGUUCUAAGAAAUCUUUUGAACACUGUGCGCGACUGGGGAAAACAGUUUUCCAUUUUUGCGACUCCUUAACGCGGCUCGAGUUCGCGUUUGCCAGACACUUGGAUGAAUCAUUCGCUAUGACACAUCCUAUUAUUUUUCCUAUACUCUCAGUGAACGCUAUAUCAAUUCUUGACAGUAUGGCAGUGCCGUAAGUGCAGAACCCACGGGGUAUAUUGGCAUCUUAAAUUUAAUGUUGUCACUUUCUCGAAGCCAUUCCAUUAAAGCGCGACAUCUGGCUUUUGUCCAACCAAAUUAGCUAAUAUUCCACUUGUGAAGAUCCAUCGAUACAUAACGAUUUCCCUUUGUGGCAAACUUCAUCGGUGUUAUCAGCAAUUUGUGAUUUGCGUAUCUGGCGAUUUUACAUGCAAGAAUGAGAAUGUAAGGUUGAGCGACAAAUAGGGAACAACUGUCCUAUCGUUCGCGCAAAAGAUUUUCCUAAUGCUUGUUCUUCUUGUCCGUCUCUUCUGGAAACCGUGUCUAUUUCUCACAGCUCUAAACGAGCCGGGCUAAAUGCUUACUCUAUCCUCUAAUUAAUCUUCGACACAAUUCACGUCGCUCAUCAGAUAGCCUGAGCUAGUAAAAUGCAGGUAUGCGCGGAAUUCAAAGAGACAACAAAGCAUUCAUCUAGAGAAUAAUGUUGCUGCAUGAUAGAUUCGGUGAUCAAAACCUCACAUAAUUCCCCAAUCUUGGCGUGAACCACGCGAUUAUUAAUGAUUCCCGAUUUGUUUAGUCACUAUCUUUGCGUUUGUUUGGUUCUGAUGCGAUAUCAUGCGUACCAAGAUUCAUGGACAAUGAGGAAAUAAAGUGUGCCCCACCAUAGACUAUGUCGUUAAAUGUUGAAGUUGAUUGUGUGGCUUGGAAAAGCAUGGUGCCGGGGACAUUGUGAUGACAAAAGCUAUUGGAUUGGUCAAACACGGAGUUUGUAUUAUAUAUGGUGGUGGCUAGGGGUUUCUCAAUUCUACCAAUGAUGAGCAGUAAUAUUGCAUGUCAUCCCAUUAGAAACUGGCAAUUUUGUUCAUGAAACUGAGCAAUUGAAGUGUACGAGAGUAUAUUUGUUGAUGGACUAUUCCUUAUAAUAGACGUUCUUAUAUCAAGGAUAAUUCCUUUUUGCGCAAUUAAUCAUCGCUGAAUUUUUGAGUUAUUUAGGACAAUGUAGAGUAAUGUCAGGGUGUGUAUUUUGAUAGUUGGUUCAAAACAGACUGUUUCCUCCUCGCAUGAGUUGAACCAGAUAGCGGCGCAAUUAAUACUUGAUGAGUAAGAUUGACUCGUAGCGAAAGUUUGCGAGUGUUAGAUUCGACCGGAACGUGGUCUAUAGUUUCAAGUCGGUAUUGUGCCGUGUUGAUAGAAUUAAUGGGUCUCUCAAUGAUCUCGCCUGAAAACUGGUAUUAUCGGCACAACUUCCUCAUGAGUUCUUCUGGGAUCGGAAGUUAUUAAUUAUGUGUUGUUUUCAACAAGUCUUUUUAUCCAUUGUUUAUUCGUAAUCGUAACUGAUCAAUUGCUGAAAAUUAAAUGUGCUAAACUGGAUGAUAGACUGAUAAAACCAAUUCUGAUUUGUGUAGAAUUUUUAGAAAUUAGCAUUUUCAACCGUAAAUUAACCCAUUUAUUAUAUCGAAAAAUGAGAUAUCUCACAAGAUGUUUUAGGGGUAUUAAUUUAGUAAUUGGUUAUCGACAUAAAAUAUAUCCCCAGUAGAUUAUAUCUUAAUUGUCUCAAGAAAUAAAUAGUAUUAUGUAGGAAGGUUUUUCAAAUCUUGCAUUGUCAGCCAUUAUUUGAUGUUUGGUGAGUGGUUACAAGUUUCUUCGGUAAACAUAAUUUAACAACUUAUUCCCUAUGCUUUUUAGCGAACUCAAGACCUUCUGCUAAUAGGGUUUAUAGCAAUUUACGAAGACUUAUAUUUAAUGGUGUUAUCUGUAUAUUCGGUCACCAAUAUAUAGUAUUGUCGGAUGUCCAUUAGGGAUGUAUAUGUGUUGUCACGGUCAGAUGAUUUCUUACGGGCAUCAUCGUUUAAGAUUUCCUGUGCAUGGGUAGUGUACGCCUAGUUGCAUUAAUCGCAUAGAAAACCCUUUCCAUUGAUAUAUGCUAUACAAUUGAACUUGCAUUGUUAUAUUCAUGAGCACCUUUUGAGGACGGUGCCUCAACUGUUCUUUAUGAUGUACAAUAACAAUCACUCGAUAAACCAACUCGACACAUCAUUUUCCGUCCGUUCACAAAUGACGCUUCUGGGUUGGGCAUUAUUCUUUGGGAGAGUGCUAGUCAAAGGAGUAAUUACACAAUAUCCGUUUCAGAGUCGAAGUUUCAAAAUUUUUUGGUUUGUUAUUACGGAAAAAAUCGAUGGUAGUCCAAAACACGAAAUUAUCGAUAUGUGCCGAUUUAUUGGGGAGAAAUAUCAGGGGCUUUGGGGAAAGGGAAAGUGUAGUGGAUUAAUAAUCGUAGAAGGAAUAUCGAUAAAUUACAGUGGAACACACGGAAUUGAAGAAAAACUUGGAAAAAAAUAUUUUUUAUUGAAACUUUGCAAGAUGGGAUUUACCGACGGAUAUUCGAUCCAGUGACUUACGUACUUUCUGAAUAGUUGUGCACAAAAAUUAGAAGUUUGAGCAUGCUCGAUAUGGCGUAUGGGAUUGGAAUCGUGUAACCAUCUCGUAUUCAUAGGUUAUGAGCAUUAGGGAUAUAUUUUAGCGGGAGAGUGGCGGGUGACAACAUUAGGUGGGAAUUGUAGUAACUGAACUCCUGUGAGUAUAUAGUAAAGUUACUAUAGGAAAAAGGAGAGUCUAUAAGCAGGAGCCUUAAGUGCGAAUUGGCAAGUCCAUGCUGGGUAGAGUAUAAUUUCUAGUUAGAUAUUUUUAGGUUUACAAUGAUGUAUUAUACAAUAACUGAAAAUUAUUUUUGAAUUUUAAAACGUACAUAUUUUUUAAUUACUAAUAUACAUUUUAUGGUUAUGGAUAUGAGGCAUAUAAUUUUAUGAUGAACUUCGUAGGUUCAUUGGGAAUAUUGAUUGAAACAAUGAGAUAUAAGCAAACUAAGGAUACUUCGUGGAUUUGAUGGUUUCCUUAUUUCAAGUCAGAGAUAAUUUUUGCGGGGUAAAGUGAUAGCGUUUGAUGUGUUGCAGGCGAGGGAGGAUUGAAGUUGAUUGAGGGUUGUUUUUUUAUUUGGUCAUAUAUGUAUCAGGUUGUCUUAAAUAAAUUUUGUGGACCUUCACUAAGUUUAUAUAUGUUGAAAUGUACUAAUGAUAUAACAUUUUAGCUCUCUUUUAUGUGGAUUGUAGUCAUUUAUUAUUAAUUACUGCGCAAAAUCCUUAAUUUGGUAUUAUUUCAUAGUUUUAUGUUAGUUCAUCAUGGUUCGAAUUAUGCCUAAAACUUAAUGAGUAAAUACCCUUGCUUUUAAUAUAGAUUUUUAUGAUAUUUAAUUUAUAGACUUGUUUAUUGAGUUUUUUUAUUUUAUUUUUUUUAUGAUUUAUAUGAUUUUAGAUACUAUAAUUUAGUGAGCAGGGAAUCUCUACUCCCCUUAGUGUACAUACAAAUUAUAGUACGCCCGGAUGACAAAUCUUCAUCAGUCUCAUCUAAUACAAUCUGUAACAACUCUACUUUAUCAUUUCUCUCACUUUCCCAUUCCUCGCCGCCUCUUCUUGCAACUCUAUCAUUCUCCUCUCUCUGCAACUCUCAUCGUUCCUUCUAGUUCUUCGGUUCAUCCCCAAACUCACACACACACACACCAGCACUCCCUCAAUCCUGCCGGUUCUCUUCUUCUUUUCCUCCCCUCGCACUGAUAGUGCAGUAACCAAGGUAACCAAUUAGAGACCCGUUGUUACCGAAUACAGCAUUCGUCGCGCAAGACACAUCAGUGUGGACCGUUUGGCGGCAAGGUGACAAGUGGAAAUCAAGAGGUCUCGGUACCCGCUCAGGUGCCAUGCCUUGAAGAUUCUAAUUUGUGCAUAGAUCUCUUCCUUUUCCCUUGGGCUUCAGCGGGUCGUACGAUUAUGACAUUGUUGAUUGUGGUGCUGCACUGUGUCUUUUUGGAGAGGAUUCGAGUCUGGAAUCCUUGUUUUUGUUAACGCUCACUGAGACAGGUUACUCCACUUUCCGCGCUUUGGUAGCAGACACAGGGGCCCAAAAACAAUGAUCCAAAAAAUUGUAGAUUGGCUCUGCACUGCAUCCUGUGGAUUUUGCUGAAUCUGGUAUCCAGUAUUUUCAUUUUCUCUCAAUUUCCUCAUCUUAAACUACUCCCUCCAUCUUCUUCGUAGGGUUUGAAGUCGUUUUCUAGUGCAUCGGAAUAUGAUGGUUAUGGUAAGAGUUUUUUGUGUUAACAGGGUUAAAAUACGAAUUAAUGAUAAAAUUAUACAACGCUUCAUUUCAUGAUAAUUUUACUGAUUUCGCUCUAUAGGGAUAUUGUGUGUUGAUUAGCCAUUGGUGGAUACACGAUUGAAAAAGUAGUUUAAUUUUAUCUGGAUAAAUUCUAGUUUUAUUUUUUACAUUACUUGGAAUCUCAAAUACAAAUGAAAUCUCUAUGAUUGAGACGUUUGCCCUUUUUUGUUAAAAAAUGUCUCGUAUAUGAUGACUAUGUCCUGGGGCGAAUUAUUAUACUCUUAUAUUUGUUGCGAUUAAAUAUUAUGUGUGGACUUACACUGUUCGGAUACCCAGAAUAGUAUUGUGUGUGGAUGGUGAUGUGAGUCAGGCAGUUAAAUUGAAAUUUAUUCCACUAUUCUGUCAUACAUCUCGUUUUUCUGUUUUCUUUUAUAUAAGUAAAACUUUAAGGUUUUCCCGUUUGGAUAGUCCAUUUAGACGUAUGUCUUUAAACCAACCAAUUUUUUCGAUAUAGUAUGGAUUUUUGUUUGCGACAUGGAUGUGAAAGCGAAUGACUGCGGUCCAAUUAAUUCUUCGCGAAUUUCCAUUUAAUAGUUGUGAGCAAGUAUUAAUAUGCAUUUGGCGAAUGCUUUAACUGAGUGUCAUAGUGUGCUUCGAUCCAUUGUUAUUUUUAUGGUUGAGGGAACGAUUUAAAGUGGGGUCUUCUCUUUCCCUUUACGUGUGACAAUUUACAUAUUUUUCUGGGUAAUGUUCCUCUCUCGUACGUUUUCUUUUUCUGCCGUUUUACUGUUUGUACAACCGUGAGUACGCAAAAUUUGCGAAAGCGAAAUCUUUCUAGUUCUCUCGCAGAGAUGCAGUAUUGAUGCCGAAAUGUUCCAUCGUACGGUUGUCCGAAAUCUGCAUCUUGAUGUAUGCUUGCAGAUAAACACAUAUAUCUUGUCGACCGCCAAUUUGUAUUACUGUUUAGUGAUGCAAAUAACCGUUAUUCUAUCCCAUGAUCUACUGAGCUGGUUAAAUAGGAGAAACCGCAGUUAUUAAUUCUGUAGCGGGGACAUUAAAUCACACAUUUAUGUGAAUUUAAAAUUGCGAAGCAUUAAACGCGACUGAAGGUUACAUACAGUAAUUACUGUAUGAUAAUGAGUUGCUAUUAUCUAGAUAAUCUAUCGACCUCAUGAUAAUCUAAUUCUCUCUUCAUUAAUAAAUGUGCUAGUGUGAUUGUGUAGCAUCCAGGUUGGUGUUAUUUGGUGUGAUUGUUAACUGGGUUCACUGGAAUAAUAUUUAGUGUGGCUACAGACGGACGUGGAUAACAGAUACCUGGGUUUCCAGUUGGUUUCGAGAAUCCUGAGUGUCACAGAGAAUUAGAUCGCUCACGUUGGCACAUGGCACUCUGUACGUGAUCCUUUUAGAUUAGGAGAGUUCUGUCAUAAUAUACUAUUCGCCACCAGAUGACCUUCUGCGCGGGCGGGGCUGACUAGUACUGCACGACUAGAAUUCGGUUGUCUUUGUAUGGAGGUGGUUAACAACACGUAAGGACGGGACAACAUAGAUGUCGCAAAAUGUUCUUAGCUUUACCCAUCUUAAUCAAAGCCGAAUGUGAUUGUGCGAUUGAGGAAACCACUUCUUAUUCAAUUGGAUUGUUACACAUUAGGCAGCAUGGGUGAGUACAAUACUAUUGGAGCUCUAUGCCUUGUCUCUUUGGGCGAUUUGGCGAUUCUUUUAUACACAUCAUGUGCCACCUGAAGAUAUUUGAGUAUAUACUUGUGGUUAACACCAUGCGUUGUAGUAUUAGUAUCUGGAUCACUAACCACUGGUUCAUAUGUGCUACUAUUCGCUCAUGGCUUAGUAUGUUCCACCGACCUUUUCUUCGUCAGUCUCUACGGUCACUCAUAGUCAAUUACUACCAAGUAUAAUUUGCAUCGAUGGGAGAGGGAGGAAUAAUUGACGGUGUCCUUCCUUAUUCCACACAAGUGGACGAAAUGCCAAAAGUGCCGAACAUGCACAUCUAAUAUGAAAAACAAGAAACUUGCAUUAAUACAAAGUGCCAAUACUCAAGAAGUUAUACGGUGCGGGAGGUUUGGGUGUUGCGUUAAGUGUUUUGUACGCGUGUACAGUCUACGACACUCUGAUUUUUGUGUGGAACUUUUCAAGGCUUCAUAGGCCAAAGAGAAACAGAGCUAUACAUGGUGUCAUGUGCGUACUCAUCAUGUCUGAUUGUCGAUUAGCCUCUGCGGUUAUAUACACGCUCAAUCUGCCUUUUGGAGGUUUUCAAGAGA